rnacentral:lncRNA from 1 species
ACUCAACAAACUCAACCCUAGUGCCGGCUACUGCGACAACAAUCCCGACUCACCUCCUUGUCUCCACUCGAGGGAUCGUGCUGGUGCAUCUCUCUGUUAGAAUAAAUCUGAGGCGCUCCGUCGACCUAACGAGGACCAAGCAAUCACACGAACCACGACACCGGAAUUUGUUAAUGAGGUUCGCCAAUAUCCUACAUCCCCAGGGCCGACUAUGGGCGCUCCUCCCUGUGACACCAUCACAGUACCGCACACCAGUCACCCGGGCGCCGGCACACGCCGCCGGCCCCCGUGCGUACUUGUGCUAUUAUGUUGGCAUAGGUUAUAUCGUGUGUCUACCCUCACUAUAUAUGAGAGACCUGUGAUAGAAGUGUCCUACCAGGACAUGACUUCAUACCUUGUCUACACACCGUACGACUCCAAGUCCAACUAUAACCUAACUGGUACAAUAAUAUUCGACACAACUCUAACAAACUCCACCAUGGUGAAUAUUCUCCACCAUUUUGGAUUCAUCCAUGCGUCGAACCUCCAUGUACAUUGGACUUGAGUUACGUCAUGAGCACCGCUGCUACUCCCAGACUCCACGUAACUCCACCUGCAACUGUAGUCCCUUCUCGUCUUCUUCAUAGUCAACGCUCGAGCAAAAUUAAGUUCAUCAUUACUCUACUUUGUGAUCCCAACUUCCGGAGAAUCGGUUCAAUGUCAUCACACACUGAUAACUUAUCUGCGUGAAAAUGAACAACUCACAUAUUGGACAUCACAUAUAAGAGUUACCUGGACUCAACAUCAUUGCUCUUUCUUGACCGUCUGUCUGAAAUUUGAAGGAAUUUCACUAUCGCCCUGUGUCACCCCGAGUCAAAUUUGCAGUUGUCUCACCCUUCUUCCGGUUAGUCUCUGGCAUUUCCCACAGCUAUAGCACUCUGCCUCCUUCUGUGUUCUUCCGAUCGGGCCGAUCCGAUCCGCCAUCUGCUUGUGCCUUGCGCGCGCCUGCACACGCGAGACCUACCGAGACCAUCCGCAGCCUCCUCGUAACCUUGCUCAUGAUAUCACUUGUUAGAAUAAAUUCGAGGCGCUCCGUCGAUCUACCAAGGACCAAGCAAUCACACUAGGCACGACACCGAGAUUUGUUAACGAGGUUCAUCGAUAUGGCUACAACCCCGGGGCCUGACUACGGGCGCUCCUCCCCGUGACACCGUCACAAUACCGCACAUCGGCCACCCAGGCGCCGGCACACCCCGCCGCCUCCCCUGCGUACCUGUGCUAUUAUGUUGGCAUAGGUUACAUCGUGUGUCUAUCCUUGUUAUAUAUGAGAGACCUAGGAUAGAAGUGUCCUACUAGGACACGACUCCAUACCUCGUCUACACACCGUAUGACUCGAAGUCCAACUGUAACCUAACUUGUACAAUAAUAUUCGACACAACUCUAACACUCACGGUAGCUCAGGAAGGUAGCAUUGAGGAUCUAGCUGCUUUGUACUUGGACGGGGCACCAAUAAAUCCAUGGCGGCAGCCUCGGCUGGUGGAUCAACGCUUUCUCUACAGUGACCGGUACUCGUCGAUUCCGCCGUCCUCCUCGGACGUGGGUGCGGCGAAGUGGUCAUGGUUUGUGCUUGUGCUGUGGGUCUCCUUGGGGGAGGCCGAACCCGAUCUAGAGCCGUCCAUCUUCUUCAACCUUGGCAGCCUCCACCCAAUCUUACCUUUGGUGGCCUGCGGUCACCGAAGCCGGUCAUUUAUGCACCAGAGAAAUCCAAGGCCAGUUGUGCUGACCACGACGACCCUGCUUCAUGUAGGCGUCGUCCAGGUUGUCCCCUUACCCCCUCCUCAUUCCCACUUCUCGUGUAGAAGGUGAAAACCUAGAUCUUGUCCAAAUUGGGCGGCAACAGAGCUCCGAGUGGCGUCACCCUGAUGGGGGUGCCAUCAUUGGUGCGCAUGGGGUGGAUGUGUACUUUUCUUGUUGUAUGGAGGUGGAUGGUGGCUUGGUCUUAGCUCUGUGUAAGCUCGCUCUUGUUCGUCUUCUUUUGGUGCUCUGUCCCCCUCCCCGCUCAUCCGUUUGUGUUAGGAUCUACGGUUGUUGUGGCUUCUGAUCCGGCGUGCAUCGUUCGCUAGGUUUCUGUGGGUGCAACCCAGCCAGCCCUACUUUGCAUGGACCUGCUCCUCGUGGGCGAUGUGCCCUGUUCGGUUGGGUCGGUAUCCCGGCCUCUCGGUUGAUUAAGUCAUUCCGGAAGCACUUUUUGUGUUUUGCAGAUACCAACUGAUUCUAGUUAACAAUGUAACAUGCAAAUUGAACUAUUUUCAAUCAUGUGGCUAUUCUACUGGUGUUUAGUUUUGAUUGCUUGUUAAUGUACGUUGUAGUCAUGCGUACCAUCACCCCACUACAAAGUAAGAGCAGAGAGUAGUCAAAGUUCAGUAGAGUAGCAUGUCGUUUCCUUCCCUGUUCAGUCUUAUUUAGCCUAACUUGCUUGUUUUUUUUUCUUUUUGCUGAGCUCCUCUAUACUGGUGCAUGUUCGAUGAAAAGAAUGUGUGAAGUGAGAAUCAAAUAACUUUAGCUAAGUUAACUCCGCUUUUCAGGUUAGCAUAUCAUAGCAAAGAAACCUAGACAAGAAAAAUUGAGAAAAUAGAAGUUUGUAUAGGUAAAUUACUACUCCCUCCUAUCUGUAUUAAUUGUUGCAGAUUUACUACAGAUAGGAGGGAGUAAUAGCUAAUGAUUUUCACUGUAGAAAUUCAAACCAUUUGUCAUUGUGAAGCAAACGAGUAGUUUGAGGAAGGCUCUAAAGCAAGUCUCUUGACCAAACAAGUCUCCACUGCACGAAACUGUAAUAAUCUAUGUGUCACGGGAGUGCUACUAUUCUGAAACAGAACAAUGUGGUGUGGUAAUAUCUUGUGAAGUACUCCCUCCGUACCAAAAUAUAUGAUAAUUUCCGGUUUAAAUGGAACUGCAAAACCGUCUUAUAUUUUGAUACAGAGGUAGUACUACUUUUCAAUCGUGAGGGAGGCUGGAAGUAAACAUGGUGUGGUAACAUCUUGUGAAGCACAUUUAUCUAUUUCCCUGAAUUCAAAUGUUGGUGAGGCACAAUCCUACUAGAGCAUGUACAAUGCACAUGUUUUUUCUACUGUGAGUGCUAGAGAGAAUCUUUUUUUCUUUGUUGUAUCAGAAUUUCUCGGUACUGAUUUCCUUCAUCUUUUUGCCUUCCCAUUAUACCCAACUAGUAUUACCGCCUUUUGCAUUUGAGAACAAAAAUGGUCACAUGAGUGCCUAUUGUGCAGCUAAUUUUCCAUGAAGCAUAUGUAAAGGGAUUUUCCAUUUGAGAGAAUGAGUUGUAAAAAAAUCCUCAUCGCUAGCUCUGCUCUAUUUUGAGACUCACUUGAAUGCACUUUGCUUCGCGUGUGUGUGCCCUUACAAGUUCAAAGCGCAGUGCUUGUGUAACUGCAAGUCAGGAAAGAAGGAGCAUUACAGGCUUAAUUUUGUGGCAAACAUUGAGAGUAUCAUGGCCCAUGCUUUGUCACCCAAAUAAUGUUGGAGAGUUUCUAGUCCUGCAAAAUAUCGUGCAACCUUUAAAUAUGAUGGCAAAACAUGAAACUGUAAGUAGACAUCGGGAAAGGAAACUGUUAACCUUUGGAACUAUCCACUCUCGAGAUUGGCCAGGACACCGCAUCGGCAAUGGGAUCUGGAAUUAAGAAAAGCUUUUGGACGUGAGUAUCUAAGAAAAUAGUAGUUGGAAACAACACUCUAUUUUCAGUGUCACGAGCCAAAAUAGAUUUACAGUCAGUAAAUGUUACCAUGGUAUUUUUGUUUUCCUCCAAUAUUGUGGACGAUUUGAAGUUGGAUAAAGAGAUAAACAAAUUAGUAUUCAUAUCCCACUCACUUAAUUGGGUAUCCUAAGGCAGAAGGUAUAUAUAGGACUCCCAUACAGAAUCAUGUGGUAGGUGUGAGCUAACCAUCCAGGAAACAUUGUUCACAUCAUUUGCUACACGAGAGUGCGCUACAAAAUCAUGCAUGUGGCCAUUUAACUUGUAUGUUUAGUUAUCGAUCCAUUUCCUAGGAAGUAUGGCUAUGAACAGAGUGAGUAGAAACAUUGUGUUUGAUUGGAGGAUAAUGCAACACAUGUUCACGAGAUAUAUACCUGUUGCAUCAACUGAGGAAAACAGGAUUGAGAUUAGCCUAAACUGCGGAGGAGAACCAUCAACUGAGGCCGGAAUUAUGAAUGGUAGAACAGAUUUGCCGAAACAUCCACUGCAUGUAACUGACUUUUGAAAAAAGGAAACUGCUAUAAUGUCUUCGUCUAGCGAUUCACGAAGCAAUGUUGCGCGAUCGAGGUUCAAAUUUACACAUAUGUUGAAUGUGAAAAUUGACACACAUCAUUGCUCCAAAGUUUAGACAACUGGAGAUAAGAAUGCAUCUCUCACAGAUGGUUAACUAAUUACCUACCAUGGCACCGUUUUCCUUAGCAUCUUUUGCCAUAGACAGAGUAUCCCAACUUGUACAAAAUUUGGGGGAAUGGUGAAGGAGAUAAUACACCCACAUUACAACAUAUCUGAACAAGAAAAAAACGUGAAGUUCACCAAAGCCGAUAAUAAUCAUGACACAGCCUAGUGCAUUAUUUAAAGCAAACACAUUUUUUUCCAUUUCCAUGCGGUAUUCGUCCUAUUUUCCUCCUAUAAAAAUAAUCUGAACAAGAUUAUUUGAAGCAAAACACAAUUCCCCUUUCCUGCAUCAUAAGGAGAAACAUUUCAGACACCCCAAACGGAUCAAGUGUAUUUCAGACAUCGAUGACAUACUUUUAACUAAUAACAUGAAGAUAAGAAUGCAUGCACUGUGUUCUACUCUACAGAAGACAACCCGAUAAAGUCUGUCAUGCUAGUUAGUUAAACAGUAUCCAAAUGCAUGCAAUGUGUUCUACUCUACAGAUGAUGAUACCUAAACAUACUAGAAAAAAUGGUUAAACAGGAGCUGACACCGCUGGUGCUUCACGACAAUUAAUUGAACAAACAGGUCACGGCCUGACGUUAAGUAGCUGCCAGUACAGGCAUAUAAAGCAGAGGAACAUGGCUCUCCUCUCGGGUGGCCGUCUUUGGCGGCAGCUUGCCACAGCUACGGCUAUGGCUACUUUGUGGAGCAUUACAAACAAGACAAUACUAUAAAGCCAGAAGUAAUCAUACUAUAAAUCUCAAUCACGCCUAGUCUGAUGUAACUUAAACGCUGGUUCAGGAAUAGCAGGGCACAUCACUGACCGACCCACUGACUACUGGAGGCUGUUCUGUAAAGAAACGGGGCUAUAGAAGCAUGUUAGCUAAUCUAGUCGCUGUAGUUUUUCUUCAGUUAGUUUGCUUUCGUCAGACAUAACGUAGCCAGGCGCAUGAGCUCGCGAGUCGUUGUGCGAGCCACGCGCGUAGGCGAUCUGGGUACGAUCGAUGCCCGAUCGAUCGGGGUGGUCAGCCACGAAACCCACUCGUGGGAUGGCACGAGAAUUCGGGAUCAUGGCGCUAGGACCGGGCCACUCUUUCUCUCUGUAACAGAAUAAGUAGAGGAGAUCAAAAACAGAAAAGUCACAAGGUUGUCCGUGACGCAAAAACUCCUGUCUCUCCUCUCAGUGAUCGCAAGCUGUGAGAGAUCGAGCAACCCUGACAAUUGGCAUCAAAGCCGGUUUAAGGUGAUCCCGACGCCCAUGGCUGACACCGGAGCUCAGCCGGACCAGGCGGCGGCGGCACCCCGCAACGGUGGCGGGGGUGGGAGCCGCUCGCGCACUCCACCACAGGAGCGCAGCCGCGGACGGAGCCACGUGAGAAGGGAGUGGCGGGUGGUGAUCCACCAGGCGGUGGCCAUGGAGCGCGCGCCGCUUGUGCCAAGCGCGGGCACCAUGUUCCCGACGCUCACAUCCACGAACUACAUCGAGUGGUCUCUCGUGAUGAAGGUGCACCUGGAGUCUUGGGGGCUCUGGGACGCGAUCGAGGGUAACGCACUGCAUGUGCGUGACGACAAGACGGCGCUCGGCGUCCUGUUCCGAGUCGUCCCCCUAGAGAUGCUUGGCGUCCUCGUCGUCAACGAGACGGCGAAGGAGGCCUGGGACACGAUCAAGGUCAUGCGCAUGGGGAUGCACCGUGUGCGCGAGGCCACCACGCAACGCCUGCGCGCGGAGUUCGAGCAGAUCACCUUCCGCGACGGCGAAACUCUCGACUCCUUCGGCAUGAGGAUCACCGCCCUCGUCAACCAGCUGCGCACGCUGGAGGACAACGUCGAAGAGGUACGCAUGAUCCCGAAGAUGCUCCGUGUCGUCCCCGCCCGCUAUGCCCAGAUCGCAGUCGCGAUAGAGCCCCUCCUUGAUCUGACCACGAUCUCGGUCGAGGAGCUGAUCGGUUGACUGCGCACCGCUGAGGAGCGCUGCGGUGGCGGGGCGGCUCAAGCCAGCGGCGGCGGUCGGCUGCUCAUGUCGGAGCAGCAGUGGGAUGCCUGGCGCCGCGAGCGCGAGCAGGGCCAGGGGUCCAGCUCAAACGGCGCCGGCAACGGGAACCGCAACGGGGGCGGCGGCAAUCUCCGCCGUGGCAAGCCGCAGAACCAGAAGUGCGGCAACGACACUCAAAGCCAAGGCGGCGGCAACGGCCGCGACAGCGCCGGCAACGGUGGGCGCGACAUGUCUAAGGUGAAGUGCUACAAUUUUCUCAGCGCUGGACACUGGUGUGCGCGGCGCCGUGAAACUCGGCGACGGCUCGGUGGUUCAGAUCGAGGGGAGAGGAACGAUCCUCUUCCAAUGCGGCAACUGUGAGCUCAUGGUCCUGUCUGAUGUGUAUUACAUCCCAAAACUUUGCAGCAACAUCGUCAGCAUCGGACAGUUGGACGAAAUCGCCUACGAGACCAAUAUUAGUCACGGGGUGCUCCAGCUCCGUGAUCCCAGUGGGCAGACUCCUCGCGCGAGUGCAACGUAACCAGGGGAGGCUGUACGUGCUGCAGCUCACGCCGGCCCAGCCAGUGUGCUUCGCGGCGCAUGCUGGCGAGGAUGCAUGGUGCUGGCAUGCGUGCUACGGCCACGUGGACUUCCGGGCUUUACGUCAACUCGCCCGGGACGAACUGGUGCACGACCUCCCGCUAUUUGACGAGGCGGAUCGUGUCUGCGAGGCGUGCCUCGCCGGCAAGCAGCGUCGAGCACCCUUUCCUUAGCAGGCUCUCAGCAGAGCCGACGAGGUGCUGGAGCUCGUGCACACGGACCUCUGUGGUCCAAUCUCCCCUCCAACGCCAGGAGGGAAGCGUUACUUCCUGUUGCUGGUUGAUGACAAGAGCAGGCACAUGUUGGUGUACCUGCUCGCGACAAGGACGAGGCGCAGCCCGCUCUGAAGCGCUUCCAGGCGAUGGCGGAUCUCGAUUUCGGGCGGCAGCUCAAGUUGCUGCGCACGGACCGCGGCGGGGAAUUCACCUCUGCCAGCCUCGGCGAGUACUACGCCGACAAGGAGGUCAAGCGCCAGCUCACGACGCCCUACACGCCCCAGCAGAACGGCGUGGUCGAGUGCCGAAAUUAGACGAUCGUGGGCAUGGCGCGCAGCCUGUAGAAGACAAAGGGUGUGCCGGCGCAGUUCUGGGGGGAGGCCGUGAUGACGGCGGUCUACCUCCUGAACAGGUCUACGACCAAGAGCGUGGCGGGGUCGAUUCCGCACGAGGCCUGGUGCAGGCGGCGCCCAAACGUUGAACACCCGCGCGUGUUCGGAGCGUCGCGCAUGUCAAAGUGACGCGUCCGAAUCUGUCGAAACUCGACGACGGGAGCACGCCCAUGGUAUCCUGGGCUACGAGCCAGGAUCGGCGGCUUACCGCGUCUACCACCCGCCGUCGAACCGUGUUCUGGCCUCCAGGGAUGUCGUGUUCGACGACGAAGCAGCGUGGGACUGGUCUCAGGUCGCGGCGACAAACAAGGAGCCGUGCUACCUCUUGAGCAUGCAUUGGUUUUCCCUUAAAGAGGAAAGGGUGAUGUAGCAAAGUAGCGUAAGUAUUUCCCUCAGUUUUUGAGAACCAAGGUAUCAAUCCUGUAGGAGACUACAUGCAAAUCGCCUAGUACCUGCACGAACAAUCAAGAACCUUGCAACCAGCACGAUAAAGGGGUUGUCAAUCCCUUCACGGUCACUUGCAAAAGUGAGAUCUGAUAAAGAUAAUAAGAUAAUAUUUUUGGUAUUUUUGUUGUAUAGAUUGGAAAAGUAAAGAUUGCAAAAUAAACGGCGACAGAAAUUGGCAAGUUGACGGGAGAUUAAUAUGAUGUAAAAUAGACCCGGGGGCCAUAGGUUUCACUAGAGGCUUCUCACAUGAUAGCAUAUCUUACGGUGGGUGAACAAAUUACUGUCGAGCAAUUGAUAGAAAAGCGUAUAGUUAUGAGAAUAUCUAGGGAUGAUCAUGAACGUAGGCAUCACGUCUGUGUCAAGUAGACCGAAACGAUUCUACAUCUACUACUAUUACUCCACACAUCGACCGCUAUCCAGCAUGCAUCUAGAGUAUUAAGUUCAUAAGAACACAGUAACGCAUUAGGCAAGAUGAUAUGAUGUAGAGGGAUAAACUCAAGCAAUAUGAUAUAAACCCCAUCUUUUUAUCCUUGAUGGCAAUAAUACAAUACGUGUCGGUUCCCUUUCUGUCACUGGGAUCGAGCACCGCAAGAUUGAACCCAAAGCUAAGCACUUCUCCCAUUGCAAGAAAGAUCAAUCUAGUAGGCCAAACCAAACUGAUAAUUCGAAGAGACUUGCAAAGAUAUUAAAUCAUGCAUAUAAGAACUCAGACAAGAAUCAAAUAUUGUUCAUAGACAAACUUGAUCAUAAACCCACAAUUCAUCGGAUCUCGACAAACACACCGCAAAAUGUAUUACAUCGAAUAGGUCUCCAAGAGAAUCGAGGAGAACUUUGUAUUGAGAUCCAAAGAGAGAGAAGAAGCCAUGUAGCUAAUAACUAUAGACCCGUAGGUCUGUGGUAAACUACUCACACAUUAUCGGAGAGGCUACGGUGUUGAUGUAGAAGCCCUCCAUGAUCGAUUCCCCCUCCGGCAGAGCGCCGGAAAAGGCCCCAAGAUGGGAUCUCACGGGUACAGAAGGUUGCGGCAGUGGAAAAAGUGUUUCGUGGCUCCCCUGGAUGUUUUCAGGGUAUAAGAGUAUAUAUAGGCGAAAGAAGUAGGUCGGUGGAGCUGCGACGGGCCCACGAGGGUGGGGGCGCGCCUCCCUGCCUCGUGGCUUCCUCGCUGCUUCCUUGACUUCCACUCCAAGUCUCCUGGAUUGCGUUUGUUCCAAAAAUGAUCCUCGCGAAGGUUUCAUUCCGUUUGAUAUUCCUUUUCUGCGAAACACUGAAAUAGGCAAAAAAAUAUCAAUUUGCACUGGGCCUUCGGUUAAUAGGUUAGUCUCGAAAAUAAUAUAAAAGAGCAUAUUAAAGCCCAUUAAACAUCCAAAACAGAUAAUAUAAUAGCAUAGAACAAUCAAAAAUUAUAGAUACGUUGGAGAUGUAUCAAGCAUCCCCAAGCUUAAUUCCUGCUCGUCCUCGAGUAGGUAAAUGAUAAAAACAGAAUUUUUGAUGUGGAAUGCUACCCAACAUAAUUUUCAAUGUAAUUUUCUUUAUUGUGGCAUGAAUGUUCAGAUCCGAAAGAUUCAAGAUAAAAGUUUAAUAUUGACAUAAAAAUAAUAAUACUUCAAGCAUACUAUUUAAGCAAUUAUGUCUUUUCAAAAUAACGUGGCCAAAGAAAGCUCAUCCCUACAAAAUCAUAUAGUUUGGCUAUGCUCCAUUUUCGUCACACAAGAAUGCUCUCAUCAUGCACAACCCCGAUGACAAGCCAAGUAAUUGUUUCAUACUUUAGUAUUCUCAAACUUUUUCAACUUUCAUGCAAUACAUGAGCGUGAGCCAUGGACAUUGCACUAUGGGUGGAAUGGAAUAUGAUAAUGGGGGUUGUGUGGAGAAGACAAAAAAGGAGAAAGUCUCACAUUGACGCGGCUAACCAACGGGCUAUGGAGAUGCCCAUCAAUUGAUGUCAAUGCAAGGAGUAGGGAUUGCCAUGCAAUGGAUGCACUAGAGCUAUAAAUGUAUGAAAGCUCAACAAAAUAAACUAAGUGGGUGUGCAUCCAACUUGCUUGCUCACGAAGACCUAGGGCAUUUGAGGAAGCCCAUCGUUGGAAUAUACAAGCCAAGUUCUAUAAUGAAAAAUUCCCACUAGUAUAUGAAAGUGACAAAAUAAGAGACUCUCUAUCAUGAAGAUCAUGGUGCUACUUUGAAGCACAAGUGUGGAAAAAGCAUAGUUGCAUUGUCCCUUCUUUUAUUUUCUUUUUUAUAUAUUUUUUUGGGCCUUCCUUUUUUUAUCUGGCCUUUCCCUUUUUUUAUUUGGCCUUUUUUUUCAUGGGACAAUGCUCUAUAAAUGAUGAUCAUCACACUUCUAUUUAUUUACAACUCACUGAUUACAACUCGAUACUAGAACAAAAUAUGACUCUAUAUGAAUGCCUCCGCCGGUGUACCGGGAUGGGCAAUGCAUCAAGAGUGACAUGUAUAAAAAAUUAUGCAAGGUGGAUUUGCCACAAAUACGAUGUCAACUACAUGAUCAUGCAAGGCAGUAUGACAAUGAUGAAGCGUGUCAUAAUAAACGGAACGGUGAAAAGUUGCAUGGCAAUAUAUCUCGAAAUGGCUAUGGAAAUGCCAUAAUAGGUAGGUAUGGUGGCUGAUUUGAGGAAGAUAUAAGGGGGGUUUAUGUGUGAUAGAGCGUAUCAUAUCACGGGGUUUGGAUGCACCGGCGAAGUUUGGACCAACUCUCGAGGUGAGAAAGGGCAAUGCACGGUACCGAAGAGGCUAGCAAUGAUGGAAAGGUGAGAGUGCUUAUAAUCCAUGGACUCAACAUUAGUCAUAAAGAACUCACAUACUUAUUGCAAAAAUCUACAAGUCAUCAGAAAACAAAGCACUACGCGCAUGCUCCUAGGGGGAUAGAUUGUUAGGAAAAGACCAUCGCUCGUCCCCGACCGCCACUCAUAAGGAUGACAAUCAAAGAACACCUCAUGUUUCAAAUUUGUUACACAACGGUUACAAUACGUGCAUGCUACGGGACUUGCAAACUUCAACACAAGUAUUUCUCAAAUUCACAAUUACUCAACUAGCAAGAAAGAUGAAUCUAGUAGGCCAAAGCAAACUGAUAAUUCGAAGAGACUUGCAAAGAUAUUAAAUCAUGUAUAUAAGAAUUCAGAGAAGAAUAAAAUAUUGUUCAUAGAUAAUCUUGAUCAUAAACCCACAAUUCAUCGGAUCUCGACAAACACACCGCAAAAAGUAUUACAUCGAAUAGAUCUCCAAGAGAAUCGAGGAGAACUUUGUAUUGAGAUCCAAAGAGAGAGAAGAAGCCAUCUAGACAAUAACUAUGGACCCGAAGGUCUGUGGUAAACUACUCACACAUCAUCGGAGAGGCUAUGGUGUUGAUGUAGAAGCCAUCCGUGAUCGAUUCCCCCUCCGACGGAGCGCCGAAAAGGCCCCAAGAUGGGAUCUCACGGGUACAGAAGGUUGCGGCGGUGGAAAAAGUGUUUCAUGGCUCCCUUGGAUGUUUUCAGGGUAUAAGAGUUUAUAUAGGUGAAAGAAGUAGGUCGGUGGAGCUGCGAGGGGCGUGCCUACCCCCUGGGGCGCGCCUCCCUGCCUCGUGGCUUCCUCGUUGCUUCCUUGACUUCCACUCCAAGUCUCCUGGAUUGUGUUUGUUCCAAAAACGAUCCUCGCGAAGGUUUCAUUCCGUUUGAUAUUCCUUUUCUGCGAAACACUGAAAUAGGCAAAAAAAAUAGCAAUUUGCACUGGGCCUUCGGUUAAUAGGUUAGUCCAAAAAUAAUAUAAAAGACCAUAUUAAAGCCCAUUCAACAUCCAAAACAGAUAAUAUAAUAGCAUGGAAGAAUCAAAAAAUUAUAGAUACGUUGGAGACGUAUCAAGCCGCAGUGGGACACCUUCUCCAUCGAUCUCGAACCGGUGCCCGCCAAGGUGGUCGGCGGCACCCCAUGCAGCGCAACAUCCCCUGAGGCGUCGAGCUCUCCUACCAUGCCGACAUCGACGCACACGAGUGCGGCCAGGACACGGCCCGCGAUGCUGAUCUGUGCCACACCAAGCCCAGACCGCUCUGGCAUGCAAUUCAUGUCUCCACUGCCGGGGGCGUCAGUGCCGCCGCCCGACAAGGAGGCUCCGCGGCGGUACCGCACCUUGGAGAAUCUGUGAGACACCACUGAAGAAGGGACAAGUGAUAACAGUCAGUACAGUUACCUGUGUCUCUUCGCAGGGGAGGAGCCGACCUCCUUCAAUGAGGCGCAGAAGGAGGGAGGAUGGAGAAACGCCAUGAACGAGGAGAUGCAGAGCAUCAUCGACAACGACACGUGGGAGCUGUGCGAGCUCCCUCCCGGGCACCGAGCGAUAGGCCUCAAGUGGGUCUACAAGCUCAAGAAGGACGCCCACGGCACGAUGGUGAAGCACAAGGCGCGGCUGGUGGCAAAAGGCUACGUCCAAGUCCAAGGAGUGGACUUCAAGGACGUGUUCGCUCCGGUGGCACGCAUGGAAUCGGUGCGCGUGCUGGUCGCGCUCGCCGCGCACCACGUGUGGCCAAUUCAUCACAUGGACGUCAAGUCCGCCUUCUUGAACGGGGACCGGCAGGAGGAGGUCUACGUUGUUCAGCCACCCGGGUACGUUGAGCUCGGCGACGAGGGGAAGGUGCUGCGUUUAUGCAAGGCACUGUAUGGGCUACGCCAAGCCCUGAGAGCUUGGAACGCCAAGCUGGACGAAAGCUUGCGUUCUCUGGGCUUUGAGCGUUGCCCCUCGGAGCACGCAGUCUACCGACGCGGGGAGGGCGACAAGCUCCGGCUCAUCGGUGUGUACGUCGACGACCUUGUCAUUACAGGGGCGGACAAGACGGAGAUCGACGCAUUCAAGUGUCAGAUGACCACGCUCUUCCGCAUGAGCGACCUCGCCGAGCUCAGCUACUACCUGGGCAUUGAGGUGCGCCAGGAGCGCGACCGCAUCACACUCUACCAAGCGGCCUACGCAAAAAGCUGCUGGAGCGUGCUGGGCUCAAAGAGUGCAACACCGGCAACGUGCCGAUAGAAGCUCGACUGAAAUUGAGCAGGGACAGCAAGGAGAGGCCGGUGGACAGCACUGAGUACCGCAGCAUCAUUGGAGGGUCGCGCUACCUCGUGCACAUGAGGCCGGACAUCUCCUUCACCGUCGGCUACCUGAGCCGUUUCAUGGAGGCACCGACUUCAGAUCACUACGCGGCUGUGAAGCGUCUGCUAAGGUAUGUAGCAGGCACUCUGGACCACGGUUGUGCCUAUGUCCGGGGGAAGGGCACGCCGGAGCUGGUGGGGUACAGCGACGCGGAUCACGCCGGUGACAUCAACGACAGGCGGAGCACGACGGGAGUGCUCUACUUCCUCGGCACGGCGGCAGCCCAGUGAGUUGGCAGUCGCAGAAGCAAAGGGUGGUGGCACUCUCCUCAUGUGAGGCGGAGUACGUGGCUGCCACCACCACCGCUUGCCAAGGGAUUUGGCUGGCUGGGCUGAUCGGAGAGAUGCUGAACAUCGACGUCUGGCCACCACGACUUCUGGUCGAUAACAAGUCAGCAAUGUGUCUCCAAGAACCCCAUCUUCCAUGAUCGAAGCAAGCACAUUGAGAUACGAUACCACUUCAUUCGUGAUUGUGUGGAAGAAGGGCGGAUCGACAUCGACUACAUCUGCACCAACGAUCAUCUUGCUGACGUCCUCACCAAGGCACUUGGACGACUCAAGUUUCUGGAGCUUAGGGGGAGGAUCGGCAUGACAGAAAUAAUUCGGCGGCGAUGAGCUUAGAGGGAGAUUUGUUAGCUAAUCUAGUUGAUGUAGUUUUCCUUCAGUUAGUUUGCUUUCGUCAGACAUAACGUAGUCAGGCGCAUGAGCUCGCGAGUCAUGCGAGCUGCGCGCGUAGGCGAUCUGGGCAUGAUCGAUGCCCGAUCGAUCAGGGUGGUCAGCCACGAAACCCACUUGUGGGAUGGCACGAGAAUUCGGGAUCAUGGCGCUAGGACCGGGGCACUCUUUCUCUCUGUAACAGAAUAAGUAGAGGAGAUCAAAAACAGAAAAGUCGCAAGGUUGUAGGUGACGCAAAAACUCAUGUCUCUCCUCUUUGUGAUCGCGAGCUGUGAGAGAUCGAGCAACCCUGACAAAGCACAUGACGCCUAUAGUCCAUUGUUAAUUCCUCUCUGUACCUAAUCUUGUUAAUUUCCCACACCAAAGAUGCUAAUCAACUGGCAUUCUAAAACUCUCCUAACAAGUAACAACAGCCGCGCCUAUGGACGAUCGAUCCCACCAGUGGCAACCAAUGGAGGUGCCAACGGUGGUGAUGCAACUUGUUUCCAUGUACAACAACUACGGCAAUCCGUCCUCUCCUACCUGCAUUGUCCUCGAAGGAAUGGAAGCGGACGAGAGAGAGCGUCGACCUGACUUAUAACAUUUUUCUUUCAGCAAUCUCUACAAAAAAUCAUGCCUCUCUUGACUUGGGGUCAAUAGCUCCUGUGCGACAUCUUUCGUGGGAAUUGGACAGAGUGCGACAUUGUUGACGAAAAUGGCUUUGGGGCGACACUUUUGAGCGACAAAAUAGCCCAGACACGACAUGGCCCUUAAACUGAUCUGAUGCCCUCAUUAGCUGUUAUGGGCUGGACCCACAACUUAUCCACGUAAGCGCGGGACCCACCAUUUGUCCAGUAAGCGCGGGACCCACAACUUAUCCACGUCAGCAUGGGACCCACCACUUGUCCAGUAUGCGCGGGACCCACCUCUUUGCAGCUAGAAGAGAUGACUGAUGACCCACAAGUGUAGGAGAUCUAUCGUAGUCCUUUCGAUAAGUAAGAGUGUCGAACCCAACGAGGAGCAGAAGGAAAUGACAAGCGGUUUUCAAUAAGGUAUUCUCUGCAAGCACUGAAAUUAUAGGUAACAGAUAGUUUUGUGAUAAGAUAAUUUGUAACGGGUAACAAGUAAUGAAAGUAAAUAAGGUGCAGCAAUGUGGCCCAAUCCUUUUUGUAGCAAAGAACAAGCCUGGACAAACUCUUAUAUAGAUAAAAGCGCUCCCGAGGACACAUGAGAAUUAUUGUCAAGCUAGUUUUCAUCACGUUCAUAUGAUUCGCGUUCGGUACUUUGAUAAUUUGAUAUGUGGGUGGACCGGUGCUUGGGUGCUGUCCUUACUUGGACAAGCAUCCCACUUAUGAUUAACUCCCAUUGCAAGCAUCCGCAACUACAAAAGAAGUAUUAAGGUAAACCUAACCAUAGCAUGAAACAUAUGGAUCCAAAUCAGCCCCUUACGAAGCAACGCAUAAACUAGGGUUUAAGAUUCUGUCACUCUAGCAACCCAUCAUCUACCUAUUACUUCCCAAUGCCUUCCUCUAGGCCCAAACAAUGGUGAAGUGUCAUGUAGUCGACGUUCACAUGACACCACUAGAGGUGAGACAACAUACAUCUCAUCAAUAUAUCGAACGAAUACCAAAUUCACAUGACUACUAAUAGCAAGACUUCUCCCAUGUCCUCAGGAACAAACGUAACUACUCACAAAGCAUAUUCAUGUUCAUAAUCAGAGGGGUAUUAAUAUGCAUAAUGGAUCUGAACAUAUGAUCUUCCACCAAGUAAACCAACUAGCAUCAACUACAAGGAGUAAUCAACACUACUAGCAACCUACAGGUACCAAUCCCAGGCUAUGAGACAAAGAUUGGAUACAAGAGAUAAACUAGGGUUUGAGAGGAGAUGGUGCUGGUGAAGAUGUUGAUGGAGAUUGGGCCCCUCCCGAUGAGAGGAGUGUUGGUGAUGACGAUGGCGAUGAUUUCCCCCUCCCGGAGGGAAGUGUCCCCGGCAGAACAGCUCUGCAAGAGCCCUAGAUUGGUUCCGCCAAGGUUCCGCCUCGUGGCGUCGGAGUCUCAUCCCGAAAGCUUGCUUAUGAUUUUUUCUCAGAUGAAAGACUUCAUAUAGCAUAAGAUGGGCACCGGAGGGCCACCAGAGGGCCCACGAGGUAGGGGGCGCGCCCCCACCCUCGUGGCCAGGGUGUGGGCCCCCUCUGGUAUUUUCUUCGCUCAGUAUUUUUUAUUAUUUCCAAAAAUAACUUCCGUGGAGUUUAAGGACUUUUGGAGUUGUGCAGAAUAGGUCUCUAAUAUUUGCUCCUUUUCCAGCCCAGAAUUCCAGCUGCCUGCAUUCUCCCUCUUUAUGUAAACCUUGUAAAAUAAGAGAGAAUAAGCAUAAGUAUUGUGACAUAAUGUGUAAUAACAGCCCAUAAUGCAAUAAAUAUCGAUAUAAAAGCAUGAUGCAAAAUGGACAUAUCAACUACCCCAAGCUUAGACCUCACUUGUUCUCAAGCGGAAGCCGAUAAUGAUAAAUAUGUCCACAUGUUUAGAGGUAGAGGUGUCGAUAAAAUAAAAUACGGACAUGAGGGCAUCAUGAUCAUUCUUAUAACAGUAACAUAUAUGGAUAUUGUCAUAUUAUUUCUUAUGAUAAAGUAACAAUCUAUCCACAAUGUCAAGUGUGAAUCAGAAACUUCAUUGAGAACUAACAAACGAUAAUCUCAGUCAUUGAGGCAAUUGCAAUUUAUCAUAACAUCAUAAAGAGUCUAUGUAAGAGCUUUUCAGCAAGUCCACAUACUCAACUAUCAUUUAGUCUUUCACAACACUCACGCAAUACUUGUGGUUAGGGAGUUUUAAUCGGACACAGAGAAAGAUAGGGGCUUAUAGUUUCGCCUCCCAACCUUUUACCUCAAGGGUAAUGUCAACAAUAAUAGUUCAUUCUAAUUUGCAUCCAAUUAUAUAUAUAUAUAUAUAUAUAUAUAUAUAUAUAUAUCAGGAUCUUUCCAACACAAGGUGCUUGCCAAAGGAUAUAAAAUGUAAAAAGGAAAGGUGAAGAUCACCAUGACUCUUGCAUAAGGUAGAAAAUAAAAGUAAAAGAUAGGCCCUUCGCAGAGGGAAGCAGAGGUUGUCAUGCGCUUUCAGGGUUGGAUGCACAAAAUCUUAAUGCGAAAGAACGUCACUUUAUAUUGCCACAUGUGAUAUGGACCUUUAUUAUGCAGUCCGUCGCUUUUAUUUCUUCCACAUCACAAGAUCGUAUAAAGCUUAUUUUCUCCCACACUAAUAAGUCAUACAUAUUUAGAGAGCAAUUUUUAUUGCUUGCACCGAUCACAACUUACUUGAAGGAUCUUACUCAAUCCAUAGGUAGAUAUGGUGGACUCUCAUGGCAAAACUGGUUUUAAGGGUAUUUGGAAGCACAAGUAGUAUUUCUACUUGGUGCAAAAAAUUGGCUAGCAUGAGGGAGAAAGGCAAACUCAACAUGUUGGAUGAUCCAUGACAAUAUACUUUAUCUCAGAUAUAAGAAAACAUGACCCAUUAUGUUGUCUUCCUUGUCCAACAUCAACUCUUUAGCAUGUCAUAUUUUAAUGAGUGCUCACAAUCAUAAAAGAUGUCCAAUAUAGUAUAUUUAUAUGUGAAACCUCUCUUUCUUUAUUACUUCCUAUUAAUUGCAACGAUGACCAAAACUAUGUUUGUCAACUCUCAACAACUUUUAAUCAUCAUACUCUUUCUAUGUGAAGUCAUUACUCUCCAUAAAAUCAAUAUGAUCUCUUUUUAUUCUUUCUUUUUCUUUUAUUCACUCAUAAUCAUAGCAAGAUAAUCAAGCCCUUGACCCAACACUAAUCUCUAUUAUAUAGCUCACGGACUUGAUUACAUAGAGGGAUCAUAAAGCAAAACUCAAAACUAAAUCAUAUUAAAACUUUAUUCUACUAGAUCAAGAUAUUACCAAAAGGAUCGAACUAAGAAAAACGGUAAAGAUAGGAGUGUGAUGGUGAUACAAUACCGGGGCACCUCCCCCAAGCUUGGCAGUUGCCAAGGGGAGUGCCCAUACCCAUGUGAUUAUAUCUCCUUUGCUGGCGAAGGUGAUGGUGGAGUUGUUGAUGAUGUGGGCUUGUCGUCCAUCGAGCGUAAGAGGUCCUCCAACUUGCAGAUAAUGCCCUUGAGUGCGAUUUUAUAUGCUCCCUCAACAAAAUAUUUUCACAUGUGAGAUACUUCUUUUUUAUACGAGCUAACUCAAUCAUCUUGAAAGCUUCGAUCUCAGUUGGGGUAAGAAGAUUGUGAUCAAGUUGAAGGAUGUCUUCUGCUGCCGGAGCUUGGUCCUCUGUGGCCUUAUUGAUCCCUUCAUCUUUGUUGAUCUCCAUGGGUUCUUCCCUCUUCAGCUCUAUCUUCAUUAGCCAAGCAUCGUUGUCACCAUUGUUGGAGGAGGAGGACGACAUGAUGCCUGGCCUAGACAACCCUGACAGAAAAUAAUGCAACUCGAAACAAGAACAGAGGAUAAUUGCGUGAUACGGGAGUCAAAAUCUUCGGGAGUUUAUAUAAUGAAUUUUUACCGACCGAAAGAAGUAUCGUGCAAGAAAACGGAGUCCGGAGAGCACACGAGGUGCCCACGAGGCAGGGGGACGCGCCCAGGGGGUAGGGCGCGCCUCCCACCCUCGUGGAAGCCUCGUUUCCUUCCCGGACUGCUUCUUAUUUUCCUAUUUUUCUAAAUAUUCCAAAACAGAGAAAGUUUGCAAUUAGAACUGUUCUGUAGUCGGUUUACUUACCGUACCACAUACCUAUAACUUUUCGGGGUCUGAAACGUUCUAGAAAGUGUCUCUUAUGUAUUCCUCCGGUGUUACGGUUUCAACAACAUUAGUUUCAACAUUUAUAGGGUUACCUGAGAUAUAAUGUUUGAUUCUUUGACCGUUCACCACCUUCGGACUUGUGCCUUCAAAGUUGUUGAUUUUUAUGGCACCGGAACGAUAGACCUCCUCGAUAACGUAAGGACCUUCCCAUUUAGAGAGAAGUUUUCCAGCAAAAGAUCUUAAACGAGAGUUGUAUAACAAUACAUAAUCACCUACAUUAAACUCAUGCUUUUGUAUCCUUUUUUCAUGCCAUCUUUUAACUUUUUCCUUAAACAAUUUGGCAUUCUCAUAGGCUUGGGUUCUCCGUUCAUCAAGUGAGCUAAUGUCAAAUAACCUCUUCUCACCAGCAAGUUUAAAAUCAUAAUUGAGCUCUUUAAUGGCCUAGUAUGCCUUAUGUUCUAGUUCGAGAGGUAAAUGACAUGCUUUUCCAUAAACCAUUUUAUACGGAGACAUACCCAUAGGAUUUUUAUAUGCAGUUCUAUAGGCCCAUAAUGCAUCAUCAAGUUUCUUGGACCAAAUCUUUCUAGAUCUAUUAACAGUCUUUUGCAAAAUUAAUUUGAGCUCUCUAUUACUCAAUUCUGCUUGACAACUAGACUGUGGGUGAUUAGGGGAUGCAAUUCUAUGAUUAACAUCAUACUUAGCACGCAUUUUACGAAAAGCACCAUGAAUAAAAUGUGAACCACCAUCGGUCAUUAAAUAUCUGGGGACUCCAAACCUGGGAAAAAUAACUUCUUUAAGCAUCUUAAUAGAGGUGUUAUGAUCAGCACUACUAGUCGGAAUAGCUUCUACCCACUUAUUAACGUAAUCAACAACAACUAAAAUAUGUGUAUACCCAUUAGAGGAAGGAAAAGGUCCCAUAUAAUCAAAGCCCCAAACGUCAAAUGGUUCAAUAACAAGUGAAUAAUUCAUAGGCAUUUCUUGACGUCUACUAAUGUUACCAAUUCUUUGACAUUCAUCACAAGAUAAGACAAACUUACGAGCAUCCUUGAAGAGAGUAGGCCAAUAAAAACCGGAUUGCAAUAACUUAUGUGCAGUUCUAUCUCCAGCGUGGUGCCCUCCAUAAGCCUCGGAGUGACACUUGCGUAGGAUCUGUUCCUGUUAAUGCUCAGGUACACAACGCCUAAUAACACCAUCUACUCCUUCUUUAUAAAGAUGUGGGUCAUCCCAGAAGUAAUGUCUUAAAUCAUAGAAAAACUUUUUCUUUUGCUGGUAUGUGAAACUAGGUGGUAUAAAUUUAGCAACAAUGUAAUUAGCAUAAUCAGCAUACCAUGGAGCAGUACGAGAAGCAUUUAUAACAUUUAAUUGUUCAUCAGGAAAGCUAUCAUCAAUAGGUAGUGGGUCAUCAAGAACAUUUUCUAACCUAGACAAGUUAUCUGCAACAGGGUUCUCAGCUCCCUUUCUAUCAAUAAUAUGUAAAUCAAAUUCUUUUCGCAAGAGAACCCAUCUAAUAAAUCUAGGUUUAGCAUCUUUCUUUUCCAUAAGAUAUUUAAUAGCAGCAUGAUCAGUGUGAAUAGUUACUUUAGAAUCAACAAUAUAAGGUCUGAACUUAUCACAAGCAAAUACAACUGCUAAAAAUUACUUUUCAGUAGUGGCAUAAUUUCUCUGGGCAUUGUCUAGAGUUUUACUAGCAUAUUGAAUAACAUUUAAUUUCUUAUCAACUCUUUGCCCUAGAACAGCACCUACAGCAUAAUUGCUAGCAUCACACAUAAUUUCAAAAGGUAAAUUCCAAUCAGGUGGCUGAACAAUAGGUGCAGAAAUCAAUGCUUUCUUAAGUAUUUCAAAUGCUUCUACACAAUCAUCAUCAAAAACGAAAGGUAUAUCUUUUUGUAAGAGAUUAGUCAGAGGCCGAGAAAUUUUUUAGAAGUCCUUAAUGAACCUCCUAUAAAAACUAGCAUGACCAAGGAAACUUCUUAUACCUUUGAUGUCCUUGGGACAUGGCAUCUUUUCAAUAGCAUCAACUUUAGCUUUAUCAACUUCACUACCUCUUUUAGAAAUUUUAUGCCCCAAGAAAAUACCUUCAUUAACCAUAAAGUGGCACUUCUCCCAAUUCAAGACAAGGUUAGUUUCUUCACAUCUCUGCAAAACUCGAUCAAGGUUGCUCAAGCAAUCAUCAAAAGAGGAUCCAUAAACGGAGAAAUUGUCCAUGAAAACCUCACAUAUCUUUUCACAAAAGUCAGAAAAUAUAGCAAUCAUGCAUCUUUGAAAGGUAGCAGGUGCUUUACAUAAACCAAAAGGCAUACGUCUAUAAGCAAAAGUACCGAAAGGGCAAGUAAAAGUGGUAUUUGCUUGAUCAUCAGCUGACACAGGUAUUUCAGAGACACCAGAGUAACCAUCUAGAAAGCAAAAAUGUGUAUGUUUGGAUAAUCUUUCUAGCAUUUGAUCAAUAAAAGGUAAGGGGUAAUGAUCUUUUUAGUAGCCUUAUUUAAUUUGCGGAAAUCAAUUACCAUCCUAUAACCUGUAAUAAUUCUUUGCGGAAUCAAUUCAUCUUUAUCAUUGGGAACGACAGUAAUACCUCCCUUCUUAGGGACACAAUGGACAGGACUUACCCACUGACUAUCAGCAACGGGAUAAAUUAUACCUGCCUCAAGGGGCUUUAGUAUUUCCUUUCUUACCACUUCCUUCAUCUUAGGAUUCAGACGUCGUUGAUGAUCAAUAACUGGUUUGGCAUCUUUCUCCAAAUUUAUUUUGUGUUGGCAUAGAGUGGGACUAAUGCCAUUAAGAUCAUCAAGAGUAUAUCCAAUAGCAGCACGGUGCUUCUUCAGAGUUUUCAGUAAUUUUUCUUCCUCCUUCUCUGAAAGGUUAGCACUAAUAAUAACAGGAUAUAUCUUCUUUUCAUCAAGAUAAGCAUAUUUAAGAGUAUCAGGCAACGGUUUAAGCUCAAACACGGGAUCACCCUUGGGUGGAGGAGGACCCCCUAGGAUUUCAACAGGAAAAUUGUGUUUCAUAAUAGGUCCAUGUUUAAAGAAUACUUCAUCUAUUUCCCUUCUUUCAUUCAUAAACAUAUCAUUCUCAUGGUCUAGCCAAUAUUGUUCUAAAGGAUCACUAGGAGGCACGGCAAUAGAAGCAAGACCAAUAAUUUCAUCCUUACUAGGCAAUUCCUCAUCACGCGAGGUUGUCUACGAAAUUUAGAGAAAUUAAACACAUGAGACAUAUCAUCCAAACCAAUAGUAACAACAUCCUUUUCGCAGUCUAUCUUAGCAUUAACAGUGUUCAAGAAGGGUCUACCAAAUAUAAUGGGACAAAAGCUAUCUUGUGGGGAACCAAGAACAAGAAAAUCAGCAGGAUAUUUAGCCUUCCCACACAAGACCUCAACAUCUCUAACAAUCCCAAUUGGUAAAAUAGUAUCUCUAUUGGCAACCUUAAUGGUAACAUCGAUAUCUUCUAUCUCAGCCGGUGCAAUAUCAUGCAUAAUUUCUUUGUAUAAGUAAAUAGGUAUUGCACUAGCACUAGCACCCAUAUCACACAAGCCAUGAUAACAAUGAUCUCCUAUUUUAACAGAAAUAACAGGCAUGCCUACCACAGGUCUAUGUUUAUCUUUAGCACCAGGUUUAGCAAUUCUAGCAGUAUCAUCACAGAAGUAUAUAACAUGCCCAUCGAUAUUAUCAGACAAGAGAUCUUUAACAAUAGCAAUAUUAGGUUCAACUUUAACUUGCUCAGGAGGUGUAUAAGUUCUAAUAUUACUUUUACGAACCACAGUUGAAGCUUUAGCAUGAUCCUUUAUACUAACAGGAAAAGGUGGUUUCUCAACUUAAGCAGUAGGAACAAUAGGAUCAUUAUAAGUGAUAGUCUUUUCUUCAACUUUAAUAGGUUCAACUACUUUUACUUCUAUGGGAGGAUGAUAUUUAAACCACUCUCCUUAGGGAGAUCAACAUGAGCAGCAAAAGAUUCACAGAAAGAAGCUACUAUCUCAUAGUCAAGUCCAUAUUUAGUGCUAAUAAAUUUACGGAAAACAUCGGUAUCCAUAAAAGAUUUAACACAAUCAAACUUAGGUGUUAUACCCGACUCCUUACCUUCGUCGAGAUCCCAAUCUUCAGAGUUGCGUUUAAUUCUUUCCAGUAAAUUCCAUUUGAAUUCAAUAGUCUUCAUCAUAAAAGAGCCAGUACAUGAAGUAUUGAGCAUGGAGCGAUUAUUGUGAGAAAGCCGAGCAUAAAAAUUAAUAAUCAUUUCUCUUGAGAGUACAUGAUUGGGGCAUGAAUAUUACAUUGACUUAAGCCUCCCCCAAGCUUGAGCGAUGCUUUCUCCUUCGCGAGGCCAAAAAUUAUAUAUAUAAUUACGAUCACGAUGAACAAGAUGCAUAGGAUAAAACUUCUGAUGGAAUUCCAAUUUCAACCGUUUGUAGUCCCAUGAUCCCAUAUCAUCACAUAGCCGAUACCAUGUCAAUGCAUCUCCCUUCAAAUAUAAAGGGAAGACCUUCUUAUUGAUAACAUCAUCGGGCACACCUGCAAGCUUAAAUAAUCCACGAACUUCAUCCACAUAGAUUAAGUGUAAAUCGGGACGCAAUGUUCCAUCUCCUGCAAAAGGAUUAGCCAGUAGUUUCUCUAUCAUACCCGAAGGAAUUUAGAAGUAAACAUUUUCAUUUUCAGUAGGUUCAGUAGGUUGAGGAGCAACUCUUUGCUCUACUGGUCGAGGUGAAGAUACCCCGAACAAGCCCCUCAAAUGAUUACUUUCCAUAGUAACAAGUGACAGUAAAUUUCAGCACACUAUAUAAAAUUUUCAUUACCAAAUUCCACCUACCAAAGGCGCUUCACUCCCCGGCAACGGCGCCAGAAAAGAGUCUUGAUGACCCACAAGUUUAGGGGAUCUCUCGUAGUCCUUUCGGUUAGUAAGAGUGUUGAACCCAACGAGGAGCAAAAGGAAAUGACAAGCGGUUUUCAGCAAGGUAUUCUCUGCAAGCACUGAAAUAUAGGUAACAGAUAGUUUUGUGAUAAGAUAAUUUGUAACGGGUAACAAGUAAUGAAAGUAAAUAAGGUGCAGAAAGGUAACAAGUAAUAGAGAAAAGCGCUCCCUGAGGACACAUGGGAAUUAUCGUCAAGCUAGUUUUCAUCACGUUCAUAUGAUUCGCGUUCGGUACUUUGAUAAUUUGAUAUGUGGGUGGACCGGUGCUUGGGUGCUGUCCUUACUUGGAAAAAUAUCCCACUUAUGAUUAACUCCUAUUGCAAGCAUCCGCAACUACAAAAGAAGUAUUAAGGUAAGCCUAACCAUAGCAUGAAACAUAUGGAUCCAAAUCAGCCCCUUACGAACCAACGCAUAAACUAGGGUUUAAGCUUCUGUCACUCUAGCAACCCAUCAUCUACUUAUUACUUCCCAAUGCCUUCCUCUAGGCCCAAACAAUGGUGAAGUGUCAUGUAGUCGACGUUCACAUGACACCACUAGAGGAGAGACAACAUACAUCUCAUCAAAAUAUCGAACAAAUACCAAAUUCACAUGACUACUAAUAGCAAGGCUUCUCCCAUGUCCUCAGGAACAAACGUAACUACUCACAAAGCAUAUUCAUGUUCAUAAUCAGAGGGGUAUUAAUAUGCAUAAUGGAUCUGAACAUAUGAUCUUCCACCAAGUAAACCAACUAGCAUCAACUACAGGAGUAAUCAACACUACUAGUAAUCCCAGGCUAUGAGAAAAAGAUUGGAUACAAGAGAUAAACUAGGGUUUGAGAGGAGAUGGUGCUUGUGAAGAUGUUGAUGGAGAUUGGCCCCCUCCCGAUGAGAGGAGCGUUGGUGAUGACGAUGGCGAUGAUUUCCCCCUCCUGGAGGGAAGUGUCCCCGGCAGAACAGCUCUGCCAGAGCCCUAGAUUGGUUCCGCCAAGGUUCCGCCUCGUGGCGGUGGAGUCUCGUCUUGAAAGCUUGCUUAUGAUUUUUUCUCGGACAAAAGACUUCAUAUAGUAGAAGAUGGGCACCGGAGGGCCACCAGGGGGCCCACGAGGCAGGGGCGCGCCCAGGGGGUAGGGCGCGCCCCCCACCCUCGUGGCCAGGGUGUGGGCCCCCUCUGGUAUUUUCUUCACUCAGUAUUUUUUAUUAUUUCCAAAAAUAACUUCCGUGGAGUUUCAGGACUUUUGGAGUUGUGCAAAAUAGGUCUCUAAUAUUUGCUCCUUUUCCAGCCCAGAAUUCCAGCUGCCGACAUUCUCCCUCUUUAUGUAAACCUUGUCAAAUAAGAGAGAAUAAGCAUAAGUAUUGUGACAUAAUGUGUAAUAACAGCCCAUAAUGCAAUAAAUAUCGAUAUAAAAGCAUGAUGCAAAAUGGGCGUAUCAACGACCGCCCGUCCCCGUCGGCCCGCCGCCACCCAUUGCUUCCCCUUUCCCCAUUCUUCCUCUUCUCUGGCGAGCUGGUGCAGAUGUCCACCUCCUCCGCCACGCACUGAAAAUGGCGUCAGUAUGGUCCAGUGCCGCUCACAAGGUGCCCUGACUGCCCACGCCCAGAGCCUCUAAAACGGUGGGUCAGUAGAACUGAUGAGAAUGGAAAUCUUGGGCGGGAAUUUGUGAAGUGCUUGAGCAAAACAAUGGCAGAAAGGGAUGGCAAGGUUAGAUCUCAGUUCUUAGCCCAUUCUUUCACUGUCGUUUGCUCUGAUUUAUCCAUAUUUUGUUUUUUUCCUCGAAUUUGGAAUUUAGGGUUCAUGUUGUUGUUUUUUCCUCGAAUUUGGAAUUUAGGGUUCAUGUUGUUGAUUUAUCCAUAUUUCAUGUUGUUGAGAGGAUUCAGUUCGAGGGCUACAUUGAUUCGAGCGGGGCCGCAACCUGGGAGCUCAAUUUGGGGGGAGGGGUGCCGCAGAUGGAGAAUUUGGGGUCGAGCUUGGACAGAGGGGCGGGCAGAGUCGUGUCGAUGGCUAGGUAUGCGCGCAAUGCUGAACUGCACUUGGAGUCUGAACUAACCGAGGAACUGAAGAUAAUCAAGAAAUCAAAUGGAGAUGAUCAAUCUGCAGAAGCAAGCAAAUAUCAUGGCAGGGGGGGUUCUAUUGUUGUGUCAUUGCUCUGUUUUUGUUUUACUUGUUGUUCAUCCGUCAUUAGAGGGAGCAUUUAGGUCUAUCAGGGCAGAGGAUGCGAUCUGUGCGCCAUGCCAAGUUCAUGUAACUGAAUCGAAGCAGAAAUAUUCUAUGUUGAUGCUUUGUUCUUGUUCUUCAGUUAACAGAGUGCACACCCCCCAAAUUCAGUUUCUAGUAAGAAAAUCUUGCUGCCGAAUAGAUGUUGGGCCAUGAAAAAACAACGAGGCCCAAAUAGAGACAAGCCCACCCGCGUAGGGGCACCAGCCCAGUUUUAUAGCAUAGAGGCACCCAUGUUUAAAAAAAAUGUUCGACUAAAAACUCAAAAUAAAAUAUUGCUUCGGCAAAUAAACCUUUAACAAACAUAUACUUCUUUACAUAUUUGUUGCUUGUCCACGCUUGCACAAAAUAUUGGCCAGAGGUAAAAUUCAAACUAAUAUUUUUAGGAGCACAGAAAUAUUUCUUUUGUGACCAAUAAUUGUUUGCAUGAACUAAAAUAGUUGCAUUUCCAUGGUUGCAAAAAAAAUUGCACCGUACACCUAAUAGCUAGGGUGAUCCUAUUUGCAUGAACUAAAUUAGUUGCAUGUCCAUGGUUGCACAAAAAUUAUCACCGUACACCUACUAGCCAGGGCCUAGAUACAUGCAAGCACACAUGCAUCACACCAAGAUAUGAAAAAAAAUUGCAAAAAAAUUUGGGUACCCAUACACUUGCAUGUCCGUAGUGGAAGCUACCUUUUAUUAGUAAGACAUAGAUCAAAUAGGGAUCCAAUCAACUAGAUAUAACAUGGGUACCCAUAGAACAUCAAGCACCAUAUAUAUCAACUAACCAAUAUCAACUAGAUAGAAAAAAAUAACAGAUAGAACAUAGUAGCAUAAGUAGUAGCAUUGCAUAGAUAAGGGUAGCACGACAUAUAUAGUACCACUACAACAUAGAUAAUUCAUAGUUCAACCCAACACGACAAUAAUAAAACACCACCAGCUUGUUUGCUUGCUUGCUCAAAGGCCAAAUCCUCCAUGGCCAACUCCUUCACUCGUCGCCGUUGGUGGGGUACGGGAGGGUGUGCAUGCGCUCAUCGGCGGGGAAGGCACUGUCGAAGUCCGUGAAGAUGUUGUACAUGGUGAAUGCGAUGAACUCGCAUCCACAUCAAAAAACACGACCGAGGAGGUAGUAGGCGUCGAAGGGGUUGGUGAACCUCACGAUGAGCCCGAUAGGAUGGCCACUGCUACUGACCUCUUUGACACGGAACAUGGCCGGAGAGCCCCUCGGGAGGUGCCGGUAGCCGGCGGAGAGGAAGAACUCGGUCAGCCCCCUUGCCCCCCUCCACCUCGAGAUCGCCCACACCCGUAGGGUGUUCUCCACCCGGACUCCGGUAGGGUAGAGCCUCUCAGGGAAGGUGCGCGGCACACGGUAGGUAGCCCCGGUGAACUGCAUCUUGCUUGCUAGCUUUGAGUGGAUCUUGGAAGAUGGGAGAUGAAGGAGAGUGAGAGGAAGAUGUGGGUAGAGGAAGAUGUAGGCUUGGGUGUGCUUAAAUAGCCGAGGUGCAGUGUUUUAACGUUUUGUUUUCCUCUCCCUCGUAAUGGCAUGGGAAACGAGCAAUGUGGCAUCGAGUCACCCGAGCCAACCCGUGUGUACACGCGCAUGCAUUGUGGUAGUAAUGCCAAUGACCCGCGUAGCACUCUAGCAAUAAAAAUGCGUCGAGAGAUGAGCUCGAUGCCAUGCAUGCAGCGGCUAGCGGUCGGGCAUCUAGACCCAUCUAGAAUGGGUAAAUAGCCAUAAUGCUACGAGGGUGUCGGCGGGCAUGCUCGCCCGCGAUGCCAUCCAUGCAACGUCGAACGCUGAGAGGGCGGCCGCAGGAGGGCUACACGCGCGUGCAUGCUUUUCAGGCCGAAUGCAGCGUCGUGUCCAUCGGUCCAAUGGGUGGGCCGCUUUAAUUAAGCCCAACAACACAUGGCAGGCCUGCUUAGUCUUACAAUGUAAAAAAUGGGCUAAAACGACCAGCCAAUGAAAGCGCAACACGCGGAUCUGUGACGUGGCUCCUAAUCCAGACUGUUGCUUAUGUUCACAUCCAUCCAAUGGUCCAGAAUGCUACGUGUUAUAAUAUUCAGCAUCUUCGAAUCAGCCAAUCAGAGUGCUGCCUGCAGAUCGCUGACGUAGCCCUGGUGCCUGAUCCAGACCGUCCAUUCAUAGCGAUCCAAUGGCCGAGAGGAGUGUGGGGUUUCAAUGGGGUUUUGAGUGGUUUUCAGCGGUUAGGGUUGAGCAUAACUAAUUCAAAAAAAUCAAAAAAACUAUAAAACUUGUGUCGAUCAUCGUUCUAUGUGACUAAGUAUCUAGGAAAAAUAAGAAACUUGUACUACGGAUAUUUUCAUGAAAAAACCUUCACAAAAGAUGGCUAUCAAGAACGACCUUGUAGGGUUUUGAAGAGAAGUGAGCUAGGGUUUAGUGUCAAACAUGUCAUACUUUAUCGAAACAAUCCAAUAUCAGGAAGGACUCUUAUAUACACACACUAGAUGUCAAGUUUCCUUUUUGGGCUCAUUUAGAGAAGGUCGAAAAAAGCUUGCUUACAAAUGGGUCUGUUUUCCCUAGCUUUGGAGGGGUUUUGGAGGUCAUGUGGAGCACAUUUUUCAUGUCCAGAGUUUUACAUAAUAAAAGUGCUCCGAUUAAUCAACUAACAUGCAUAAUAGUCCAGAAAUCAUUGUAACACCAACACCACAGACCAAAUAACUUCAAAUUUGAAUUUUGUCUCAAAUUUGAAUUUUGUCUCAAAUUUGAAUAGUAUUACACAAAUACACAUCAUAUCAAAGUACAAAUAUCAUUACACAAAUUCAGGCAAGGUUUUAUUACUACAACAUACUAGCAAUACACAAGUUUCAACAAAUUUUCACUUCUGCUUCUUCCUACCACUCGAUUUGUUCUUCUUCUUUUUACCAAUGCUUGUUUUUGGUUGUACAACACCCAGUUCACUCAAGCUCUUGAUUUUCUUCACUGGACUUCCUGGAACACAAGCUUCAUUUCGCACCACAACAGUUGCAGUAUCAUCGGACCCAAUAUCACCAGUUGGCAACACAACUUCCAAUAUAGGCUCAGUUGGCACCACAUCAACUGGAAUAUCUUUAGUUGGCAACUCAACUUCCAACAUAGGCUCAGCUUGCACAGCAUCAGCUGGAAUAUCUUCAGAGGUACCCAUAGCUUCAGUUGGCACCAGAACAUCAAAAUCUUGCUCAUCUUGCAGCAGCACAUCCAAGUCUUGCUCAUUUUGCACCACACCAUCCAAGUCUGGUUGAAUGUGUAUUGUUUCACCAAAACUUCUCUUUCUUCUAGAGCCAUUGCCUCUUGCUUUUUUCUUUGGCCAGCACACUUCAACAACAAGGGGCUCACCUGCACGCUUCCUCCUAAAAAGAUAAAGCAUGUCAACUGGUUAGUAAUUGAAAAAUGCAACAAAAUAGUAAACAAUGCAAACAUAUGCCCACAUACUUUGGCCAUUCAUGAGUGUAACAACAUUUGGGAGAUCCAACUCGGUGCCCAAGUUCCUGGCACAACUUGCCUCUAUUUUUUUUUACCUUUUUGGGACCUUUUUGGCUUUGCAUUCUUCUUUCCCUUGCCCUUUUUACUACUCCCACCUUUCUCAAACCAUGCCUUGAAUCUACUUUCUUUAGGCCUGCCAGCCUUUCUUUUUGUUAGGGGAGGACCCAUGGAAAAUUCAAUUUCAACUUCAGGCCACUGAGACUGAUCUGUAAGUGCUAGAAUUGGAGUUGCAUAUGCAGCCUUGAAUCUUGCUACUAAGUAAUAUUCGUGCAAAUAUGGGUGCAUGUUUAUCUUCGGUCGGGAGGCCAAGAAAAGUAUGGCAUGACUCACAUGGUUUCCCAGUGUGCUGCCACUCCAAACAAGUGCAAUCAUGCAUUUCAGUGUUAACAACAUGCCUUCUACCAGUUUUGGUAUCUCUAACUUCAACACCCCACACAGAAGAUUUUUCAACAGAUAAAUGUGUAAGAUUUAUGCUCCUGUUGACCACCUGGUGUACCACUGCAGGAAGCUUAUCCCCUUGUAGACAAUCACCAAUCCUUCUUCUCAAUUCCCACAAGCGCAUGAUCAUGAUCCUGAUUUGGUCAACCAUGUCAUGCACAGGAAAAAAAUUUAACUGCUUCACCCUGUUGUUAAAACUUUCUGCCAAGUUGUUGUUGAUAUGAUCACACUUGAUGGCAGUGUUAAAUCCCGACCUAUACCAUAAUAGAGAAUGGUACGUGUUCACCCAUGGACCAAACUCAGGACAUGAUGUCAUUAUCAUACCAAGAUGAUAUUAAUGUGUUUGUUUAGUGUAAGAUCUUGCUGCUGGCCACAUACGACCAAAUUCUUCCCCUUUGAAUUUUUUGAUCAAAUUCAUCCACAUAUGGCCGAAGCACUCCCUCUGCUCACAAUGGGGGAAAACAUUCUUCACUGCGUUUUCUAGCCCUUUGCAUGCAUCUGUGUGGACUGCCAAAGGUGACACUGGACCUAUGCAUCUUUUCAACUGCACCAUGAACCAUGUCCACGAGACCUCUAUCUGUGACUGAAAUAAGCCAAUAGCAAUAGGGAACAUCCAGUUGUAUCGAUCCAAAGCAUUGCAAGCUGCCAAUUGACCAAUUGAAAGUGCACCUAUGCCUAGGUGGUUUUGGUAAUUCCUAACAACAUAUAGCUCAUUGAGCUAAUGAUAUCUCAAGAUAAAUAUUUCAGGAAAGCACAAUGAUUGGCAUGGCAUGGAUUAGAAAUGUGACCCCUCAGAAUACCAAGGACAAAAGAAUGGCUCAAGCUCUAAAGCUCAAGACUCUACAUUUUACUUUUAGUGAUCCAAGAUCACAUUGAGUCCAUAGGAAAAGCAAAUACUAUUAAAAGGGGAUGAGGUGUUGCUUAAUGGGUUGCUUGCUCAAAAUGCUUAGUGAUAUGCUCCAAAAACCCUCAACUACUUUCUCAUAUCCACAUAUGUCCCAAACCAGAAGUCAAACUCGGCCCCACCAAAACAUCCUAUCUGGCACCACCGAGUUCUCUUGACAUAGCCACUGCCACAAACCCUAGUCACUUUGGUCUCACCGAUAGGGAUCUCGGUAUCACCGAGAUGGGAUUGCAAACAUCUGUUUCCCUUCCUAACGUUUCGGUCCAACCGAGAUGAGCGAUCGGUCCCACCGAGUUUGCAAUGCAAACUCUCUGUUUCCCCUUCGUAACGUUUCGGUCUCACCGAGAUGAGCAAAUCGGUCCCACCGAGUCUGCCUCAUCAACUCUCUGGUUAGCUUAUCACCAAAAUCAGUCCCACCGAGUUUGUGUAAUCAGUCUCACCGAGAUUACGUUAUGCCCUAACCCUAAUGAAAUCGGUCCCACCGAGUUGACAUGUCGGUCCCAUCGAAUAUCCUAACGUUCACAUUUUGAACUAAAUCGGUCCGACCGAGUUUCAUUAUUCGGUCCCACCGAGUUUGAUGAUUUGUGUGUAACGGUUAGAUUUUGUGUGGAGGCUAUAUAUACCCCUCCACCCACUCUUUAUUCGUGGAGAGAGCCAUCAUAACAUGCCUACACUUCCAGCAUACAUUUUCUGAGAGAGAACCACCUACUCAUGUGUUGAGGUCAAGAUAUUCCAUUCCAACCACAUAAAUCUUGAUCUCUAGCCUUCUCCAAGUUGCUUUCCACUCAAAUCGUCUUUCCACCAAAUCCAAAUCUGUGAGAGAGAGUUGAGUGUUGGGGAGACUAUCAUUUGAAGCACAAGAGCAAGGAGUUCAUCAUCAACACACCAUCUAUUACCUUUUGGAGAGUGGUGUCUCCUAGAUUGGUUAGGUGUCACUUGGGAGCCUCCGUCAAGAUUGUGGAGUUGAACCAAGGAGUUUGUACGGGCAAGGAGAUCGCCUACUUCGUGAAGAUCUACCCUAGUGAGGCAAGUCCUUCGUGGGCGAUGGCCAUGGUGGGAUAGACAAGGUUGCUUCUUCGUGGAACCUUCAUGGGUGGAGCCCUCCGUGGACUCGCGCAACCGUUACCCUUCGUGGGUUGAAGUCUCCAUCAACGUGGAUGUACGAUAGCACCACCUAUCAGAACCACGCCAAAAAUCUCCGUGUUUAUAUUGCGUUUGCUCCCUCCAAACUCCUCCCUUUACCUUCAUGUGCAAUGUUUUACAUUCCGCUACUAUACUCUUAGACUUGCAUGUGUAGGUUGAUUUCUUGACUAGUGCUAAGUUGCUAAAAUCUGCCAAGACUUAAAAUUGGGGAAAGGCUAGAUUUUUAUUUGGUCAAGUAGUCUAAUCACCCCCCCUCUAGACAUAAUUUCGAUCCUACAAGUGGUAUCAGAGCUACGGUCUCCAUUUGCCUUGAUUUCCAUAGCUUUUGGUGAUCAUAGCCUUGGUUUCACAACCUAGGAGACUAUGGCGUCUAGCAAGGGAAAUUACCACCAUAGAGGUCCUUACUUUGAUGGUACUAAUUUUGCUACUUGGAAGCACAAGAUGAAAAUGCAUAUUCUUGGACAUAACCCCGCCGUUUGGGCUAUUGUGUGUAUUGUCUUGCAAGGUGAAUUCUUUGAUGGGAGAGAACCGAACCGUGAAGCUACUGCGGAAGAGUUGAAGAUGCUACAAUACAAUGCUCAAGCUUGUGAUAUUCUCUUCAACGGAUUGUGCCUCGAAGAAUUCAACAAAAUCAGCCGUCUUGAGAAUGCAAAGGAAAUUUGGGAUACUUUGAUUGAUAUGCAUGAGGGUACCGACUCCGUCAAGGAAUCCAAAUUGGAUGUGCUUCAAAGUCAAAUUGAGAAGUUCAAAAUGAAGGAUGGUGAAGGUGUCACUGAAAUGUACUCUAGGCUUGCUCUCAUCACAAAUGAGAUUGCCGGCUUAGGAAGUGAAGAGAUGACCGAUAGAUUCAUCAUCAAGAAGAUCCUAAGAGCCUUGGAUGGAAAAUAUGAUACCGUGUGCACAUUGAUCCAAAUGAUGCCCAAUUACAAAGAUCUCAAGCCAAAGGAAGUCAUUGGAAGAAUUGUUGCUCAUGAGAUGUCACUUAAGGAUAAGGAAGAGCUCCACAACAAGUCAAGUGGUGCUUACAAAGCCUCAUGUGAUGCUCCUACACCAUCAAGUGAGAAACAAACCUUUAAUGAAGAAUUGAGCCUAAUGGUGAAGAAUUUCAGCAAGUUCUACAAGAGUAGAAGCAAGGAAAGAAGUUCCAAGUCAAGAUCCUACAAUGACAAAAGAUCUUCAAGUCGUGAACGAAAUUGCUACAAUUGUGGAAGACCCGGACACUACUCCAAUGAGUGUACGGCUCCCUACAAAAGAAGAGGAGAUUCUCCCAAAAGACGAAGUAGAAGAGAAGAAUCAGCACCAAGAGAGAGAAGGAGUAGAGAUGAUUGUUAUGAACGAAGAACCUCUCGGAGAAGCAAGGAUUCGGAAAGGAAGGACAAAUCAUCAAAGAGCUACACAAAACGAAGACAUCAAUCUCACGUUGGUGAAUGGGUAUCCGGCUCCGACUCCGACCAUUACUCCGAAAGAAGUUAUCACUCCGACUCCGACUAUACUCAAGAAGAAGGUGUUGCCGGUCUAGCACUUGCGUCAACCAACUCCUACAACAUAUUUGACUCACCAAAUGAAGGAAUUGGAAGAUGCUUCAUGGCUAAAGGCCCCAAGGUAUCACACCCCGAGUUUGUUGAUUUCAAUAGUGAUGAAGAUGAUUUGCUAGGAGAUGAUGAUUUACUUGUUGACAACUCCAGUUAUGAAAACUAUGAUGAACUUGCUAUUAGUCAUGCUAAUCAAGAUAAAACGAAUGACGAUGAUAAGAAGGAGAUUGAGCGUCUAACUAAAGAAUUAAACACUCUUAAAUUAGCUCAUGAAACUACCAUGGAAGAUCAUCGAGAACUUUUAAAGACUCAUGAGAAGCUACGCUUUGAAAGGCUCAACCUUGAGCAAGAGCAUGGGUUCUUAAAAGCAAUCAAUGAUGAUCUUCGCAGGAAAAAUUCUUCUUACAUUGCCAAGCGUUUACUCUUGUCUACUUACAUGCCACAAGUAGAAUCUAGCAACAAGAGUAAGAAAGAUUCUUCAUCUAGUAGUAACAAUAAUCAUGCUAAAUCCAAUGUUGUUGCUUCUAGUAGUUCUCUUGAUUCCACUAAUGAUUCUCUUAGCCAAGUUACAAUUGAGCAAGAAAAUAGCUUAUUGAAGGGAAUUAUAGAGAAAGGUGUUUACAAGAGCCUUGUCGGAAGUAAGCAAUUUGAGGAAAUUGUACGCAACCAAGGAAGGCACCGGAAAAAUCAAGGUGUUGGUUUUGAACGAAAGUUCAAUGCCAAUGGAGUUGAGUGGGAAGAAGAUCAAUACCCCAAGACGAAGUUUGUUCCUCAACAAGAGAAGUAUGAUCCUACUUCCUUCCAAGGAACACAAGCUCAAGAUGAUCUUCCACCACAAGACCACAAGCAAAAAGGCAAGGACAAGCUUCAAGAGGAGAUUGAUGCAUUUUAAGAAGCUCCCAAGGCCUUGGUCGAGUGGGUUCCCAAGACUACAUCAAAUACGACUACAACUCCAAGGAUUCCCAUCAAGAUGAUGUGGAUCCCGAAGAAGAAGAACUAGAGAGUUCUUGAGGGUGACUCCGCCAACAUACUUCACUCAUAUCUUUUGGCAAGGACAUGUGAGAACAACUUCCACAUAUUGCACUAGUUCAAGGAGUCACAAACCCUCUUGUUUGUAAGACAAGGGACAAGGUAACCUAAUGCUUUCAUGGACAUCAUCUUGUGUGUACAUCACUCUAUGUCUAUGGAUAUCCUUGUUUGUUCCUUGUGGGACUAACCAGUGUAGGUAUUGGAAGUGCAACUCACUCCAAUGGAUUGCUCCGAAUGAUCUACAUCAACAUUGAGCAUCCACAUCUUCAACACCUACAUGAAGUCAUCAUCGACAAAACCCAAGGUUAGUUCAUCCCUCUUAGGGGGAUAUCACAUCUAGGGGGAGCUUUACUCUAAUAAAUUGAGCUAAAGCAACUCUAAUGGUGUGAACACAACAAUGCUUUAUGUGAAAGUGGUAACCCCACUUAUGCUUAAACGAUGAGUAUGACCUAUGAUCAAAUGUUCUCAUUUGACUCCUAAGUCAAUAUACUCAUAUAUAGAUGACCUAGUCAUCGCCAAUUGCUUGAUAGAUGCUAGAGUCUUUGUGCAUGCUUUGUCACAUAUUUCGUUUGCCAUUUUAUUGUGUGAGCAUGUUAAUUGCAUAUUUUACUCAUUCGAGGACAUCCAUUUGUUGCUUUGAUUGUUUGGCUUUUUCUCUUUUGCCAAAUGGAUGGACAAGAAUGCCUAAGAACUCCCUCUAGCUAUCUAUGCUUUUCUCGUCUCAAACUCUAUUCAUGCUACAUCACAAAGUUUGAUCAAGUCAGGUUCGAACCACUCUGUGUGAGGAGCACUCGGAGUCCCCGAUUCGUCAUAGACUUAAACUUCCAAAACCUCUUUGUGCAUUUCGGUAUGACCGAUUCAUCCAUUUUGGUCACACUGAGUUCACUAAGUUGAUCUAGGUUUUCCAUCUCGGUGCAACCAAUUUGAACUUUUCGGUCACAUCGAGUUGCAGUAACCGCUUGCGAUUCUGCAUCUCGGUGCCACCGAGUUGUUCCACUCGGUAACAUCGAUAGGGUCGGGAUAUAUAAACCCACAGGUGAGAUUUUGGAAAUUUCUUCAAACUCCUCAGCCCGCGUGUGUCCUGCUCUGCCUCCUCGGGUCUCCGGAUCGUCUCCUCGCCGCCAGCGACCUCCCGCCGCUGGUUUCCGUUGCUGUCAACGGAAUUCUCCUCUGCCGUUGUCGCCAUAGCGAACUCCCGCCGAACUAGGGUAUGGGUUCGACUCUUUGUGCUAUUUCCCUACUCCAAUUUGUAGCACAUUUCUUUUCCAUGAUCUUUACCACGUAUGAAAAUAAUCUAUCGAGAGAAAACAUCCUUUAGGUUAGAUUUGAUUCAAAAAUUUAGGGUUAGGUCUCCGCCGAACUCAUCUCAGACCAACCGAGUUGUAGAAAUCGGUCUCACCGAUUUGGCUUAGGCCAUUGCACAUGCUUUUUGGUCUGACUGAAAACGGCAAAUUGGUGCGACCGAUUUCGAAUCUCUGUGAAACCCUAGCAAUCUCGGUGCCACCGAACUGUGACUCGGUCUGACCAAGUUCACUAGUUUAGGUUCCAAAAGUUGCUUCGGUAUCACCGAGUUUAACAAAUCGGUAGCUCCGAAAUGCUUUCUGUGGAGAACUAUAACUAAGUUUUUGAGUCAUCUGUUUUGCAAAAGCUCUGCACUUUGUGAUGCUCAUCCACUCUACCUCAUCUAUAUCUAUUCACAGGGUUUGCUGUCAGUGUGAUUGCCAAGAUGUCUGAUCAAAGUGACAGCCAGAACAGAUCUGAAGAGCAAGUGCAUAUGAGUGAGGGCACUAAUCCCUCAAGCAGCUAUGAUGAGGGCAGCAGAAGCACACCAAGUAACUUGCCCAAGGUAGCCACUAGAACAAGGAAGAAGAGAACCUCAGACUCCGAGGAUGAGGACUAUGUGGCCAUUGAGGAUGAGGCCACCUCAAGGAAGAAAGUGCUGAAGAAAGAGUAUGGCAUAGCUGCUGCAACUAAGCCAGGGUUGCAUAAGAAGGCAACAGCAAAGAGAGUCCCAAUGUCAAAGCCAACGAAAGUUCCAACAGGAGAAACCAUGAAAUUCACAAUAUAAUCAGAUGAUGGUGAGGCAGUUGGUGAUGGCAAGAAGAAGAAGAGGGCAAGAACCACAUCUGCAAAAGUUCUUGGAAAAUCAACUAUGGUAAGAGAUUCAGAAGAAGAGGAAGAGGAAGAGGAUGCUGCACCAGCACCCAAGUCUCAGAAGCUUAUGGGAGAUGCUAUCAAGUCAGGGGCUGCUCCAUCAAAGCCCAAGACUGCUCCCAAAGCAACAGCUCAAACUCAGAAGCCCUCUAAGCCCAAGAGAAGCACCAGAAACAUUCCUGCAGAAGAGAGGAACAAGGCCUCAGUGCCUAAGGUUGAAGAAGAGGAUGAUGAAGCCCUAGUGCUAAGAAAACUGAAACCCAAGAUUCCAGACCACAAUGACACUCAUCCAGUGGCUGAGGACAUGCACAUCAGGAAAGAUGCAGGAUUGAGACUUUGGAGACAGUCUGAUCCUUAUGCUGCGACAAGGAGAACUGUUGUGGACUACAUGUUCCACACCAAAGAACAACAAGACUUCUAUGAGACUAUUCUGCUUGACAAGAAGCCAAUUGUCUGUGAAAUGAGAUGGGUUGAUUGGGAAUACAUCAAAGAGAAUGAAGAUCACUUCCCAGGUGUACCAGACAGCUUCAAAGCAAGUGGAGUUGAUAAGUUUGUAGGUCAGAAGCCCACCAAAUGGAAUGAUGAGCUAAUCAUGCAGUUUUACUCCACUGCUCAUUUCUAUCCAGAUGGGAGAUAGUGGGGAUGUCUGAAGGUACAAGGUACCAAUCAACUGUAGAAAAAUGGGCCAAGUUGAUCAAUGCCCCAGAAGAGUAUGAGGAUGAUUUGGAUGUGUAUGCCAAGAAGAAGAAAGACCACAACUCUAUGGCAAAUAUGUACAAAGAGAUCCCUGAUAAAGCUUUGGAGACACACAAGCUUGGAUCUGUGCACUAUUUGUUGUCUGGUCUACCCACUAUCAACACUAUCUUAAGGCAUACUCUGGUACCCAAAUCUGGAGAUCACAAGAUGAUCAGAGGACAUUCCAUCAACUUGCUGCAAAUCUUUGAUGUCCCUUAAAAAUUCAAGGUCGUGAGUCUGAUUGUUGAGACAAUCAAGAGGACAGCUGCUGACCAGAAGAGAUCUUGUGGGUAUGCUCCACACAUUCAGGUGGUCAUCAACUCAAAGAUGGGCACAGGGACUUACAUGUUGGACAAAGAACAUUUACCCUUGUAUCCAGAUUUUGAAGAUAAUGAAGUUGUCAUGAAUGAGAAUGAACCUUCAUCAGCACAAGCACAAGAGAAGAGAGCUAAAGCAAAGGCAGAAAAGGCUGCAAGGAUGCCAAGUGCCGAGGAAGCAUCUCAGGUGUCCCUGAAGAGCAAGAAAGAUCAGCUUAUAUCUGAUUCAAGCUACAUUGAGGAUUGAGAAGGGCUUGGCCACCCUGACUCAGAAUCAGGAGAGCUUGGAGAGGAUCAUAGAGACAAAAUAUUAUGAUCUUGAUCUGAAGGUCACUGAGAUACAGAGAGCAGUUGAGCAGCUCCAGGAGGAAGCAGGAGAGAGGAAAGGGAAGGCAACUACAGAUGCUUUUCGGCGAGUGCCAAGAGGUCAGAGGUCUGCUGCAGUGCCAGUAUCAGAUACUAGAGCUACAUCGUCAGCACCAAUAGCUACAGCUUCAGUGCCACCUCCAGCAGCCACUCCACCAGCUCCAGCUACAUCCACUGAUGCCUUCGUCCUUGGAGUUCUCUCUACUCCACCUCCUGAAGACCAAGCCUGAGAGACGCAUAGCACUAUGCAUUUUCGAACUUUUUGAUAACUUGUUGCCAAAGGGGGAGAAAUGUAUAGAUCAUAGGCUUCGAGAGAGAGUGUUUUGCUUCUUUGUCUCUCUUGAUUUUGGUUGAACUUUAUGGUGUUCUUGGUUGAUACUCUAUGUCUGUGUGAGAUACUUGUUUGAUCAUGGGUUUGAUCAUAUGCUACUUUAAUGCUUGCUUGGAUGGUAUUAUCUCUUAUAUCCCAUAUAUGUUCAUUCACUUUGCUUGGUGAUGAAUGCUUUCUUUUAAUUUCCACGAUCCUAAUUGAUUGUGCAUUUGCAUUCAAAAGAUGUAUGUGACAUGGAAGAGUAACCCAUGAUCCUAAUCGAUUGUGCAUUUGCAUUCAAAAGCCUAUUUUUAAUAAUGCACAAAUUUAGGGGGAGCUCUUGCUUAUCACAUACUUCUCAAAGCGACGAUGUAUUUCAAUCUUAUGAUCAUUUGUCAAAGCUUUGAUCUAUAUGUUUUCAUCAAUUAUCAAAAAGGGGGAGAUUGAAAGUGCAACUAUCCCUGGGUGGUUUUGGUAAUUCCUAACAACAUAUAGCUCAUUGAGCUAAUGAUAUCUCAACAUAAAUAUUUCAGGAAAGCUCAAUGAUUAGCAUCGCAUGGAUUAGAAAUGUGGACCCCUCAAAAUGCUAAGGACAAAAUAUUGGCUCAAGCUCUAAAGCUCAAGACUCUACAUUUUACUUUUAGUGAUCCAAGAUCACAUUGAGUCCAUAGGAAAAGCCAAUACUAUUAAAAGGGGAUGAGGUGUUGCUUAAUGGGUUGCUUGCUCAAAAUGCUUAGUGAUAUGCUCCAAACCAAAAGUCAAACUCGGCCCCACCGAAACAUUCUAUCCGGCGCCACCGAGUUCUCUUGACAUAGCCACUGUCACAAACCCUAGUCACUUCCGGUCUCACCGAUAGGGACUCGGUCUCACCGAGAUGGGAUUGCAAAAUCUUUGUUUCCCUUCGUACAUUUCGGUCCAACCGAGAUGAGCGAUCGGUCCCACCGAGUUUGCAAUGCAAACUCUCUGUUUCCCCUUCGUAACGUUUCGGUCUCACCGAGAUGAGUGAAUCGGUCCCACCGAGUUUGCCUGACCAACUCUCUGGUUAGCUUAUUACCAAAAUCAGUCCCACCGAGUUCGUGUAAUCGGUCUCAUCGAGAUUACGUUAUGCCCUAACCCUAACGAAAUCGGUCCCACCGAGUUGAAAUGUCGAUCCCACCGAAUAUCCUAACAUUCACAUUUUGAACUAAAUCGGUCUGACCGAGUUUCAUUAUUCGGUCCCACCGAGUUUGAUGAUUUGUGUGUAACAGUUAGAUUUUUUGUGGAGGCUAUAUAUACCCCUCCACCCACUCUUCAUUUGUGGAGAGAGCCAUCAGAACAUGCCUACACUUCCAGCAUACAUUUUCUAAGAGAGAACCACCUACUCAUGUGUUGAGGUCAAGAUAUUCCAUUCCAACCACAUAAAUCUUGAUCUCUAGCCUUCUCCAAGUUGUUUUCCACUCAAAUCAUCUUUCCACCAAAUCCAAAUCUGUGAGAUAGAGUUGAGUGUUGGGGAGACUAUCAUUUGAAGCACAAGAGCAAGGAGUUCAUCAUGAACACACCAUCUAUUACCUUUUGGAGAAUGGUGUCUCCUAGAUUGGUUAGGUGUCACUUGGGAGCCUCCGUCAAGAUUGUGGAGUUGAACCAAGGAGUUUGUACGGGCAAGGAGAUAGCCUACUUCGUGUAGAUCUACCCUAGUGAGGCAAGUCCUUCGUGGGCGAUGGCCAUGGUGGGAUAGACAAGGUUGCUUCUUCGUGGACCCUUCGAGGGUGGAGCCCUCCGUGGACUCGCGCAACCGUUACCCUUCGUGGGUUGAAGUCUCCAUCAACGUGGAUGUAUGAUAGCACCAUCUAUCGGAACCACGCCAAAAAUCUCCAUGUCUACAUUGCGUUUGCUCCCUCCAAACUCCUCCAUUUACCUUCAUGUGCAAUGUUUUACAUUCCGCUGCUAUACUCUUAGACUUGCAUGUGUAGGUUGAUUGCUUGACUAGUGCUAAGUUGCUAAAAUCUGCCAAGACUUAAAAUUGGGAAAAGGCUUGAUUUUUAUUUGGUCAAGUAGUCUAAUUACCCCCCCCCCUCUAGACAUACUUUCGAUCCUACACCAUUCCACUUGCCAGUCAAAAAUGAUGAGUCUAUGCUCAAAUAUGGACGACACCCUACCUUGAAGCCAUCAAUGCUAGGCUUCAAAGCCAUAAUAAACGUAUAGAAAAGUACUCUUCCAUCCUCUGUUACCUCAGUAUCUAUCUCCACAACACUCCCAGGUGACCUCUUCUCCACCUCUGCUUUGAAAUUAUAAAGCAUCCUAAAAGUAUUUGCCCAGUCACCAUAUAAUUGUUUCAUUGCCCUUUGUUUUGCCUUCCACACCGUGUUAUACUUCUCCUUAAUGGGGUAUUGCUUUCCAAGUAUACUUUAAGUUUCUUUGCAGUGGUGUUUGGUUUCUUGGCUAGAAUAGGAGUGAUCUUUUCUGCAAUCCAAAGCUGUGAUGUCAUGGUUGAUACUCUCGGUGAACUUGUAAUACAAGUAUGUUGGUGAGGGAUUUGAUUCACCCUAAUGGUACUUCCAUCAGGUUGGCGUCUAGCAGAUAUGUACUACUUGCAAGGCUUGACACUUCCAUCAAAACCUCUACACCUUGCAUAAAACUUCUUUCUAUCAGUCCACUUAGUCUUGGCACCAAACUCAUGUUUGACUGCAUAUGUCUUGAAACACAUCCUAAACUCAUCCAUGUUUGGGAACAACAUCCCCACUUCAAUAACAGGGUUUUCCUUGUCAUACACAUUUACCAACUCAUCAUCAUGUGCAUCAUCUACAUCAUCUGCAGCAUCUUCCAUCAGCUAUCCAUCCAGAUCUUCAGUUCUAUCUUUGUUAGCAUCAGUAUCAGUAGGCAUACUAGAUUCACCAUCCUUCUCCUCCUUAUCUUCAUCAGCUACUGGAAUGCCAAAUUUUUUGGCCAUCUCAGUGUCAUCCAUUGGUGCAAUGACUAAAUCAGUUGGGUCAUUUAAUUCUACUGAAUUCCAAUCAACAUAAACAACCCUUCCAACACCCUCAGAGCCAUCUUCUGCAUCACCCCCCUCAGGUAAUACUGUCACUUCACCUGUACACAUGGGCAUUAUCUGCCUCUCUGAAGCCCAAUCAUCAUCUACCAUUUGUGAAGCUAACUUUGAGGGCACAUAUCCAACCUUAGAAUCUGAUUUCAGAUCAACAAGCUAUGCAUGAAACAUAGUUUGUUUGGUUGUCCAGCCAUCUUGUUGAUCAAUUUCAUCAACCAUGUCUUCACCAUCCUCAAUUCUCACAUACUCUCCUUUCCAAUUAUCAAACCGUAACAAUGCUACCUCUUGCUCUGGACCCCAAAAAAUGCUCUCCCCAAUUUUUUUCCACCACAUUCUUCAUGGCCUUCUCUUCCAUGCUCUGUAGUUCUUGUGGAUCAAUCUCUGCAAAAUCAAUCUCCGGAUGCUACCAUCACCUAUGUCCCGCAUGCUACCAUCACCUAGCUUCGCCUUAGAAGGAAGGAAUUCCGCAGUGAAUUUGAACGUCCGAGCAACAUCCCCCCUAUUUCGGGGCAGUGUGAGGUGAGCUACCGGAAGCAGACGAGGCACAAAUCGCAUUCCUUGGAAAGGAUGCACAUUAAGGGAUUACCUUCUAGAUGUUGUUGUCUCUGGCGGCUCCAUCGCGUGCAGGCCCCCCUCCCACCCACCCAAAUCUGGAUCAAAUUGACCAAAAACACCAAAAAACAGAGGGAAAGAGAGGCGGUGAGAUCUAGCUCGACACGGAGGGGAACGGGAUAGGGUUCCUGAUUCACUCAACACAGCCGCCGCCGUCGCCGAGAACGAAAGCUCCUCUGCGCUGCUAUCACCGAGAACAAAAUCUCCGGCGCCGGCGCCGGCUCACCGCCAAGAACAAAGAGGGGGGGUACACGUUCAGAUAGGCAUGGGGACACGUUUCACCUGAUGCACUGCCAAGUGGGGCCCGCAACUAGAUGCACUGCCAAGUGGGAUCCACAUGUCUUAAACAUAACCUCACUCCCGUUGACGACCAGUUUAAUCGCCCGAGUGGACCUUGGCUAUUUGGGCCUCUGAAACAUAGUACUACAGUUAUUUUCGUCAACUAUGUCGCUUUCCUUCCAUUGCACCUCAAAUAUGUCGCACAGGAGCUAUUGACCCCUUGACUUGUUGCAGCUGGCCAUUUUCUACUACGAAACCAAUUUUCUAGGAGUAAAUAAAUAAAUGAACAACUACAGCAUACAUCAUAUGAGUUUCAGACUUUAUGAAGCCUGAAUGUUGAAAAAAUAAGAAAAAGAGACAACGUAAGGACCUCUGCUCUGUCGUGCCGAUGGAUGACAGAAGCUAAUUGCAGAUGGCCGGAGUUGCGACAUCAGCCUCUUCGAGACACGCGGAGACCUCCGUAUCUCCUCGAGCUCUCCUGCCGCGCGGGGCCGUCAGCGCCCAACAACCUAUGCGGUGCCGCCGCCGUCUGUCUCAUAGGGAACAGCAGAAAGGCCAUUUUCUUUCGGGUGCUUUGAUAAAAAAAAUCAUAUAUUACAGGUGGGUCCAGGACUACUUAUCAACAAUACAUCUCCUUCUCAAUGUAUCCGAAAUGGGGAUUUUGAAAUAUAUUAACCGGAGUCUCUGAAAUCUAACACACUAAAAUUCAGGAACCUAUGAAAACUGGUACAUUUCUUCAUCAACCAUCCUUCGAACCUCAUGUGGCAACGCAGAUAUCAGAGCAUGUGUGUCUUCCUUCUAAGACUUUUGCAUGUUGCCCCUCUAUGCUCCUUUUUUACGGCCAAUGUGUGGAAGGUCAUGUCCAUAACCUCAUUGAUAGUCAAAACAUAGACGAUGAUGAUUGUGAACAUCCGCUGUGGCUUCAGAUUGCGAUGAUGUUGCCUCAUCCCCCAAUUGUGUAGACACAGGCUCCCAUUACACAAAGGGAAUGGUGGGGCGAAUAGACUCGUACCUCUGAAGAGCGAGGAGAAGAUACAUGUAUUUGUUUUCCUCCAAUAUUUUAGAUGGGCCUAGGACAGAUUGAGAGGGGAGCAAAUCCGAAUUUAUACCACACUCACAUUGACAUCCCAAGAUGGUGGAGUAUAUAUAGAACUUCUAUACAUCUUGUUUUUAAUAGCUCAUUUUUAGGAAGGAAAAAAAUAAAUUGUUAUCAUGGGAUAUGUGUUGAGCAGGUCAUUCAAAAAUGUUUAUUUAAUCAUGUGACUGAAUACACCAGAAUCAUGUGAUCAUCCUACUUGCAUGUUUAUGUUAGUCUCCAACUUCCAAAGUAGAACCUAGUAUACAUGGUAUUCUAGUUCUCUCCUGUGUACCAUCACUCCAAGUCCAUUGCAUCAUGAAAGACGUGUGAAACGUGAGAACUGGCAUUGCAUGAUUCUUCUCCAUCUCUAUGUUUCAUCUGGAUAAAGGGUGUCAGAGUAGAUGAUGGGUUUAAUGGCAGAGAGGGGGGGGAGAGGGAGAGGGAGAGAUCUCAUUCUUGUAAAAUGUAAAAAAAAGGAAUGGAAGGAAAGGUCCACACUUAGACAAACUGAUUAGAUCCGUAAACUAAUUAGACCCGCAAAAAAAGAUGACGCUAUAAAUAUCUCAUAACAACAGAGGGAGAGGAAGGCCAUAGCUUUUAUUGUGUAUGGUGAGACCGGCUUUUCAACACCCGGGUGUCAGACACCCGGCUAUCAGGCCGUUCAGGCAAUACCUCUCAUUGGGAUAUGUGUCUGGUCCUGCACCACCAUUUUCAUUAGCAGGCAAGGUGAAUAGUAAAUGGAUGUGACAACAGAGAACGGCCAUAGAGCGGACGAGCUCGCCUGUGUUGAACAGCCUGUCACGUUACACAAGGUGCACCGAAGCAGGAGUAUUGAGCCGCACCAGAAGUCCCAAUAUAUUGGUAGAGAUAAGCUAGGUAGUUAGUUCAUAUCUAUCCUUUGUAACCUAUUCUAUCUCUUCUCCUUCAAGUCUCCUGUAAUAUCUCAACUUCUAACUUGUAUGUGCUUCAGGGAUUGCGCCCCUGCCUAUAACAUGCAACGCGUCCCCUCGCACCGAGGUAAAGACGUUUCCGCAUCUCGCACAUGGUAAUCAGAGCCAUCCUACUUCCCAUCUAGUUUUCUCUCGAUUCCAAUCGUGUCCAAAAAUCAUGUCUUCCUCCUCCGGCAUCUCUCACCCUAGCCUCAGUGGGCAGGUCAUUGAGAAACUCUCCCGCACGAACUACGUGCUAUGGCGCACACAGAUCACGCCACAAUUGCGUGGCGCCGAUGUCUUCAGCUAUGUUCAUGGCACCUCGCCGGAGCCGGCCAAGCUCCUCGCCGCCAAGGACAAGGACGGCAAGGAGACCUUCCAGCCCAACCCUCUCCACCCCAUCUGGGUCAGGGAGGACCAGCAGGUUCUCGGCUACCUGCUGAGCAACCUCUCCAAAGAGGUGCUCCUCAUGGUGACCACGAUCACCACGGCGCAGCCGCUCUGGACGACGCUGGCGGGCAUGUACUCGUCGCAGUCGCUUAGCCGCAUCAACAACAUCCGUACCUCGCUCAUCAAUGCGCAGAAGGGCAACCAGUCCGCCACCGCCUACUUUGCCUCCAUGCGCGGUCUCGCGGACGAGCUGGCAGCGGCCCGCAAACCCAUCCAGGAUGACGAACUCAUCUCGUACAUCCUCCACGGGAUGGAUCUGGAGUACCAGCCCCUCGUCUCCGCCCUCGACACCCGUGUUAGCCCCGCCUCCCUCGACGAAAUCUUCUCCAUGCUCAGCAACUUUGACCAGCGCAUGGCGCGGUUCCAUAGCUCGGGCGGCGGCAGAUUCAAGUCCUCCGCAAACGUCGCUACCCGUGGACGUGGCGACGGCUCUCGCUACCGCGGUCCUUCCCGUGGCAAGGGGAGGUCUGGUGGCGCCAGGACUAGCAGCGGUGGUGGGAUCAGUGGCGGUGGCAGGCGUGGCAACAAGGGUCGCCGUGGUGGCGACUCUGGUAGAACCCGCCCGGACACGCCGCGCUGUCAGAUUUGUGGCAAGCCGGGGCACACUGCCAAAGACUGUUGGUACCGCUAUGAUGAAGACGAGGACGACUCUCAAGAUGAUGGAAAGGUCGCUACGGCGGCUGAUGGCUCCUACGGUGUUGAUACCAACUGGUACCUCAACAGCAGCGCCACUAAUCAUCUCACCGGUGAGCUUGAAAAGGUGACUCUCCGUGAGAAGUACCACGGCAAGGAUGAGAUUCACACCGCCGAUGGUGCAGGUAUGAGAAUCAGUCACAUUGGUCAUUCGGUUAUACAUACCCCUCGUCGUAAAAUUCAUCUUAGGAAAAUUUUGCAUGUUCCUAGUGCCAACAAAAACCUCCUUUCCGUUCAUAGAAUUGCACUUGACAACCAUGUCUUCAUUGAAUUUCAUCCCUUUUUCUUCUUGAUCAAGGAUCAGGCCACGAGGAAAACCCUAUAUCGAGGUAGAUGUGUUCGAGGACUCUACCCGUUGCUUCCGGAGUUUAGAAGACACAAUAAACAAGCCUAUGCUGUUGUCAAGCUUUCUUCAACAUGGUGGCAUGAUCGUCUAGGAUAUGCUUCUUUUUCUUUAGUUGAACAUUUGCUUAGGAAGAAUAAGCUCAUGUUUGUUGGUGAGCGUCAUGUUGAAACUGUUUGUGAUUCAUGCCAAAGAGCAAAAAGUCAUCAAUUGCCUUAUCCUGUUUCUACUAGUGUUUCUACUCAACCUUUGUAAUUAAUCUUUUCGGAUGUCUGGGGUCCUGCUCCUUGUUCGGUUGGUAGACACACAUAUUACGUAAGCUUCAUUGAUGACUAUACCAAGUUCUCAUGGAUCUACCUUCUCAAGAAACGAUCCGAUGUUUUUCAAGUUUUUCAAAACUUCCAAGCACUCGUUGAAAGAAAUUUGACAGCAAGAUCAUUGCAGUCCAAUCUGACUGGGGGGGAUACGAAAAAUUAAAUUCCUUCUUCCAAACCCUUGGCAUACCCCAUCAUGUUUCAUGCCCUCACCCUCACCAACAAAACGGCUCUGCCGAACGCAAGCACCAACACAUAGUUGAAGUUGGUCUAGCUCUCCUAGCCGGUGCUUCCAUGCCCCUCAAGUUUCGGGACAAAGCCUUUCUUACCAUCGUCCACAUAAUCAACAUGCUUCCUAGUCGUGUCAUCAACAACGAAACUCCCAUGGAAAAACUCCUUCACAUCAAACCAGACUACAAGUCUCUCCGUGUGUUUGGUUGUGCUUGUUGGCCCAACCUUCGUCCAUACAACAAUUGAAAGCUCAUAUUUCGAUAAAAACAGUGUGUUUUUCUUGGGUAUAGUGCCCAACACAAGGGUGUCAAAUGUCUAUAUGUAUCCACUGGUCGCAUCUAUAUUUCACGUGAUGUUGUUUUUUACGAGACCAAGUUCCCAUUUGUUGACCUUCACCCCAAUGCUGGUGCACUCCUUCGCAAAGAGAUCCUACUUCUCCCUUCUCAUCUCACUAGUUUUGAUCAAGGGGGCGAUAAUUGUAAUGAUCAAGUGUUGACUGGCCCUCUUAAUACCACAUAUGAGCCUGGUGAUGAUGCAGGAGAAGGCACAGAAAAAAACAGCAGUCAAGAUGGUGAAGAAAUGCGCUCUACAGAGCCAUAUUUCAUGUGUCCAGGUGAAGGGAACAAGUCCCCUUCGGGAUCCGUGCUGCCAGGCGUGUCAGCCGCAUCAUCCUCAGGAGACCGCGCAGACGCGUCAGGGCGGCCACGCGAAUCUGCACCAGAAUCCGCGCCAGCCUCGUCAGGCGUGGUCGGGAGCGAGCCAUCGAGCGGCGACUCCGAGCCAGCCACGCGGCGCCCUGUGGCUGGGGAACACGCCUCCUCUGCUCCGCGCCAAUCACGCAUUUGAAUAUUCAAGCGUUUGAAUAUUUUUAAUAAAGUAUUGCAAAUGUUAAUCAAGCAAUUGAAACUUGUUAAGGCCUUGUUCGGUUUGGCAGGGUUUGAAGAGGUUUGAAAGGAUUGAAGGGGAUUAAAUCUCUUGCAAGUCAAAAUCCUUCUCAAACCUCGCCAAUCCCCUUCAAUCCAUGUGGCAAGGGGAUUAACCGAACAUGGCCUCAAUGUGUAUAGAAAAAAUGGUUGCCAUGUAAACAAAUAAUUAAUAAAAAAUAUACAAUGUGUAGGAAACGAAUGUUGAUGGUGUAUUUAAAAAUGUUGAUAAAUAAUUAUAAAUUUAUCAAUGUAACAAAAUAAAUUUCUCAUGUGUUCAACAUUUGUUAGUGGUCAUAAUACUUUUUGCGCGCACAAUGCACAUUUCUUUUAUAAAUCAAGAACAUUUUUUUACAUUCUUAAUAUUAUAAAAAUACAUAAUUACCUUUCUUAAAUACAUUUUUAUGGUGUCUACUUUUACUUAAUGUGCAUAUUACAUUUUUGUAUAACUGAUCAGCAUUUUUAUAUACACGUUUAACAUUUUAAAAAAUAUGAUCAAUAUUUUUCCAUAUGAACAAAGCAAAGGCAAUAAAAACCAACUAAAACCUAAAUAGAAACAAAUGAAAUAAAAAUAAAAAAUAAAAAAACACCGCAGAAAGAAUAGAAAACAGCAAAAAUCGAGAAAAAAGGAAAAAUGAAAAAAGAAAGACACAAAUAGAAAAUAAAGAAGAAGAAGAAGAAGAAGAAGAGAAAUAAAAGAAAAAACAUCUAAAAACCAAUAAAGAAACAGAAACAGAUCAAAGAAAACAAAGAAAGCUAAAAGAAAUGAAGAAAUACACAUUCACCAGUGACGCGAUCAUGAGCGGGCAUUUUUUUGUUUUGUUUUGAGAAAUGGACCUCCUAGUUGCUACACGAGAGAGUUAUUCCUUCCGGGUAAAGAAGCUACGAACUCGGGUGAAGCAAGACAUAGCUCUCGCGGGAAAAGAGAGCUCCUCGUUGGCGCGUUAAGCGAGGCGCACCUAUGUAUCGCUUGAUACGAGAUGAAACAUGCGACCGCUUAGGGGUCGCAAUACAUGGUUCGGCCCAGAUAGGUUCCAGGUUAGGUCAUCCUUUUUCAUGUGUUUCUACUUUUUUCGAAAAUAUUGUAAACAAAUAUAUACAAAAACAUAAAAAUUGUUACUAAAAAUAGGAGCUGCAAUUUGAAAAUGUUAAUGAAAUGUAUGUUAGCUUAAUUAAAAGAAAUAUUGGUAGCGUACAAAAAAUAUGACAUUUAACAAAUAUUCACGUGUUUCAAAAGUAGUAUGUGACUUUAUAACCAUGUAUUUCAAAAAUCUUAAAUUUGUAUGUAGACUCUUCUUUAUUUACACAAAAAAUGUACAAAUGUGUACGUAAAAAGUAGACAUAAAUGACAUAUAUUUGGAAAAUGACACUUCUGUAUUAGAAAAAUAUUAAAUAUGCAUCCAAAAUGUUCUUGAUGUAUAAUAAAUUGUACAAUACGUAUAAAAAUCUACAUAUAAACAAUUAUUUGAAACAAAAAAAUUAAUCAUGUAAAUUUGCCCGUCUCCGCGAGAUCAAUUUGUGGUUCCGAACAACGAGCUCGCUCAACGCAGAAGCCAUGGCGGUGGUUGAGGCGCUAGACAAGGAGGUAGUGUCAAGGUGUUUCCCUGGUAACAAGAGCAACCAUGGUGGUUCUCUAAAUAAUGGAGGAGGCAGAGUCAACAGAUCCCUCCAAGCAAUUCAAGUGGGCGGUGUUCAGGUCCCUUACCACAAUUUUCCUUGCGUCUGUGGAGGUGGUAAGGGUGUUACCGACAUCAAGAAGCAGUUCGAUGCUGAUUGUGAUUUCAGAUGAGGAGCUUGAGCUGCAGCGGGUGAAGAAGAAGGGCAUGGUGGUGAGUUUCCCACACGGCUCCGCCAGGCUCCAUGCCCUCUCCGCGCAGAGUAGGUGUCUCCCCGGAUGGUAGCUGCUUCUAGUUGGUGGCCGCGGAGGAUUGCGACUAGGCUGAUGCUGGAGAGGGUUGCCCGCCGGAUAUCUCAGGCAUAUUUCUAUCUGCUAAAUAUUUGCAUUCUGCUUCACAUAUUAGUGAUGGUAGAAAUGUUUUGGGUUGGAAUAAAAUUCAAUUGAAACUGAAAAAGAAACAACAUAAAUAAACACGUCCAGCUACAUGAUUCUAGAGUUUGUGAUUGGGAAAAUAAAGUUGAUGAAAAUUCGUCUUCUGUUUGUUAACCAUGUAUAAAAAUAUGCUUAUCAUGUGUAAAACAUUAUUUAGUGGCGCUAAUUGCUUUUGCACGCACAAUGCACAUUUUUUGUACAUCAAGUACAUUUUUUCUUAACAUUUUAUAAAUACAGAAUCAAUUGUUUAAAAAAUAUGCCGUCUACUUUUAUUUAAUGUACAUAGUAUAUUUUUGGUGCAAAUGAUCAGCAUUUUAAUAUAUACAUUUAACAUUUUUUAAACAUGUUCAAUGUUUUCCAUAAGGACGAAAAAGACAAAGAAACCACCUAAAACUGAAAAAGAAUCAAAUGAAAAAAUAAAAAUAAAAAAGAAAGAAAACCACCUCAAAAAGCAUAGAAAACAGGGAAAACCAUGAAAAAAAUGAAAACAGUGAAAACGAAAGAUACACAAAAAAUGAAAAAAAGGAUGAAUAAAUAAAAUAAAAAACAACUGAAAACCAAGAAAGAAACAAAAAAACAUGAAAGAAAACAAACAAGAAUAAUAAUAAAUCGAAUGGAGAAAAAAAUAAAAAUCGAUGGAAAAUAAAUAAACAAGGAAAACAGGCGAAGAAACAAAGAAAAAAAGAAGUAAACGGACCUUGCCAGUUGCUACGCGAGAGAUCUAUUUGUUCAGGCAAGAGAAGCUACGAACUGAAGUGAAGCGAGAUAUAGCUCUCGUCGCACACGAGAGUUCUUGGUCGGCGGAUUAAGCAAGACGGAGCGUGCAAUAGCUUUGGUGUCAGCUAUACAUGGUUCGGCCCAGAUAAGUUCCAGGUUAGUUCGUCCUUUUUAUGUGUUUCUCCUUUCUUUUGUUCUUAUUUUGAAAAAUGUUGUAAAUAAAUAUAUACCAGAACAUAAAAUUUAUUUAAAAAUAUAAAAAUGUUGAAUGUGAAUGUACUAAAUAUGUUAGCUUAAUUCAAAAAAAUAUAGGUAGCGCACAAAACAAUUGUGACAUUUAACAGAUAUUCACGCGGUUCAAAAAAAGUAUGCAACUUUAUAACCAUGUAUUUCCUAAAUGUUAAACGUCUAUAAAAAAACUCUUCUUUAGUUACGCAAAAAAUGUAGAAUUGUGUAUGAAAAAAGUAGACAUCAAUAACAUAUAUUUGAAUUAUGUUACUUUUGCAUUUAAAAAAUGUUAAACAUGCCUAAAAUAUGUUCGUGAUGCCUAAAAAAUGUUGCGAUGAGGAUGGCUGUCAUCUCGCACCCGCCGACUGCUUGAACAGCUAGCGUCGCUGAGCUUGAGGAACCCCUUGUAGGGACCAAAGCAGACAACCUUGACGUUGCUGGCCUCCGUCGGCAUAUCAACAAAGCGCGACGCUUUCACUGUCGGACCAAAUCAGAGAUGGAUUAGGUCUAAAAUAUAUAUUUCUUGGUUAAAGGAAAAACAUGUAAUAACUGAACUCGCACUUAAGAAUUAAUCAACAUGUUGAUUCCACCGAAGCAUGCAUGCCUCCUGGAUGCUGAAACACGACUCACUGACUAUAAAAGCAGAGGACUCACUGACUAAGUACAGGAGCGAGUGACCGACUCUCGGCUCGGGUGAGGAUAAAAAAGAUCACCUGCUGCUGCUGGUUAUUGGUAAAAUCCAUGUGAGUGCUUGAUAAAAAAUUAUGGAACAUUGUAUAUGUUGUUACACAUAAAUGUUGGGAUAAAAAGAAUCAUCUUGGUACACUGCCUAGUCUUUUGGUGGACAGAAGAUUGUAUGGUGCAAGAAGCUAUUCAGAUACAACAACACUGGGCUACAUGACAGGAAUGGUGUACACGCCCCAAGGGCCAGCAGGCAGCAGCAAACCAGGUCAAGAUGAGAUGGUCUGGGCCUAGGAUGUUGAUUCAGAGAUGCCUGACUCGACGCCAAGCAGCAGCCACCCUACACCGCAGGCCCCGGCAGUUCUCGACCGAGAGCGACUGCGGCACAGUUCAGUUGUAGAAGCAAUCACAUGCCAUUCCCCCAGCAGAGCAGAACAGAGCAGAGCAACAAUCAGGGAUCAGGCCUGUCAUUGAAUAGAAGCUGAAUGACCUUCAGCUUCAGCUCCGGCAGGCCUGCCUCCGCUCACGGACUAGCCUCGGUAUUUCCUUCCAUGUCUUCGGUUUCAAUGGUUUGAAUUCCGUUACUGCACAUACCAAAAACGAUGUCAGAAAAAGCUUGCACAAAUUAAUGUGUUAUAUCAAAAUAUAUAGCAUGAUGGCAUUCAAAUAAUGGAGAAGAAACUUCUGCAAACGUGUUAGACCAUUAUGUACAAGGGAUGGAACGGAUGACUGCAUCUGUUUGUUAAAUGUGGCAAAGAUAGAAGGACGUGCUGCAAGCAUACCUUCAUAGCAGGCAUCUAGUCGUUUGCGGCUGAUGCUGCCCAGUUGCUGCUGCAGGCAUCUAGGGAGCUUCUUUAUAGCAGGGCAGCCUCUAAUUUGAAGAUACACGAGAGACCUGUAUACUUGCAGCUCAUUCGGCAGGGAUGCCAGGGUACUGCAUCUGUCAAGAUAAAGGACAUCCAGCGAUGGGGGGUGCUCUCCCGACAGACACUCCAGCGAUGUCAGCCCACUGUUUCCCAUAAUCUGCGGUCCCUUGAGGGGUGCAGGUAGACGGAGAGUCCCACCCAACAUGCCAGCACAGUCCACUAUUACUAGAGAUUCGAGAUGGGGAGGAAGUAAAUGCUCUCUUGCAGUUGGUGUUGCUGCUGCUGGUGGCUGUGGCAUGAUAGGACUUCUGCUUAUGGAGGUAGUGACUUCUGGUUUCUGGAGCCCACCCAGCUGGCAUGAUAGGACUUGAAUACUACUACAGCUAGCAAUACGAAUGUACUUUAAAGACGGAGGAAGGUUCAGAACCGCUGGUAAGCUUCCACAUCCAGAUAAAAGUAGAUCUUCUAGGCAUGGACAAAAGUGAUUCAUGGGUGAGGAUGGCAACUCUGAUACAGCUGCAGCCCUGAUUGCCUCACUGCUAGAAGAUACUUGGACUAACUCUGCCAUGCCCUGCUGCUUGCUGAAUAUGGAGUCAAGCUUAAUGCACCUAUCAAAAUUCAUUUUCUUGAGAGAUGCCGGGACGUUGAACAUCUCUACUAAACUUGGGCAGUUUUCUAAGCAAAGAGACUCUAGACCUCUCAGGUGCUGACUCCUUUCGGACGCCAAUGGCUCAAGAGGAGCUUGUGCAUAUCCAAUCAGAUUUUCACAGUUUGUAAUCGCCAAGCUCCUCAAGGACACCAAGCUUUGGAACACUUUCUCUGGCCAGUGGACGAGCACAUCGCAUCUAUCAAUUUCCAACUUUUCAAGAUCUACAAAAUACUCACACGGCUCUAAUGCACCCGAUCCAAAGAACAAGUUGCAGCAUCUUAGCUCCAUAACUGUAAGAGGGGAUUUCUGGUUCCAUUUCUCCUUGCUGUCCACCAAUACAAUUGAAGUGCACUCAACCUCUGAUGUUGUUUCUGUGUUUUCUAGCUUCAGUAUCAGAUUGGUCAAUGAGGGCAAAUAUCUAUCUACAGAAUCGGAGAUCUCUUGCUUGCCAUCUUCAAUUUCUAAUACACUGAGUUUUGGUGCUUCAGGCAAUGCUACCAGUUUUGGGCAUUUCUGGACUGACAAUUUCUCAAGGUGGGGAAACAAUGUACCUUCGACUGCAUCCCAUCUCUGAAAGCUCCCCAACCAUUUCAUUUUGAGCACCUUUAAGGCAGGAAAGGCUGAACGUACCAAUCUAUAACCACCUUCACUACAUGGUUCUUGAAGCAAUGGUGCUUCAGGUAACGCUGUCAGCUUUGGACAUUUCUCAAUUGAUAGUUCCUCCAGACAAGGAAACACUAUCUGUUCUCCUUGAGUCUCUUCGACUGCAUCCCAUCUCCGAAAGCUCUCCAACUCUUUCAUUUUGAGUACCUUUAGGGCAGGAAACGCUGAGCGUACCAAUGUAUAACCACCUUCACCACAAGGUCCUUGCAGCAAUGGUGCUUCAGGUAAUGCUACCAACUUUCCACAAUUACUAAUAAACAACUUCUCAAGCACAGGAAAUAUUGUUUGUUCUUCUUGCCUCUCAUCUAUUUCCCACCAUCUUACAAAACCCAACAAACGUUCUAGCAUUAGUACCUUCAGUUUUGGAAAAGUGAAGCUUGCACUGCAUCUGAACAAAACUUGCAAUCUUUCACAAUGGAAAAGAUGGAUCUCAACCAUGUUUUGCAGCAUACCCAUGCACUCUCCUCCAUAGGAAUAUAUCUUCAGAACCUGCAACCCACCAUGUGGUUCGAAAUUGUCGAGCACCAUGCUGUCACAAACAGAAUUCCAUCUUAAUGUCAGUUCUCUGAGAUCCUUCUUGUUUCCAAGGUUUGCCACUUUUGCCUCUGCCUCUAUAACAUUCUCUAUCUGACAUAGCUCUAACUGACCACCAAGGUUUAAAUGCUGCAGCUCUGCAACAUCACUGCAAUCAGUGCCAGUAACUGCUGCUGCAAAAAAUGUAAGCGUCUGCAGCUUAGUGAGUUUUCCUAGUUCUGGUGGCAUGCUCUUCAAGUUGCGACAUCCAAGAGUGUAGAGGUGACGGAGGGAAGUCAUAUACUUCAUUUGCCUCGGAAGUCGAUCAAGAUGAUAGCAGUUGGAAAGGUCUAACGUUUGCAGGUUAUAUAGAAUACUUAUAUCUUCAGGAAGUGCUUUGAUAUCACUGUCUGAGAGAUCAAGGUACCUCAGGUGAUACAGAUACAUUGAUUUCAGAAGAAAUGAUUCUGUGCCUCUAAUACAGAGCUUUAAGGCAUGCAAAGAGCUAUAUUUUGAUAGAUGCUUCAAUGAGCUUCGCACAUGGCUAUCACAUAUCAGUGUUUGAAUGGCAGGGGAUUUUUUCUCCAGAGCAUCAUUCAAAAUACCUUCUGUUUCUUCACAUGACAAGAACAAAUGCCGAGCAGUAUCUGGAAGCCACUCGGUUUGCCUUGGUUCCAUAGUUGCAACAACUCAUUCCUCUUCCAUAACAGACAUUGCAAUAUCAUGCAUAAGAUCAUGGAUUUUACAUGUAUUUCUGGAAUAAUACUCCCAGUCUUCUUUACUCUUCUCUAUAUCCAGAAAGAAUGACCUUGAAGCAAGCUCAUCAAAAAUAAGUUGUCCAAUGGUUUCAAGACUAUCUUCCUUGUGUUCAGGGAUAAAGCCAUUUGUGAUCCAUAGUUGGAUCAGCUUUGCUACAUCAAUCUUGUAAUCCUUUGGAAAUACAGCACAAAAAGCAAAGCACUGCUUCAUGUGCGAUGACAAGUCAUUGUAGCUAAGCUUCAAUAUUGGCAAGAUUCCAGUUUCCUCAGUGCAAAUGCUGCUUCUAGAUGCUAUAGCCUUCCAUUCUUUCACGGUGGUCUUGGUACGAAGUACAGAGCCCAGUGCACUUGCAGCUAAAGGAGAGCCACGACAUCUGUUCACAAUCUGAUCAACCAUCUUGACUAGCUCAACAGGCUUUUUUUUUCCGGAACUGAAUGCUCGAGCCUCAAUAAUUUCCUUUAAGAAUAUAUCAUCCAAACGACCGAGAAUGUGGGUAUCUGCACCCAUAAUUUCAGCAACUCCUUUAUCACGAGUUGUUGUCAGCACCGCACUACCCAUGACACCAUGCUUAAGAUGGUCCUUCAGCCUUUCCCACUUAUGGACUUCUCUGUUCCAGACAUCAUCUAAUACAAGGAGAUACCUCUGCCCGGUGACCAAUUUCUGAAGUCUCUCUAGUUGUGGUUUGUUUGUAUGAUAAUUUUUCUUGGGAGAUGCUUCAACUAUACUCUUGGCUAGGGAGUUCACAUCAAAGAUAUCCGAGACACAGACCCACAGCAACAACUGGAAAUGCUUCUGAAUUCUAGGUUCAUUGUAUAUGAGCUGUGCUAAUGUGGUCUUACCAAAGCCCCCCAUUCCAACGAUGGCAACCACUGCGAGAUCAGCACUAUUAGCUUGGCGAAGUAGUCUACCAACAACUUCCACCUUAUCUUUGUCUCUGGAUCUGCUAGCAAUGUCUUGCAGGUCGGUGAUAACAGAAUCCGUCUGCCUCCACUGCUUGGACACGGGUGGCUGUGGUCGGUACUUGAACCUAAAGGCAUGCAUCUCUGCUAUGAGCACAUCAAUGGCCUUCAGGAUCCGGCAAAGCUUGCGACCCAUUUUGUAACGGAACACAAUACAGUUGUGAGUAGGGAAGAGUUUAAUUACAUCGAAGCCGAGCUUGCUGUAGUGCCCCUUCUUCCUGGCUUCACGACGGAGUGCUUCGUACUUGAAUUCGUCAAACACUUCAUUUGCCUCAUAUGCCACCGUCUUGAGCUCCUGGAGCCAGGUUUUGGCCCCAUCUCUAUGCUCCGUCGCCUGCUUCUCGGCGUCGGUCAUGACGUCGAGGAUGGCCGGAAGCUUGCGUUUGAGAAUCUUGUGCUGCUCCUCCAUUCCCUCCAUCACCUUGUACUGGUCCAGGAGGGAGUUGCCCGCCUUGUUCACCAGCAUGGACACCAGCGGCCGGAUGGCCAUGGCGGCCACCACCUCCGCCAUUGGAACGCCCACACGAUUGGCACAGCAACACGAAGCAGUGUGGAAUGGAGAAUGGAAUGGUGUGAGCAAGACGUGCUUGCUUUGCUAGUAAUGAAACUGGAAGCCAAGGUGAGUAUUGACUUUCUGGGAGCGAAGUGGAUGAGCUCGCGUUACGGGAACCAAUCACAACUAUCCAAUCCUGAACAGCUCAGCACUGGGCAUUGUUUUUGGGCUGAUGCAUAAUAGGACAAUCAGCAUACCACAUUAACAGCUGGGGGCAUCUUCAUUUCUUAAUGAGACACAACCAGAGUGCAAGACGACGCGGGCAACCAUAAUAUUGCAAGUAGAUCAUUGUAUUAGGUAUUUGUGUCAGUACAUCCAAUCCAGUUUUUCAAAAGUGACGUUUCACUGGCUGUGACCUUAGCAGAUGGUACGAAUUUCCUUAACAAAUACAAAGAGUUGCAGGAAUGCAAAUUAAAUAAUUACUUCCACUGGCUAGACGUGUGACAGCACACCUACUGCCUAACUACAGCAUAUACUUAUCUCAAGUGCCUGCCGCCCAGGGAGACCAGAAUAAUGGUGUUCUUGGAUUAGUUGAACCUUCAAUGCAUCACUACUUAUCACCGAAGCAUUAUUUUAUUGUUCUUUUUUUUUUGGAAUGGCCUCUAAGUAUGAUUGAGUACAGGAUUGAUCUCAGAGCAAACAUAAUCGGCUGGCAGAGAAUUAUGUCUUGUUCAUAUAGUCUGAUGCAAUUUUGUGGUUACACACUCCUCAGUUUUUAUAACUAAAUACAGAAUUUUAAUCUGUUGACAGAUCAGACAAACGUAGAAACAGUUAGCAAGAGCCCCAAUGAGAUUAUAUGCAGCAUCAUUUUAAUCGGAAAGCAAUUGCCCUCAUGAGAUCAGCAACCAUACACAGUGCCAAUAAAAAAAGGUGGCUCGUACUAACGACGCAGGUUUCAAAUUAAUCAAGUGGCUAAACCGAGGCAUCGACAGCCAUAUGGGACAAUGUGCACUUCAGUUAGAAAAUGAACACUUGCAGGCAGUAAAAUAAUUUAUGUCAGUACACCCACGAUAUUGCAAAUAGAGUAUUAAUUACGUAUUUGUGUCAGUACAUCCAAUGCAGUUUUUCAAAAGUGACGUCCCAUUGGCUGUGACCUUAGCAAAUGGUACGAAUUUUCGUUCUAAGUACUACAAAAAGUUGCAGGAAUGCAAAUUAAACAAUUACCUCCCAUGUCUAGACGUGUGAGAGCACACCUACUGUGCAACAACAAAAUAUAUUUCAUCUCGGGCACUUACCGCACAGGGAGGACCACAAUAUUGGUUUUCGUGAAUCUAAAAUACAUCACAUGCUUCCUGCUGAAGAGGGAAGACCCGGUGGCAAGUGGUUAAUUUCUUGUCCUUUUUUAAUGACACCUCUAACUAACAUUGAAGGGGCAUGAUUGAUCUCAGAGAUGAGCAUAAUAAGCUGGCAGAUGACCAUCCCUUGCUCAUAUGGACAAAUGAUACACUUAAUAUACUGAUAUGAUAAAAUACAACUUGACAAUCUCCUGAUAUUCGACGAUGAAAGAUAUGUAUGAGUAUGCGAUUCAAUUUGGUGGGCUUAAUAUGUUCCGUUAUUGAGAGACAGUGAAAAGCGGAAUAAAGGGCAGGGUGGAAUUCUCUAUAUCAGGUUAAGGAGAUCGUCUUAACUAACUAAAAUCAGAUGAAGCCUAACUUUGCAACCAUACGACGGAAGCAACAAAAAUAAAGACAGGGAGCCAGAACAGAACAAAGAUAAAUUCCAGUGCCCUUUUAUUGAUCACUGCCUAUGGCCAUAUAGAUGAGAUCUGGGACUCGGCCAGCUGAAACAUUCCUCUAGAAAGCACAUUUCCGCUGAUGCACAUAUGAAAUACGACAGUACAAAGCAGAAUAAACACUGAGAUUAUACAGAUGAUUGGACGCUGUAACUAAGUUGGAUAUCGCGGCGCGCAUAGGCGGAAAUGAGAGAGAAACGGAAUGUCCAAAGCCACAAAUGUACAUCGCUGUCAGGCUACCCAGCUGAAUCCUGCUUCCUGCUGACCCUCCUGAUUCACGCAGACGCAGCUAGCAUGGAGAUGGGCACGCCUCUCGAAUUCAUGUGAAUCGAAUCGCUGGAAGAGACGGACGGACAGGAUCAAUACCUUUGUGUCGACGGGGAGGGGAGGCCGGAGUGGCUGCCGUCGACGUACGGCGCGCAGCCGACGGGGGAGCUCCGGGACCUUCUUGUCGACACCAUCUGCAAUGGAAGUAAAAAAGAGCUGUUAGAAGAGGAUACGAGAGAGGCUCACGGUAGGAAGGAAUGGGGAAGGGGGAUGAGUGAGUACCUCGAGCGGCCGCGGUGGUGGUGGGCGGGCGGAUGCGGAGGGUGGGAGGGAGGCUGACACCUCCGCCGCCACAGACGUACGUGGAGCGGCCACGGGCGUUGCGUUCUGGUAGAGGCCACGGGCAGUGGGGUCCGGGAGACGUCGUGCGCCGGCGAGGAGGACGGGGAAGGGGAGACGAAGACGACGCGGAUCGGCGGAGUGUGGGCUGGGCUUGUGACGUUGGGGCCUCCGAAAACUAUAGCCCAGUUCGAAUUGGUGCCCUAACACACACAGCGCUUACGUCGGCUAAAUCCUAUUUGGCGCCUUCAGCGCCCGCUAUAGGUCUUUCGGCCGGCCCAGUUUCGACAUUUUUUCUGUGUUUCCAAAAGGCAAAAAGGGCGCUAGAGCUGGGUAUCGAAAACGCUACAACCACUCAACCACACCCCUUGGUGUGAUUGGUUACAUGUUUUCUCGUCUUUUCUUAUGCUUCUUUUCCUUUUUAUUCCUUUUUUUCUUUCUUUUUUCAAAUUCGCAAAACUGUUUCUUCAUGAAUAUUUUCUGCAAAUCGAUGAACUUUUCUCUUUGAAUUUGAUGAUUUUUUUCGAAAAAUUUGAUGAACGUUUUUUCAGAUCCGAUGAACUUUUUUUUGAAUUCCAUGAACUUUUUUCAAAUUCGAUGAACUAUUUUUCGAAUUCAAUGAACUUUUUCUGAAUUCGAUGAACUUUAUUUCGAAUUCAAUGAACUUUUGAUCGAAUUCGAUGAACUUUUUUAAAUUUGAUGAACUUUUUCAAAUUCUGAUGAACUUUUUGAAAGGACAAGAGUACAUACCGUAGCAAAACGGUUUGUUUUUUCCAAGAAAAUCAGUACACACUGUAGCAUUUUUUGAGCGAGAGAAAUAAAAAAGUGAUCGAGCGGUAGCUAGCGACCGAGCGGCGACAGCAGCGAGCGUUGCUGGGCCAGGCCCAUGCAAGCGACGCAGUGGGCGCCGUGUUCACUCGCUCCACCUCUGCAUUGAUGUCUCUAGCUUGUAGCAAUUGCCAUCCUUUACAUGUAAAGAGGAUUUGAUGAGUCAUGUCAUGCUCUAUAGGCGUCAGUUCAUCUUAUCACCUUAGAGGAAAAUACAAAGUUAGUUUUUCGAAAAGCAACCGAGCCUAGAAGAACCGUACCCUCGACACGCAAGGCUUUAGCAUAUCUUAAUAGCCGAGACACGAUUGCGACUUGGUUCCACACAAGUUUCGUCUUUCUUGUUAAUGGCUGACAGCCCAUACAAGAUUCCAAACUCGGUUGCAAAAGUGAUACUAUCCUGAUAAGUGCGUGACAUGUAAAGUGAAUAAGGUGAUUCAUCUAUAGCAAACUUUAGGAUUUCUAUACUUUGUGUAUAAUCAUAUGCACAACUAAAAAGCAACUUUGAUGAUCAAUCCAAAAGUACGCUUGUAGCUAGUGCAACCUAACACAAUGUACCAAAAAUCCAUUUCAGAAACAUCCAAACAUAAUUAUUAAAGCUGAUGGAAAGAAGGAAAGAGAUGGUGCCCGGGCUACUAUAAAUAGGCAUGAAGUAUCAAGAUCAUCACAGGCACAAUCAUCAAAACCAAGCAAUACUAGUUAACACCAAUCCACCAUGAAGACCUUCCUCAUCUUUGCUCUCCUUGCCAUUGCGGCGACAAGUGCCAUUGCACAAAUGGAGACUAGCCGCGUCCCUGGUUUGGAGAAACCAUGGCAGCAACAACCAUUACCACCACAACAACAACCACCAUGUUCACAGCAACAACAACCAUUUCCACAGCAACAACAACCAAUUAUUAUACUGCAACAAUCACCAUUUUCGCAGCAACAACAACCAGUUCUGCCGCAACAGCAACCAGUUAUUAUACUGCAACAACCACCAUUUUCGCAGCAACAACAACCAGUUCUACCACAACAACCACCAUUUUCACAACAACAACAACAACAACAACAACAACAACCACCAUUUUCGCAGCAACAACAACCAGUUCUACCACAACAACCACCAUUUUCACAACAACAACAACCACCAUUUUCGCAGCAGCAACAACCAUCUUCACAACAACCACCUUUUCCACAACAACACCAACAGUUUCCACAACAACAAAUCCCUGUUGUUCAACCAUCCGUUUUGCAGCAGCUAAACCCAUGCAAGGUGUUCCUCCAACAGCAGUGUAGCCAUGUGGCAAUGUCGCAACGUCUUGCUAGGUCACAAAUGUGGCAACAGAGUAGUUGCCAUGUGAUGCAACAACAAUGUUGCCAACAGCUGCCGCAAAUCCCCGAACAAUCCCGCUCUGAGGCAAUCCGUGCCAUCGUCUACUCCAUCAUCCUGCAAGAACAACAACAGGGUUUUGUCCAACCUCAGCAGCAACAACCCCAACAGUCGGGCCAAGGUGUCUCCCAACACCAACAGCAGUCGCAGCAGCAGCAGCAACUCGGACAGUGUUCUUUCCAACAACCUCAACAACUACAACAAUUGGGUCAGCAGCCUCAACAACAACAGAUACCACAGGGUAUAUUCUUGCAGCCACACCAGAUAUCUCAACUUGAGGUGAUGACUUCCAUUGCACUCCGUACCUUGCCAACGAUGUGCGGUGUCAACGUGCCGUUGUACAGCUCGACCACUAUUAUGCCAUUCAGCAUUGGCACUGGAGUUGGUGGCUACUGAUAAGAAAAGAUUUCUAGUAAUAUAUAGUCGUUAGAUCACCGUUGUUUAGUCGAUGGAUAUGUCGAUGUAGCGGUGACAAAUAAAGUGUCACACAAACGUCAUGUGUGACCCGCAAACUAGUAGUUAAAUUCUGGAAUAAAAUACAAAUAAAGUUUUCUCUAGACAAUGUUCAUACCGGCGUUCUGUGGACGUCGAUGUGACUACCAUGCUUGCAAGUUCAUAAGUUCGUCUUGUCUGGUCACAAACCUGGUGCGUUAAUUUAUUAUUCAUGUAUAGAAAUAAUCAAAAUUUAAAUAUAAUAGUGUUAUUGUAAAAUUUUGGUUGAGUUGAAGCAAGGACUAACAUACAACUCUUUAAUGGUUGGAGAUUCAAGAUCUUAUUUUUAUUGGUUUGUAUCUGGUUCCAACUACCACCAUGGUCUACAGUGACAACCACAACUGGUUUGAUCGUUAACUCUCUUUGCUUGGUUUUUUUGCAAAUAUGUUCAUUGAUUCUUUGCACAAUUUUUUUGUCAAGAAAAAGGUCAGCUUUUGCUUGAACUUCACACACACACACCACUACAUAGUUAAUUCGAAAUAAGUUGCUGGUGAUGUCCUAGACCAGCUAGCACAGUCAGUGUGUGUGGGGAGGGGGAGUUGUUGCAUGCGUAUUCUUCGCGCAUUAUUUUAUUUUGUUCUUUUGAUGCUCUUACACCAUACCACAUUUUUACUUGAUGGAAAGCAAAAUAAACAACGCAGCUAGAAACCAUAGAACUUGAUACUGGGUGUGUGUCAACUUCACAUCCUCCUCCUUACGUCAUUUCAAUUGGAAAGCAAUAGCCCUCAUGAGAUCAGAUAUCCAUACAUAAUGCCAAAAUAAACAAGGUGAUGGCAUUAACGAUGCAAGUUUUAAAUUAGUCAAAUGGCUAAACUGAGGCACCGGCAGCCAUAUGAGACAUCCACGAGCAUGUAAUCCAUCUUAUUGCAAGUAGAGCACUGUAUUAUGUAUUUAUGUCAGAACAUCCAGUGCAGUUUUUCAAAAUGACGUUCCAUUGGCUGCAACUAGCAAAUGAUACGAAUUUUCUUUCCAAAUACUACAAAAAGUUGCAGGAUUGCAAAUUAAACAAUUACCUCGACUGACUAGACGUGAAACAACACACCUGCUGUGCAGCAACAACAGAUAAUUCAUCUCAAGCACCUACCCAGCAGGGAUUAGUUCUCGUGAAUUCAUGGAAUUUAGAAUGCAUCACAUGCUUACUGCUGAAGAGACAAGACCCAGAAGCAAGUGGUCACUUUCUUGUCCUCUUUAAAUGACACCUGUAAUUAAGAUUGAGUACAUCAUCGAACUCAGAAGUGACCAUAAUCUGCUGGUAGACCAUUAUUUCUUGUUCAUAUGAACAUACAUAAUACUUAAUAUACUGACAUGAUACAAGGCAACUUGACAAUCUCCUGUUAUUCGAAGAUGAAAGAUAUAUAUGAGUAUGCGAUUCAAUUUGGUGAGCUUAAUAUGUGCCGUUAUUGUGAAACAGUGAAAGACUGAAUAAAGGGACAUAUGGAAUUCUUUUUAUCAUAAUAACGAGUUUCUAAACACAGAACGAAAGCAACAAAAAAUAAAGACAGAGCGCUAAAAUUUCAGAGAAGUUUUUGAAGAUAUAAAAUGCAGUGCCCUUUUAUUGAUCACUGCCUAUAGCCAUAUAAAUAAGGUCUGGGACUCGGUUCGCUGCAACAAGCCUCUAGAAAGCACAUUUCCUCUGAUGCACAUAUGAAAUUUGAGAGUAAAACAUAAAAACGCCGAGAUAUACGGAUGAUUUAAUGAUGUAACUAACUUGGAUAUCCUUCUAGUGACCACGGAAUGGACAAAUUUUCUUCCGAGACGUCGAAAAGGGAUGGAACCUCCACACCCACUGCUUCUCCUUCACCUGCAUAGCGUGCGUAGGCGGAAAUUUGAUGAGUAUUUGAAGUGACAUCCACAUAGAGCAGGAGUUAUUCGGCUAGCAAAGUGCAAAUGUACAUCACUCUCAGGCUACAAGACUGAAUUCUGCUCGAUGAUCUUCCUGAUUCAUGCAGCGGAUAUGCAAAUGGGCGUGCCCCUUAAAUUCAUGUGAAUCAAAUUGCAGAAGAGACGGACAAACAGGGUUAAUAUAUACCUUAUUUCUUGUGUUGACGGGAUGGCUGGAGUGGCUGUCGUCGAUGUACGGCCCGCACUCGACGAAGAGCUUGAAGACCCUCUUGCGAAGACCAUCUGCGAGAGGAAGCAAGAGUUGAGGUCAGAAGAGGGUACAGUAGAGGUUGAGGGUGGGAAGGAAGGCAUCAACACUAGUAGAAAAAGGGCCUAAUGUGAAGCACAUUAGUCCCGGUUUGUAACAAAACCGGCACUAAUGUGUCCAUUAGUGCCGGUUCCAACGGCUAGGCGGGUGGAGCUAAAUUAGACUGAAUUGAACUUGUUCUUUAUAACUAGCUUGGGACAGAAAAAUUACUAUGAAAUGCACUUGAUUAUACUUGAUUUUAUGGGCUACAAAAAAUAUCAUCCAAAAAUGCUCUAAAAAACACGUUCUAAAGUAGGUUUGGCAGGAGAUGCGGCACAUUAUCAUUCAGAAAUUAGACCAAGAUAAAUGUGGAGUUGGCGGCUCAACACUCUAUAAGACUGUAACAGGUUGUCCCAGUGUCUCAGUCCUUUAGGACAUAGAUCCAGAAAAUGUAGAACUAACAUAUUAGCGGUUAGGAUCAUAUUUGCAAUGUGGGAACUUGGUGCGCUCGCUCCAACAUGCCUAGUGGAAGCAUGUGUCCUCUGAUGCACAUAUGAAAUAUGACUGGUACAAAACAUAAGAAACACUGAGAUUAUACGGAUGAUUGGAUGCUGUGGCUAACUUGUGCGUCGCUCCAGUCAACUGAGUGGACGAACUCGCUAAGAGCUUUCUUCUCGGAGAUCAAAGGGGACGGAACUUCCUAAGAGCUUUUGAUUCAACCUCCAUGCUAACUAACUACUUCUCCACCUGUUUAGUGGGCGUAGGAGAAAAUUUGAUGAGUAUUUGAAGUGACGUCCACAUAGAGCACAUAGCUAUAUUCAGUUAGAAAAGCCACAAAUGUACAUCACAUCCAGAUUAAUGGAGGUGGAAUGUGAAUGUGUGUGCCCUUAAAUUCAGGUGAAUCAAAUCGCAGAAGAGCCAGACGAAUAGGAUAGAUACCUUGAGUGGACGUGGAGGACGGAGUGUCUGCAGACAAUGUAUGGCCCACACCUGAAGGAGACCUUCUUGCCGAAAGCAUCUGCAAGAGGAAGUAAGAACAUGGUUGUUGACAUCAGAUUUUGGCAUGGUACAAAAAGCAAUUAAGAUUGCCCCAAAUGGAGAAGUGAUUUACAUGAAAAAGUUCCAUUUUGUCGACCUGAACAUCUUUGAAGUUUGUGCCAUCGCCAUCUAAUCUCAUCUCGAAGGCCAAAGUUAUGUUCGAAAUACUGAGAUUUUGUAUCCAGAGCACUGUUCGGCCGAUUAUGCCUCAAGGGAUGGUCACUUUCUACAUGAAUUGUCUUCGUCUCAUCAAAACGGUCGAUUUUGAUAAAAAUUCAUGUCAAUCCGAGGUUGUAUGUAAAAGUUAGAGCCACCCGAGUGCGGUCAUGAGCCAAAAGUGGCGAGUAAUAGUCUAUUUUGCACGAGCAAUUCGUCCCUGAAGUUGGCAUCUAUUCGAAACAUGUUUAACAUGAAUGUUGUUCGUCUCGGUGAAACGGUUAAAUUUGGUUCUUACACGAUUUUGAUCUGAGGUCAUUUACUACCCAAAAAAUGACCCGCAAGGUGAAGCCAAUUUUUAGAUCGAAUAGUUUUGGGAAGUUCGGAUCGAACAAUCCGAAUAGGAAUCAAAUUAGGGUUUUGGACAUGAAUUCUAACCUUUCCUUGCACGGGAAGUCCAUCCACCUCUUAUAUACAUGAGGGGUGACGGCCGAUUGAGAAACAACACACAAUCGCAAAACCCAUCUACAAACUUUCAUCUCCUAUCCUACUUUUCUGCUUCUCGUUCAUCAGUGUUCUUUGCUUCGGAGAGCUCUGAUCUAUGAAGUCCUAGGGGUGGGCGAACCAACCUAGGGCAGCCCAGCACUGUCGUGCGGCCAGACAGGGUCUCUUCCGACCGCGUGGGGUUUCGGGUCUUCAAAAGCGCUCGCCGGAUUGUAUUGCGUACCACUCUUCCGGUGAGCCUCCUUCGGCGAUGUGUCUUGCGUAUCGCGCUCGACGCCGAGGGUACACGGUGACGUGUUUGUGUGUGAACACACUUUUUGGCGACUCCGCUGGGGACCAAAGAGCAAUCAUCAUCAUCCAUCAUGGUCAAUCUUCCCAAGCCAUCUGAAGUGGAUGCCGAUAACAUCAACAAGCCCAAUUUUGAGGAAUUAUCGGCAGAACAUCGCCAAGCUUGUGAGUAGUACAAGAAGGCACGUGAAGGGAAGGAGAUGCAGGAGUUCCUUGCUAAGUUCAAAAAGGAUCGCCAAGGCAACAUCACUUCAAUUGAAGAAAUCAAGUUUCCUCCUCUUCACAAUGAGUAGGUAGAGUCGGCUGAAAUCACUACUCUUAUUGCUCAGAAUAAUGAUCGAAAAAAUACUCCUCAAUCAUCUAAUGGUAGAAAAUAAUACUGAUCGAAAAAAUACUCCUCAAUCAUCUAAUGGUAGUGGUAGUAUGUCUGCUGGUGUGGAAAACUUUAGUCCAAAUUUACCUAUUCCAGCGGUGCUGCCCAUGCCAUUGAAUUCUUAUCCCAGUCAGACAAACCAACUUGUUGCUCCACCAUUUAAUCCAGCCAGGAAUAUGCCAAGUUCAGUGAAUCCAACUGCAUUGCUAGGUUAUGGUUCGGCAAGUCCAAGUGGAUUGCUGCCGAACUAUGGUAUAACAUACACACCACCAUCUCUUCCGACUAGCACUAUACCAACUAGUAGAAAUCAUAUUCACCAUGCGCCACAACCACACGCAACGCCGCUCAAUACGAGUGAUAUUUUGGCUAAUGUCAGAGAGGAGAUGUCGAGGGUGUUCCGAGAGCAUUGCGGGAUUGAACUACCUCAACCACGAAUUUCUAGGAAACCAUAGCUAGAAAUUUUUGAUGUCGUGCCAUGUCCUCCCGGAUAUAAAGUUCCAGAUUUUGUUAAAUUUAGCGUAGAGGGAAGAAAGACUACAUGGGAGCAUGUUAGUCGGUACUUGGCACAAUUAGGUGAGGCAAGUUCACGAGACGAGUGGAAAGUACGUUAUUUUCCUUUAUCUUUAACCGGUACUGCUUUCCCGUGGUUUUCUGCAUUACCACCCGGUUCUAUUACUGCAUGGUUUCACUUGGAGCAAAAGUUUCAUGACCACUUCCAGAGUGGUGACAAUGAGCUUAAACUAUCCCAUCUUACAUCGGUUAAGCAAAAGCAUGAUGAAUCAGUCUUCGAUUAUGUCAAAAGAUUUAGAGAUACAAAAAACCGGUGCUAUAGUUUGGUGAUAACCGAGAGAGAUGUGGCUGAUCUCGUGCUUAGUAGUUUGAGAACUCACAUUAGAGAGAAGCUGGAAGGCUAUGAGUUUUCAAGUAUCAACCAUGUCUUAGAAAAGGGCUUUGGCUCAAGAAAGCCAAAGCAAAGAGUUUAAAGAGGUGCAUAGGUAUAACACUGAUCAUCCUAAGAUAAAUAUGAUUGAGUAUGAUGGUGAGCACUCGGAUGAUGAGGGUGAUAUUUAUGAUACUGAAUUUGUUUGGCCAUCUAAGGCCAAACCAUUUACUUGCAAUGAUAUAAAGCCAAUUUCAUAAGAAUCGUGAUGAAGAGAUGAAAAUUACUUUCAACAUUACUAAGUGUGAUAGAAUAUUUGAUGCUUUGUUGCAAGCGAACAUUAUUAGAAUAUCUCAUACUUUACCGCCGUUUCAAGAGCUGAAACGGCGUGCUUAUUGCAAGUAUCAUAAUUCUUUUUCUCAUGCCACUAACGAUUGUAAUGUUUUUCAACGACAAAUACAGCCGGCCAUUAAUAACGGACGAUUGAAAUUUUCUCAGAUUCCACUUGAUAAGCAGCCCUUUCCAAUGAACACCAUGGAUUUGGAGGGAAAAAGAUGUUAAUUCGGCCCGAUAUAGCCGAAUCAGCUAAUAAAAAUAAGAUUGUCAUUGGUGAGCCUCAGAAAAGCAAGGAAGACGACAAGGCCUUGGGGAGACAAGUUGUGCUUGACAAGCGACCCGGUGGCAAGGAGAUCAUUAAGAUCACCAUCAAGAANNNNNNNNNNNNNNNNNNNNNNNNNNNNNNNNNNNNNNNNNNNNNNNNNNNNNNNNNNNNNNNNNNNNNNNNNNNNNNNNNNNNNNNNNNNNNNNNNNNNNNNNNNNNNNNNNNNNNNNNNNNNNNNNNNNNNNNNNNNNNNNNNNNNNNNNNNNNNNNNNNNNNNNNNNNNNNNNNNNNNNNNNNNNNNNNNNNNNNNNNNNNNNNNNNNNNNNNNNNNNNNNNNNNNNNNNNNNNNNNNNNNNNNNNNNNNNNNNNNNNNNAAAUUUGUUAAACCAAAGAAUCCAGAGGUUGGCAAGUGGAAGACGAAUGAAGCUAAAGUACAACGCAAGAGAAUCAAGCCAACUUUUGUUAUGUUGCUAUGCAAAUGUGCCAAUCAAGCGGCCAAUUCUAGCUCUAACCGGUCAUCAAAUUUAAAGCUCUCCAGGUCACCUCCUCGACAAGAAUUUCAUCAUCAUGCAAGGCCAUAUGGGUCUUGGGCACCUUGACCAUCGAUGGCACCACCCCCCCUAUGUGUCAUACUACAUGGGAAACUUUAAUGGAGGAUGGGGGCAACCUCCAAUGACCCCUUAUGCUUUUCAUCCGGGUUGGGUAGAACCAAGGAGGCCCGUUUGUGAGAGGCUUUCUUACCCUAUACAUGGCCGUUUGAACAAUGGUGUCAAUCGGCCAAUGCAGGAUAAUCAAAAAAGGUUCAGCAAUCAAGUGUGGCGAGCUAAAUCACCAAGUGCUGAAAUUUCAGAGGCUAGCAACCAAAAGGAGAAGAGUACUAGUGCUGAAACUAUUAUUGUAGGCACUAAAGAAUUAACAAUCAAAUAGCCGAUUAUUGUUGAUAAUGCAGCUAUUUCUAACAAGGAUGUGGCUGCUGUCCAACAAGGUCCCGUGGCUAAUGAUCAUGAAGCUAGCACAAGCAAGGCCAAGCUGAGGGAUCCAAAAUAUACUUAGCCUAAGUGGUGUCCCUCCGGUCUGACCAAGGCACAAAAAAGUAGGUUGCAGCACAUGAGAAGCCACGAGAAGGAGGGAUAAGAAGCGGAGAGGCAAAGGGAUAAACUGUUCAAUGAAACCCGUCCCAUGAUGUCCGCAAAACAAGUGUGGAGGCCUAAGCAAAAGGAAAACAUAGUAGCUUCUGCAUUGGUAAUAACAGCACCUACACCACCAAUGGAGGACGAUGCGACUGCUAUUACAUCGUCCACUUCACCUAUUACUUCCUCUUCACUAGGAGAUAUUUCGGAGUCGAUGGACAUGCUUCAGGAUGGAGAUGGUAUUUUGGAUUAUGAGUCUACACCGGUUCAUGAAGGUAUUGAUAUUAAUAUGGUGCACUACUUACCCGCUGAAUUCCGUGCUAUAUAUGAAGAAGGGCAAGUACCUCAGUUGGAUUUUGGUCCUAAAAAUGCUAUAAUCGAGAAGCCAAAAGAAUGGGUGACGCACCUGAAGCCAUUGUUCCUUAAAGGUCAUAUUAAUGGAUCGCCGAUUGCUAGAAUGCUUGUUGAUGGUGGUCCUGUGGUGAAUCUUAUCCCAUAUUCAGUCUUAUAAAAAAUGAGGCUGCGUGAUGAAGAGUUGAUAAAGACCAACAUGGUGCUCAACGGAUUUGAAGGUAAAGAGAAAAUUGAAGCCAAAGGUGUGAUGUAUGUGGAGCUUACGGUGGGAAGCAAAACUUUGGCUACCGCAUUCUUUGUCGCCGAGGUGCAAGGUAACUCCAAUGUGAUAUUAAGCCAUGAUUGGGUUCAUGCAAACCAAUGUGUGCUAUCUACUAUGCACCAGUUUUUGAAUCAAUGAGUUGAUGAUGAAGUGGAAGUCAUUCAUGCGGAUAAUUCGAUCGGCUUGUGUUGCUUUGGCCGAUGAAUCGGUGGAUUGGCAACAUCCCAAUGCUACUUGCUUGACGGGGCGCGACUUAUCAGAAUUUGAUUUUCUUAGCGCUACAAAAUUGGUUUCGUGCCCCUUUCUAUAAAGCCGGUUGGCGAUAAUCGGCUCCAAGGUAUGAUGUAUUUAAAUGGAUCCUAUCUCAGAGUGGUUUCAAAAGCGUCUUGUAGAAUAUCGGUCCAAUGAGAAUGAUAUGUAUGAGUCCAUAGAAGAGUUAGAUGAUAUGGAUAAAUUAGGACAAGGUUUUACAUCGGCGAUCCAUUAGAAGAGAUAGAUAUAGCAGAUGGUUCAUUUCUUAGGCCGACAUUUGUAAAUAAAAAUUUAAGAGUCGAUCAUAAACUUAAGUUGAUCGAGCUGUUAAAAGAAUAUAUUUGUUGCUUGGCAUGGGAAUAUCAUGAGAUGCCCGGUUUAAGCCGAGAGCUAGUGGAGCAUCGAUUACCUAUAAAGGCUGGUUUUUGACCGUAUAAGCAAUCGACCAGAAAGUUUAAUCCAAAAACAUAUGACCGGAUCAAGGAAGAGAUCGGUCGUUUGCUGAAAGCUAAUUUUAUUAGACCUUGCAAGUAUGCCGAGUGGAUUUCUAACAUUGUACCAGUGAAGAAGAAAGGCUCGGGCAAGUUGAGGGUGUGUAUUGAUUUUAGAGAUUUGAAUAGAGCUACACCCAAAGAUGAGUAUCCCAUGCCCAUAGCCGAUAUGCUUAUUAAUGAUGCCUCUGGACAUAAGGUCAUUAGCUUUCUUGAUGGUAAUGUGGGGUAUAAUCAAAUUUUUAUGGCCGACGAUGAUAUGACCAAAUUAGCUUUUCGAUGUCCCAGUUUCCUUGGUUUAUUUGAGUGGACAGUGAUGACCUUUGGUUUAGAGAAUGCCGACACCACGUAUCAAAGGGCUAUGAAUUUAAGUUUUCAUGAUUUACUUGGUGUUAUACUUGAAGUCUAUAUUGAUGAUAUUGUUGUCAAAUCGGAUGCUUUUGAAUCUCAUCUAGCUGAUUUGUGCUUAGAUUUUGAGAGAAUGAAAAAAUAUUGACUAAAGAUGAAUCCUUUGAAAUGUGCUUUUGGUGUAUCGGCUGGUAAGUUUUUGGGUUUCAUUAUUCAUCAACAUGGCAUAGAAAUUGACCCAAAAAGAUAGAGGCUAUACAAAAGGUGUGGGCUCGAACAUGCAAGAGAGAUAUGCAAAAAUUCCUUGGCAAAGUCAAUUAUUUGAGGAGAUACAUAGCCAAAUUGUCAGGGAAGGUUGAUACAUAGCCAAUUAUUUGUGCACUUCUCUAGUGUUGAAAGCCCCCAAGCAUAGAGAGCCCUUUAGGCUUUAUAUUGCGGAGGAGAAAGCCCCCAGGCAUAGAAAGUCCCCUCAAGAGACCGAAGGAAAGGAGCAUGCUAUUCUUAUUUGAGUCGACGCUUAUUGGAUGUCGAGAUAAGGUAUACAUUGAGAAAUUAUGCUUAUGCUUAUAUUAUGCUUGCACAAAAUUGAGACAUUACCUAGUGCCUAGUACAUGCAUUAUAGCUUUUCAAACUGAUGUCAUCAAAUACAUGUUGCAUAGGCCAAUUCUUAGUGGUAGAAUUGGCAAGUGAGCUUAUGCUUUAAUUGAAUAUGAUUUGGUUUAUGAAUCUCUGAAAUUCAUGAAUGGGCAAAUCGUUGUUAAUUUUGUUGUUGAGCAUCGGAUUGAUGACAAGCAUGAUAUUGAUCUUAAACUUGUCUAUUAGUACCAUGGAGAUUAUAUUUUGAUGGUUCCGUUUGUAGCAAUGGACAAGGUGUUGGUAUUGUUUAUAUAUCUCCUCAUGGAGCUAUUUUUCAAGCCUCAUGCCGCUUAGAGUAUUUUUGUACAAAUAAUUAGGCCGAAUAUGAAGCAUUUUUACUCGGUUUAGAGAUGUUGCUUGCCAUAGGCGCUACACAUAUUGAGGCUUUUGGUGAUUCGUUAUUAGUAGUGCAACAAAUAUCCAGAGUAUUUCAAUGUUUUCAUGAAUCACUUAAUGUUUAUCUUGAUAAAUGUCUAGAUAUAAUUUCUACUUUGGAUUAUUUUAGCAUUCCUCAUAUAUCUAGACAUGACAAUUGGAGAGCAAAUCAGUUGGCACAACAAGCAUCUGGCUAUCAUGUUAAUCAUGACAUGUUUCAUAUUUACCAAAGGCCGAUGUCUAUUCUUGCCAACGUAGGGGAGGCUGAACCGGAGCCCACCGUUUCGGUCACAAAUGAAAAUUUUAAUGUAGAAAAUCUGGACUAGAGGAAAGCCAUUAUUGAUUAUUUGCGUGAUUCUAAUAAAAUUUUGGAUGAGGACCAAGCAAGAGUUGCUAUGAGAGAGGUUCAUGAAGGAAUUUGUGGGACUCAUCAGUCGGCUCCCACUAUGAAAUGGUUAUUGCGACAGGCUGGGUUUGAUUGACCAACGAUGAUUAAUGAUUGCUUCAGGUAUUAUAAAGGAUGUGCAGCUUGUAAAAUGUCUGGUGAUAUUCAGCUAGCUUCUGCUGCUAUGUUACAUCCUAUUAUUAAGCCGCGGCCUUUUAGAGGUUGGGGAUUAUACUUUAUUGGAGAGAUUCAUCCUUCUUCUUCAAAGGGGCAUCAGUUUGUGUUGGUGGCAACUGAUUAUUUCACUAAAUGGUCUGAAGCAAUACCGCUAACAAAUAUGACGCAUACGGAGGUAAUUCAAUUCAUAACUUAGCACAAUAUUCAUAGAUUUGACAUUCCUCAAAUGUUAACUACGGACCAAGGUUCAUCUUUUAUGUCAGAUCAAGUUAGAGAAUUUCCCGAAUCAUAUAAGAUAAAGUUGCUCAAUUCAUCUCCGUAUUAUGCCCAAGCCAAUGGACAAGCUGAGUCUAGCAAUAAAAUAUUAACCAACCUCAUCAAGAAGAAGAUUGAGGAUAAUUCAAGGAGAUGGCAUGAGCUAUUGUCCGAAGCUUUGUGGGCACACAUAAUCUCAAGGUAUGGUGCUACAAAGGUAACUCCAUAUGAGCUCAUAUAUGGUAAAGAGGCCGUUUUACCAGUGGAAGUGAAUUUGAAUGCUUUGAGAAUAGCAAAACAAAAUGAUUUAUCGGCGGUGGACUUUUAUAACUUGAUAAUGGAAAAUAUUGAUGAAGUCGCUGAUAAAUGUUUUGUUGCUUUGAAGGCCAUAGAGAGAGAUAAUUUGAGGGUGGCAAGAGCUUACAAUAAGAAGGUCAAGUUGAAGAAUUUUCAAGUUGGCGAUCUCGUGUGGAAGGUGAUUCUACCAAUUGGUUCGAAAGACAUAAAAUUCGGGAAGUGGUCUCCAAGUUGGGUAGGUCCUUUUAAGAUUACAAGGGUAGUUCCCAGAAACUUAUAUUUAGUGGAAUCCGUACAAAGGACAUUGUUACCUCGAGCUGUCAAUGGCAAAUAUUUGAAGAAGUACCACCCAAGUGUGUGGCAAGAAGCCUAGAUAAUCAAUGGCCGAUAUACGACUAUGGCCCUUAGCAUAAACAUGGCCGAUAUAUAAUUAUCGCACCGAGAAGUAUAAAUGACACAUGGAGUGUUGACAUCGUCCUUAGAAUAAACGCGAUGCAAAUUAUUUUCCGGCAUUCAAGCUCUGCCCAAAACAGAGGAUAAGGGUUGACACCAGAUUUUAGCAUGGUAGGAAAUGCAAUUAAGAUGGUCCCAAAUGGAGAAGUGGUUUACAUUAAAAAAAAGUUCCGUAUUGUCGACACAAACAUCUUCGAUGUUUGGGCCAUCGCCAUCCGAUCUCAUCUCGAAGGCCGAAGUUGUGUUCGAAAUACUGAGAUUUUGUAUCCCGAGCACUGUUCGGCCGAUUACGCCUCAAGGACGGCCUCAAAUGAGAAAACUUUCGACAUGAAUUGACUUCGCUUGGUCGAAACAGUCAAUUUUGAUAUAAAAAUCGUCUCAAUCCAAGGUCGUAUGUAAAAGUUAGUGUCUCCUGAGUCCGGCCCUGUCACGAGCCAAAAGCUACGCGAGUAAUAGUCUAUUUUGCGCGAGCGAUUUGGCACUGAAGAUUAUAUCGAAUCGAAAACUGUUCAACAUGAAAGUUGUUCGUCUCGUCGAAACAGUUAAAUUUGCUUCUUCCGCGAUUUUGAUCCGAGGUCGUUUACUACCCCAAAAAUGACCCGCAAGGUGCAGCCAAUUUUUAGACUGAACAGUUUUGGAAAGUUUGGAUCAUACGAUCCUAAUUGGACUCAAAUUAGGGUUUUGGACAUGAAUUCUAACUUUUCCUUGCACGGGAAGUCCAGCCCCCUCUUAUUUACAUGAGGGGUGAUGACUGCCCCUCCUAGAAAAAACCAGACUGGGAGGACAUUUUUUUCCUGUCCGAAAGCCGUUUCCGCCUCUUGGAAGAAGAAGAAGAAAAAAGAGAAAACACGUUUUUUUUCGUUUCCGAGAGCCUCUCGCGGAAACAAAACAAUGCCGCUCAUGGAAGAAAAACAAAAAAAUGCAUUUUUUCACGAAAGCAAAACCGUGCCUCUCGUGAAAGAAAGAAAAGAGAAAACACAUUUCUUGUCCUUUUCGUGAGGCACGGCAGUGCCUCUCGCGGAAGCAAGACCAUGCCUCUCGCGGAAGCAAAACCGUGCCUCCCGCGGAAGAAAAAUACAGGGAAAACACGAUUUUUUUUCGUUUAUGAGAGGCACGACUGUCUCGCGGAAGCAAAGCCAUGCCUCCCGCCGAAGGAAAACCGUGCCUCUGGUGAAAAGGGAAAAAAAGAAAACGUGUUUUGUCACAGGAAAAAAAUUAAAAAAAAUUGGUCCAAAACCUAGGGAAGACCGGUGAACAACCAAAAAGCCGGAAAAUUAAAAAAAAAAACAUCUAAAAUACCAGAUGGAGGUUGAGAGUGCACCAAGUGACGCGCUCUCGGCCCAUCCACAAAUGACCCUUGGGAAGGGUGGGAACGAGCGCUCUUUAGUAUUAUUUUUUGAGGCAAACCGUUCUUUAAUUAGUUGCUCCGGGGAAGGGGAAUGGAAGACGCAGAUCGGCAACGUGUGGGCUGGGCUUGUGACGUUGGGGUCUCAGAAAAUAUAGCCCAGUUCGAAUUUAGUGGUCUCAGCAAGUAAAACCAGCGCUUAUGUUGGGCCUAAUCACUCACUCCAGGCUGUGGGCCUCGCUAGCAGCCCCAUCUUACCAUUCCCCUCGUUCUCUCUCUCUCUCGCAAAAAAAAACCAUCAUUUCCGUCAAAAAGAAAAGACAUCUACCCGUCUCGCCGCCAAGAGAUCCAGGAACCCCGGGGUCGUUCCAUUGUUUUGCAUAGCGUGUAGAUUAGGUUUUCUCUGUUAGUUUUAUGUGUUCUUAGUGGCGAUGGCUUGACGGUGAAGGCGAGAGUGAUGAUGGUCUCUCGGCUCCAUUCCUGUUCUGAUUAUGCGUUCCCGGCUAAGAAGGCCAUCAAACAUAACAUAAAUGGGGUGCUUUCUUUUCUUCUUACCGAUCUCCUCCUAGUUUACCGGCUCAAGGUGUAUCGGCUCUACAAACAUCUUGUAUCCACCUCACGUCCUGGGAAAUUACUGUCGGUAACUUUCAUCGUAUUGCGAUAACAAUAUUUUCUUUCAAGAACCCGCCUUCCUUGAAUUUCGUACAAAGUUAAUUGUCAAUGUCAUAACUAAUUGCAAGACCAGGUACAGCUCUUCUCUACAGGAAGUUACAGUUUCUAAAUUGCAUGACCCUGUAUCACUUUAUGAAGCAAGCACAUCACCUUCAGCUCCUCAUUUGCAAACUUAGGACCCAUUUGGACCACAUAAAUUUUACAAUAUGUUUGCUGCAUUUCACAAGAAACCAUCGAUUUUGUGAAGAAAGAAUUACAUUGUUUCAUCGCCGUUACAACACAACAUUAAUCAGAUCACCUUAAUACCUCCCACUGCGUUUUUUUUUGGAAAAAUACACAACAUACUGAUUGACCUUAAAGAAUGAAGGAGGCCAUAAGGUCUUGUACAAUGCUAGGUGUUUAGAAAGAUAAACCGGAUUUUACUGAUACACCGGUGCCUAUUUCUACCGGAGAGACGUCUAAUUAAGCGUAUACCCUGUACAAAUAAGUAUCAGUGCUUAAGGAAAGCCUGGUUUAUUUCUCGAAGCACCUCUCCUAAGCACCUUGCAGUGUACAAGGCCGAGAAGAAAGCUCUGACUUCCUAUUGUUGCUGCAUCAGCAGGAAAAGUAGUCUUCAUUUCAAAAAGAAGCUGAAAGUGCUAGAGUGAAAAAUAUCAUAUGUACAGAAGCUGGAUAUAUAUUACCAGCAAGGUGGAGAAGUGGGGAAAAAAAUGCUCAAAUGUGGUUAUCAAUCUUUUGAAAUGCAAGCAAGUAAGCGGAUGGGUGUUUGAGCUAUCUUUGUGUGAUCAGAACAAAUCCAUGUCCAUUAAUUAGUCUUAAUAUCAUCUUCACAGUACCAGGGACUCCCGGAUACUAAGAGUGCUUAAUAAUCUUAUAAUUAGGUGGAGACAUUUUCAUUACCUGCAUACAAAUGCGUACGAAUGAUGAUAUUUUAUAUUUUUUUCUUUGCAACUUCGGAGUGCCCACAAAGUGAAAUAGAAGGUGUAAACAUAACUUCUUUCAACCUCCAGUAAAAGUAACAAUUCUCUCUCCAUGUACCACUCUAUACCAACUUCUUCAAUACCUGUUGACUCUCAUGUUUUUGUUUUCCUUCAAUAUUUCAGACGUUCUAAAGCUCGGUCGAAAUCACUCGAGCUGGUCAACCCUGCCCCCGUGUCGCCCGCAACAGACGAUACGGGGAAAACUUUCGUCGCCGCCGGUAGCCUUCCUCCGCCAGUGCCCCUCCCCCCCCCCCCACAUCGCUGCCGCAGGAGGGUCGGCCAGCGAAGUCGCGCCGCGCUCGGGGAUGGCGGCGGCGGGGCGGUUUCGUACCCUCCCCCCCGAUGCGCUGCCCCAACAACCCCUUCGCCGCCAUCACCUCCCCGCGCCGCUGCUGCCGCGUCGCGCCUGAGGGUGGGGGCGGCAGGGCAGCUUCAUUCCCUUCAUGCUGUAGCUCCUCGUCCCCAACCUCCUCGCCCCCCAGAUCCAAUCUGGUGCGCCGCGGGCUCCCCUACCCUCCAACUGCUACUGUGUUCGUCCUGCCUGUCCGACGAGGUGGCGCGGCCGUGCCCGUCGUGCACCUCCCCAGUCUACCUCUUUCACCUUGCUGGCGCAGCUUCCUUCUUGUUGUUGUUCGCUGGGGCAUGCGAGGACUCGUGUGGAGGUCACGGGCUGGCCAAGGCUCGGUCUUGCCCCGUGUUGCAGACCACCCUUCGUCUCUGAUGGCGUCUCCUUCUAGUUACGGCGGCGACCUCUGCCCGUGUGUGGUCAAGGUGUUGUUUUGGGCAGCGGGAUGAAGCUUCGCGGUGGGUCCUUGCCGACACUGCUCCGGUCCCAGCGGCCAUCGACCAGCGUUCUUCGGCCUCCCUACCGCCGUGAAUUCAGCCCCAACACUCCGGUCGCUGCGUCUCCUUCCGGCAUCUUCGGUUUGCCGGUGUUCUGGUGGUUCCACCUCCGGCAGCUCGGAGUUGUGCUCCCUUCCGCCUCCAGCUUGUCAGCGGCGCCGGUCACCAUCCCACCCUCCAUGCCGGCUUUCUACCAUGCUGCCUUCCCGACCCUGUCGACACCCGCAACAUGUCAUUUCCAAAGCUCGUGUUCUUUCGGCAGCAGGUGCAGCCCCACCACCUCCGUACCGGGAUGGUGGUUGACUAGCGGAUUGUCUUCCUCAUCUUCGGAUCCUGAUUUGGCAGCUAUGGCAUUGCUCAGACUAAGGCCAGGCGAAAUCCAUGCUCUGCUUGCCAAUGUUGGCAGAGGCGACACUCGUGAGUGCUUUGCCAUGGCCUUUAUCCGGGCCCCUCUUCGAGCGCUGGGGGAAACCCUAGGUCCGGUUCUUCGGAUCGGAUGGUGGCGGUGUCACGAUGUCGCACCCCUUCCUGAAGGCGCUAUCUUGUUCGCCCCCGGUGUCCCUGUUUGUUUGAUUUUGAGAUGUUCGACGUCGUGCUUGUUCGGCCUGCCUCUCUGUUUAGGAUUUGUGGGUGUAGUUGUGUCAUUUCCCCUGUUCGGGCUGAGCACCCCUUGUCUCUCUGCUCCGGGUUCCAUGAUCAUGCCUCUUUGGGUUCAUGCCAUGUGUUGUAUCCUCUGUUGUACGCAUUCUCUUUCUUCUAUCAAUAAAGGAUAUGCAAGCUUUGUGUAUUCACAAAAAAAAAGACGUUCUGAAGCUCUGAAGCUAAAGAUGUAAAUAAAUCUGAACUCUCGCACUCACUUUUAAAUCGUGGGGCAGUAUACUCUAAUCUAUCCAGCUCUUCCUGUAAAACAAAUAUACUGUCAGCAUGUGAUUUAUCAUUCAUGAAUCGUUUAUCAUGCCAUUUUUAGAAUGUGACUGGCAAAAUGGUGUGACUGUACAAUUCUACUUUUUUCGAAAAAGAGGAUUACCCCUAGUAUCUACAUAGAGCCAUGCACACAACCAUUUUAUUAUAUUAUUUAACGGAACCAAACGAAACAAAUAUAUGGAUCAAGCCAAAGCCACCUCCCUAGAAACUAUUGUCGUUACACGUACAAGCUUUAAUGGCGUGCCCUGACCACUUAUCAACACACAUCAUAUAUUCCGGUCGCCUCACCAAGAUGCCUGCCGGCAAUUUGAGAGCAUCUACCGGUCUAGCUAGACCCUCUGCACGCACAUCAUGCACACGCUUUAGAUUCAGCCACCGCCAUGUUCCGCGGUCCCACCUUCAAGAGCGAUCAACGUAUUCAUCUCGCUAGGCCAUCUCGACACCAGAUAGCUCCACUAUCCAGCGCGGGCGCCCGUCGCCGACACUCCGCCGUGCCACGCCACCGAGACCCUGUGUCGUCCUUUCGGUAGAUGUAACACCGCUCCUCCACUUGUCUCUUCCAGUCGGCUCCUACUCGAGACAAUGCCCCUAGGAGGGAGAACGGCGCUGAAGGCACCAUCAUCGUCCGAUCCGGGAUACCCAGAACUAGAGUUUCCCCCGGAACAACCCGAGCGUAGUGACACAACUUACAAAUGACGAUGCCUCGAAAAAGGAAACAACGUUAGAGACGCCACCAUCUGCCAUGACCGCAGUUAGCACAAUUUCACCGGAAGUCGCGUCGACAUGGAGACGUAAGCUGUCGCCGGAACGUCGGCAUAGGGCCUCCAGUCGCCCCUGACCUGUCCCUGCACGCAUCGCCUGCCGGCCAAGGCCACGCCAAGAUGGAUCUGGAUGGGACGCUAGUUCCGCGGCCACUGCCGCCACCCAUCACAUGGUCGGCCAGGUCAACGACUAAUCCCACAGCCAUGGACAAACCGGUCGCCGCCGCCAGCCCGGGUCACCACCCUGACCGCACCGGCUGAAGACACAGGUGUCGUCGCGAGAUUGAUACGGUGAACAAGGCCCGAAUCCCUCGUGCUCGACCUUGAUCAGCCACACACAAGCAUCUCUCCACGCUGACGAGGGGUCCACUAUGGGAUCCAUCGCGCCGACUUCCGCCACCGCGCCGCGGGAAUAGACUGCCCUGAUGCUGCCGCCCACUGAGGCGGGCUUCGCCUGUUCGGCCUCCUCCAACAGCGUCCGGCCGUGGGCUGCNNNNNNNNNNNNNNNNNNNNNNNNNNNNNNNNNNNNNNNNNNNNNNNNNNNNNNNNNNNNNNNNNNNNNNNNNNNNNNNNNNNNNNNNNNNNNNNNNNNNNNNNNNNNNNNNNNNNNNNNNNNNNNNNNNNNNNNNNNNNNNNNNNNNNNNNNNNNNNNNNNNNNNNNNNNNNNNNNNNNNNNNNNNNNNNNNNNNNNNNNNNNNNNNNNNNNNNNNNNNNNNNNNNNNNNNNNNNNNNNNNNNNNNNNNNNNNNNNNNNNNNNNNNNNNNNNNNNNNNNNNUUCAGCCUCUCCACUUGUGGGAACAAUAUCCUUGAAUGUUUAGUUUCUCAUAUCUUUACGAAAACGGAGUAAGGGAAAUAUCGUGUGUGGUUGCAGGGAACUCACAUCAAAUGAUUGGGAGAUGUUCAUAAAUCAGUGAUAAUAGCCUUUGCAAACAGGCUAAUCCCAAAUGAUUCAAUGAAACCAACCUUCAUGUACUCAAUGAACGUAUUAUGCAUGUUAUGCUAGUUCAAGUCAUACUAAAUAUCACUUGUCUGGCAAAUAACAACAGCGUUCUCUGAAACCAUUGCAUCAUGAGAGAAUUGUGUGAAAUGGAAAUUGACACGAUUUAAAUUUUCAGGUUCCUUUCCUGGUGAGCCUAUCAUAGUAAAGAAACCUGGAAGAAAACAUUGGAGAAAGGAAUUCACAAAAUGCGGAAUUAUUAAUACUAAAUGACUGUUGAUGUUCAAAUGCAUGUCAGUUCUAAAUAAAUAAAUGAUUUUCUUCUUCUUUCUGCUCUUCAAUGUUUUCUUCCCUUACAAGAUUCUAGCAGUCUUAACACCAUUAUGGCCACAGAAAAAAAAAACAUCUAUCCCAUUUGUUACACGAGCUAAAAAUAAAAAUAGCACAUGAGCAUGGGCUGCAGAAAUGCACAUUCUUACUUCUAAGAAUAAUGUCAUCAAGAGAAGCAAAAGGCUGGUUUUUUGUGACAAUAAUUUAUUCAAUGAAAAGAGUGAGCCCGGGUUGCACGAAAUAUGAGUUUAUCUAUUUUUCUUCCAACAAAAUAUCUGGUCUACCAUCACUGCACCUUCGAACAUCAGAGUGCACACAGAACAAGAAAUAAAGAAGCAAAAGGGCCCUUGCGUAACUCAUGUAUUUUCAAACAAUGCUACAGAAAAUAUCCCUUAUACUCCCUCCGUCUAGGUUUGUAAGUCAUCUUACGAAAACAAAAUAAUCCCAAAACACUUAGGCGCGGUGCGUUAACUUCUACCUCGUUUCUUGUUUCUUGACAUAUCAACCAAUAAGAGAUAUGGGUGUGCAUGCUUUUAAUGACUUGAGACUACCAAACACGACAUGCAGUGGUUAGUUCAUUGCAUGCAAUGCUAUUAAUUAGCAAAAAACAUUAAGUUCUCUCGUUUUCCCUCCUCCUUGGUCACGGUGCACAACAUAAGAUGACUUAUUCACUUAGACGGAGGGAGUAUCAUGGAUUUGCGCCUGCAUCAAUUGUUUCCGAGUGCUGUCAAAGAGAAAAAUUUACUAAGAUUUCCAUUGUCAAACUGUGAUGUCCGACUAGUGUUGGUGGAAGAAUCACAUAUUGGAGAGGAUAAUUUGGAGUAGGGGAUGAGAAGAAGUUGAAGAACAGAUGAAGAGGGUGAGAUGUAGAACAGAGUAGGUGAGAGUUCAAACAAUUCUCAUUUCAUCGAUAAGUUACGGCACAUGUCUGAUUCACUUGCCCCUUUUAAACACAUAGGCACUCUCUUACAAGUGGGCCCUCAAAUCCACACGCCCAGUGCACUAGAUGAUCUUCCUAUGGCUCACUCCUAAGUUGUCUCUCUCUAGUUGUUGGGCCCUUCGUCCUCCAUAUCCUAGUCCUCCUCAUUCCACUGGACUGGGAUCUUGAUUUCCGUCGAGGGUGUGGUAGAGAGCAGAUGCAUGACACAAUCUUUGUUCCAUUACGCUUCCUCAAAGUCGCCAUUUUAGACAUUGUCAUGUCUACAACACACAAUUAGACGCUUGGUGACCUGUUGCUUCAAAAAUAUAUUUUGAAAUCAUGUGCCUAGAGGUGUUUUGAAUGUAUGGCUACAAAUGUCACUGAGGUUCCUAGUUCCUGUUCCAUCAGCAUACCCUGCCGAAGUGGUAAUCUGACUUCAAGUGGAAUAAGCAAGACAGGAGAAAGAAUUAAGGUGGUAUUCAGCUCGUUUUCCCCUCACCUUUUUGACUCUCACAUUUUUGUUUUCCUCCCAUAUCUUAGAUGGGGUGAAGCUAUAUGCAUAAACAAAUAUGAAUUCAUAUCACACUCACCUCGACAUCUCAGUAGUACAACACAGGGCUUUCGUCACAGGGCAAUUUUCACAUUAGUCCCGGUUCAGUCACGAACCGGGACUAAUGUGAGCAUUGGUCCCGGUUCGUGCGGCUAAGGCAUUAGUCCCGGUUCACCUGGGCCCUUUAGUCCCGGUUGGUGCCACGAACCGGGACUAAAGGGUGCGAUGCCCAUUAGUACCGGUUGGUGGCACCAACCGGGACUAAAGGUCUAACCUUUAGUACCGGUUGGUGCCACCAACCGAUACUAAUGCGCUUUGAGGCAUUAGUACCGGUUCAUGGCACGAACCGGUACUAAAGGGCCCAUUUUCAAACUCUACCCCCCCUGGUGGACCGCCUUUUCAGUUUUAGGAAAAACAAAAGAAAAUGAUGGAAAUGUCAAAAAAAUAAAAUAAAAUAAGUUUCCCAUGUGAUAUGUGGUCUAGUUGUUGGGAAAAUUAACAAAUAUGAAUUUCGACUUUAUUUGCAAAAUCUCUCUGAAAUUUCUUAAAAUGGGCAUAACUUUUGCAUACGAACUCGGAUGAAAAAGUUUUUUAUAUGAAAAAUCAUCUACUCAAAAUCCUCAAAAACCUAACAGAAAAAAAGAUACGGGACUUUUAAGAUCUGGAGAGGCAAAAAAAUUCAAAAAAUUUCAAUUUGUGGUCAAACUGUGGUCAAACAAUAGUCAAACUAAUUAUUCUAGAAUAUUAGUGUUACUAAAUAAUUAUUUCAGUUUUUUUGAAUUUUGGUCAAAUCUGGUCAAACUGUGGUUAAACAGUGGUCAAACAAUGGUCAAACUAAUUAUUCCAGAAAUAUUAGUGUUACUAAAUAAUUAUUGUUUUUAAAAAUAAUAGUUUCAAACUCAAACAGUGAAAUAUGUCACUUCAUGCUCAAGCUAAAUUCCUGAGGGUUAAUAAAAUUGACAUCUUACUAUUGUCAGGAAAACAACAAGUGCAGACUUGGAAACGAGGGAGAAUAGAACCCAGAAGUUAAGCGUGCUCAGGCUGGAGUAGUGAGAGGAUGGGUGACCGUCCGGGAAGUUAGAUGAUUUGAAAUGAUGAGGGGUGAUUAGAGAUUAGAGGAUAAAUUGAGCAGUGAUGAGGGGUGGUGAUUAGAGAUUAGAGGUUAAAAUAAUUCAGAAAUUUGAAAAUCAAAAAAAAAGUUCGCAAAUUUUUUUUUCAAAAAAAAUAUAUCAUAAAAUUCUGCGUCCACGUGGACGGCCUUUAGUCCCGGUUCGUGUCUAAAGGCUUGGGUAUAUAUAGACCUUCUACACGUCUCCAAUCUCUAGUAGCUCUUCAUAUGAUAAAAAUAUAUUGUGAGUAUGGGAUAUGUGUUGAGAAGGCCAUUCAGGAAUCGUUUAUCAUGUGAGUAGACUGCAAAAUGACAUAACCAUUCCACGAGCAUGCUUAAGUUUGAAAACUCUUUCCCGGGAAGUAUCCUAUGUGAUUGAAUGUAACUCAUAAUUAUUAAAGAAUGUAUAGAAGUUUCUAAACGAGCGAGUGGUUGAAUGUCAAAUGCAUCUGAUACUCGGCGAAGACUUAUGUUUGCCAAAUUCGGUACUCGGCAAAGUUUCGCCGUGUUUAUUAUGGGCUCUGCCAAGUUUCUAAGAAGACAAUCCGGGUAGUGAUGGAUGCCUGAUCUUUAACAUGGAAUGUCUGUAUACAUAGUCCUCAAUGUGGGGCAUAAUGUAGUAGCCGGACAAGACGCUUGAUUAAUCUGGUUCUUCUCUACAAUAGAAACUCGCCUUGUACAUGAACAUAUUUUGUUUUGGGUAUAUAUAGACCUUCUACACGUCUCCAAUCUCUAGUAGCUCUUCAUAUGAUAAAAAUAUAUUGUGAGUAUGGGAUAUGUGUUGAGAAGGCCAUUCAGGAAUCGUUUAUCAUGUGAGUAGACUGCAAAAUGACAUAACCAUUCCACGAGCAUGCUUAAGUUUGAAAACUCUUUCCCGGGAAGUAUCCUAUGUGAUUGAAUGUAACUCAUAAUUAUUAAAGAAUGUAUAGAAGUUUCUAAACGAGCGAGUGGUUGAAUGUCAAAUGCAUCUGAUACUCGGCGAAGACUUAUGUUUGCCAAAUUCGGUACUCGGCAAAGUUUCGCCGUGUUUAUUAUGGGCUCUGCCAAGUUUCUAAGAAGACAAUCCGGGUAGUGAUGGAUGCCUGAUCUUUAACAUGGAAUGUCUGUAUACAUAGUCCUCAAUGUGGGGCAUAAUGUAGUAGCCGGACAAGACGCUUGAUUAAUCUGGUUCUUCUCUACAAUAGAAACUCGCCUUGUACAUGAACAUAUUUUGUUUUGUGGAACUUCCUCCGGAUUAAAAAUACUUGAAGAUAGCAACAUAAUUGAUGAACUAAAAAAUGGUACUCUGGUAGCAAUGGGAUAAAACAAUAUUAUGCCUUUCUUUCAUUAGUUAACUAAAAAUUUGUGCUGCAGUAGUAACGGGAUAAAACAAUAUAAGUAGAAACAAUUUUGAUAAGCAAUAACAUUUCCUUUUGCUAGGGCAACGCUAUAGGUAACUCCUACAAACUAUUUCUCCUAGGUGUUGAUUAAUAAAUUAGCCAUAUGCAAAAUUAAACUGCAGUGGAUUAGUAAUACACGGUUGAAGUCAACACUUCCGGUUAAUCUUAUAAAAUCUAGCCUCUUUAGUCUCCAAUCUCACAUUGAGACAUGGUUAAUAGUUGUUGGUAUAUCUAAAUCCUAUGGGAGGACAUCCUCUUAUUCUCAGACACAUGAGCCCAAGUAUCUCCACAAAAAGUUCACCAGACAUACAUAUCAUGUCCUUUCAUAGCCAUCCAAAAAAAGGAAGGUGCUAUGAUGUAGUGCAACAUUGAUGGAAUAAUACCAAAAAAUGUAAAAAGGGUGUUUCAUUCUCAAAAAUAACUUUGGAAGUAUAUCGGUGAACCAUCUAAACAGGAACAUACUAGUAAAUUUGUUGAGGAAAUUGUUAACUGGUAGCAGCUUGGUUGGCUAGGGAGUAGGGGAUUAAUAGGGUGAUCGGCAAGUUUAUUGGCCUAUUAAGCAAUUAAACGGAGGAUUUAUCAGUUUAUUGGCUACAUGGUGACCUUACAAGUAGGGAUUAAUUCCCAAGUUAACUGGUUAAUCAGACGAAUUCUUCAACAGGACCAGUAAUCAUGCUAAUAUGGUACAUGAUAAUCUCUUAUGGUUGAAUGAAUAUGAGUAAUGUCUGUAGCUAUCUUUAACAGUAUUUUAUUGAGUACCUAAAUAUGUAAAGUUCAGUAGUUUGUACUAUCAUGUUAUUGCACAAAAAAAAAGGAAAUCUCUCAUUCCAAUUUUUUUAGCUAAACUAAACAAAAGAUACUAGCAUGUUGCUCAGGAGAUAGGAAUGGUAGCAGGGGUAGAUAGCCAACAAAAACAUUAUGUUAUUACAGUGUGAAUAAUAAAUAAGAUUAUUUGGAUCAUAUGAAGGAUAAAGCCAUCAAUCUCGCCCAUGUGCAAUAAUUUUAAUUUGUCUUUGUGUAGUAUAUAUUGUUGAUUAAUCAUUCGUGAUGAGAUAUGCACCUUCAUAUGGUUUAACAAAUAGAAGAUGGGUGGCGCCAGAAUAAUUUUUCUGACCGUGCAAAGAUAGAGAUCUGCAUUGCUCUCAUCAAUGACCUGCAACGAUUCAUGCAUGCUUCUACUAUGAUCCUUGAGCCUAUCAAAAUUAAUUGCUAUAAUCUUGACUGACCGAGCUACUGAUAUGUGGGCGUCUUGAUGAGUAUGGCGAAUUCUCUUUUAUCUUGGUGGUUGUUCAUUUCAUAGACAUCUCAAUAUAUUGUUUAUUUGGAUGGUUUUGUCUCCUCCUUUAUUUUGGGGUUAUUUUUACAAAGAGAAGUCUAGUUUUCUCCCUAACAAUUUCACAUGGAGAAGUGUCACUCAUAUUUAUUUCAAUCACAUUUACCUCUUGACCUUAAUAUUCACUCACAUUUACCUCCUGACCUUUUGGUUUUGGUUUAAUUUUUCCAUUAAAAUUUCACAAAUGAUAGAAUCCUCCCUGGAAGUUUUAAGAAAAAAAAAAUCUAGUAAAGGCAUAUGUAAUUUUUUUGUAAAGGAGAAUGUAUUAAUAUCAAGCAGAUACCAAUUAUUCCCAGACUCUGCAACAACAAGAUGCCUAAAAACAUCCAGGAUGCACACAGCUAAAAAUUAAAAUAAAAAGGGAAGAAAAAAUGAGAAAAAAUAUCCCGCCACGGUGAUCAAUCACCCGAUGUAGCCGCACUCUAACCACCACCAAAGAUGUCACCCGGACUACAAAAUAGGUUCUCCAAAAGCAAUGCCUCUAGAAAGGAAACAAAACACAAGCAUUGUCGUUGCCCGAUCAAAGAUAUUACGUUUUCACCCUGGAGAAAGAUCAGGUUCCCAACAAUAAUGCCUUCAACAAGACUACCGCCAGGCACAACCAAUAAAGGCCAGACCUUGGGUUUUCACCUUGGAAAUCCUGAUUGGGUACUCAAAGGAGCACCGAAUAACAAAGAAGUCCUCCAAUGCCGCCACCCCCACUUGCGGAGGCUAAUACUGCAAGUCACGCACCAUUAGGCUCACAGGAAUUCACAUCCCGCCUGGACGGGAACAUAUCCUGUAAGCCAUGUCUAAACAACUGCCUAUGAAGCAAAGUCUUCAUCGCAUCCAAGACCUCGCAUUCGCCACUUGCAAGUCCUUCAAUCACGCCAUGGCAUUCUCCGUAUGUGUUGAUCCCAUGGAAAUCUUGGUGCAGACAUGUCCCAAGGUGCCAACAAAAACAGAGCUUCACGAUACCCCGGUAAACCUGGUUAUGCUGAUGUUGCGGGUGCGCACGACAGGCCCCUAUCUAGUCAAGGUGUCCAAAGAGCGCCAUAUGUGCCAGUCCUUUUUUUCCUUCAAAGGAGAAGUCCGGAAAUCGCAGAUGGCCAGAUUGAAGAUCUCAGGUUCUCAAUUGCAUGAGCUUGUGAGCAACGAGAAUGAGCAAGACCGAACAAGGGGAAACCAUCCAAGGACGGGAACACCGUGUGCACAAUAUAUAGGAUCCAAUUUGCACCAGCAAUGUUUAUACAGGAAUAACCAAAAUGUGAGUGUUGCCACGUACAUGUAUUUACUACUGCAGAUAGUUUUCUUUAUUGCACAGGUAUAAAACUUGUUCUUAAUUUUAAUCAAUUCUCUUGCACAAAUUUAUCCACAGAGAGCACAUAUAUGAUUUAUCUAACACUAUGUUUUCAAUAUCACAAGAUAAAAUCUUGUCUUUACAGAGCAAAAUUAUACACCGAUAAAAAUGUGUUGUCUGCCUGCAUGAAAUUACAUAUGCUAUGCAAAACUCUUUACUUCGUAUCGUCAUGAUCAUCCACAAUAUUAAAAUUGUAAAUAAACAAAAAAAGAGGUGCCGGCAAAUAGUUUUGGAUAGAGUAGUUUGGCACAAUAUAUAUGUUAUCCCUGAAAAUAUAACGUCUUCCUGGAUCACACUGUAGCUUCGUGAUAGUUUUGACGGCUAUGAUAACAAAAGCUGCCGACACAUGGCUCUGGAAAUAGUUAUGGCUGUAGGGGUAAAUAUAAUAGCUGACAGCUCUAAAAAAUAUUCCCGCAAAAGAAGGCAGCUCUAAAAAACAAGCCGACAAAAGAAUCAUGAAGCUACAGUGUGAAUUAUACUCUCUCCAUUCACAUUAUUAUGGGAAAACGAAUUGUGCGAGUACAGUCUGCCAAAAUGAGUGGUCGUCCAUGCACCUUGUUUAGGGGCAACUUUAUUUUAAUGUGUCUUUUUGUAGUAUAUAGUGUUGAUUAAUCGUCCGUGAUGAGAUCUGUGCCUUUGUGUGAUAUAACAAAUAGAAGAUAUAUGGCGCCAGACUAAUUUUUCCAUCCGUACGUGCAAAGAUGAGAUAUGAAUGCAUUGCUCUCAUGAAUGACCUGCAACGAUAGACAUAUGCAUUCAUACAUGCUUCUGCUGUGAUCCACGAGCCCGUCAAAAUUAAUUGCUAUGCAGUGGCUUAACUACUCAGAUGAACGUGGGCGUCUUAAUGAGUAUGGUGACUUCUCUCUUAUGUUGGUGGUUGUUCGUUUCAUAAACAUUUCGAUAUAUUGUUUAUUUGGAUGGUUCUGCUUCCUCCUUUAUUUUGGGGUUGUUUUUACAGUGAAAAUUCAAGUUUUUUCACUAACAUAUUCGCAUGGAGAAGUGUCACUCAUAUUUAUUUUCACUGACAUUUACCUCCUGACAUUUAUUUUCACUCACAUUUAACUCCCGGCCUUUUGGUUUUGGUUUAGUUUUCCCAUUCAAAUUUCAUAAAUCAUAGAAUUUUCUAUCGAAGUUUCAAGAUUUGUUUUUCUAAAAAAGGUACAUGUAUGCACUAUAUAUUAGAUCUAAUUUGUACCAGUAAUGUUACCAGCUACAUGAAUUUACUGCUGCAGAUAGUUUUUUUUUGUAUUGCAUAUGUAUAAAUCUUGUCCUUAAUUUUACUCAUUUCUCUUGCACAAAGUUAGCUUCAUAGUGCACAUGUAUGAUUUACCUAAUAUUAUUAUUUCAAUAUUCCAAAAUAUAAUUUUGUCUUAACAGAGUGAAAUAAUACACCAAUAAAAAAACAUUGUCUGUAUGCAUGAAAUUACAUAUGCUAUGCAAAACUCUUUAGUAUGUAUCGUCAUGAUCAUCCACAAUAUGAAAAAAUAGUAAAGAAACAAACAAGAGGAGCAGACACAUGGUUUUGGAUAGAGCAGUUUAGCACAAUAUAUUUUAUCCCUGUUUAUAUAACGUCUUCAUUGCUCACACUGUAGCUUCGUGAUAGUUUUAUUGGCUAUGAUAACAGAAGCUGCUGACACAUGGUUCUGGAAACAGAUAUAACAGCAGGUGUAAAUAUAAUAGCCGCAGCUCUAAAAAAUAAGCUGACAAAAGAAUCAUGAAGCUACAGUGAACUAUACUCCAUCCUCCCUUGUCUAGGGGCAACUUAAUUCGCUUUGCGAAGGAUAAUGCAUCCAUGGCAAACAGUUUCAGGGUUGUCAGAAUAAGAAAUCUUAUGCCUCCCGAUCAAGAUCUAGACAGAUUUUCAGGGCAUGGUGUGGCCGUCCAACUACCUGAUAAAAAAAAAGAUAAUGAAAAGGGCCCACAGCAUCAAACCAAUGACAGAUAUGUUCAGUUUCGAAUCUCUUAAUAUUUAGUUUGAAAGCUGCAGAUUUUCAGGUUGUGAGAGCCGAAACUCUUGGACCAAGCCAUAUGUUCAGUUUCGAAUCUGACCUAGUAGCGUCCUGGAACUAGUUAUCAUCGAUUGGCUGCCAAACUCCCCCAAGAAACUCCGCACACAUCUCUGCAAUCGAACCAGGGCAAAUUAAUUUAGCGAAGGGAACUCACAACGCAGUGUCUCUUGACACAUCAUCCUAUUUAGUGAAAACUAUUUAGAGACAAUGACCCCUAUUCAUUAUAUACUCAACACGUCUCUUAAUAUUUAAAGUAUCUUAUAAAUGUCGUAUCUAAAUGAUAUUCCAUUUAAUUAGUUUAUGGACCUUUUUUGCAUGUCAACAUUGUGGCCUACUCCAGUUGUGAAGACAAAAAUUGUGAGAUAAACCACAAAGGCUCAAAGCGUUAGUCACUAUACGCAGAAAAACAAGUUAAUUAAGAGCCAUAUCUACACUAAAUAGAACAUAGGGAAGCUCAUCGAUCCAUCACCGGCCACACUUCUUGAGUUAGGCGAAUGUUCUCUUUUGGAGACCAUUGAGGACAUGCGCAUUUCAUCGCUCCAUCUGCCUGUCACUACAAGGGAUAAGGCUACACUAGUAGAAAACAGGGUUUUGGUUCGGCCAGAAAAGAGCAUUAAUCCCGGUUGCAUUACGAACCGGGACUAAUGUGAGCAUUAGUCCAGGUUCGAGCGGCUAGGGCACCGUACAUGCAUUAGUCCCGGUUCAAAUGGGACCUUUAGUCCCGGUUGGUGCCACGAACCGGGACUAAAGGGUGCGAUGCCCAUUAGUACCGGUUCGUGGCAUCAACCAGUACUAAAGGUUAGAUCUUUAGUCCCGGUUCGAGCCACCAACCAGUACUAAUGGGGUUUGAGGCAUUAGUACCGGUUCAUGGCACGCCUUUUCAGUUUUGUAAAAAGCAAAAGAAAAUGAUAAAAACUUCAAAAAUUAAAAUCCUUCCAGAUGUAGUUAUGUUACUACAUGUCCUAGUUAGGAAAAUUUAAAAACUUCAAUUUGGACAUGUUUCGCAAAAAGUGUAGGGAAAAUGUAAAACGGCUAUAACUUUUGCAUACGAUGUCAGAAAAAACGUAUAAUAUAUCGAAAUGUUCAGCACGAAAAUCCGCAUCCGAUUUUGACAGCCUACGGCCUGUUUGUAAAUUUUUAGAAUCCUCAAAUUCUAAAAGGGAAAAAAGUUAUGCUAUUUCUGUUUUUUUAAUUUUUGUUAAAUCUGGUCAAACUAUGGUCAAACUACUUAUUCAAGAAGUAUUAGUGUUACUAAAUAAUUAUUCAAGAAUAUUAGUGUUACUAAAUAAUUAUUUCAGUUUUUUUGAAUUUUGGUCAAAUCUGGUCAAACUGUGGUCAAACAAUGGUCAAACUAAUUAUUCAAGAAAUAUUAGUGUUAGUAAAUAAUUAUUUCAGUUUUUUUGAAUUUUGGUCAAAUCUGGUCAAACUGUGGUCAAACUACUUAUUCAAGAAAUAUUAGUGUUACUAAAUAAUUAUUGUUUUUUAGAACAAUAGUUUCAAACUCAAACAGUGAAAUGUGUGACUUCAUGCUCAAGCUAAAUUCCUGAGGGUUAAUAGGAUUGACAUCUUACUAUUGUCAGGAAAACAACAAGUGCAGACUUGGAAACGAGGAAGAAUAUAACCCGGAAGUUAAGCGUGCUCAGGCUGGAGUAGUGAGAGGAUGGGUGACCGUUCGGGAAGUUAGAUGAUUUGGAAUGAUGAGGGGUGAUUAGAGAUUAGAGGUUAAAUUGAGCAGUGAUGAGGGGUGAUUAGAGAUUAGAGGUUAAAAUAAUUCAGAAAUUUGCAAAUCAAAAAAAAAAAUUUAAAAAAAAAAUCAUAAAAUUUCCUUCAGUACCGGUUGGUGUUACCAACCGGGACUAAAGGUGGACCUCACGUGGAGGGCCUUUAGUCCCGGUUCGUGUAAGAACCAGGACUAAAGGGGGAGGCUUUAGUAACGACCCUUUAGUCCCGGUUCCAGAACCGGGACUGAAGGCCCUUAUGAAGCGGGACUAAAAGCCCUUUUUCUACUAGUGCUAGUAGUGGCGCGGUUUAAAGGCAUAGGAGUAGCGCGGGUUGCCUCUCUACUUACAUUAGCAACUAUAUAAAAACUCAUCAUCAUCAUCAUCAUCAUCAUCAUCAUCAUCAUCAUGUAACAACUCAUCAGCGCGUAGCUAACUGGUUCCUAGUAAGACGGGCCAGGCUCGGCUCUAAUACUACUUACAUUAGUAGCAGCGCGGUGUUUGGCCCGUGCUACUAAUAACUAGCUAUAGCGCGAGGCCCCCCGCCACUACUAACUCUAUGUAUUUCCUUUCUACAUAUUAUACUAUAUUAUACAAUAAUUAUACAGAUUUUUAUACACUAGCAACUAUAUAACAACUCAUCAUCAUCAUCAUCAUCAUGUAACAAAUCAUCAUUAUCAAAAUGAUAUAACUCAUCAUCAUCGUAGUGAUAUAACAGCUCAUCAUGAUCAUAAUUAUAUAAAAAUGUCUCAUCAUCAUCGUCAUCAUCACCAUCAGCAUCAUCAUAAGUUAACCACUACUAGCUAAUUGUCAUCAUCCUAGGUAAGUAACUUUCAAGCACAUGACAAGUACUAUGACCUACUCUAGUGUCUUAGGUAAAAUAGAAUAAAACAGAAAAAAUAACUACAUCUCCAUGAUGGACCACAGAGAUCCCCGGUCUCCAAUUUGUUGCCCGCGCUCAUUGACUAUUUGCCUCCAUCAUUCAAUUUUGAGGCAUCCAUUUGAUUAACACUCAGUCAAGUAUGUAUAUUUGAAUCCGAUCUUCAAAGGGCAAAUAAUAGUCAUCUCACUUUUGACGUCCAUCAGCAGAGGCACAACAACAUUUGGGACCUUCCGCUGAAGUACAUAAUAGUAACAUAGUCGAAAUAUGCAGAUAUAGCAAGAAUGAUCCUAAUUUAUUUAGGCAUCACUACCAGUUUGCCCUCAAUGCCUCGAGCGCCAUCUGGCAGAUCAACCAAGUUCCAAACUUGAUUGUCAUCCAUGGACUUUAAUUCGGAUCUCAUGGUCUUAAGCCAUAACUCAGAAUCAGGGCUCUCCGUCGCUUCUGCAUACAUUGCCGACUCGUUGUUCUCCAAGAACAACACAUUGCAGUUAUGCAUAUUGCGCAACCUUUCCGACCUCUGUGGAAUCAGCGUCGACUCCACUAUGGGUUCCUUGACUAACUCCAUGUGGUUCUCGAAUUUCCUCUAGUCGGAUCAUCCUCCCACUAGCCUUCCGAUUGAGAAACUCUUUCUCAAGGAAAACUCCAUGUCGAGCGACAAACACUUUGCCCUCUUCACAGAUGUAGGAGUAAUAUCCCAAGGUUUCCCUUGGAUACCCCAUGAAUAUGCACUUGUCCGAUUUGGGUGUGCGCUUGUCUGACUGGAGUCGCUUGACGUAUGAUUCACAACCCCAAAUUUUUAGAGAAGACAAAGUUUGGCUCUUCGCAGUCCAUAUCUCAUAUGACGUCUUAUCUACAAACUUGGAUGGUACCCUAUUUAGUGUGAAAGCUGCAGUUUCUAGAGCGUAUCGCCAAAAUAACAAGGGUAAAUCCGACUGACUCGUCAUUGAUUGGGCCAUGUCUAACAGAGUCUGAUUCCUUCGUUCCAACACGCCAUUUCUCUGUGGCAUACCCCGAGGAGUCAGUUGUGGAACUAUCCUACGACUCUUCAGAUAAUCAUCAAACUCCUGGCUCAUAUACUCAUUCGCCACGAUCAGAUCGCAGAAGUUUGAUUCUCUUGUCGAGUUGAUUCUCCACUUCAUUCUGAAACUCCUUGAACUUUUCAAAAGUUUCUAACUUGUGCCUCAUCAAGUAGACAUAUCCAAAUCUACUCAAGUUAUCUGUAAACGUCAUGAAGUAUUGGAAACCACCUCUAGCUGGACUUGUUUUACCAUUGUUGAAAUGUCUUGUGCAUCGGGAUUCCGAGUCUGAUCGGAGGGUCUCGAGAUGGAGGAUUGUCUCUGCGGAUCGUGAGCUUGUCAUGGGCAAAGUUGGGACACCCCUGCAGGGUUUAAACUUUCGAGAGCCAUGCCCGCGGUUAUGUGGCAGAUGGGAAUUUGUUAAUAUCUGGUUGUAGAGGACUUGAACUAAACUCAAUUAAAAUACACCAACCGCGGGUGUAACCGUGACUGUCUCUUUCCAGGUGCGUUCGAGAAGAGAAUACGGUUGGGUUAUGUUUGAACGUAAGUGGUUUAGGAUCACUUCUUGAUCACUAUUAGUUUGCGACCGUUGUGUAGAUUCUCUUCUUACUUUUGUACUCGUAAGUUAGCCACCAUACAAAUGCUUAGUGCUUGCUGCAGCUUCACCACUAUCCAUUCCAUACCCAUUAAGCUUUGCUAGUCUUCAUACCCAUGGUAAUGGGAUUGCUGAGUCCUCGUGGCUCACAGAUGACUACAACAAUAGUUGUAGGUACAGGUAAUGCAAUGAUCUGACGUGAGAGCGAUGCUUGAUUGCUUUUGGAGUUCUUCUUCUUCUUCGAUCAAGGGAUUAGGUUCCGGGUCGGGGAGCCUGGGAUUAGUGGGGUGGAUAUUAUUCUUCUUUUUUGUUUGAUUUCAUCCGUAGUCGGAUCCUGCCCUUCUGUGUGCGCUCGAAAUGCGGUUGGAACAGACGAUCGCUAGACAGCGCGCCCGCAUUGCCACCCUCAAAGACGGUGAUGCCAGCUCUGCCUUCUUUCACCGGCAGUGCUCGUUUCAAUGACAGAAAAACCGCAUCUUCUGCCUCUCUGCGAACGGCACGCUACUCACAGACCAUGACGAGAUGGCCGAGGCUGCAUUCCGGCACUAUGACACACUGCUUGGCACGGCGGUCGAACACGACCACUCGAUGGACCUGUCGCAGCUCAUCGAGGGGAGCGAUCUCUCCGACCUUGACGCGACCUUUUGCCCGGAGGAGAGAUGGGAAGCUGUGAAACGCCUCCCCGCGCACAAGGCAGCUGAGCCUGAUGGCUUUAGCGCUGAAUUUCUCCGCGUGUGCCGGAGCAUCAUCAAGCAGGACUUCAUGGAUGUGUUCCAGUAGCUCUUCGAGCUGCGUGGCCGUGGCUUCUGCAAGGUCAACCAGGCCCUUCUCACGCUGCUGCCGAAGCCCAGGAGGUGCGCAACUACCGCCCGAUAUGCCUCAUUCAUAUCGUGGCCAAGGUACUCGCGAAGGCCCUCUCGCUCCGGCUAGCUCCAAAACUUGACCGCUUUGUCAGCCGCAAUCAAAACGCGUUCAUCCUCGGACGGAGCCUACACGACAACUUUAUGCUCGUCAGGCAAUCGGUCAAGCUGCUGAGCCAACUUGGGGGCCCCAGGGUGAUGCUCAAGCUCGACCUCACGCGCGCUUUUGACUCCAUCUCCUGGCCGUUCCUCUUUGAGGUUCUGCGCCAAUUUGGGUUCGGGAAUCGCUUCCUCGAAUGGAUCGCCAUCCUCCUGUCCUCGGCAAGCACUCGGGUGUAGUUGAUUGGUGUCCCAGGCCCACUGAUAUGGCAUAAGGGAGGGCUGCGGCAGGGGGGACUCCUUGUCCCCGCAGCUGUUCGUGCUCGCGGUCGACACUCUCGGCCGGCUGAUUCGGCGCGCCCAUGAUACGGGCAUCCUCCAGCCGCUGCAUCUGCGGAGGCCGAUACCGGCUAUAUCCCUAUACGCCGACGACGUCAUGCUCUUUUGCCAUGCCACGGAGAGUGACGUGACUGUCGUCAAGGAAAUCCUUGACCUGUUUGGUAGAGCGUCCAGCCUCAAGGUGAACUACACCAAGAGCUCGGCCACGGUCUUGCAUCGGGAAUAGGUUGCCUCCGAGAUGAUCACCAGCUUGGGGUGUUCGACUGCCGCGCUCCCGGUCACCUACCUCGGUAUACCUCUGACGAUGCGCCGCCCUUCCGCCGGGCAGUUGCAGCCCCUUGUCGACAAGGUCACCGGACGCUUGCCCACCUGGAAAGCAUGGCUCAUGAACAGAGCCGGCAGGCUCGCCCUCGUCAAGUUCUUCCUUUGCACUAUCCCGGUGCACCAGCGGGUUGCAUUUGCCCCCUCGAAGAAAAGACUGCAGCAACUCGAGAAAAUUCAACGAGGGUUCCUCUGGGCCGGGCGAGCCAUCACCAACGGCGGGCACUGCCAUGUGAACUGGCAUCAUGCUUCCCGCCCGCUCGCGCUUGGCAGCCUUGGGGUUCGUGAUGUCGAGCGCGUUGGACUCGCGCUCAGGCUGCGGUGGCUCUGGCUCUCGCGAACGGACGAAGGGCGCGCCUGGCAGGGGCUGGACCUCCAAUUUUCUAGCAACGAGCGUACACUGUUCUUUGCCUCCACCUACAUGACCAUUGGAAAUGGCAUGAACGCCCUGUUCUGGGAGGAUCGAUGGCUCAACGGGCACUCGGUUGGCGAGCUCAUGCCCCUGUUCUACAGCUGCAUCCCCAAACGCCGGCGCAAAGCUAGAACGGUGGCCGAAGGUCUCAACUGCAACGCAUUGGCCCAUGACAUCCAGGGCGUCCUCGUCAUCCACGAGAUAGGCCAGUAUCUACAGCUUUGGCAACUCACGGAACAGGCUAUGCUCAGCGAUGCUCCUGACCAGCUGAUCUGUAAGCAGACUGCGAGCGGCAUCUAUUCGGCGCAGUCUUGCUACGCGGCUACCUUCCAAGGAUCAGUGCACUCCUACUCUUGGAAGUUGAUCUGGAAGGCUUGGGCUCCCCCUCGACUCAAGUUUUUCCAUUGGCUUGCCAACCUGGAUCGCUGCUGGACUGCCGAUCGACUGGCCUGCCAAAGACUGCAGCAUCAUCUGUGCUGCCUUCUUUGCGAUCAGGCGCCGGAAAUGAUCCGGCACCUCAUGCUUGACUGCCCCUUCUCUAGGCAGGCAUGGCAUGAGACCCUGGCCUGGCUACGCAUACCGGCGUCGAUCCCCAACCAGGAGCCCACCCUCAUGGACUGGUGGCGGCACGCCGCAAGCACAACGCAAGGCCCUGCAAUCCGUAGUGCUACUCGUACCAUGGCUCGUCUGGAAGCAUAUGAACAGCCACGUCUUCGACAGCGCGACGCCCUCCCUAGGCACGCUAGUCGACCGGAUCAAGGAGGAAGCCGACUCCUGGGCUAAGGCCGGAGCAGUAGGCCUUAGAGUAGUCCUACCCCCUUUAUGGGACGUGCACUGAGCAUUGUAUCUGAUCCUUCAUUAUUCAUCCUAGGACGACUGUAACUGACUCCCUACCUUUUCAAUGAAAAGAAACGGAAAGGUCUUUUGCAUUUUCUCGAGAAAAAAAAGAAUGACCUUGAGGCAAGCUCAAUGAAAAUACGUUUUCCAAAGGUUUCAAGACUAUCUUCCUUGUGCUCUGGGAUAAAGCCAUUUGCAAUUCAUAGUCAGAUCAGCUUGUCCACAUCAAUCUUGUAAUCCUUUGGAAAUAUAGCACAAAAGGAAAAGCAUUGCUUCAUGUGUGAUGGCAAGUCAUUGUAGCUAAGCUUUAAUAUUGGCAGAAUCCAGUUUCCAAAGUGCAAAUGCUGCUACUAGAUGAUAUAGCCUUCCACUCUUCGACGCUAGUCUUGGUACGAAGUACAUAGCCCAAUGCAGUUGCAGCUAAAGGAGAGCCAGAACAUCAGCUUACAAUCUCAUCAACCAUCUUGCUUAGCUCGACAGGCUUUUCUUUCUCCGAACUGAAUGCUCUAGCCUCAGUAAUUUCCUUUACGAAGAAAUCCUCCACAAUAUUGAGAUUGUAGGCUCUACCUGCACCCAUAAUUUCAGUGACUUGUUUAUCACGAGUUCUUGUUAACAUUGCACUACCCAUGCCACCAUGUUGAGGACAGACCUUCAGCCUUCCCAACUUAUAGACCUCUCUGUUCCAGACAUCAUCCAAUACAUGGAGAUACCUGUGCCCGCUGUCCAGUUUUUGAAAUCUAUCCAAAGGUAUCAUAGACCUCUCUGGGGGAUGCCCGCUGUACCCAGAGCUGCAACUGAAAAUGAUUCUGAAUUUCAGGUUCAUUGUAUAUGAGUUACGCUAAUGUGGUCUUGCCAAGGCCCCCCAUUCCAACAAUGGGAACUACUGCGAGAUCAGUAUUGCUAGCUUGACCAAGUAGUAUGUCAACGAUAUUAUUCUUAUCUCCGUGUUUGGAUCUGUUGGCAAUUUCUUGUUGGUCGCUGAUGACAUAAUCUGUGUGCCUCCACUCCUUGGACACUCGUGUUUGCCUCAACUGAUUAGACACCAACAACGUCUGCCUCAACAUAAGCGCGACGCGUUGUUGGGCUAGGCCCAGAACGGUGCGCGGGCAGGUGGGGCGUAUUUUUACCGUAGUAACUGUUUCGUCCGCUGCGCUUCCCCACGACCUGCGUUGAACACGCACGUGGAGGGUCGUGCGUGACGUGGGGGUCAUGCGUGGGGCGGUCUCCACACGCAUGCGUCACAUCGCAUUUAAUGGGAAAAGAGGCGGCCCACGCCUUCCCCGUAAAAAGGAAUAACAGCGGGCGCGCUGUUCAUUUACCCCCUGCGUCUUCUUCAAUCUCGGAAUCGCCGUCCCCUUCUUCUUCCUUCUCAAACUCUCGCCUUUGCUCGUUGCCGCCGCAUCUUCGCUGUCCUCCGUCCUUUGCCUCUCGCAGCCGCCAUGGCCCCCAAAACAAGUAAAGGAAAGGGAGUGGCCAAGGAUGCCGGGGCGAAGGAGCCGCCGGAGAGCGAGUUGGUGGCGCGGCGGACGCAUCUCGCCUACUUCCCCUCGACGGUCGACGCGGUCGAACUCCGGGACUACUUCAGGNNNNNNNNNNNNNNNNNNNNNNNNNNNNNNNNNNNNNNNNNNNNNNNNNNNNNNNNNNNNNNNNNNNNNNNNNNNNNNNNNNNNNNNNNNNNNNNNNNNNNNNNNNNNNNNNNNNNNNNNNNNNNNNNNNNNNNNNNNNNNNNNNNNNNNNNNNNNNNNNNNNNNNNNNNNNNNNNNNNNNNNNNNNNNNNNNNNNNNNNNNNNNNNNNNNNNNNNNNNNNNNNNNNNNNNNNNNNNNNNNNNNNNNNNNNNNNNNNNNNNNNNNNNNNNNNNNNNNNNNNNNNNNNNNNNNNNGCGUGUCAUCCCCGCCAAUUGCGCCGAGGCCGCCCCGAAUCGGUAUCCGUUCUUCGUCGAUUACUUUUCUUGCGGUCUCUGCCCCCCUUUCUCCGAUUUCUUCAAUGAUGUCAUGCACACAUUUGGCUUCCACCUUCUGGAUUUCACUCCCAAUGCCGUGGCGUGCAUGGCUCUUUUCGCCCAUCUCUGUGAGGGCUUCGCCGGAGUUCUUCCCAACACAUUGCCCUUCCGCUAUUAGUUUUACCCUCGCAUCCAAAAGGGAGGCGCCAUCUCUGGUUGCGUCGCCUGGAUACCAAGGUCCAAAGGGACGUACCCGGAGGGCGCCCAGAAGGAGAGGUUGGAAGAGUGGCGGGGCCGGUGGUGCUGGAUUGGGGAGGACGACCCGCCGGAAUUUUUCCGGGUUCGUCAGGCGCCGCCGGUUCGCAGGAACGACUGGGGCGAUGUCAACGCCCUGGAUGACAAGCUCAAGGUCGCCACCACCAGGAUUCACCGCCUCACCGUUGCCGGGCUCACCCUGGAGAUGAUUGGGGCGGACUUGAUCCGCCGCCGAAUCGCUCCACUGCACAACAAGGGGAGACCGGCCUGGCUCUUCCAAAACGCGGCUGACAUCAUGAGGCUUCACUCUGGCCUCAACAACAACUUCACGGUGAUGGGGCACGCCCACUUCUGCUAGCGGAUCUUUCAGCUCGACGUGAACCGCGACGGCAGGGCCAAGAGGUCCGGCAAGGCUGCAAAGGCCGGCAAGGUCCUCAAGGGGCCCUUGUUUGGGUUGCCAGCGGGGGUGGUCCCGCUGAGCAACAACUCGCGCCAGACCGACAUCAUCGCCAUGAUGUCGGACUACAAUGCACACGGUCCCGUCCCAAAUUGGUUCGAGCCGCUAGCGGAUCAGGUGCAGGAGUUCUUUGAUACUUUGGCGGAGAAGUAUGUCUGCGACGAGCCGCUGCUCAUCUAGGACACCACCCAAGCAGAGCUGGACUACAUCGCCGCCAGGGCGGCGGAGGCGGAGCUCGCUAGGGAGGCCGGCAGCGCUGGCGGCAUGGAGGACGAGGUCGCAGCAGCCGCAGAGGAGAGGGAGCUCGCCCAGUGGGAGGAAUCCGAUGGGGAGGCCAGCAGCGCCAGCACCGGGGCCCCUCUUAUUGAAGAUGUGGUCGACGAUUCGGAGGAGGAGGAGGUCGAGGCUGUCGAUCCUCCGGUCAUGGGGAGAGGGCGAGUCCUGCGGCGGGCCAGCUCCGGCAAGCCGGUCCAGCCCGGCAGGGCUGUGCAACCGCAGCAGACCUAGGAGGGGUAUGUGCGCCAGACAAGGGCCGCGGUGGCGAGGAAGUUGGUGAAGGCCGUGGUGGCGAAGAAGAAAGCAACAACCUCUUCUUCGUUCAAGCGUGGCCAGACUCCACCUUCUUCCCCUCCUCGGGCAGACGUUGACACGGAGGUCGUCUUCGACUUUGGGUCCCUCAGCCCAAGGAGGAAGAGGAAGGCAUCAGAAGAGGAGGUGGAGGAUGAGUAAGUUUCUUGUUACUUUUUGUCAUCUCCGUCUCCUCAGACUGUGCUGCUUAUCUCGAUUUGUUUUCAUCUUUGCAGGGAUGCGGAGACGCUGGCCCAGAGGGUGAAGAGGGCCAGGUCCUCGGCUGGCGGCCGGCCUCCGGCGGGCACUUCGAGGAUGCCACUAGUGGUGGUGAGCAGCCCGGACAGCAGUCCCCGAAGCAGCCCCCGGCGUAAGUUCCCCACUCGUCCCUCGUCAACGUGUGUUGGGGGUACGAUCCCUUGGCGCUAACCUUGCCGUGAUUGCAGGAGGAGGACAACAGGAGGAGGAGCCACGGAGGGUUACCCCCAACACGCUGCCCCCAUCGACCACGCCGCCCCGAGGGGUGGUGUCUACUACGCAACCUUCUUCUUGUAGACGUUGUUGGGCCUCCAAGUGCAGAGGUUUGUAGGACAGUAGAAAAUUUCCCUCAAGUGGAUGACCUAAGGUUUAUCAAUCCGUGGGAGGCGUAGGAUGAAGAUGGUCUCUCUCAAGCAACCCUGCAACCAAAUAACAAAGAGUCUCUUGUGUCCCCAACACACCCAAUACAAUGGUAAAUUGUAUAGGUGCACUAGUUCGACGAAGAGAUGGUGAUACAAGUGUAAUAUGGAUGGUAGAUAUAGGUUUUUGUAAUAUGAAAAUAUAAAAACAGCAAGCUAACUAAUGAUAAAAGUGAGCACAAACGGUAUUGCAAUGCGUUGAAACAAGGCCUAGGGUUCAUACAUUCACUAGUGCAAGUUCUCUCAACAAUAAUAACAUAAUUGGAUCAUAUAACUAUCCCUCAACGUGCAACAAAGAGUCACUCCAAAGUCACUAAUAGAGGAGAACAAACGAAGAGAUUAUGGUAGGGUACGAAACCACCUCAAAGUUAUUCUUUCGGAUCGAUCUUAUUCAAGAGUUCGUACUAGAAUAACACCUUAAGACAAAAUCAACCAAAACCCUAAUGUCACCUAGAUACUCCAAUGUGACCUCAAGUAUCCGUGGGUAUGAUUAUACGAUAUGCAUCACACAAUCUCAGAUUAAUCUAUUCAAACCAACACAAAGUACUUCAAAGAGUGUCCCAAAGUUUCUACCAGAGAGUCAAGACGAAAACGUGUGCCAACCCCUAUGCAUAGGUUCAUGGGCGGAACCCGCAAGUUGAUCACCAAAACAUACAUCAAGUGGAUCACGUGAUAUCCCAUUGUCACCAGAGAUACGCACAUGCAAGACAUACGUCAAGUGUUCUCAAAUCCUCAAAGACUCAAUCCGAUAAGAUAACUUCAAAGGGAAAACUCAAUCCAUUACAAGAGUGUAGAGGGGGAGAAACACCAUAAGAUCCAACUAUAAUAGCAAAGCUCGCGAUACAUCAAGAUCGUACCACCUCAAGAACACAAGAGAGAGAGAGAGAGAGAGAUCAAACACAUAGCUACUGGUACAUACCCUCAGCCCCGAGGGUGAACUACUCCCUCCUCGUCAUGGAGAGCGCGGGGAUGAUGAAGAUGGCCACCGGUGAGGGUUUCCCCCUCCGGCAGGGUGCCGGAACAGGGUCCCGAUUGGUUUUUGGUGGCUACAGAGGCUUGCGGCGGCGGAACUCCCGAUCUAUUCUGUUCACCUAUGUUUUUAGGGUAUAUGGAUAUAUAUAGGCGAAAGAAGUCGGUAAGGGGAGCCACGAGGGGCCCACGAGGGUGGAGGGCACGCCCAGGGGGUGGGCGCGCCCCCUACCUCGUGCCUUCCUUGUUGCUUCCCUUACGUACACUCCAAGUCUUCUGGAUUGCUUCGGUUCCAAAAAUAACUCUCCCGAAGGUUUCAUUCCGUUUGGACUCCGUUUGAUAUUCCUUUUCUGCGAAACACUGAAACAAGGAGAAAAACUGAAACUAGCACUGGGCUCUGGGUUAAUAAGUUAGUCCCAAAAAUAAUAUAAAAGUGCAUAGUAAAUCCCAUUAAACAUCCAAGAUGGAUAAUAUAAUAGCAUGAAUACUUCAUAAAUUAUAGAUACGUUGGAGACGUAUCAGCAUCCCCAAGCUUAAUUCCUGCUCGUCCUCGAGUAGGUAAAUGAUAUAAGAAAUAAUUAUGAAGUGUGAAUGCUAGCAGGUGCACAAGUUUGAUCAAUGAUAAUUUCAAUCACCUUUUCAAGCAUCAUUAUAUGUCAUAACAGUAGCUCAACUCAUAAAACUUUUCAUGAUCAAGUAACAAGCUAUUCACAUAUUAAAGCAUAGACCAUAAACUUUCUUGAAAACUAACAAACUAUGUUCUCAGUCAUCAAACAAUUGCAAUUCAUCUUAUUUUCAGGAAGGGUCUAUGUAAGAGCUUUGAUUUAGCAAAUCCCACAUACUCAACUAUCAUAUAGUCUUCCAUGAUUGCUACCACUCAAAGCAUAUUUUCGGAACAAAUAGCAUCCAUCGAACACAGAGAAAGAUAGGGGCUUAAUGUUUCGCCUCCCAACUUAUUUAUCAUAUAGAUAAUUGUCAACAAUAAUAAUUCAUGAUCAAAUAUAUUUGAAUGGCCAUAUAUGCUUAGAUCUUUCCAUCACAUGAUGCUUGCCAACUAAAAAGUAGGUUGGAAUGAGAAGGAAUACUACUGACUCUUGCAUAAAAGUAAAAGAUAGGCCCUUCACAGAGGGAAGCAGGGAUUUGCAGAGGUGCCAGAGCUCGAAGCUAAAACAGAGAUGAAAAUAAUUUUGAGAGGUAUGCUUUCAUUGUCAACAUAACGACCAAGAGUUCCCAAUAUCUUCCAUACUACAUACAUUAUAGGCGGUUCCCACGCGGAAAGGUAAAGUUUUUACUCCCCCUCCACCAACAUUCACACUCCACGGCUUGUCCGAAACAAUGGGUGCCGUCCAACUAUCAACAUUCUUGGGGGAGUUUGUUGAAAUUAUUUGUGAAUUUGUUUUUGAUCUUUUGAUCAUAGGACUGGGCAUCCCAGUUACCAGCCAUUUUCUCGUGAAUGAUGAGCGGUGUCCACUCAUCGUGAGAAUAACCCACCCAGCAUGGAAGAUACUGACAGCCCCUAGUCGCUACAUGAGCGAUUCGGGCAUACAAAACAGAUUAUUAUUUGAAGGUUUAGAGUUUGGCACAUGCAAAUUUACUUGGAACGGCAGGUAAAUACCGCAUAUAGGUAGAUAUGGUGGACACUCAUGGAAGAAACUUGGUUCGAGGAAUUUGGAUGCACAAGCAGUAUUCCUGCUUAGUACAGACAUUUUGGCUAGCAAAUGAUUCUAAAUAGCAAGCACCACAAGUUAGAGGAUCCAUAACAAUAUAACUUCUAUACAAAUAUACCCAAGCAUAACUCAUUAUGUUGUCUUCCUUGUCCAACUUCAACUAAUUUGCUCAGGUUUGCUAAUAAUUAAUGGGGCUCACGAUCAUAGAAGAUGUCCAAGAUAGUAUUAUAUGUGAAAUCUCUCUUCCUUCAAUAUUCUUUCAUGAAUUGUUCAAGUGACAAAUACAAAGUUUGCUAACCUUCAAAAAAUUUACCACCUCUACUUCUUAUAUGUGAAGUCAUUACUCCCCAUGGGAUAAGUAUAUGAAACAUAUAUAAUUUCAGAUUUAUAAUAUUCAAAUCAUUCAACUAUUUACUCAUAGGAUAUAAGUGAAGCACACGAGUAAAUGACAAACUACUCCAAAAAGAUAUAAGUGAAGAUCAAUGAGUAGUUAAAUAAUUAUGUAGUUAUCUGAAGACUCUAUCUCAUUUAAGAAUUUCAGAUCUUGGUAUUUUAUUCAUACAGCAAGCAAAACAAAAGAAAAUAAAAUGACGCUCCAAGUAAAACACAUAUCAUGUGGUGAAUAAAAAUAUAGCUCCAAGUAAAGUUACCGAUGAACGAAGACGAAAGAGGGGAUGCCAUCCGGGGCAUCCCCAAGCUUAGGCUCUUGGUUGUCCUUGAAUAUUACCUUGGGGUGCCUUGGGCUUCCCCAAGCUUAGGCUCUUGCCACUCCUUAUUCCAUAGUCCAUCGAAUCUUUACCCAAAACUUGAAAACUUCACAACACAAAACUUAACAGAAGAUCUCGUGAGCUCCGUUAGCGAAAGAAAACAAAACACCACUUCAAGGUACUGUAAUGAACUCAUUAUUUAUUUGUAUUGGUGUUAAAUCUAAUGUAUUCCAACUUCUCUAUGGUUUACAAACUAUUUUACAAGCCAUAGAUUCAUCAAAAUAAGCAAACAACACACGAAAAACAGAAUCUGUCAAAAACAGAACAGUCUGUAGUAAUCUGUAACUAACGCAAACUUCUUGAACUCAACAAAUUCUACCAAAAUAGGACGACCUAGAUAAUUUUAUUAUUGAUCUGAUGCAAUUGGAAUCAGUAUUUUAUCACGUUCUGGUGAUUUUAAACAAUUGUUUUCGUGAACAGAAAGUUUCUGGAAUUUUCAGCAAGAUCAAAUAACUAUCAUCCAAGAAGAUCCUAUAGGUCUUACUUGGCGCAAACACUAAUUAAAACAUAAAACCACAUCUAAACAGAGGCUAGAUAGAUUAUUUAUUGCUAAACAGAACCAUAAAGAAAGAACAAAAAUAAAAAUCGGGUUGCCUCCCAACAAGCGCUAACGUUUAACGCCCCUAGCUAGGCAUGAUGAUUUCAAUGAUGCUCGCAUAAAAGAUAAGAAUUGAAAUAUAAAGAGAGCAUCAUGAAAAAUAUGACUAGCACAUUUAAGUCUAACCCACUUCCUAUGCAUAGGGAUUUUGUGAGAAAACAACUUAUGGGAACAAUAAUCAACUAGCAUAGGAAGGCAAAACAAGCAUAACUUCAAAACUUUAAGCACAUAGAGAGGAAACAUGAUAUUAUUGCAAUUCAUACAAGCAUACAUUCCUCCCUCAUAAUAAUUUUCAGUAGCAUCAUGAAUGAAUUCAACAAUAUAACCAGCACCUAAAGCAUUCUUUUCAUGAUCUACUUGCAUAGAAAUUUUCCUACUCUCCACGUAAGCAAAUUUAUUCUCAUCAAUAGUAGUGGGAGCAAACUCAACAAAAUAACUAUCAUGUGAUUGAAAAUUAAGAUCAAGAUGACAAGUUUCAUGGUUAUCAUUAUUCUUUAUAGCAUACGUGUCAUCACAAUAAUCAUCAUAGGUAGGAGGCAUGCUUUCAUCAUAAUAAAUUUGCUCAUCAAAACUUGGGGGACAAAAAAUAUCAUCUUCAUCAAACAUAGCUUCCCCAAGCUUGUAAUCAUGCUCAUCAUUCAAAUAUUUAGUGCCAAACAUUCUAAUGCAUUCUUCCUCUAGCAAUUGAGCGCAAUUAUCGGAAUCCUUAUUUUCACGGAAGACAUUAAAAAGAUGAAGCAUAUGAGGCACACUCAAUUCCAUUUUUUGUAGUUUUCUUUUAUAAAAUAAACUAGUGAUAAAACAAGAAACUAAAAGAUUCCAUUGCAAGAUCUAAAUAUAUACCUUCAAGCACUCACCUCCCCGACAACGGCGCUAGAAAAGAGCUUAGUUGACGGGGUGUGAGUGCCGCUUACCUAGCCUCCCCGGCAACGGCGCCAGAAAAGAGCUUGAUGUCUACUACGCAACCUUCUUCUUGUAGACGUUGUUGGGCCUCCAAGUGCAGAGGUUUGUAGGACAGUAGCAAAUUUCCCUCAAGUGAAUGACCUAAGGUUUAUCAAUCCGUGGGAGGCGUAGGAUGAAGAUGGUCUCUCUCAAGCAACCCUGCAACCAAAUAACAAAGAGUCUCUUGUGUCCCCAAAACACCCAAUACAAUGGUAAAUUGUAUAUGUGCACUAGUUCGGCGAAGAGAUGGUGAUACAAGUGUAAUAUGGAUGGUAGAUAUAGGUUUUUGUAAUCUGAAAAUAUAAAAACAGCAAGGUAACUAAUGAUAAAAGUGAGCACGAACGGUAUUGCAAUGCGUUGAAACAAGGCCUAGGGUUCAUACUUUCACUGGUGCAAGUUCUCUUAACAAUAAUAACAUAAUUGGAUCAUAUAACUAUCCCUCAACAUGCAACAAAGAGUCACUCCAAAGUCACUAAUAGAGGAGAACAAACGAAGAGAUUACGGUAGGGUACGAAACCACCUCAAAGUUAUUCUUUCGGAUGAUCUUAUUCAAGAGUUCGUACUAGAAUAACACCUUAAGACACAAAUCAACCAAAACCCUAAUGUCACCUAGAUACUCCAAUGUCACCUCAAGUAUCCGUGGGUAUGAUUAUACGAUAUGCAUCACACAAUCUCAGAUUGAUCUAUUCAAACCAACACAGAGUACUUCAAAGAGUGUCCCAAAGUUUCUACCGGAGAGUCAAGAUGAAAACGUGUGCCAACCCCUAUGCAUAGGUUCAUGGGCGGAACCCGCAAGUUGAUCACCAAAACAUACAUCAAGUGGAUCACGUGAUAUCCCAUUGUCACCACAGAUAUGCACAUGCAAGACAUACAUCAAGUGUUCUCAAAUCCUUAAAGACUCAAUCCGAUAAGAUAACUUCAAAGGGAAAACUCAAUCCAUUACAGGAGUGUAGAGGGGGAGAAACAUCAUAAGAUCCAACUAUAAUAGGAAAGCUCGCGAUACAUCAAGGUUGUACCACCUCAAGAACACGAGAGAGAGAUCAAACACAUAGCUACUGGUGCAUACCCUCAGCCCCGAGGGUGAACUACUCCCUCCUCGUCAUGGAGAGCGCGGGAAUGAUGAAGAUGGCCACCGGUGAGGGUUCCCCCCUCCUGCAGGGUGCAGGAACAGGUUCUCGAUUUGUUUUUGGUGGCUACAGAGGCUUGCGGCGGCGGAACUCCUGAUCUAUUCUGUUCCCCGAUGUUUUUAGGGUAUAUGGAUAUAUAUAGGCGAAAGAAGUCGGUAAGGGGAGCCACAAGGGGCCCACGAGGGUGGAGGGCGCGCCUAGGGGGGUGGGCGCGCCCCCUGUCUCGUGCCUUCCUCGUUGCUUCCCUUACGUACACUCCAAGCCUUCUGGAUUGCUUCCGUUCCAAAAAUAACUGUCCCGAAGGUUUCAUUCCCUUUGGACUCCGUUUGAUAUUCCUUUUCUGCGAAACACUGAAACAAGGAGAAAAAACUGAAACUAGCACUGGGCUCUGGGUUAAUAAGUUAGUCCCAAAAAUAAUAUAAAAGUGCGUAGUAAAGCCCAUUAAACAUCCAAGAUGGAUAAUAUAAUAGCAUGAAUACUUCAUAAAUUAUAGAUACGUUGGAGACGUAUCAAGGGGCGUCCCCGGCAAGGGCGCCAAGCACCGAGCCCAUGCACACAGAGGAGGAGGAGGCAGACUUGGGCGCUAGUGGCUCCGCCUCGGUGCCAGAUGUUGGCAGGGAAGGGGCUACUUCUUCCCAGCCCGGCACGGGUACGUCACUUGCCUCCUGUCCCUGCUUUUUCUUCUUCUUUUUGAAUCUUGGUCUUGGCUCCGCCUCAUCCCCUUCUCGAUAUCCAGACCCUCCCUCGGCGGACCGGGAGGACAUAGACACCGUCAUCGAGGAUGUCGCCAAGGACACCGCGGCGGAGGCCGAGAAGAUUGCCGCCGAGGAGGCCGCCAAGGGCGCUGCCGAGGACGCCGCAAAGCGAUCUGCCGGGGAGUCCGGCAUGUCUACUGCCAAAGUGGCCGGCAAGGGGCCUGCCGGGGAGGCCGGCAAGGCCGCUGCCGGGGAGGAGGUGGUUAACGACCAACCUUCCUCCUCUGCUGCCUCUGGUUCCGGCAGGUAUCUGAAGGUGAGCGACGACCUAUUCGUCAACCUCCUAGGGACGGCGAGCACUAGGGCGCCCACCGAGGGAGAGGUGUUCGACGAGGAGGUGCUUGCCGCCGCUGGGCUCGAGGUUGUUGACGAGUCGAGCGCCGGUGGCGACGGUUCCCAGGAAGAGCGGCUCCUUCAGGCCAUGGGCGCCAGCUUUCGGAAGCUCCAGGCGCUCCACCGCGCCCGCCUGGACAAGGCCAAGUCCAGGAUGGCAGCGGUGGAAAAGGCGGAGGCGGACCUCGAGGGUCGCAUCGUCGAGACGCAGGCUUGGUUCCGCCAGGGCUGCGAGGAGCUGAAGACCGCCCAGGACGAGCUGGCCAAGCGCAAGGUGGAGCUCGUCAUGAAGCAGGCCGACAUCGAGAGGGGCCAGGAGUUGGCGAAGAACCAGGCCGCCAAGGACGAGGUCGCUCGGUCCCAGCACCAGGCCGCGCUGAACUCCCAGGAAGAGGACCUUGCCGCUCGCGAGGAGAAGCUCGCCGUGACACUCCGCGGCAAGGACGAGGAGGUCAAGAAGCUUGUCCUGCAGCGGACCCAGGAGUUGGAGCAGAAGCACGAGGAGGCGCUCAAUGCCCAGGCUUAGGUCCACGCCGGCAAGGUGAAGGAGCUGGAGGUGGAGCGGGACGAGCUGAAGAAGCAGGCCCUGGAGUUGACGGCGGAGAGGGACGCUGCCAAAGGUGCCCUGGCCGACGCGCAGGCCGCAGUCCUCAGCAAGGCCGGGCUACUCUCCACGGCCAACGAGACCAUCAAGGACCUGAAGCUGAAGCUGGAGGGCCUUGAGGGGACGCUCUCGGAGGCCAAGGCCCGGGAGGAGACCCUGGCCAAAGAUUUGGAGGCCGAGAAGCAGCUGCGGAAGAACGAAACCGCCAACCACAAGGAUUUUGUGGAGGGCGAGAACCGCUGGAUCAGCCGCCUCAAAGGCGUCGCCGGCAGGAUCACCACGCAGCUGGCUACGAUGGGGAUGCCAAAUGUGAGGUACGCCCCGGAGCCCAAUGUGACUCCCAAUGCCAAGCUGACCCUAUUCUUCGAGGGUGUCCUUGGAGCCCUGGAGCAUCUUCGCUCCAGCAGGGCGGCCUCUUUGGCCGAUGAGGCCCGGAAGCUUUGCCGGGGUGCCAUGACCAAGGUCCUCACCAAGGUGGCGUACUGGAACCCCGACCUCGACUUCGACGCCGCACUAGAGAGCUUGCCGGAGGAUGCUGACCUCGCGGCGCUCAAGGAGCGUAUCAAGCCCAUCAUCAGUCGCGUCGACGGAAUCCAGAGGGUGGAGGGCCAGCGCUGGGAUUAGGCACCCCGUUUCUCAUUGCCGCUGCAGGUUCAUGACCAUGACAAUUUCUAUCUUUAGUUAGAACCGCGGCAACAACUGAUGUAAUAUAACUCUGCAGUACAUUCGUGAUGAUGUAUGUUAUCUUCCUGUUUGAUCUUCCUUUGUAUGUUCACCCUACGUUAAUCGGGUAGGCUUGCCGGCGCGUAAACCCAGGCCGCGGCGCCUUGAGGAUGGAUCCCCAAUGGCCUGCCGGGUAUGCUUGCUGCCAGGCGAACCACCUUACCGCAUUAGUAGAAAACAGGGCUUUGGUUCCGGCCUGGCCAGCCCAUUAGUCCCGGUUCUUCAUGAACCGGGACCCAUGGGGGGCAUUAGUCCCGGUUCAUGAGCCCAGGGGGCCGUCCGGGGCCUCGUGGGCAUUGGUCCAGGUUCCUCUGGAUCCAUUUGUACCGGUUCUAGAGGGCCGCGCUCCUUGCCCACAGCCAUUGGUACCGGUUCGUGCCUAUAACCGGGACAGAAGGGGGGGGGGCUUUAGUACCGGUUCGUGCCACAAACCGGGACAAAUAAGUUGCCUAUAUAUACUCGUCGCCGCAGCAGAGCACUCCACAGUGCUCUGUUUUUUCUGGCCGGCGAGGGGAGGGCAUUUGGGUGCUCUAGCUCACCUCCUAUGCACAUGAGGUGUUUGAUGAAAUGCCCGAGCGACACUAGUUAAGCUUUCUCCUCUUGAAGCUCGACCUCGGAGCUCCAUUUUUCCCAAGAUUUGUCUAGAUUUAGCGGUCCGUCACGCCCCGUCCCCGUUUUCACCGCCGUCAAUCGCCCGUGCCGAUCUCGUCGCCGGCACCAUCGUGGUGAGCCUCUUGUUCUUAUCUUCUUUCUGAUUUGCUUAAUUUAGAUAGAUACUUGUCUGAUUUUCUUACUUUUGACACACAUAAUUAUAUAUAAUGCACGCAGAUGAACCGGCAAUGGAUGUACGGUGACAGACACACCUCCGAGUACAUUAAGGGCGUGCAUGAAUUUCUCGAAGUGGCAGAGGCAAACAAGCAGAAUGGUUUUAUGUGUUGUCCAUGCCCUAAAUGUGGGAAUACGAAGUCUUACUCUGACCGGAAAAUCCUGCACACCCACCUGCUUUACAAGGGUUUCAUGCCACACUAUAAUGUUUGGACGAGGCACAGAGAAAUAGGGGUUAUGAUGGAAGACGACGAAGAAGAAGAGGACGAUGACAACUAUGUGCCCCCUGAAUACGGUGAUGCUGCAACGGGGGGAGCUGCCGAAGAUCAAGAGGAACCAGACGAUGUGCCCGAUGAUGCUGCAAUGGGGGAAGCUGCUGAAGAUCAAGAAGAACCAGACGAUGUGCCCGAUGAUAAUGAUCUCCGCCGGGUCAUUGUCGAUGCAAGGAUGCAAUGCGAAAGUCAAAAGGAGCAGCUGAAGUUCGAUCCCAUGUUAGAGGAUCACAAAAAAGGGUUGUACCCCAAUUGCGAAGAUGGCAACACAAAGCUCGGUACCGUACUGGAAUUGCUGCAGUGGAAGGCAGAGAAUGCUGUGCCUGAGAAAGGAUUUGAGAAGCUACUGAAAAUAUUGAAGAAGAAGUUUCCAAAGGACAAUGAAUUGCCUGACAGUACGUACGCAGCAAAGAAGGUCGUAUGCCCUCUAGGAUUGGAGGUGCAGAAGAUACAUGCAUGCCCUAAUGACUGCAUCCUCGACCAUGGUGCGUACAAGGAUUUGAACGCAUGCCCGGUAUGCGGUGCAUUGCGGUAUAAGAUCAGACGAGAUGACCCUGGUGAUGUUGACGGUGAGCCCCGCAGGAAGAGGGUCCCUGCGAAGGUGAUGUGGUAUGCGCCUAUAAUACCACCGUUGAAACGACUAUUCAGAAACAAAGAGCAUGCCAAGUUGAUGCGAUGGCACAGUGAGGACCGUAAGAAAGACGGGAAGUUGAGAGCACCCGCUGACGGGUCGCAGUGGCGAAAAAUUAAGAGAAAGUACUGGGAUGAGUUUGCAGGUGACCCAAGGAAUGUAUGGUUUGCUUUAAGAGCGGAUGGCAUUAAUCCUUUCGGGGAGCAGAGCAGCAAUCACAGCACCUGGCCCGUGACUCUAUGUAUGUAUAACCUUCCUCCUUGGAUGUGCAUGAAGCGGAAGUUCAUUAUGAUGCCAAUUCUCAUCCAAGGCCCUAAGCAACCCGUUAACGACAUUGAUGUGUACCUAAGGCCAUUAGUUGAAGAACUUUUAUAGCUGUGGAAUGGAAACAGUGUACGUGCGUGGGAUGAGCACAGACACGAGGAAUUUAACCUCCAUGCGUUGCUGUUUGUAACCAUCAACGAUUGGCCCGCUCUCAGUAACCUAUCAGGACAGACAAACAAGGGAUACCACGCAUGCACGCACUAUUUAGCUAACACCAAAAGUAUAUACCUGGACAAAUGCAGGAAGAAUGUGUACCUGUGCCAUCAUCGAUUUCUUCCGACCAACCAUCAAUGUCGAAAGAAAGGCAAGCAUUUCAAAGGCGAGGCAGAUCACCGGAAGAAGCCCGCCAUGCGUACCGGUGAUCACGUACUUGCUAUGGUCAAUGAUUUACACCUAAUGUUUGGAAAGGGUCCCGGCGGACUAGCUGUUCCGAAUGACGCUGGGGGACGCGCACCCAUGUGGAAGAAGAAAUCUAUAUUUUGGGACCUGCCCUACUAGAAAGACCUAGAGGUCCGCUCUUCGAUCGACGUGAUGCACGUGACGAAGAACCUUUGCGUGAACCUGCUAGGCUUCUUGGGCAUGUAUGGGAAGACAAAAGAUACAGCUGAGGCACGGGAGGACCUGCAACGUUUGCACGAAAAAGACGGCAUGCCUCCAAAGCAGUAUGAAGGUCCUGCCAGCUAUGCUCUUACCAAAGAAGAGAAGGAAAUCUUCUUUGAAUGUCUGCUUAGUAUGAAGGUCUCGACUGGCUUCUCGUCGAAUAUAAAGGGAAUAAUAAAUAUGCCAGAGAAAAAGUUCCAGAACCUAAAGUCUCAUGACUGCCACGUGAUUAUGACGCAACUGCUUCCGGUUGCAUUGAGGGGGCGUCUACCGAAAAACGUCCGAUUAGCCAUUGUGAAGCUAUGUGCAUUCCUCAAUGCAAUCUCUCAGAAGGUGAUCAAUCCAGAAAUCAUACCAAGGCUAAGGAGUGAUGUGGCGCAAUGUCUUGUCAGUUUCGAGCUGGUGUUCCCACCAUCCUUCUUCAAUAUCAUGACGCACGUCCUAGUUCAUCUAGUUGACGAGAUUGUCAUUCUGGGCCCCGUAUUUCUACAUAAUAUGUACCCCUUUGAGAGGUUCUUGGGAGUCCUAAAGAAAUAUGUCCGUAACCGCGCUAGGCCAGAAGGAAGCAUCUCCAUGGGCCAUCAAACAGAGGAUGUCAUUGGGUUUUGUGUUGACUUCAUUCCUGGCCUUAUGAAGAUAGGUCUCCCUAAAUCGCGGUAUGAGGGGAGACUGGCUGGAAAAGGCACGCUUGGAGGGGACUCAAUAAUAUGCAGGGACGGAUAUUCUUGGUCUCAAGCACACUACACAGUUCUACAGAACUCUACCUUGGUGACCCCUUAUGUCGAUGAACACAAGAACAGUCUGCGCUCCAAACACCCGGAGCAUUGCGACGACUGGAUUACAUGUGAACACAUCAGGACUUUCAGCAGUUGGUUGGAAACACGUCUCAGAGGUGACAACACUGUUUGUGAUGAGAUGUACUCGUUGUCCAGGGGACCAUUUUCGACUGUAUUGACUUACAAAGGAUACAAGAUAAAUGGGAAUACAUUUUACACGAUCGCCCAAGAUCAAAAGAGCACCAACCAAAACAGCUGUGUCCGCUUUGAUGCAGCAACCGAGAGGGGAAAGGACACAUAUUAUGGUUACAUAGUGGACAUAUGGGAACUUGACUACGGACAUGAUUUUAAGGUCCCUUUGUCUAAGUGCAAAUGGGUCAAUCUGUCAGGAGGCGGGGUACAGGUAGACCCACAGUACGGAAUGACAACAGUGGAUCUGAACAAUCUUCGGUACACUGACGAACCUUUCGUCCUAGCCAAUGAUGUGGCACAGUUUAUCUAUGUGAAGGACAUGUCUACCAAACCGAGAAAAAGAAAAGAUAAGGAAGCGAAUACAUCAUACGAUGAGCCAAAGCACCACAUAGUUCUUUUAGGAAAAAGGGACAUCGUGGGAGUGGAGCGCAAGACAGACAUGUCUAAAGAUUAUGAAAAGUUUCCUGAAAUUCCUCCCUUCAAAGUCAAGGCUAACCCAAGCAUCCUAAUAAACGAUGAAGAUUAUCCAUGGUUACGGCGCAAUAAGCAAACGACACAAGCGAAGAAAAAGUGAAGACUUUCUCUCUACAACUAUUAUGAUGAUGCCUUUGAUCUAGAAUAUCACUGCAAUUACAUGUGAAGAAAUGAAAUGCAUGUUGUAACAAACGAGUUUCCGUGUGAAAUGAUGAUACCAUGCCAAUUUGCAACCUUAUCGGAGUUCAUUUGAAAUGGUUUUCAAUUUCCGGGUCUUAUAGCUCAAAAAAGCAGUAAAUGCAUGAAAAAUAACAAAUGAAGUCAGAAAGGGUUGAAAAUUGAUGAUGUUGCUUUGAAUGGUGCAUUUUGAACACACAAGAAGUCUGGAGUUCAAAUAAGUUCGAAAAAAUGAAAUCCCUUUGUAACAGAUGAGCUUUCGUGCGAAACCCUGAUACUUCGAAAGAGAUUGUCCGUUUUGUACACAAAGUGCAUCUAGUUUUUGCCGUAACCCUCUCAACUUUCUUGCACAUGCUAUGUGGGUGAAAUGAUGAUAGCAUGCCAAUUUUCAACCUUUUCGGUGUUCAUUUGAAAUGCUUUUCAAUUUUCGGGUCUUAUAGCUCAAAAAAGCAGUAAAUGCAUGAAAAAUAAUAAAAUGCAUAAAACUAUAAUAUUUGUUAUGAUCACUAAAAAACUAAAAUCAAUUAAAAUAUUAAAUAGCAGGAAAAAGAAUCACUCAAAAAUCUAUUUUUAUAGUAAAUUUAUUCAUAAAACUAGUGAUUCACAUACAUUUAAAAAAAAUCAAAUUUUAAAACUAAUGGCACUAACAGAAAGUUUAUAAUUUUGUGACCCAAAAGCAAAAAGAAAUCACUAAAAAACUAUAAAAUUUAGUUUUAAGUAGAAAUAAAAAAAUAAAAAGAAAAAAAGGAAAAAAAAUGCCACCUACUGGACCUCCUCGGCCUAAAUACGACUAGAAACCCUACAAUGGGCCAGGAUUCAGGCCCGCAGAAGGCCCAAUAGGCCCAACAGGCAUGGCAAAGUAGAGAUUAGGCCCGUAAGCCUGCAAUAGAGAGGAGCUCGAGAGGGUGGCGGCAGCAAAGCUUAUAAACCACCCCGAGCCCCUCUCAACUAGCGAGGUGGGACUAAACAUCCCACCGCACCGUGCCAGCACAAGGCCUAUGGUCCCGGUUCAUGCCACCAACCGGUACCAUAGGCGGGCAUUCGUACCGGUUCGUGGCACCAACCAGUACCAAUGCCCACCUACGGUCCCGGUCCGUGCCACCAACCGGGACCAUGGGCCUCUGUUUCCCGCCCUUGGGGCUGCCGAAAAGAGACCUUUGGACCCUGUUGGUGGCACGAACCGGGACCAUAGGUAGGCAUUGGUACCGGUUGGUGCCAUGAACCGGUACCAUUGGUUUUGCUAUAUAAGGUAGCACUUGUGAAAAUUUCGCCAACUGCUCCCCCAUUCCCCCCGACGCCGCCAGGCCGUUCCUCGUCGUCGUCGCCGUCGCCGCCCCGAGCCCCUGCCCCGACGNNNNNNNNNNNNNNNNNNNNNNNNNNNNNNNNNNNNNNNNNNNNNNNNNNNNNNNNNNNNNNNNNNNNNNNNNNNNNNNNNNNNNNNNNNNNNNNNNNNNNNNNNNNNNNNNNNNNNNNNNNNNNNNNNNNNNNNNNNNNNNNNNNNNNNNNNNNNNNNNNNNNNNNNNNNNNNNNNNNNNNNNNNNNNNNNNNNNNNNNNNNNNNNNNNNNNNNNNNNNNNNNNNNNNNNNNNNNNNNNNNNNNNNNNNNNNNNNNNNNNNNCCCGACGACGUCGCCGCGCCCUUGACCCGCCGUUGACGUCGUCCUCACCGUCGCCGUCGUCGUCACCGCCCCCGAGCCGCUCCUCCCAGAGCCCUCGCUGUGCGCGUACCCCUCCCCCAAGAGCCCACCGUCCUCGUCGCCGUCAUCGUCACCGGCCUCGUCGUCGUCCUCGUCACCGGCCUCGUCGUUGUCCGGCCUUGAGCCCCCAGUGAGCCCCUUCCAAUCCCGAUCCGUGCACUGCCGCAGCUGCCGCCGCCCCCCCGCGCCGCGCCGCCGCCCCUGUUUUUUAUAUGUAUGUAUGUAUGUAUCUAUGUAUAUGGAUGUAUGUAUGUACGGAUGGAUGGAUAUGCAUGUAUAUGGAUGGAUGUAUGUGUAUGUGUUCAUAGUUUUUUUUUGUUCAUAGUUUUUUGUUGAUAGCAUUUUUAGGCUGUAUAGUUUUAUUUUUGUUCAAUUUUUAUGGUUAGAAGAGGAGAGGAAAAAAUUGUGUUGCUAAAGUUACAUUUAAGGUUAGUUGAUUUAGUUCAUUUUAGGUUAUUAGUUCUACUGUUAGUGCAUUUAAGGUUAGUUUAUUUUUAGUUGAACUAGUUGAUUUAAUAAAACUAAUUUAUUUUACUAUACAUAUAAGUAGUUUAUUUUUAGUAAGUACUACUUUAUUUUAUUUAUAGUAAGUGCUUAGUAGUUGAACUAGUUGAUUUAAUAAAACUACUUUAUUUUACUAUAGAAGUAGUUUAGUUUUAGCAAGAAAAUUAAUAGAAUUAGUUUAUUUUUUAGUUCAAGCAAUUAUUCCCGCAUCGACAUCGACGAUGCCUAUCCCGCAUCCUCGUCGUCGACUCGGCGGAGGAGGCCGACUUGAUCAGAGGGGCCAUGUCCGGGACUGGGCUCCGCCGGGCUGGUAUUGGGAGGUGCUACCUUCCGGGGGGCGUAGGUUGGUGAGGAGCCAGCCCGUCGUUGACCCGAUCCUUGUUUGGUGGCGGUCGCGUGGGCCAGUGACUGUAUCGAGGCUUCCGGACACCGCGGAGGUGGUACGUCACCAUGUCAGCGAGGAGGACGAGCACGCCCGUCGCUACAUGGUUGCGUUGGAGGGCAGGUUCGACAAUACCUGGCAGCUUCUUCAGGGAUCUCAUUGGAGCUAUGAUCAUGUGAUGGUUCCUUCUCUUUGGGCAUCCACCGCCCGCGCCGAUACCCGUCGGGCGCUACGGUUCUAGCUGUACUAGCGAUGCUAUAUGUAUGAUAGUAUUCGAGGUGUAUUAGUGAUAAUAUUCGACGAUGUACGGACGCAAGAGAUGAUGUAGUUUUGCUUAUAAUUGAAUGCAUCCUAAUUUGAAUACUACUUUAUUUUGCGAUCUGAUUUUGCUUAUUGAAUGCUCAAAUUGGAAAACUACUCCUACUUUGAAUGCUAAAAUUAGAGAGCACUAUGCAAGGCGUAUGCAUAUGAUUAGUUGAUAGCUUAUAGUGUUUUUGUUUUCGCAAAAAUAUAGGAGCCCCCAACCAUCAUCCCCGCCGUCGUCCCCGUCACUGACCCCCUCCGACGUCGAGGUGAGACCAGCCAAAUCUCCAUGUCAAUAUGAGUCCUAUAAUAUGAGUCCUCGGGUCGACUUUAAGUCUGUCGAGUCUCCACCAUAUAUGAAAGGACGAAGAAUCAUGACUGUUGUCGUGGGGGUAGCUUCUCCUUCGUUCCCGUGAUGAAUAAUAAUGAUCUAACUUAGGUUUUUAGUACAUAUAUUUAAUUGUAGAUGUUUAAUAUUUGAAUUAUGAACAUAGGAAAUGUCGUACUCAGACUACGAAAGUCUCCCGGGGGAGUGCGACUGGUGCCACGACGACCGAGGUUAGUGCGACCGGCCUCACCUGGACGAAGAUCAGCGCUUCAGCAUUAAGCUGGAGGAGACCUUCGAUGUUGAAACGGUACGCAACGACGACAAGUGUUAUUUUUUCGUAAUUAAGCACGACUUCAAGUAUUUCAACGUGUACUUCUUAUCUUUUACAAUUCGACUAGCUUAUCCCAUGCCAUGCAAGACGCUAUGUCUUGGAGAGGAUGGGUUUUGAAGACCAGGAAAGUUUCGAAACAAAGAAAAUUCAUCUAAGGACCCAUCAUGGUGUGGAUUUUGAAGUAAAGCGGUACAAUUCUGAGAGCGUAACCCAUUUUGGUUGCAAAAAAUGAGAAGCACUUUGCAAGAUGUAUGGUUUUGAUGAGGGUAUGCUUGUCACCAUUGAUCUUGGUGACCCUGAAAUCGAGCAAGACAAUAUGGACAUUUGGGUCCUUGUUGAUACGCCUCCAAUUCUACCGCUAUGUGAGUUUCUCAAACAUAGUUAUUAGCUAAUUUAUAUUGUUUAUUUCAAAAUAGUUGACAACUUAUUUCCAUUGACAGCUUAUUUUGAUUGUUCAAACAAUGUGCGGAACAUGGUAGACAAAACCCACUACACCGAUGGCUCCGAAUUAACUUAUCAGGAGAAAAAUCAUCUGGUCUGAUUUUGUACUGAUAUUGAGAAUUACAAUAUCUAGAAUCAAACUCCUCAACAUUAUUGUCAAUACGUGCCACUAGUGCACGUGUUGAACUACAGUAACUACCAUGGAGAUACCCUGGUAAGAUUUUUUACUAUUACGACAUCCGUGCAUCUUUUGCAUACUUCUAAAACUAGUACAUCAUUGCUAACUAUGAAGUUAUUACUAUGUUUUUCAACAGAGAAUCCCAGAGGAUUGUGUGCCUCAUUUGAUGUAGCAGAAUGGCAGCCUUCGUGUUUUGAACAUAUAUCCAAGUCAUCCAACGAAUCUCAACUGUCCAUACCGGAUUUAUCAAUGAAGUGGAGACAUGCUAAUCAAAAAAUGGAAAAAAUGUAUGGACAGUCGUAAGGAGGUUCUUGGAAGCAAAAGGAAGCGAAGCGUAAGAAUUGGAGACAGGAUGAUCUCCAUUCUCCAUAAUGGAGAGUCAGGGUCUAUAUUGUUUUAUGCUAUUUUACCUUAAAGAGGGUAUUUAGGUCCUACCUAAUACUGAUGAUCAUGUGCUAAGAACAAUUAAGUAGGGCUGGUUCGAUGACUAUGAGGAUGAUGAUCGUAUGACUUGUUAUUAAUAACGAGUAGAAGUUGUAUGAUGAUGAUUAGUAGGACUUGUUAUUAUAUAAGAUGAUGCAUGAUGCGAGCAUGAAGAGUUAUUAUAUAUCAGCGGGUGAAAUGAACAUGGAUUGGAUUGAAGUGAAGGCAACAUGCAUGUGGUGCAUGUCGAAAGUACUACAAUCCAAACUUGAUCAAAGUUAGGAUUAGUAUUACUUUCGACAUGCACCACAUGUUGCCUUCACUUCAAUCUAAGCCAUGUUUAGGCAUAGCAGUAGCGUUGGUAAACCAAGCACGGAGAUAUAAGAGAGGACACUUCUCUCUAUUAUAUUAGCUAGCUAAUAACAACCUAAAUUAACCCCCAAAACCCCUAAAUCAGCCCCUUUAAAAAAACAAAAAGCUCAACUCCAGCCAGCUGCUGACGCGUGGAUGCCUUUUGGUCCCGGUUGGUGUCACCAACCGGGACCAAAGGCCCCCCUGCCUGGGCUGGCCGUAGUGGCCACGUGGAGGCCCAUCUGUCUCGGUUCGUGUAAGAGCCGAGACUAAAGGCCAAGGGCAUUAGUAACGACCUUUUAGUCCCGGUUCCUAAACCGGGACAGAAGGCUCUUACGAACCGGGACAAAUGGCCCUUUUUCUACUAGUGCCGCUCUAAACGCGGCCGCUCGAACUGUUGAGCUUGACUCGAGUCAGAAUCGAGAGCGUUGCCGAUUGCGGAAGGCUAUGUUGCCGUUCUCGACGCGGCCGCUUGAGCUAUUGAGCGGACUCGAAACAGAGUAAGGGCGUUGCCAAUAGCGGAAGGGCCCCUUUGCGUGCAUGUUUUCCAUACAUAGGGCAGGACCUUCGAGUACAAUAACCUUCUAUAUAAAAAGAUAUUGCUUAAAGUUUCACACGACUUAGCUUUUCUGUCAUUGCACGGGCGUCCACCGCAUCUGCAGAUGGUGCCGUCAAGCUUGGUCGUCUUCUAUCUUGGAACGACGGCCACGAUGAAGCCGCUGCUCCGAUCAGACCAAAUUUCCACAACUGCGCCCCCUACCUAGCGCGCCAAAGAUGUCGGGGGAAAUCGACACCUAUGGAAUCACAGGGAUCCCUUCUACGGUUGGCGGGCGCGGGGUUGUGCAAAGAGCAGGUCUGACAGGAAGCACGCAGAUCGUUUACCCAGGUUCGGGCCGCGGAGAUGCGUAAUACCCUAGUCCUGCUAUGGUGGAUGUAUUCGAGUGUUCUUGUGUUCUUGAACUAGCUACGGGGUGUAACUUGCCCAGAAGAUCCGAAUCCCUGUCCUGGAUGCCUCGGGCCUCCUUUUAUAGACAAAAGGGGUUGCCACACUGGCACACAGGAGGUGGAAAGGUGUACAGUGGAUGAGUCUAUCCUCUGGCACCGUUGGACGAACACAUUUAAUGCGCUGCCAACGUGACCCUCUCGCUUUAUCGGGGACGGUCAAGGAAGCUCGUCCCAGCUGUCGCCGCCUCGCCUGGCUUCGACACGCGUCCGAGCUGACGAGGCGUCGUGGCGCCACAUUGGCUGGCUGCUGGGCUGGCGCGGUGGUGGAGCCUUCACGAAGGUCUGCAUGCCACCACGCAGGUGCUUGCUGUGUCGGUGUAGAGGCCGCUCGUCGCCACGCAGGUGCCUGCCCAGCUGGUUGGGCUAGCAGCUGCACGGGGACGGCGGUGGAGUCUUGGCAGGCGCGGGCCUGGCUGUGGCCCCGCUGAUGCCCUUGGCAAGGGUCUUGCCGGGGGCCCGGCAAGGGUCUUGCCGUGGUGCCGCGGUCGUCCCCGGCAAGGCGCUUGCCGGGGGUCUCGUGGAUUUCCUCGGCAAGGACCUCGCCGAGGAUCAUCGUCUUCUGGUCCUCAUCUGAUCUUGUGUAUUUAUGAUCUUCACAAAGAUCAGCAUGCCACCACGGAGGUGCCUCCCGAGCCUUGGUCCCAAUGUGGUUGAUGGCGUUGGAACCCUUGGGCUCAAUGGAGGCGCGCUUCGUUGGCGUCAGGCAAGUUGCCCCGGCAAGGCUCUCGCCGGGGCUGAGGAGGCCGUCCCGGCAAGGGUCUUGCCGGGGGAGUCCACCUCGCCCUCUUGCCCUUUGUGUCUCUGGUCUUGGCAUUGCCAUGGCUGUCUUGUGCUCCGGCUUCCCUCCUCUGCCCUGCUAAGUGUGGCCGUGGGCGCGGCUCUGACUACCAGUGCACAAGUAAAGGGGUCAAAAGGAGAGCCCCUAGUUUUAUACACCGACAUGUAUCCUCCCAGAAUCUCGUAGAAGUACCGUUACUGAUCACAAGCUUUGUCUGAUUGAAAAAAAUGGAUUUAACUCUCAUCAGUCCUUUCCAAAAGGGCUAGUCCAUUGGCCUCACUGUGACCUGGGAUAAAGUUCUGGAAUGAAGGUACUUAUUACGCAGUAUUUGUGCCCAUGUAGCCCCCGUCUCGCUAGAUAGCUUAUACAGCCAUUUGCUGAGAAGACAUAUGUUCUUCACCUUAAGAUUUUUGAUACCUAGACCCCCUUGGUCUUUGGGUCGACAAAUAAUAUCCCAUUUAGCGAGUAUACUUUCUCUUCAGAUCAUCACUUUGCCAGAAGAAACGGGAUCGAUAGAAAUCUAGUCUUUUCCGAACUCCAACUGGUACCUCGAAAAAAGACAAGAGAAACAUGGGCAUGCUCGUGAGAACCGAAUUAAUAAGAAUUAAACGGCCUCCAUAUGACAUGAGUUUGCCAUUCCAGCAACUGAGUUUCUUCUCAAAUCGAUCCUCAGUGCACUUCCAUUCUCUCUUUGUUAGCUUACGAUGGUGAAUUGGUAUGCCCAAUUAAGUGAAAGGCAAAGCCCCCAAUUCGCAUCCGAACAAUUGCUUAUAUGCCUCUUGUUCCUCAUUGGCUCUUCCAAAAUUGUAUAAUUCGCUCUUGUGGAAAUUAAUUUUUAGUCCGGUCAAUUGUUCGAAUAAGCAUAACACCAGCUUCAUAUUUCUCGUUUUUGCCAAGUCAUGGUCCAUGAAGAUGAUAGUAUCAUCGGCGUACUGUAGGACAGACACACCUCCAUCCACUAGAUGAGGUACCACAGGAGAGCACCUGCGAUAAUUAUAUCAUGCCACACGAGUACAAAGGAUGAAGCAUCUUAGACGUUUGGAAUAGAUUUGGGCAUCACAUACGAUUUAUUUUUCCAAAAAGGUAUGCAUGAUUGGGCUCUAUCUGUAGGAGAUAUGCCCUAGAGGCAGUAAUAACAGUUAUUUUGUAUCUCCAAGUUUGUAAUGAAUGUUUAUGAUCCAUGCUAUAACUGCAAUGAUUCUCGAGUCUACAAUAUCCACGAGGCUCGGAGGGAACUCAUAUGCACGUGUGGUAUUAUAAACGGUAAAAUAUAUUCCUAGUCUUGCCUCUAAGACUAGCUCAAGUAUUGCAUGAUGAUCCUGUUUCCUGAUCAUGGGCAUGACUAUGCCGGCAAUUUUGAGGGCACAAGUUUGGUAGAACGCUUGUGUUGAAUCAACCCGGAUUGAUGUUGUGCUAUGAGAUGCCUUCGUCACAAGUUUAUGGUUAAUAUCAUUGAGAUAGUUAAUGUUUGCAUAAUUCCUUAGACCAUGAGAGUAUCAAGUUCCUUCGUGCUUGCUUCGUGAACUUUGGGGUUUGUUAAACGUCAUCCGUAACUUGGUGGCUAUUAUGGCAGCUUUCGGGUUCACGGAAAAGUAUAGGAAGUAACAAGAUAGCUCAAGAUUGGGAUUUGCUCCUCCGACGAUGGAGAGAUAUACUCGGGCCCUCUCAGUGUAACGGUAUCCAUCAUCGUCUGGCCAGACACAUUGUGAUUUGAUCACUGGGAUGCCGGAACACGGAAACGAGAAAAGAGAACAAAACCGGUAACGAGGUAACUUGCAUGGUGGACAAAUUGUUCGUCCAUGGGCAUGCAAUAAAUCUCACCUCGGGUGUUUGUGACAUAUCGCGAAGCAACAGGAAUAGCUCACUACAACUAGAGGUUCACUCGAAUAUUCAUUCGUGUGGGUAUAGGGGUCAAUAUGGGUGUCCACGGCUCCGAUGUUGAUCAUUGAUCGGAAGGGGUUCCAGGUCAUGUCUAUACUUCACCGAACCUAUAGGGUCACACGCUUAGGGGUCAUCUAUCUGUUGAAUACUAGACAGGGAGUCUGAGAGAAAAUCACCGAAAAAGUUUCGGACACCGAAAAGUUUCGGACAGCGGAAUCGUACCGCAGAGAGAGGUCAUCGGAUAAGUUUCGAUGAUACCGAAAAGUUGUUUCGGGAUACACCAUUAAGUCAAAUUGGUUUCGGCACAUGCCUGAUAAUUCUUGGAGGAUGCCAGAAUCAUUCUGGAAGCUUUUUGGAAUUUUCUGACAUAAAAACCGGAAAUGUUCCGGAGCUGCCGGAGCCACUUCAGAUGCGUUUCGCAGAUGAAAAUCACUAAAACCGGAAUUGUUUCGGAACGCGUUGAAAAACAUUUUAGUGGGUACUGGAAAUGUUCUUAGCCCACAUAAAUAUUUUCAGUUCGAUCAGACGCUGAAAAAUGUCGUCGUGAAUAGUGAAAAUCAGCUUUAUGGUUACUUUAUGGAAAGCCACCUUUUGGGGCUUUGCUCCAAAAGAUCUUGGGGAUGACAUGGAUGGAUAGGACCCAUUUUUUGGGCCCCUCAUGGGGGUGUGGCCGGCCACAUGGGGUAUCCCCCCUUGGGGACCCUUUUGUUCAUUGGUUUCACUUCUAGGUCCUUGUGGAAGGACUUCAUUCAUGUGCAUUUUGGGUUUUUGUGUGAAACUACCCUACCCCUUGGGAUUUCCUAUAAAUAGAGGUGGAGGGGCAGCCCUCCACACUCAUCCCUUGCUCUCAUACACAUGCCAUGCAUUAUCUGGCUUCUUCUCUCCCUCCCACGAAAAGAGUUUCGUAGAGCCGUAAGGCUGUCUGGGUUCCGGCAGGAACUAGUUCUGGACGGCGAAGCCCUGCCGGAUAGCUGACACCGUAUGUGUGCAACCCCGUAGAGAGAUUGUAGUUUCGAUCUUUUGCCCGAGGGGCUGUUCGAGUGUCCUCCCGAAGGGCUGUCCGAGUCUCCGUCCGAGUUUCGAGGGUCCUCCCGAAGGGCUGUCCGCGACAUUGUCCGGGGGACUGUCCGACCGCCUCCCGAAGGGCUGUCCGGAGAGGGAGUACAUCCUCGCGGUUGGGAGGUUGUAAAUCCUAGCUGCGGGGAUCUGCACCGACGAUCUACACCGACUCUUCUUCCGCUGCGCUUCGAGUCGGUACGGAUCAGAUCAAACCUUGUAUGCAGUCUCCAUAGUGGUCCUGGGCGUGCUCGCUAUACCGAAAAUUUUCGUUUUCUGUCGCGUUCCCCUACAGUGGCAUCAAGAGCCGUGCUAUGCGUAGAUGCAGGUUACGAUCUAGAAUACAUGGAGAUGUAUGGGUAUUGCAUAAUAUAAUUUUGGAGUAGAUGAGAUGUAUUGCUGAAAAUUAUUUAUGCGGGUGACAGAUGAAAUCUGUUACCCGACGUUCUUGUUGCUUCCCUAGAAUUUGCGUUUGCUCAAUCUCGAGACAGGAUGGUGGAAUUUGACAAAGUUCUGGCAAUCCGUGAUCCUGAUUGAUCAUGGAAGUGCUAUCAGUUCUUUGGGUUCUGCCAUAGUCAAAAGAAAGAUGAAAUUCGCAGAUGAAAGGGCAUUGCAGAUAUGAUCUGCACGGGGGUCAUGCGUAUGACGAAGUUUAGUAUGGGGCUCGAGAUUUAAUUAUCUCGUGUUUCAUACACCCCGAGAUGUUAAUCUAGCAACUUGAAUAAUCAUACUUGAUGAUAAAACGUUGGUAGCUGCGGUUUAAGUCAAAACCUUAGAAGCCACGUAAAAUAAAAUUUUGCAUAAACCGAUUAGAGGCGUCUAACUUGGUUUUGCAGGAUGUGCAUGUGAUGUGGUAUAGCAAUGCUCAUAUUCAAUUUGAUUAUGUAUGAGAUGACUAUAUGAUGUAACUAACAUGACCUGCGUGUCAUGAUUCUGCAUGAUGGCUGGAGCCAUAUGAUUGCACUUUAAUGACCUGCGUGUCAACCUUAAGUAAUGCACUUAUUUUAUUAGCUAUAGAGAUAGCAAUAUUAUCUGGUGCAUCGACAAGGUGGUGGCAAUCUUCGCGAAGGUGAACACCGACGCAAAUGCCGAAGACGAAGAAUUGAAAGACUUCUCCGUCAGAAAGGGCUAUACCAUAUCAUGCUAAUUAUGAAUUGCCUGAGAUGUUUAUCCCCUAUGAUGCACCCUUCUUGAUUGCGCGGUAGUCGCUUUUAUUAGGGUGAUCUCUCACUUAAAAAUAUCAAGUAGAUAGUGUUCUCCCAAGUGUAGCACCGUCACGGCACCUAUCGUUUCGGGGUGCGCCGUGUCACACGGGUACGAACGAUUAGAGAAGUGUGAGGCGGGUGAGUUGAGACCUCGCAGCGAGAUCACUUGGUUGUCUUGACGUUCAGGCAUGACCGUCAUGAGCUCGGAACACACGCAUCGAAAGAUGAACAAGAGUCACAUAGUGAUGUGAUUGGCAAGUUGGCCUACCGGUUAAGAUUUUCGUCAUCAGUGGUGUUACACCAAUGGCGAACAAUCAAGACACGGAUCUUGAAUCACUCAUAAUCAAUUUUGAGAGAUAUUGAUUUGAGUGGGAGUGCAUUUUAGAAUAAAAUGUUUAUUCACUAGUGCAAAUUUCAUUAUAAACAAAGUCUAAGUGAAACUUGUGUCUUCGUUGUAGAUCAAAUGGCUCGCAACACCGCGUUCAACUUAGGCCCGAUGUUAGAGAAAGAGAAGUUAGCUACGACUGGAAACAACUAUGCGGACUGGGCCCGUAACCUGAGGAUUGUCCUCAGGAGCGCUAAGAAAUUGUACGUGCUUGAAACUGCUCUUCCAGCUAAACCGGCGGCAGAUGCACCGGUAGAUGAACAAAAUGUCUGGGCCACUAAGGAUGAUGAUCACAACUUAGUGCAGUGCCUCAUGCUAGCUUGCAUGAGUCCAGGGCUUCAAAAACGUUUUGAAUUCCAUAAAGCCCGUGAUAUGAUCCGGGAAUUGGAUGCUCUGUACAAGGAAACCGCAAAGUCUGAACGAUAUGAUAUCAUGAAGGCUUGGAUGGAUUGCAAGAUGGCUGAGGGUAGUUCAGUUGGCGAACACGUGGUCAAAAUGAUUGGCUAUUCUGAAAGGCUUAAAGCCCUAGAAUUUCCACUUCCACCUGGCCAUAUGAUGGACAUGUUGCUUUCUUCACUCCCCCCGUCUUACGACGGUUUUGUCAUGAACUACAACAUGACAGGGAUGGAGAAGACGCCGAAAGAAGUGCUCGCCAUGCUGAAAACUACAGAAGGAGGACUGCGGAAAAAUCGCAAGUAAGUGUUGCUUGUGAAUAAAACCGCCUGUUUCAAAAAGAAGAAAGGCAAGCCAAAGAAGGGCAAGGGCACCGGUAAGACCGGCUCCCAAAGCAACUCUAAGGGCGGAGCCAAGAAUGAAACUGAGUGCUUCUACUGCAAGGGCACAGGACACUGGAAGAGAAACUGCAAGAAGUAUCUGGAAGAUAAGAAGACCGGGAAAACCGGAAAAGGUAUAAUUGUUAUACAAGUUAAUGUCAUUGACGUUUUGCUUGCUAGCGAAAACUCUAAGUCUUGGGUAUUUGAUACCGGAUCGGUUGCUCACAUUUGCAACUCGAUACAGGGACUUCAGAAGGUGCGCAAGCUAGCAAAGAAUGAAGUCGUGAUGCGCGUCGGGAACGGCGCUGGGAUCGCCGCUCAAGCCGUCGGCAUUAUGCCUCUACGUCUCCCUUCAGGAUUUAUCUUAGAACUAAGUAACUGUUAUUUUGUUCCACUGUUGUGUAGAAACAUUAUCUCCGGAUCAUGUUUGGUACACGAUGGGUAUUCGUACAAGUCUGAGAACAAUGGUUGUUCACUUUAUUGUAAGGAUAUGUUUUAUGGAUUUGCACCCAUUGUUGGGGGCCUUUUCAUACUAAAUCUUGAAUGUGGAAGUGAUGUCUUUAACAUGAAUGCUAAACGCCUUAAGAAGGCUGAUACCACCACCACUUUCAUGUGGCACUGUCGCCUUGGCCACAUCGGUAAGAAACGCAUGCAAAGACUCCAUAAAGAUGGAGUUUUACCGUCCCUUGAUUUUGAAUCAUUUGACACAUGUGAAGCUUGCCUGAUGGGGAAAAUGACCAAGACGCCGUUCACGGGUCAUCCUGAACGGGCGGGUGAAUUAUUGGAAAUAAUACAUAGUGAUGUAUGUGGUCCAAUGAACACAGGCGCACGGGGUGGAUAUUUUUACUUCGUGACUUUUACUGAUGAUUUGAGUAGGUAUGGCUAUAUCUACUUAAUGAAGCAUAAAUCGGAAACCUUUGAAAAGUUCAAAGAAUUUCAGAAUGAGGUAGAAAAUCAUCGUAACAAAAAGAUUAAGUUUCUGCGGUCUGAUCGCGGAGGCGAAUAUCUUAGUCAUGAGUUUGGCCAACAUCUGAGUGAUCGUGGAAUCGUUUCACAGCUUACGCCUCCCGGAACUCCACAGAGAAAUGGAGUAUCGGAACGACGUAACCGAACCUUGUUGGACAUGGUAAGGUCAAUGAUGUCUCUUACAAAUCUUCCAAUAUCUUUUUGGGGUCACGCACUACUUACUGCUGCUCACACACUAAACAAAGCACCGUCUAAAUCUGUUGAGACGACGCCACAUGAGAUGUGGCACGGGAAGAAACCCGACCUGUCGUUUUUCAAAAUUUGGGGUUGUGAAGCUUAUGUAAAACGUUUACAGCCAAGCAAGCUUGAUCCCAGAUCAGACAAAUGUUACUUUGUAGGUUAUCCCAAGGAGACAGUUGGGUAUUCUUUCUACCACGCCUCCGAGAAUAAAGUGUUUGUUGCAAAACAUGGAGUCUUUCUUGAGAAAGAGUUUCUCACUAAAGAAGUGAGUGGGAGGACAAUACAACUCAAUGAGAUUAGUGAAUCUUCGGGAACCGUUGAUAUGGCUAAGGAACCGGAAGAAAUUCCGCUAAUUAUCCCUACAACCGAGCCGGAAGUUGUCGCAUGUGAUGCGGAGACUUCAGACAAUGUUGUAACUGAACCGCGCAGAUCAGGUAGGGCUAUCCAGCCACCUGAGUGGUUUCAUAACGAAAUCUUCAUUCUUGAAGACGAUGAACCUGCGCACUACAAGGAAGCGAUGGCGGGGCCCAGCUCAAAAGAAUGGCACAAAGCCAUGAGAUCCGAAAUGGAAUCCAUGUACGAAAACCAAGUUUGGAACUUGGAAGAACUUCCAGAAGGCAUAAAGCCCAUUGGUUGUAAAAUGGAUUUUCAAAAGAAAGACGGACGCGGAUGGUAACAUUACUAUCCACAAAGCUAGACUUGUCGCGAAAGGGUUCACACAAGUUCCAGGAGUGGACUACGACGAGACUUUCUCGCCAGUAGCUAUGCUUAGGUCUGUUCGGAUAUUGCUAGCAAUUGCUGCUUAUUUCGACUAUGAAAUAUGGCAGAUGGAUGUCAAAACGGCUUUCCUAAAUGGAAACCUCAAAGAGGAUGUAUACAUGAUACAGCCAGAAGGUUUUGUCAUUCAUGAGGAUGCUGGAAAGGUAUGCAAACUUCAGAAAGCCAUUUAUGGUCUGAAGCAAGCAUCAAGGAGCUGGAACAUUCGUUUUGAUGAAGUGGUCAAAGAGUUUGGCUUCAUCAUGAAUGAUGAAGAAUCUUGUGUUUACAAGAAGUUUAGUGGGAGCGCAAAAGCAUUUCUAAUCUUGUAUGUGGAUGACAUAUUGUUGAUUGGAAAUGACGUGAAUUUUCUUAGCGAAAUAAAAGACUCAUUGAAGAAAAGUUUUUCAAUGAAAGACUUAGGCGAAGCGGCAUAUGUAUUAGGCAUCAGGAUCUAUAGAGAUAGAUCAAAACGCCUGAUAGCGCUUAGCCAAAGCACGUACAUUGACAAGGUGUUGAAAAGGUUCAACAUGGAGAACUCCAAGAAAGGCCUACUCCCCAUGUCACCUGGCACAGUGCUUUGCAAGAAUCAGAGUCCUCGGACUCUGGAUGAGCGAGUACAAAUGAAUGAUGUUCCAUAUGCCUCGGCAGUUGGUUCUAUUAUGUAUGCCAUGCUAUGUACAAGACCAGAUGUUUCCUAUGCGCUAAGUGUUAGCAGCCGGUACCAAAGUGAUCCAGGGUUGGAACACUGGGCCGCAGUCAAGGGUAUUCUUAAGUACCUCAGAAGGACCAAGGAUUUACUCCUUGUGUACGGAGGUGAUGAAGAGCUCAUUGUAAGUGGUUACAAUGAUGCAGGCUUCAUGACUGACCCAGAUGACUUCAAAUCUCAAUCAGGCUACGUUUUCAUAUUGAACGGCGGCGCAGUUGAUUGGAAAAGUUCCAAACAAAAGACUGUGGCGGAUUCUACGACGGAGGCGGAAUAUGUUGCUGCUUCAGAAGCCUCCAAGGAGGCGGUAUGGAUCAAACAAUUUCUUGAAGACCUUGGUGUGGUUCGUAGUGCCCAGGACCCGGUGGAGAUCUAUUGUGAUAAUAGUGGCGCCGUGGCUCAGGCAAGGGAGCCAAGUUCGAACCAUAAGACAAGACAUAUUCAACGCAAAUAUAAACUCAUUCGACAUCAUGUCGAAGAGGGUUUAGUGAAAGUACGCAAAGUUCACACGGAUCUGAACGUGUCAGACCCGAUGACAAAGCCUCUACCACGAGCAAAACAUGAGCAACACCGGAUAGCCAUUGGUGUUAGGGAAGCCAUGUAACUGGAUUAUGACUCUAGUGCAAGUGGGAGUCUGUAGGAGAUAUGCCCUAGAGGCAGUAAUAACAGUUAUUUUGUAUCUCCAAGUUUGUAAUGAACGUUUAUGAUCCAUGCUAUAACUGCAAUGAUUCUCGAGUCUACAAUAUCCACGAGGCUCGGAGGGAACUCAUAUGCACGUGUGGUAUUAUAAACGGUAAAAUAUAUUCCUAGUCUUGCCUCUAAGACUAGCUCAAGUAUUGCAUGAUGAUCCUGUUUCCUGAUUAUGGGCAUGACUAUGCCGGCAAUUUUGAGGGCACAAGUUUGGUAGAACGCUUGUGUUGAAUCAACCCGGAUUGAUGUUGUGCUAUGAGAUACCUUCGUCACAAGUUUAUGGUUAAUAUCAUUGAGAUAGUUAAUGUUUGCAUAAUUCCUUAGACCAUGAGAGUAUCAAGUUCCUUCGUGCUUGCUUCGUGAACUUUGGGGUUUGUUAAACGUCAUCCGUAACUGGGUGGCUAUUACGGCAGCUUUCGGGUUCACGGAAAAGUAUAGGAAGUAACAAGAUAGCUCAAGAUUGGGAUUUGCUCCUCCGACGAUGGAGAGAUAUACUCGGGCCCUCUCGGUGUAACGGUAUCCAUCAUCGUCUGGCCAGACACAUUGUGAUUUGAUCACUAGGAUGCCGGAACACGGAAACGAGAAAAGAGAACAAAACCGGUAACGAGGUAACUUGCAUGGUGGACAAAUUGUUCGUCCAUGGGCAUGCAAUAAAUCUCACCUCGGGUGUUUGUGACAUAUCGCGAAGCAACAGGAAUAGCUCACUGCAACUGGAGGUUCACUCGAAUAUUCAUUCGUGUGGGUAUAGGGGUCAAUAUGGGUGUCCACGGCUCCGAUGUUGAUAAUUGAUCGGAAGGGGUUCCAGGUCAUGUCUAUACUUCACCGAACCUAUAGGGUCACACGCUUAGGGGUCAUCUAUCUGUUGAAUACUAGACAGGGAGUCUGAGAGAAAAUCACCGAAAAAGUUUCGGACACCGAAAAGUUUCGGACAGCGGAAUCGUACCGCAGAGAGAGGUCAUCGGAUAAGUUUCGAUGAUACCGAAAAGUUGUUUCGGGAUACACCAUUAAGUCAAAUUGGUUUCGGCACAUGCCUGAUAAUUCUUGGAGGAUGCCAGAAUCAUUCUGGAAGCUUUUUGGAAUUUUCUGACAUAAAAACCGGAAAUGUUCCGGAGCUGCCGGAGCCACUUCAGAUGCGUUUCGCAGAUGAAAAUCACUAAAACCGGAAUUGUUUCGGAACGCGUUGAAAAACAUUUUAGUGGGUACUGGAAAUGUUCUUAGCCCACAUAAAUAUUUUCAGUUCGAUCAGACGCUGAAAAAUGUCGUCGUGAAUAGUGAAAAUCAGCUUUAUGGUUACUUUAUGGAAAGCCACCUUUUGGGGCUUUGCUCCAAAAGAUCUUGGGGAUGACAUGGAUGGAUAGGACCCAUUUUUUGGGCCCCUCAUGGGGGUGUGGCCGGCCACAUGGGGUAUCCCCCCUUGGGGACCCUUUUGUUCAUUGGUUUCACUUCUAGGUCCUUGUGGAAGGACUUCAUUCAUGUGCAUUUUGGGUUUUUGUGUGAAACUACCCUACCCCUUGGGAUUUCCUAUAAAUAGAGGUGGAGGGGCAGCCCUCCACACUCAUCCCUUGCUCUCAUACACAUGCCAUGCAUUAUCUGGCUUCUUCUCUCCCUCCCACGAAAAGAGUUUUGUAGAGCCGUAAGGCUGUCUGGGUUCCGGCAGGAACUAGUUCUGGACGGCGAAGCCCUGCCGGAUAGCUGAAACCGUAUGUGUGCAACCCCGUAGAGAGAUUGUAGUUUCGACCUUUUGCCCGAGGGGCUGUUCGAGUGUCCUCCCGAAGGGCUGUCCGAGUCUCCGUCCGAGUUUCGAGGGUCCUCCCGAAGGGCUGUCCGCGACAUUGUCCGGGGGACUGUCCGACCGCCUCCCGAAGGGCUGUCCGGAGAGGGAGUACAUCCUCGCGGUUGGGAGGUUGUAAAUCCUAGCUGCGGGGAUCUGCACCGACGAUCUACACCGAUUCUUCUUCCGCUGCGCUUCGAGUCGGUACGGAUCAGAUCAAACCUUGUAUGCAGUCUCCAUAGUGGUCCUGGGCGUGCUCGCUAUACCGAAAAUUUUCGUUUUCUGUCGCGUUCCCCUACACUAUCGCAGCCGGUUAACUUGCGUUGUGUGUGAUGGACACCCUUUUCGCACACCUUCACACAGCGAUGCAUCAAAGGUACGUGAGCAAAAGGGGUUUUUAACCGUUUGUGUUGGACUUGCGUGCACUAGUGUGACAUGCGUUACUUAACCUAGCUUUUGUUUAGUUUAGUUAAAUUUCAAGUAGUUUUUUAUGUAACUUGUUAAAUUUUAUCAUAUAUGCAUAUAUGUAAUAUAUCGUACUAGGUUUAUUUUCAUUCGUAAUUCAUUUGAAAUGUGUUCCGAACCGGGGGGUGGUAGUUAAAUGCAGAAAAAACACCACAAUAGCCAUCUCAUUAGCAAAAACAACCACUUUACAAUUUGUGGCAAAAAGGACGACACGCAACAACGGACAGUGGCAAAAGAGCCGGUCGGGACCGGCUCUUUCAAAAUGUGGGGUCCCACUCACCCACUCACUCUCUCACUCACCAGCUCUCGCUCACACUCGACGCCGGUGCCGCUCCUGCUUGACGCUGCCACACAAUGCAUUCAUGGAAUGACGAAGAGGAGAGCAGCAAGGAUGCCCUCAAGUACAGCAGCAUGGAUAUGGAUUUGUGGGUAAGUUUCAGCGCUCAAUAACUAGACGUUUGGAUUAGGGUUAGUGUUUGGAUUUGGGGAUUUAGGGUUUGUGCUCGUUUCCAGCCUUAUUGAAAGGAUUUGUUAGUUAAUUUAGAUAUUGUCAAUGCAGGAGAACCCUGAGACCAUUGUGAAUUCAUUUUACUAUGGGACAGUGGCAUUUUCGGCCAUCAAAUCCAAGCUUUACCAGGCAAGAGCCAAAAAAUCUGUUGGUUUUGGUGACAGACACUAGGAGGAAACUUUAUGGCUGCACUGCACAAGUACUCCCUCCGUCCUAUAUUAAUUGAGCUAAAAUGGAUGUAUCUAGUACAUAUGGAUACUUUCAUUUCAACAACAAUUAAUAUGGGACGGGGCAGUAAUUUUAACUUGCCUUGCUGUUUCACCACUUUGCUCUGUAGCUGUUUGAUUUCGCUGUGUAGUUAUCUAUGUAGUGACGAGUCAUCUGAACUUAGUUGUAUCUUGUUCAUUUUGACUGGAUUAAACUUAGUCUUGCUGCUAUUAAAGGUUAGUCUGUAAUUUAGUAAAUCGAAAUUUAACUGAAUUUUGUUGUUCAAGUUCAGUAUGUAGUUUAGUGAAUCAGAAUUUAACGGAAUAUUGUUUUUCAAGUCCAGUCUGUAGCUUGCUGAAUAUGUAUUGUACUGAUUGUUGUUACUCAAGUUCAGUAUGUAGUUAAGUCAAUCUAAAUUGUAGUGUCAUCAUGUAGUAAAAUAGGUAGUAUAUGUGAAAGAAAUAGGCUUGAUUUAUUGUUGUGUAGUUUUGGAAACAAUAAAUUUUGAGAUACUUUUGUCUGUCUGAACAAUAUGUCACUAGUAGAAAACAGGGCUUUGGUUCGGCUAGAAAAGAGCAUUAAUCCCGGUUGCAUUACGAACCGGGACUAAUGUGAGCAUUAGUCCCGGUUCGAGUGGCUAGGGCACCGUACAAGCAUUAGUCCCGGUUCAAAUGGGACCUUUAGUCCCGGUUGGUGCCACGAACCGGGACUAAAGGGUGCGAUGCCCAUUAGUACCGGUUCGUGGCACCAACCGGUACUAAAGGUUAGACCUUUAGUCCCGGUUCGAGCCACCAACCGGUACUAAUGGGGUUUGAGGCAUUAGUACCUGUUCAUGGCACGAACCGGUACUAAAGGUCCCAUUGUCAAACUCUACCCCCACCCUGGAUCGCCUUUUCAGUUUUGUAAAAAGCAAAGAAAAUGAUAAAAACUUCAAAAAUUAAAAUCCUUCCAGAUGUAUAGUUAUGUUACUACAUGUACUAGUUAGGAAAAUUUAAAAACUUAAAUUUGGACAUGUUUUGCAAAAAGUGUAGGAAAAAUGUAAAACGGCUAUAACUUUUGCAUACGAUGUUAGAAAAAAAGUAUAAUAUAUCAAAAUGUUCAGCACGAAAAUCCGAAUCCGAUUUUGACCGCAUAUGACCCGUUUGCAAAUGUUUAGAAUCCUCAAAUUCUAAAAGGAAAAAAAGUUAUGCUCAAAUUUCUGUUUUUUUUAAUUUUUGUUAAAUCUGGUCAAACUACUUAUUCAAGAAGUAUUAAUGUUACUAAAUAAAUAUUCAAGAAUAUUAGUGUUACUAAAUAAUUAUUUCAGUUUUUUUGAAUUUUCGUCAAAUCUGGUCAAACUAUGGUCAAACUAAUUAUUCAAGAAAUAUUAGUGUUACUAAAUAAUUAUUUCGGUUGUUUUGAAUUUUGGUCAAAUCUGGUCAAACUGUGGUCAAACUGUGGUCGAACUAUGGUCAAACUACUUAUUCAAGAAAUAUUAGUGUUACUAAAUAAUUAUUGUUUUUUAGAACAAUAGUUUCAAACUCAAACAGUGAAAUGUGUGACUUCAUGCUCAAGCUAAGUUCCUGGGGGUUAAUAGGAUUGACAUCUUACUAUUGUCAGGAAAACAACAAGUGCAGACUUGGAAACGAGGGAGAAUAGAACCCGGAAGUUAAGCGUGCUCAGGCUGGAGUAGUGAGAGGAUGGGUGACCGUCCGGGAAGUUAGAUGAUUUGGAAUGAUGAGGGGUGAUUAGGGGUGACAAGUUUUUGAUUACUUGUCCGGUAAGUAUACGAAUUAGAAACCGAGUCGGUUUGGGAUUGUGGUCGCGACACAAUACCGCCUCUGGUCCUAAUAUAUAUACAGCUACCGGCUGCGGCCAGAGACACACCGAAAAACACCUAGGGUUUUGCCUCAUCUCACAACCUGCGCCGCCAUUGUAGUCUACUCCAUCCCAAACGCCGGCGUGCAUCGACGCGUGGGAGAGCAGGUCUCCGGAACCGUUCGUCUUUGCGAUCCUGCACCGGGAGAGGACGAAUUAGGUUUAUGGGAAGCGUUGUGCGCGACUGCUCAAAUUCGUCAUCACGGGUCGUCUUCCGUCCAAGUCGGGCGGUGCUACUCAUCGUCGUAUUCAUCGCCGUCAGCAGCAGAUCGUCACCAACAUCGUCAUCAACACUGUCACACCCUUAAUAGCUAACGAUCAGUACGUCCGACAUCCUCUGUUCAUGUCUGCUUCUACAGCUAUUGUUACGUGUUUGCUGCUGUUAUGCAUGUCUUGCUGUUCUUCUAGUUUGCUAGAUUAUUGCAUGCUAGUAUCUCUUCUAGUCAUGAAUUAUUUACUGGAAUCAAUCAUGAACUUGCCUAAUAUUCCAACAAUCCAAAAACCUAAUUAUAGGCAAUUUCCUGAGUUAACUAUGGCUGGAUUCGCUGAUGCACUGAGGCCGGAUAAGUUUACCGGUGUGCACUUUAAGAGGUGGCAGUUGAAGACCACGCUCUGGCUUACUGGUCUGAAAGUUUUCCACGCUAGUGUUGGUGCUCCAGAGGGAAUGACCGACGAAGAUCGGAGAAAAUUCCAGGAAGCCAAUACUAUGUUUGUGGGAUGCAUUCUGAGUGUUCUUGCUGACUGUCUGUGUGAUGUGUACAUGCACAUAAAUGACGGAAAGAUUCUGUGGGAUGCACUGAAUGCAAAAUUCGGUGCAACAGAUGCAGGCAGUGAACUGUACAUCAUGGAGAGUUUUCAUGACUACAAGAUGGUGAAUAACCGUUCUGUGGUUGAACAAGCUCAUGAGAUACAGUGCAUUGUGAAGGAACUUGAACUCCUUAAAUGUGUUCUACCUGACAAAUUCGUGGCUGGGCGCAUGAUUGCAAAGUUGCCUCCUUCAUGGAGGAAUUUCGCCACAACUCUGAAGCAUAAGAGACAGGAGAUAUCAGUUGAAAAUCUGAUUGCAUCUCUUGAUGUUGAAGAAAAAGCUCGGGCUAAAGAUACUACUGAAAAAGGAGGUGAGGUUCAGCCUACUGCUAACAUGGUGCAGAGGUACCCACAGAACAAGAACAAAGGGAAGAACAAACCUGUUUUCAACAAGCCUACCAAGACUACUACCUUCAAGAAGAAGAAGUUCAACAAGGCUGAGCUAGAGUGCUACGCCUGUGGGAAGCCUGGACACUUUUCCAAGGAAUGCCCUGAACAUGCAGACCGCAGAGGGAAAAUAAGCUCCAAGACUGUCAACAUGGUGACCGCUAGCAAUACUGAUGGGUAUGGUAAUUUACCUAUUGUGCUUUCAGUAUUUCAAUCAUCUUCGUGGUGGAUUGAUUCGGGUGCUAACGUUCAUGUGUGUGCUGACAUCUCCCUAUUUACUUCUUAUCAGGUCGCAAGGGAUUCUUCCGUCCUAAUGGGGAAUGGGUCACAUGCUUCGGGAAAGAUCGUGCAACUAAGGAACGUGCAGCAUGUCCCUACUAUGAACAAGAAUCUAGUUAGCGUCUCCCUUCUAUGUCGAGAUGGAUUUAAGGUAGUUUUAGAGUCCAAUAAAGUAAUCGUGUCAAGAUUUGGACAAUUUAUAGGAAAAGGCUACGAGUGUGGAGGCUUGUUCCGCUUUUCUCUUUCAGAUUUUUGCAAUAAGUCAAUAAACCAAAUUUGUGCUAGUGAUAAUGAUGAUGCAAGUAUUUGGCACUCUCGUUUAUGUCAUAUUAAUUUUGGUUUAAUGUCUCGGCUAUCCAGCAUGAGUUUAAUUCCGAACUUCAGAGUUGCCAAAGGUUCUAAGUGCCAUAGUUGUGUGCAAUCUAUGCAACCUCGAAAGCCUCAUAAGGCCGCCGAGGAGAGAAACUUGGCACCUCAAGAACUCAUACAUUCUGAUCUUUGUGAGAUGAAUGGUGUGUUGACAAAAGGUGGAAAGAGAUAUUUCAUGACUUUGAUUGAUGAUGCGACUAGAUUUUGCUAUGUUUAUUUGUUGCAAACUAAAGAUGAAGCAUUAGACUACUUUAAAAUCUAUAAAGCUGAAGUUGAAAAUCAACUAGAGAGAAAGAUCAAGCGUCUUAGGUCCGAUCAUGGUGGAGAGUAUUUUCCAAAAGUUUUUGAUGAAUUUUGUGAGGAACAUGGUAUUAUUCAUGAGAGGACGCCUCCCUAUUCACCUCAAUCAAAUGGAGUGGCCGAGAGGAAAAACCGCACAUUGACUAACUUGGUGAAUGCCAUGUUAGACACUGCUGGUUUAUCUAAGGCAUGGUGGGGGGAGGCUCUAUUGACUUCAUGUCAUGUCCUGAAUAGAGUUCCCAACAAUAAUAAGGAGAAAACCCCUUAUGAGGAGUGGGUUGGGAGAAAACCAUCACUUUCUUAUUUGCGCACUUGGGGAUGUUUGGCAAAGGUCAAUAUUCCUAUUCCUAAGAAACGCAAACUUGGACCAAAGACAGUGGAUUGUGUCUUUCUAGGGUAUGCUCAACGGAGCAUUGCUUAUAGGGUUUUAGUGGUAAAAUCUGAAGUUCCUGAUAUGCAUGUUGAUACUAUAAUGGAAUCUCGUGAUGCAACAUUUUUUGAGAACAUAUUUCCUAUGAAAGAUAUGCAUAGCAUUGCUAGAUUUUCUUCUGAGAUAAUUCCUGUAUCUAGUACAACUGAUGAAUAUUUCGAACAAUCACAUGAGGAAGUCCUUGAGAAGGAUAACAAUGAAGUUCCUAGAAGGAACAAGAGACAAAGGAUUGCAAAAUCCUUUGGUGAUGAUUUCAUUGUAUACCUUGUGGACGACACACCCAAGACGAUUGCAGAAGCAUAUGCAUCUCCGGAUGUAGAUGAUUGGAAAGAAGCUGUUCAUAAUGAGAUGGACUCAAUUAUUUCUAAUGGAACUUGGGAACUAACUGAUAGACCAUAUGGUUGUAAACCUGUGGGCUGUAAGUGGGUGUUCAAAAAGAAGCUCAAGCCUGAUGGUACUAUUGAUAAGUACAAGGCGCGGCUAGUGGCCAAGGGCUACACUCAGAAAGAAGGCGAAGAUUACUUUGACACCUAUUCACCCGUUGCUAGAAUGACCACCAUUCGAGUGUUACUUUCCUUGGCUGCCUCUUAUGGUCUUAUCAUUCAUCAAAUGGAUGUAAAGACAGCUUUUCUCAAUGGAGAGUUGGAAGAGGAGAUCUAUAUGGAUCAGCCUGACGGGUUUGUGGUUAAGGGUGAAGAGAGAAAGGUGUGCAAGUUGUUAAAAUCUUUGUAUGGUCUGAAACAGGCACCUAAGCAAUGGCAUGAGAAGUUUGAAAGAACUCUGACUUCUGCAGGAUUUGUCAUUAACGAGGCUGAUAGGUGUGUUUACUAUCGCCAUGGUGGGGGCAAUAGUGUCAUAUUAUGUUUGUAUGUGGACGACAUACUGAUCUUUGGUACAAACAUUAAUGCAAUUAAUGAGGUCAAGUCUUUUCUAUCAAAAAGUUUUGACAUGAAAGAUCUGGGAGAAGCCGAUGUAAUUCUAAACAUCAAACUUAUUAAGGAUGAGAGUGGGAUUACAUUAACGCAAUCUCACUAUGUUGAGAAGGUCUUGAACCGAUUCGGUUUUAUGGAUAGCAAGCCUUCUCCAACACCUUAUGAUCCCAGCGUGACACUCAGAAAGAACAAGAAAGAAACGAGAGAUCAAUUAAGAUACUCUCAAAUUGUCGGUUCACUCAUGUACUUAGCUAGCGCUACAAGACCAGAUAUCUCUUUUGCUGUGAGCAAACUGAGUAGGUUCAUGUCCAACCCGGGUGAUGAUCAUUGGCAUGCACUAGAAAGGGUCUUACGCUAUCUGAGAGGUACUAUGAGUUACGGAAUUACUUAUUCAGGGCAUCCUGCUGUGCUAGAAGGAUAUAGUGAUUCAAAUUGGAUCUCCGAUGUUGAUGUACUUUACGCAACAAGUGGGUAUGUAUUUACUCAUGGUGGUGGCGCAGUGUCAUGGAGGUCUUGCAAGCAAACCAUAUUGACGAGGUCAACUAUGGAAGCAGAAUUAACUGCUUUGGACACAGCUACUGUUGAGGCAGAAUGGCUGCGUGAGCUCUUGAUGGACUUGCCGAUUGUUGAAAAACCUGUACCGGCUAUUCUUAUGAAUUGUGAUAACCAAACGGUUAUCGCUAAAGUGAACAAUUCUAAAGAUAAUGCAAAGUCAUCAAGACACGUGAAAAGACGUUUGAAGUCUGUCAGGAAGUUGAGAAACUCCGGAGUAAUAACUGUUACAUAUAUACAAACAGACAAAAACCUGGCAGAUCCCUUUACAAAGGGACUAUCACGAAAUGUGAUAGAUAUUGCAUCGAGGGAGAUGGGUAUGAGACCCAUAGAUGUUACACCAUAGUACUAACCCAACCUUUGUGAUCGGAGAUCCCGUGAAUUAGGAUCUGGGAAGAACAAGCUAUUGGUUAACUGAGGAGAGUAAUAACUUAUGAUCGUCUCCAAGUGAAGAUGCAAAACUCUCAGAGCUGUAAAGCUCAGAUCUGUAAGGCAGGUUGGCAACAUGCCUUAAUGUGGUUCUAUUGGCUAUAAUUAGCAAAGAUGCUGUCCUACAGAGCAGUCUUGAAAGAACACACCUAUAUGAGUUCUGACUGUAAACGUCGCAGUCUAUGAGAUUUGGGUGAUCUCUAGUAAGCUCACGAAGAGACAAGGGAGUAUGACGUAUAAGCUCCAAACCGCGGGGUAGCCUACUGACGUAUAAGCUUCCUUUUGCCGUUUUAUUUUUAUGUCUUGGCAUACAAGUUUUUUAUUACUUGUCCGGUAAGUAUACGAAUUAGAAACCGAGUCGGUUUGGGAUUGUGGUCGCGACACAAUACCGCCUCUGGUCCUAAUAUAUAUACAGCUACCGGCUGCGGCCAGAGACACACCGAAAAACACCUAGGGUUUUGCCUCAUCUCACAACUUGCGCCGCCAUCGUAGUCUACUCCAUCCCAACGCCGGCGUGCAUCGGCGCGUGGGAGAGCAGGUCUCCGGAACCGUUCGUCUUUGCGAUCCUGCACCGGGAGAGGACGAAUUAGGUUUUUGGGAAGCGCUGUGCGCGACUGCUCAAAUUCGUCAUCACGGGUCGUCUUCCGUCCAAGUCGGGCGGUGCUACUCAUCGUCGUAUUCAUCGCCGUCAGCAGCAGAUCAUCGCCAAUAUCGUCAUCAACACUGUCGCACCCAUAUAGCUAACGAUCAUUACGUCCGACAUCCUCUGUUCAUGUCUGCUUCUACAGCUAUUGUUACGUGUUUGUUGUUGUUAUGCAUGUCUUGCUGUUCUUCUAGUUUGCUAGAUUAUUGCAUGCUAGUAUCUCUUCUAGUCAUGAAUUAUUUACUGGAAUUAAUCAUGAACUUGCCUAAUAUUCCCACAGACGCAAUAAUUGUUUUCGGGAUUUUGAAUAAAUCAGAAAAUGAUUUGUUUAAUUCCGAAAAUACUCCAAAAUUUGGAAAAUCAUGGAAAAUAAUCUGUAACUCAGAUGGAGAUAAUUUAUAUAUGAAAAAUUAUCAGGAAAAUAUGAAGAAUCUAUUUAUAGCAUUUUCAUGUAUGUUUGAACAAGUUAAGUUUUCUGUAUAAGACAAUUUGAAUAAAUGUCAUUUUAAAUUCUUAUGUGGAGUUUGAAUUUGAACCUUUGGUUCAAACCAACUUUAUUUAAAUUGUUGCUAGUUGCAUUAGUCCAAACACCAGCAUGCCAUGUCAUGAUCAUGCAUCAUACUGCUGCAUUGCAUUGAUUGUGUUCCCUCUCUGUUGCCGGUGUUUGUUCCUUCUCGAUAGAAGACGAUUCGGACGUUGUGAUCAUUGACACCGAUGAAGAGCUACUAUCUUCAAAGUGUCAGGCAAGCAAAUCCCCUUUGAGCAUUCUGAUACAAUCCCACUCUCUAACUCUUGCUCUCUUUUACUGCAUUAGGACAACAAUGAUUCAACUGUUACAUGUUGUGGUAGUUGAACCCAUUCCUCUGCAUGAUCUGUCUUUGCCACAGUAAAUAGUAAAACCCACUAGCAUGAGUAGGAGUAUUUUGAGCCAUGAUGUGCCUACUCAUUCAUGCUUGCUUGUUAUACCUGCUAUGCUUAGAGUUGUGUCAGGUUUGAUUCAUCUGGGUUGGCUUGGAAUGGUGAUGAACAUGUCCUACUGCUGAGCUCUAAGUGUGUGAACACGAUUUGGUAAAGGUAGCGAUGAGAGGCAAUGUAGGAGUACAUGGUGGGUUGUCUCGUUGAAAUCGUCCUUAGGAACUGAGUUCCGUGUUUGUGAUCCAAGACAGUUACUACCACACAUCGGGUUUCGAUAACUUGACCCCUCUCGACUUACUAAUCGCCUUGAUCUCUAUCUAGGAGUUGUAACUAGUUUCUGGUGUUUGUAGGAUGUGCUGGGGGCUGUACCUAGCGCUGACCGGAGGGGUAGGCUUUGUUACGGUAGGCACCAUGGCACGGUGUAUCAAGCGCAGUACUAUUGGUCGAGGUGGACAUGGGAAUCCUGCACACAUCGUUUGACGCCGUGAUGGAAACUUCGGCCGAACAUCCGUUACGGGUCAGUUCUCAGAUAGGCGAUAAACCUAGACUAGAGUCUUGCGUGGUUAGUCAGGUUGUGGCUGACACCCUCGCUAGGCUUCCGCUUGAAGGUUUCCGAGAUACAUGACGUGUAUAUGGUGUUAAGUGGUGAGAGCGUGUGUGAAGAAAUACACCCCUGCAGGGUAAUAUAAUCUAUUCGGAUAGCCGCGUCCUCGGAUAUGGACUACUUGGAAAGCUUGUAUGGUCCAUAGAUAACCUGAAGUGGAUACUCUAAAUGCGCAAAAUAAGUGUGAGUGCUAUGGAUGGCCUUCUCAUGGGGAGACGGGAGCGGAUCCAUAGUGGUGUAUUGAUAUGGUGAAUAUGUGGACUCACGUGCGCUUUCUCACCUCAAAGAAGUUAUUGGUAGUCAUAGUACAUGAAAGCCACUGAGUCAAAGCUGGCUUGCUGUAGUUAAACUCCACAACCCCAUUGUUGAUACUGAUGCAUAAGUAGAUAGUUCUGAUGUAAGUCUUGCUGAGUACAUUUGUACUCACGUUUGCUUAAUUGAUGUUUUUGCAGAGGAGAUUUCAAUCUCGCUAGUAGUUUCACAUGGGCUUUGACGGUUAGCUUGGGAAUCCCAGACAGAGGUAUGGCUCCUAUGGAGGGUAUUGUAGACAGACAUGCUUCCUAGCCUUCUUUCUUUUCAGCUGUCUAUAUUCAGACAGGUUUAUGCUUCCGCUUGUUGCUUGUAUGACUUUGUAUGUUGGGUCAUGAGACCAAUGUUCGUAAUAUCAUGUUAUGUGUGGCUCUUCAGAGCCUCUUAAAUAAAUACUUGAGUCGUAGAGUUAUAUUGUGACGACAUGUUGUAUCCACACAUAUUUGCAUGUUCUACAUACAUAUGAUGUGUGUUGCAAUGUGUUGGGUCACGAUAAAUCUUCUAUUGGAUUGCUUGAAUCUUUUGAUCUUUUGGUCCAACAAAAUUAUACUGUAAUAAUUAGGUCCAACAGAACAAAUCAGAAAACUUUGCUUGUACCAGACAUGGUUAGGUCCAAUAGAACAAAUGAAUCAUCUCUUCUUGGAGGAUUGUUUAAUUUAUCUUAGAUGUACCAAAAAUGAUCAUUGUGUUGGUCACCAGGAAGCAUCACAAGAUAAUUUAACAUCCAACAUGAAAGAACAUAGAUCUCAAUUCAAACAUCAUGCAAUAACUAACAGACUUCUCAAGUGUAAAUGGAAUCAUCACCACUAUAGCAGCUAUAUUUUGAACACCACGGAAACUCCAAUUUGAAACUGCAUCCUCAUUAAUAGAAACUGGAAAUUAGCUUGUCUAGUUCCAGUUUGAUUUGUUCAUCAACUAAAGAGUUAUAGUUUAAAUGACAAAUUUCACAUCCAAACUACAUAUCACAUCACAAAUUUAGGGUAAUUCAUACAUAGUAUAAAUAUAGGUAGCAUAGUACAGAAGAUCAGUUCCCAUCAAUCAAAUAUAGCAAUAGUCUUUGCAACAAAAUAUAUAAUAUAGACUUUCUUCUUGAGCUCAGCCACUUAGAUCAAUGACAUCAUCCUCUUCAAAAUUCCCUUUGAUAUUUUUCGGCUUGCCCUUGUGAAUUUCCCCAAUUUUAAGAAGCUCAGCUAUGACAUACUCUACCUUCUUAAUAUCUUUCCGGAUAACAUCCAUGUCCUUCAUCAUAGUCUCGAGCUCAUAUAUGUCCUUCUUCAGAACAUCCCUCUUCUUCAUCACAUCAUCCGAAGGGAAAGCUAGCUCCUUCCUAUCCUUUUUUAGGUCAAGGGUCUCCCUCAUGAUCAGAACCAUCUCCUUCUUGAGCCCAUCUUUGUCCACUUUCAGCUUAUCAUUAUCCUUCCUAGUGUUCUUGGUCACUUCUCGCUGAACAACAUGAAUGGCCUUGAGAUCACUGAUUACAUACUGCUUGUUCUCUAGCUGCUUCUGCAGGUCUAUAGAGUCCUCUGACAUCAUUUUUGGUAAUUCUCUUGCCACACCUUUUGGCAUUGCCUGACCCAGUGCUUGUUCCCAUCACUAGCAAACUCAGUGAAUUGGAAGUCCAACUACUUAAUCUUAUCUUUGAGAUUGAGCACUUCCUCUGCAGGAUCAAGCCCUUCCUGGGUUCUAGCAACCAUACACUUUUCAUAUUUUUUCCAGAGCAUGUGAAGUGCCUUUUUCAGGGCUUCGGGCCAGUCCUUCACUACUAGGGAAAACCUUAUACACAGAGGUAUAGCAGUAGCGCUGGUCAAAACAUGGCGCUAUUGCUACUUAUUAGUUGCGCUUGUUACAAAAGCACGCUACAACCAUUGUUGUAGCAGUAGCGCGUCUGCCCGGAAAAGCGCUACUACUAUAAUUCCCUCGUUGGUGCCGGUAGGCUAGGAAUAGUAGUGGCGGUUCUUCCAGAAGCACGCUACUGCUAAAAACUUUGUAGCAGCGCAUUUAUGCUGUAGAGCGCUACUGCUAUGAAAAGGAAAAUAAAUAGAAAAAUAAGUAGAAAAGUAAAUGAAAAUGAAAGAAAUAGAAAAAGGAGAAAUGAAAAAAAGAAAAUGUAAAGAAAACAAAAGAAAAAGAAAAAGAAAACAGAAAGGAAUAGCUGUAGCGCGUUUCGCUGGAAAACGCUAUAGCUAACUUAGCUAUAGCGUGUUUCGGUAAAACGCACUACUGCUAGUUUGACUUAACCCCCAGCCGCGCGGGCUCAAAAUUUUGCUAAGUCCUUCCCCCUCCACUCCCCCCUCUCCCCCAACUGCUCCAUCGCCGUUGUCGCCCUGCCGCCUUCAACCACACCGCCGCCACCCAAGGCCGUCUUCGACCACACCGCCGCCGCCCGAGGCCGCCCUCGACUUCACCGCCGCCGCCCGAGCCAGAGCCUGCCCUCGCCGUCGACCGUAAAGCUCUGCCUCUCCUUUCCCCUACCCUCCUAUCUCUCUUUGCUAGGGUAAUUCAUAUAUAUGUUGACGUUGUGUUGAUGUUCAUAUGAACCCUAGGUGUUCAUAUGAACCCUAGAUUUGUUGAGGGCAGUAGGCAUUUUUUGGCAUUUAGGAAAAAUGAUUGGCAAUUUUUUUAGGAAAUUAGCUAGGGAAAUUUUUUAUGAAAAUGCCUAAACAGUAAUUCCAUUUAGCUUUCAAUUAAUAGAGGGUAUGUAAAUAAUAGUAGCAUUUUGAUUAGAUUAAUAGACGCUAUAAACAAAAAACACUUAGAUAUAAAAAUUUAUUUGGACUAUGGACUUGAAUCUGUUCCAAAUUUCAUUCAAAUGAAAUUUGAAUUAUUUGGACUAUGGACCUGAAUCUGUUCCAAAUUUCAUUCAAAUGAAAUUUGAAUUAUUUGGACUAUGGACCUGAAUAUUUCUGAAGAAAUUGGGUGUAGGUACUAAGCUCUUGCUGCGGAAUUUUUGGUGAGGUCAGAAGGGUUAGAGAAAAUGGAGUUCCUAGACUUUUAGCUUUAGACAAAAAACAAAAGUAUUUAGCUAUAAAUAAAAAACAGUAGCUAUGGCAUUUAGCUAUAAACAAAAAACAGAAUUGUUUUUCUUUUCAAAAACUUGGUUAAACUAAUCGUUGCUAUGUAAACAAAAAACAAGAUUUUUGUUAUAUCAUAUAUGUCAUUGAUGUUCAUUUGCACAUUCCAUUAUUGUUGAUUAUAUCUUUUCAUUGAAGUGGCUAUGUUAUAUGCAAAUUCCUCAAUAGUGUUUGCUCAUGUUAUAUCUUUUCAUUGAAGUGGUUCGAUUGUGCCCAAAGUGGCUUCGUUGUUUCCAGGGAAUGAAGCCGAGUGGCCUAUGUUUUUCCGGAAUGUUGAUUCGUUUCCGUUCCGGCAAAUUUCAGGCUCUCGAUUUGUCCACUUUUUAGCAAAAGUCAUGCCGAAAUUUUCCGUGAAUUUCGGCAUGACUUGUGCUACAAACUAGGACAUAUCGAGUGCCCGGGAUUUGCCGCACAGGGAAGGAGUCAACGUUCCUGCAGAGCAUAGACCUUUUUUUAUGUCAUUAUUCAUUUUAUUAGGUCUAGAAUUAAUUGACUAAAUUUAAUCGUAGGAAACAUGGCUAGCAACGAUGAAGGACAGGGUUCUGGUGACUGCGACAACGUCUACCUGGCAGCAGAAGAAUUUUUUAUGGAAGAUGACGAUCAAGAGUUGAUGUUGCUGGGUCCACCUGUCACAUCAGAGAUUGAGACCGACAUCGAGACCGGCGCUGAGAUAGAGACUGGCACUGAGAGUGAGACCGGCAUCGAGACCGGCACUGAGACUGAGACCGGCGCCGAGACCGGCGCCGAGACUAGCGGAGCCGGUAUAGACCCGAAAGCAAAGAGGCAACUGCUUCCUAACAAGCUCAGGUCUAAUAGACUGGUGGUCACGGAGGUGGACGACGGCAAUUUUGAACCAAACGCGCCCUAGGAAGCGCGCGCGUGCUACGACAAUCAAAUAGGAUGCAUCAUACGGACAACCGCCACCAUCAAAGAUGAGAAACUAAAGAAGAUAGAUAAUAUGAGGCCCUCCCUCCUAAAGAAGUUGCACCUGAUAUUCUUGUUCCCGGGCCGGAAUGAAAAGGAUUAUAAAGAUCCAGAUAAGGACCUGGCAAUGAAGAAGAAAAACAAACACGUCAUGACCAAGUUUAGCGACGCGUUGGCCGCCUGGAAAUCAAGGGUGAAAUAUCGGAUCGUUGACAAAAAGGAACCCUACUCCGAGAUUGUAAAGGAUAAUCCGACAACCAUGGUAGAGCACUUUCAAAUAUUCAAGGCAGCUUGCGAGGCCGAAGCUGCCAAAAAAUAGUCGAAGUACAUGAAGGGGCUUCAAUAGAGGAACAUUGGGUGCCCCCACCUCGGAAGUCGUGGUUACGGCAGGAAGAGGUCCAUAUGGGCCAUGGAGGACGCGGAAGCCGCGAGUCCGGGCAUCCCAGACCCCUUGGCGGAGUUCACCGUCCCGCAGGAGCGUGACAUCCUCAGGGCCCGGCACCGUUGGGAUCCAAUGAAGAAGGUUUUCGAGACGAACGCGGUCACGGCGGAGUUCAUGUGACUGCUGGCAAUUUUAGUUUCUGAUCAAUUCGACUGCACGUUAGUCAUAUUUAUAAACGAUCCUUGUGCCAUUUGCAGAGAGAGCAGCGCAGGAUUGCGGCCGAAAGCGACUCGCCGUCUGAGGCGUUGGCGAGGCCCAAGUGGGACACUCCAUUCAACCGGGCGUUGAACAUAUUGAAAGGACUCCCGGUGGAGACUCGACUGUCGUAUGGACGCGUGCACGGUGUCGGAGAUGGCGCCACGUGGAAGAAGUACUACCGUGAGACCACGGAGGAGAGAAAGGAAAGACGGAGGUUAACUGAAGAAAACAUUGACAAGAAGGUUGAGAUUGCGGUUGAGAAGAAAUCAUCUAAGACAGUCGCAAUAGCGGUAGCUGCCGCAAAACAGGUGCUUGUACAUAUGUCUACUACCUUGGUUCCGGCCGUUUUCAAUUGGAGCAGGCAAAAUCUAGAAAAAAAUGCAGCGGAGUUUCCCCUUGCUGACUUCUUUGGGAGCAGCUCGACUAGCGUUGCACCAGCACCUGCAGCUGCACAUGCUCCCGCACCGGCUCCCGCACCGGCUCGUGCACCUGCUCCCGCACCGGCUCCCGAACCUGCUCCAGCACCGGCUCCGGCACCGGACGUGCUCGGCGGUGCUUCGUCUUUGGCUGAGCUCGACGCCCUCACGGUGUCUGUCACACCGGCCCCCAUCAAUAAAUGUAUUAUCUCCCGUUUUCGUUGCCUUUCGGAUGUCUCACGUCACAGACUUUUCUUUGCAGGCCGACGAAACCCCGUGCACCAUAUUGUACACCAUCGGCGACAAGAAGGUGGACGUGGGGAAGGCGACGAUAAUGGAGCCGAAGGAACCAUUGUUCCACAGCGGCUGAUCCCCCAGGACGUCUUCAAGGUUUCCGUGGCCAGUGUCAAACCGGGCCACGAGAAUUUGACUCCUCUGGUACUAGUGGGGGAUGACAACGAGACCCCACGGCGGCUUGGUAAUUGUUGCAAUGGGUGGGUCCUGUUGUGGCCAAAGAGUCUGCUUCGUCUGGAGGUGGCCGGGAGCACACCCACGAGCACACAGUUAGGUAUGAACAUCAACACCUCACCUACCCAAUUAGCGUCGGCUGUCGUGCUAGGUGAUAGCGGAGGGGGUGAGGAAGAGGCUCCAUUAGUCACUGGUGAUGUCGCCAUAGAUGAGGAUGAGGAUGACGAUGACACUCAACAGUAUGUCAAUACUGGUGCCUACUUAGGGUUUGAGCGUCAUGAGUCGGUGCCUGAAUUGCCGCCUCCGAAGUCUGAACGUAUUAUGGACAACCUUCCGGUAGUAAAGAAGUCUAGGAAGAGACCGAGGAAAGGCAAAAAAGCUGCUUCUAUGAUCCAGCCGCCUCAGCAGCCUCGGGUUCAAGACUGUAUAGAUAUCCCCGGUGCGGCAAAAUGGCAUAUCCAUGGUCAACCAAUCCUACCUAAAGCAGCGCUAGGGGCUAGAUUCGGCGAUUUAAGGAGACUUCAUGACGAUGUGCUGCGGAUAGAGAAAUGGCUCAUCGCCUCAAAAAAUCCAGGAUACCCACUCUACAUGGUUAACGUGCCGCGGCAAUUCUCGUACGUCGACACAUUCCCCGCGGAGAAGUUCUUCCUUCGAUUCGAUUACAUCUUCGACAUGUUUCACUUAAAGAAACUGGAUUUUACGUUUGUCCGCCUUUAUGUCUUGCACAUGAACUACCUCAUCAGGGUUGAGCAGAUACCUCAUAUCUGUGUCGCUAGCCCGUACUUCAUGCAUGAGGGCUUCUUGGGAGUCUGCGCAGAGCACCGUGAAUAAGCAAGGGAAUACAUCGCCAAUUUCAUGCUCACCAUAAGGACAAGGAGGCGAUUCUCGUGCCUUAUCAUCCCCUGUAAGUCAUCUGCGCGGAUAUCCUUCCUUUGAUUUCAAUCAUUCAUUUGCACAGUGGAGGCUAAUUAAUUUGAGGUGUACUUAUUUUUCGCAGCGGCGGGCGCGCCGUCCUCAUCAUCCUCUACCCCCGAUACUCCCACGCUCUUUACUUGGACUCGUCGAAGAACAUUAACAAAAAGGAUUACACCCACAUGAAGUCUGUUCUCGACAGUGCUAUGUUUUACUACGGCGCACGGGGUGGAGAGGUCAAGGACAAGAAGAAAAGGGACGGCAGGCCCGCCUUUGGCCAUAAGACCGACUUCUGCUGCAUCCACCAACCGAGUUAUUCUCUUAAUGAUGGAUUCUAUGUCCUACACCACAUGCUGGAGUACAGACGGGAUCACCAGAACCUUCGCAUGUCACCUAGAUCCGGCGAUGCCCAUAUUCUGCAAUGGGCAAAGAACUUAGGAGAUAUCGAGGAUCAUCGACUUCGAGCUGAGUUCUAUCACAUCCAGCGCAAACUUGCCCAAAUCAUCAUGAAGGAGGUCGUCGAAAAAACAGGGAUUUUCUAUGAAGAAGGACAAAUGUCGCGGGAAGACGUCCGAACACGCGUAGCGGCUCAGCUUCUCGACCUGAAGCCUUUCACUAAGCUUGGGGACUAUCUCCCUGACUUGGAUGCAUGGCACGACAUGUUGGAGUGAUUGUCGAUAUAUGACAAUGUGUCUGUUUAGUCCAUACUAUCUGUAUCACGAAACUCUGAGUUAUGCAUGACGAAACUUUAUUUGUUAUGUAAUUAAACCGUCCUCCUCGACUAGUGAAGAUCACUCUAGUUAGGGCUUUUUGGGUACGAUGAAUUUUGUUAUAUAUGCUUAUGGUAUGUUGCUUCUAUUUUUGCCAAGUCUGUCUCUUUCUGUUGCUCAACUAUAUAUGUUGCAUAUCAUCGACUCAUGUGACGAUGCAGGUGUAUAGAUCAUCGAUGGCGAAGAAGUGCUACGCCAGGAGUAUACGACGAGUGGCCGGAAUGUCAGGCCCAGGUGUACCGGUUUCCGGUUUCCGAGCGACAGCCAGUAGUUAGUUUAGGUUCACGCUAAUGCGAGAGAGGGAUACGAACUCAUGUACUGCAUAGUUCCGCUCUCACUCAAAGUGAUAGCUCUUCUCGCGUAUAUCAUUGUUUAGAUGGAUGACGACGUAGUUGCAAGUAAUCGAGACUUGUAUCGCUAUUUUUGAGAUGAUGACGAGAGACCACUUGUUGUUGGAUGAUGAUUAUGAUGAUGGCAUGAUUUGAUGAGACUAUUUGUAUGUAUAUGCUAUGAUUACAUUUGUAUGUGUAUGAUAUGCUAAAGAUUAUUGUAUAAAGCCUAUUCAAAUACAAAACAAAUAUGCAUAAAAAAAUAAAAACUAAUAAAACUAGCAGUAGCGAGGGGAACAAAGUUAGCAGUAGCGCUCCCUUACCAGUAGCGCUUCGUGCUAAAAAGCGCUGCAGAUAUUAGCAGCAGCGCUCUGCACUAAAGCGCGCUACUGCUAGCCAUGUAUAGCAGUAGCAUGGGAUGACAGGUGCUACUGCUACACGUUAGCUGUAGCGCCUUAUCAGUAGCACGUCGUCCCGAGCUACUGAUAGGCAAAAUACCCGCGCUACUGCUAGGGUUUUCCGUAGUAGUGCUUGUCAACCCAAUGAAUAAAUCUACCGUUUCCUAGUUGCAAUAAGAAACAAUUAGCAUUUAAUUAAUGGACACACAUUAGUCAAUAUAUUUUGAAAUGAGCAAAGUAUAGCAUAACUAGAUGAAAACCAAAUAUAGCAUAAGUGAGCUAGAAUGUUCCACAAACACGACAUGUCACAACUAAGUUACAAUGUUCUACCAACACAGCUUAGCAGCCAAACAAAACAUAGCUAUAAGACAUCCAAAUAUAGCACAAUAUAGUUGAAUUGUUCCACAAAAGUUGUGCAUGGGAUAACUGAAAUAUACAAUGGGUAUUGUCACAGAACACUAACUCUAGUUUAUACCAUUUACAUAUACUUUUUCCAGACAACCAUCACUUACUGAACAAGCAUCCCAUCAUUAGAGUCUGAGAAGAAAUGCAGCCUUCUCAGGGCGUCGAGAUCUGGGCCGUUGGAUUAAGCUUUCAAAAGAAUUGCGACCAUCAGAUCUUCAGAUGGAUCGAUCCGGGCCGUCGGAUCAUAGCAAACACUGCUACAGUGAAUAGUGUUGUUUCUUUUUUAUUUUGGUCUAUUAUUACUAUCUCGCUGACUGAUGGGCCACGCGGUAAGUGGUCCAUUGCUGUUAGUGAGAGCAGAGCACUAAGCGGUCGGUGCUGGUUCGUACAGGCUCAGGGGUCAGGCCAACGCCUGUGAAAUUGGGUAGCCGCUGAGGGCAAAUUCAACAUUUCACGUCAUCGCCCCUGCGUGACGCUCCGUGGAUGGCUAGUCAGCAAGUAAUGGCGAGGGAGCGACCCAUUGGCUAGAAACCUAGCCGCCUCUUCCCCGUCGUGUUCCUAUCUGUGUCGUUUGAGCUGCGGUCGCCAUCGAGGACGUGUCACUCGCACCGCCACUUCCCUGUCGAGCUCAUGCGUCCACUAGCCACACCGUCUCUUUUCCAUGCCUGCUCAUCCUCCGUUCCUCUUCGAUCACCGAGCUCGCCGUCGCUAUCGUCGGGAGGAAGCGAUUGGUGGACCUAGCCCACCGCCAUCAACGGGUGGAGCGCAGGAACCCGCGAUGCCCCUCCAGCGACCAGCACUUAUCCCUCGCCCAGCGACGAGGCCCCAUCGAACUCGCGUGUGGUCGCAGCUGGGAAUCCUCCUGUCCGCUCCUUGCUCCCCGCCGAGAGCCUUGAUUGGAUCUGGAUCCUGAGCUCUCCGUGCCCGCAUCGCCCCACCAUUCAUGGUGCACCACCAGCACGAGCUGCACAUCAUCAUGUCGUCAGAGGGAGAGCGGGAGGAAGUUGGCGCUGUUUAUCCCCACGAGGUGUGCCGUCGACGGUAGGAAGCCAGGCAGGGCGACGGGGAAAUACCGACGUAGUUCAAGCCGCAUCAAAAGGAAUUUCUGGCGCAGUUGCCAGGGAGACAUCAUCAACAUCUAUGAGGUUCCUAAUCACAAAUCCCAUCUCCUUGCAAUUUACAUUAUUUGCCAUUUGCCUCUCGUUUUCAUCUCCCCCACUUCACAAAAAAUUGCCGUUUUAUUCGCCCUCUUUUUCGUUUGCCUUUUUCUGGUUCGAUCUUAUGUUUGUUUGUGUCUCCAUGUGCCUUCUAUUUUGCUUGCAUCUUUUCUUGCUAAAACCUAUUGUUAUGGAUCCACUCAAAGUUUUGUACCUGGAUCUUGUUCGACCCAUAUGUGCUCGUGCUGAAACCCCAACUAGUUUAGUUGAGGGAAAAUCAUUAGAUGAGCAUGCUCUUUUUGCCCGUCAUCGUUUGUCUGAAAAAGGGAAGCUCUUAUGGAAUCAAAUAAAUUGUUUGCUAUGAUAUGCUUGGAAUCAUUAUGAAAUUUGUGAUUUUACUUGUUGCUCUAAGAACCCCAAAAAACACUUCCCCUAUCUAUGUGAGUUUAAUGACAAUGAAGUCUUAUGUUCUUAUGCCAAGGAGGUUUAUAGUUACUAUGAUAUCGAACAAAUUGAACAAUUUGUUGCUUUUAAGGGUGCUUAGAAGUUGCUUAUUUGAUUGAAAAGUAUGAUAUUACUCUCUACAAAUCUGAAAAUUUUGACAUACUUAAAUAUUGCUAUGAAAACUAUGCUCAUAAUGCCUAUGUUAAAGAAUUUAUUGAGAGAAUGUCCUAUGCUUUGAAAGAAAAUAGUGAUAUGCAUGAAGCUAUGGAUAACCAUGAUUCCGUUGAUUUGAUUGAAUUAUCCCCUCUUGAUGAACACGUUGCUAGCUAUUCUUGUGGCCAUGAUGCCAAUAUUAAUGAUGCUUAUGAAGAUGAACUUGCUAUAGUUCUUUAUGUUAAACAUGAAAUUAUUGCUAUUGCACGCACGCUGGAUAGCUCCUUUAAUGAAAAGCAUGAUUGCAAUGAUAUUAUUAUAGAUUCUAUUAAUCUCAAGUUUGUUAGUGAUAUGCAAAACCCCAAGCUUGGGGAUGCUUGUUUUGUUAUGUCCGCUACUUAUUGCAAUGAUCAUGAUUGGGGUGAUGAUGACUUUUAUGAUCUUGAUAGUCUAUUUAAGCCUCAUGAUGAAUAUGUUUGCAAUAAUAUUAAAAGUGGGUUUGGAAGAGUGUCAAAUAUUGAUAAAAAUAAUCCCACAAAUUUGGAGAGUGUUCAAUCUUAUGAUUUUUUUAUAAAAGUGGGCUUGGAAAGGUCAUGACUUUAUUUUAUGGUAAUCCCACUAUUUUGGAAGAGUGUCAACUUUGCAUGCAUGUGGAUCAUGUAGAGAAUAUGUUAUGUGAUAUCUAUAUUAUUGAAUUUGAACAUGAUUCCACAUGUAAUUGUUAUGAGAGAGGGAAAUAUGGUUGUAGAAAUUUCUUGCUACUAAGUCACCUCUCGUUAUGUUGAAUUGUCAAAGUUUUAUUUGUUUCCUAUGUAUAUGCUAGAUAUUUCUUGUUUUGAUAAUUUGUUUGCCUGUAAAAUUCCUAUACAUAGGAAAUAUGUUAGACUUAAAUGUGUUUAUCACAUGUUUUAUGAUCCUCUCUUUGUGUUUCAAUUAUUAUCUUUCAUGUGAGCAUCAUUGAAAUCGCAAAGCCUAUCUUAAUGGCUAUAAAGAAAGAGCUUGUUGGGAGGCAACCCAACGAAUAAAUUUUAUGUUUGCCUUUUUGUUUCUGUACAAUUAUGCCUCUGUUAUGAUUAUGUUUUUUAUGUUUUAAUUAGUGUUUGUGCGAAGCAAAGCCUUUUAGGAUCAUGUUGGGUGAUAGUUGAUUUGAUCUUGCUGAAAAACAGAAAAUUAUGAGUCCAGUAACACAAUUAUUAAAAUUCACAGAAGCGUGAUAAAAUUCUGAUUUUUUUACAGAAGAUUAAUACAAAUAGCGUAUGUUGUCCUAAUUUUUCAGAAUUUUUGCAGUUACAUAAGUAUACGAAGUUUUCAGAUUGCUACAGACUAUUCUGUUUUUGACAGAUUAUAUUUUCUUUUUGUUGUGUGCUUAUUUUGAUGAAUAUAUGGACUUUAUUGGAGGGUAUAAGCUAUAGUAAAGUUCGAAUACAGUACAUAUAAUGCAAAAAUAAAAUAUGAAUGGGUUUGCAACAGUACUUAGACUAGUGAUUUGCUUUGUUAUACUAACGGAUCUCACGAUGGUUUUGUUGAGUUUUGUGUGAUUGAAGUUUUUCAAGUUUUGGGUGAGAUCACGAUGGAUGAAGGAAUAAGGAGUAUGAAGAGACUAAUCUCGGGGAGGCCCAUGGCACCCCAAGUUAUUAUCCAAAGAGGAACAAGCAAUUAAGAUUGGGGAUGCCCCCGAGUGGCAUCCCCUCUUUCUUCUAAUGACCAUCGGUAUUUUACUUGGAGCUAUAUUUUUAUUCGUCACAUAUCAUGAGUUUUGCUUGGAGCAUCUUGUAUUAUAUGAGUCUUUGCUUAUUUUGCUUUUUUAUUUUGUGUCAUCUAUCCUUGCUGGACACACCUAUUUGAGAGGGCCCAAAUUAUGCUAUGGAAUCUUUUUGCUUCACUUAAAUCUUUUUGAGCUAUGGAAUUGAUCUUUGUGCUUCACUUAAAUCUUUUUGAGCUAUGAAAUUGCUCUAGUGCUUCACUUAUAUCUUUUUGAGAACGGUGUGCUUUGGUAUUUUUGAAGAAAUGCUCUCAUACUUCACGUAGAUUUAUUUGAGAGUUAGUAAAUUUUUUAAGAAAUCCUCUCAUGCUUCACAUAAAUUAAUUUGAGAGAAGAAAUUUUUUAUGCUCGUGUUCUUCACUUAGAUUUGUUUGAGCUAUCAAAAGCAACAUAUGAAAUUAGUCCCAAAGUGAUAGAUAUUCAAGAGGGAUAUAAUAAAAACUUUCAUGAAGAUCGUUAGACAAAAUAAACUUGAUUCUUUGUAAUAGUUUUGCGGUAUGACGAUAUAAUAUGUGAGUCAUGUUGAUGAGUUAUUACGCUUUAGUGAGAAUAUUGAUGUUAAGGUUUGUGAUUCUCUAUGUAAGCACGAAAGUCAAUAGUUAUGCAAUGAAAUUACAUCCUACUUGUCGUGCAUUAUUCGGUGUUAGUUCUGCUUAAUUCUUGCUUAUGAGAUUUUUUGUUUCUUGGUUGGAUGCUUCUCAAUAUUUUGCUAGCCUUCAAUUGUACUAAGUGGGAUUACUACUUGUGCAUCCAAAAUCCUUGAACCCAGUUUUUGCCAUAUGAGUCCACUAUACCUACCUAUAUGCGGUAUUCAUUUGCCGUUCUAAGAAAAUUUGUAUGUGCCAUCUCUAAUCUUCAAAAUAACUUCCUUUUUGUGUGCUCGUACCGCUCAUGAAACGGUAGGGGGUGGCUGAUAUUUUUCCAUGCUAGAUGUGUUAUUCUCAAGAUGAGUGUUUAUUCACUUGUCACUGCACGAGAGUAUGGCAAAGUUAUUAGGGAUGCCCAGUCCUGAAAUGAAAAAUGAAUUUACUUUAUGUUGUCAAAUAAUAAACUCCUUGGAAAGUGUUGGUAUGGACGGUACCCGUGGAUUCGGUUCGCCGUGGAAUGUGAAAGUAUGGUGGAAAAAGGAAUAAACUUUAUUUUCUGUUUGGGAACCACCUAUGAUAUAUCUAGCAUGGAAAGUAUUGGGAACUACUCGAUCGUUUUCAUUGACAGGAAAGGCAUGCCACCCAAAAUGUCUUAUCUCUAUCUUUUUCCGCUUUUAGCUCUGGCACCUCUACAAAUCCCUACUUCCCUCUGCGAAGGGCCUGUCUAUUUACUUUAUGAAAUUUUUAUUUUUAUUUCAAGUCUCCAUCUUCUCUUACAAAGCACCAACUAAGGGGCACUACGAUCGUACCAUAGCAUUGGGUGUAGCUAAUAUGCGAGUGUGUUUCAUGAAUGGAUCAAUGAUUGAGCAUAAUGGGCUAGGGAUAAAUUGCUUUAGUGUUGAUAUUUUGAAAGACAUGGUUGCUUGUUGAUAUGCUUGAGUAUUGAAAUCUUCAUAUCAACACUAGACUAUUCCUUUGAAUCAUAUAAAAGUCCAAAUGUCCAUGCUACAAAAGAAAAAGAAUAUGUGAUGAACAUGAUAGGCAACAUUCCACAUCAAAAAUUCUAUUUUUAUCAUUUACCUACUCGAGGAGGAGCAGGAAUUAAGCUUGGGGAUGCUGAUACGUCUCCAACGCAUCUAUAAUUUUUCAUUGUCCCAUGUUGUUAUAUUAUCAUUUUUGGAUGUUUUACAAUCAUUUUAUAACAACUUUAUAUCUUUUUUGGGACUAGCCUAUUGACAUAGUGCCUAGUGCCAGUUGCUGUUUUUUGCUUGUUUUUACACUGCAGAAAAUCAAUACCAAAUGGAGUCCAAAUGCAGCGAAACAUUUUGCAGAAUUUAUUUGGACCAGAAGACACACGAUGGGCCAAUAGAGUACUAGAGGGGGGCUCCGAGGGAAGCACAACCCACCUGGGCGCGCCCUGGUGGGUUGUGCACACAUCGGCUCGCUAUCGUGCCGCCUCUUUGCUCCAUAAAUACCCCGAAAAUCCAAAAACCCUAGGAGUCGACGAACACAAUUCCAGCUGCCGCAAGUUCCACAAAGCACAGAUCCAAUCUAAACACUGAUACGUCUCCAAUGUAUCUAUAAGUUUUUAUUAUUCCACGCUAUUAUAUUAUCUGUUUUGGAUGUUUUAUAUGCAUUAAUAUGCUAUUUUAUAUUAUUUUUGGGACUAACCUAUUAACCUAGAACCCAGUGCUAGUUCCUGUUUUUUCUUGUUUUAGAGUUUCGCAGAAAAGGAAUAUCAAACAGAGUCCAAACGGAAUGAAACUUUGGCGAUGAUUUAUCUUUGACCAGACGAUAACCAGAGGACUUGGAGUACACGUCAAGGAAGCCACAAGGAAUCCCAAGGGGGUAGGGCGGGCCCCCCACCCUUGCGGACCCCUAGUGACACCACCGACCAAUUUCUUCCGCCUAUAUAUUCUCAAAUACCCCAAAACCUUCUAGGAGAGCCACGAAACCACUUUUCCACCGCUGCAACCUUCUGUACCCGUGAGAUCCCAUCUAGGGGCCUUUUCCGGCAUCCUGCCAGACGGGGACUCGAUCACGGAGCGCUCCUACAUCAACAUUGCCUCUCCGAUUAAGCGUGCGUAUUUUACCACAAACCUACGGGUCCAUAGCUAGUAGCUAGAUGGCUUCUUCUCUCUCUUUGAUUCUCAAUACCAUGUUCUCCUCGACGUUCUUGGAGAUCUAUUCGAUGUAAUACUUUUUUGCGGUGGGUUUGCCGAGAUCCGAUGAAUUGUGUAUUUAUGAUCAGCUUAUCUAUGAAUAUUAUUUGAAUCUCCUCUGAAUUCUUAUAUGCAUGAUUUGAUAUGUUUGCAAGUCUCUUCGAACUAUCGAUUUGGUUUUGCCACCUAGAUUUGUUUUUCUUGCAAUGGGAGAAGUGCUUAGCUUUGGGUCAAUAUUGCGGUGCUCGAUCCUAGUGAUAGAAGGGGAACCGACACGUAUUGUAUUGUUGCCAAUGAGGAUAACAAGAUGGGGUUUUCAUCAUAUUGCUUGAGUUUAUCCCGCUACAUCAUGUCAUCUUACUUAAUGUGUUACUCUUUUAUUCAUGAGCUUAAUACUCUAGAUGUAGGCAGGAGUCGGUCGAUGUGUGGAGUAAUAGUAGUAGAUGCAGGCAAGAGUCGCUCUACUUGAUACAGAUGUGGUGCCUAUAUUCAUGAUCAUUGCCUUAGAUAUCGUCAUAACUUUGCGCUUUUCUAUCAAUUGCUCGGCACUAAUUUUUUCACCCAACGUAAUAUUUUCUAUCUUAAGAGAAGCCUCUAGUGAAACCUAUGUUCCCGAGUCUAUUUUCCAUCAUAUAAUCUUCUAUUUUCCAUCAUAUAAGUUUCCGAUCUACAAUUUUAGUUUCCUAUUUACUUUCUUUGCAAUAUUUUGCAUUCCGAUCUAUAAACCAAAAAUACCAAAAAUAUUACUUUACCGUUUAUCCAUCUAUAUCAGAUCUCACUUUGCAAAUAAUUGUGAAGGGAUUGACAACCCGUUUAUCGCGUUGGGUGCAAGUUGGUGUUUGUUUGUGCAGGUAUUCGGUGGCUUGUGCAUUGUCUCCUACCGGAUCGAUACCUUGGUUCUCAAAACUGAGGGAAAUACUUACUCUACUUUGCUGCAUCACCCUUUCCUCUUCAAGGGAAAAACCAACGCAAGCUCAAGAAGUACUGGGAAGAAUUUUUGGCGCCAUUGCCGGGGAGAUCUACGCCAAGCCGAGACAUACCAAGUACCCAUCAUAAACUCUCAUCCCUCGCAUUACAUUAUUUGCCAUUCGCUUCUCGUUUUCCUCUCCCGCACCUCUCACUACUAGGAAAAGGGCUAUAGACAAUAUGCACACUAAUGGCGCACCAGACAUGCGGUGCGCCACUACUAUAUAGCGGUGGCGCACCGUGUGCUGGUGCGCCAUUAGUGUGAUAGACACUAAUGGCGCACCACAACCAUGGUGCGCCACUACUAACAAAUUUUCUUUUUCUUUUUAAAAAAAUACUAAUGGCGCACCGCAACCAUGGUGCGCCACUACUAAUUUUUUUCCUUUUUUCCAAAAAUACUAAUGGCGCUACUUGGCACAGUGCGCCAUUACUAGUUUUAACUAGUAAUGGCGCACCAGUCACCCCGUGCGCCACUACUAUCAUUUUUUUGCAAAACUACUAAUGGCGCACCGCCAGCUGGUGCGCCAUUAGUAACCAGGGUUACUAAUGGCGCAUUUGUUGGUGGUGCGCCAUUAGUAACCUGGGACCAGCUAGAUAUUUUGGACAGCCACCUACACACUCACUUUCCCCACUUCAUUCUCUCCACCUCCUCCUCCAAGCUUGUCUCGGCUGCCUCCUCCUCCUCACCUCAUUUGCACCAUAGAUUCAUCCAAAUUAAGUGGUUAAAUUACCUUUUUUGAUAGGUAAGUAAGGGGAAAGCUUUCUUUAUGUUGUAGAUCUACUUUUUUCUCCCUCCAACAACGUGCACAUGCACUUUUUAUGGCCUAGCUAGAUCUAUGUAUGUUUGUGGUGUUGCAUAUGUUUGUGGUGUUGCAUAUAUGUUUGUGUUUGCACGUACCGGUAUUUGAAAUGCGAUAGUUGCCAAUAUUUUGCCAGAAUGUUGAUUCAUUUCCGUUUCGUCAAGAAUUUUGGCACUAUGCAUUCUUUUUUGUCCUAUUUUUAGGCAAAGUCAUGCCAAAUUUUUUCUUGGUUCUAAAAUAUCGUUUUGCUCUACCCUGCAGGCGACCAUGGUCUGCACGAUGACCGAAGGCAUCGUGAAUAGGUUUUUGAGCUCCGCGAAGGCCGAGAUGCUUCAAAAGAAUGAGACGGAGAUAAGAUGUCCGUGUCGAAGAUGCAAGCUGAGGAGCCUUAUGGACCCGGAUUCCGUACAGGUGCGGGACCACCUGCUCUUGCGUGGUUUCAUGGAUGGCUAUCGGUGGCAAGGUGAUGAAGAUGAUUAUGAAGUCGUCCAUGGGGGCCGGCCGGUAAGAAAUGAGGAAGGGCAGCAAGACAACCGCGGCGAGGGCGGGCGAGAAGACGAAGAAUCUCCAGGACAUGAUCACGAAGUAGAUGCAGUACGCAGUCAUCAUGUAGAAGAUGCCGGACAUAAAGAUGAGGAAGAUGCCGGAGCAGACGAAGGGCAUGAUCAUGAAGAUGAAGAUGCCGGAGCGGACGACGAUGGACCAUCGAUGGGCUGGGUGCAGGACCCUCAUAUUCAAGAGCUGCUUCUCAAGCAGACGGAUAACGCAAGAGCUGCCGCCCGAGAGAAAGCCAAGCUGGAUCAACUGGAGAUAGACGCGGUUACUCCAUUGUAUGAAGGAUGCAGGCCCGAGGAUACCCGCCUGAAAGUAACGCUCAUGGCUCUGGAGAUGAAGGUAAAACACAAAAUGACCGACGCAUGCUUCGACGAGAACAUGUCAUUCUGGCACGAACGUCUUCCCAAGGGGAACAAGUGCCCGACCAGUUUUGAGGAGGCGAAGAAAAUCGUGUGUCCUCUGGAUUUACCGCACGUGAAAUACCAUGUGUGCAUGAACAAUUGCAUCAUUUAUCGGGACGAGCACGCGGAGUCUACCAUAUGUCCGGUGUGCGGCGUCACUCGAUACAAGAAGAGGAAGAAAGCUCCUCGAAAAGCGGUGUGGUACUUUCCGAUCGCUCCUCGUGUGCAGCGGUAUUUCGCGGACCCUAAGGUAGCAAAGCUCUUGCGUUGGCACGCGGAUAGGGAGGAGAAGAAGCGAGAAGAUGACGCAAAUGAUCCGGAGAUAAAUAAAAAAGACAAGAUGCUGAGUCACCCUAAGGAUGGGAGCCAGUGGCAAGCGUUGAACUUCGAACACCCAGAAUUUGGGAACGAUCCAAGGAACAUCGUGCUGGGCGCGAGCACCGAUGGAGUCAAUCCGUUUGGCAGCCAGAGAAGCACACAUAGCACCUGGCCUGUGUUUGUGGAUGUACAACCUUCCCCGCUGGUUGUGCAUGAAGAGGAAGUACAUUCACAUGAGUAUGCUAAUUGAAGGGCCGAAACAACCAGGGAACGACAUCAAUCUGUAUCUGGGGCUGCUGAAAGAGGAGCUAGACACGCUGUGGAAAACGCCAGCCAAUACGUGGGACACCGCAGAGAAAGAAUAUUUCCCUAUGAGAGCCGCUCUGCUCACGACGGUGCACGACUAUCUCGAUUACGGAUAUGUCGCGGGGCAGGUGGUCCACGGAUUUUCUGGAUGCGUCAGGUGCAUGGAUGACACAACAUAUCGCCAGCUAGAUAGAGAUCUCAGGUCUUCGAAAACCGUGUUCAUGGGACAUCGAAGGUGGCUUCGCGACGAUGACUCAUGGAGGAAACGCAAGGAUCUGUUCGAUGGUGAAACCGAAACCCGAAGACGCCCGCGUACGAGGAGCGACAAGGAAAUAGACGAGUUGUUGAAAAAUUGGAAAGAUUGCCCACUGCCGGGAAAGAAGCAAAAGGCACCAGAGCCGGAAAAGAAGCGAAAGGCGCAAGAGCCGCUGCUGAAGGUAUGGAAAAUGAGGUCUGUUUUCUGGGACUUGCUGUACUGGAAGAUCCACCGUGUGCCUCACAGCCUUGAUGUCAUGCAUAUCACGAAGAACGUGUGCGAGAGUCUGCUUGGUACCCUGCUCAACAUGCCGGAGAGGACCAAAGAUGGGCCGAAAGCAAGGGCAGACUUGAAAUCAAUGGGCAUCAGGGAGGAGCUUCACGCUAAUGAUGAUGAUGAUGAGGCGAAGCAGGACACGGAAAGUCGUCGCAAAGGCAAAAAGGCCAAGAAGACCGAAAAUGACUUCCCUCCCGCGUGCUUCACUCUAAGUCAGGAGGAGAUCGAUCAGUUUUUCACCUGCCUCGUAGGAGUAAAACUUCCUUACGGUUACGCGGGGAAGAUAAGCAGAUACCUAGACUCAGCGAAGCAGAAGUUCAGCGGGAUGAAGUCUCAUGACUGUCACGUGCUGAUGACGCAGAUACUUCCAGUUGCAAUCCGUGGGAUCAUGGACGCGCACGUCCGUGAAACGCUAUUUGGCCUAUGCAACUUUUUCGACGUCAUCUCUCGGAAGUCGGUUGGUGUGAGGCAACUCAGAAGGCUACAUGAAGAGAUCGUAGUGAUACUAUGCGAGCUUGAGAUGUACUUCCCGCCCGCAUUCUUCGACGUUAUGGUGCAUCUGCUGGUCCAUAUCGUGGAGGAUAUCAUCCAACUCGGGCCGACGUUCCUGCACAGCAUGAUGCCGUUCGAAAGGAUGAAUGGUGUCAUCAAAGGAUACGUUCGCAACAUGUCACGUCCAGUGGGAAGCAUAGCCAGGGGCUUUCUGACCGAAGAGUGCAUCUCCUACUGCACGAAUUAUCUAGGCAUCGAGAACCCCGUUGGUCUGCCCGCCAACAGGCACCUCGGCAGGCUCGCUGGAUGGGGUCAUCGUGAGGGUUGCCGCGAAAUGCAUGUCGAUUUCGAGGGUCGACUCGCCGACUUUGAAAGAGCAAACCUAGUCGCGCUACAACACAUAGACGUGGUCGAUCCUUGGGUGGUAGAGCACAAAACCUUUAUUGAGAAGACGUACAAUGACCGAGACCAACAGAGGACGGACGGAGAUAUAAUCAAAGAGCACAACUCAUAUUUCACGCGUUGGUUCAAGCAGCAUGAGGAUUCUUCCGCGGAAGAACAACUCAAAUUCGCCUUGUCACAGGGCGCCGAGCACAACCUGAUGACGUAUGAGGCGUACAAUAUCAACGGCUACACAUUCUACACCGAGGGAAAGGACAUGAAGAGCGAUGGUUAUCAGAACUCUGGGGUAACGAUGGAAUCCUACACCGGUAACGAUAAGGACAGAUACUACGGAAGGAUCGAGGAGAUCUGGGAGCUGAGCUAUGCUGGAGAGAAGGUCCCGAUGUUCCGUGUCAGAUGGGCCAAGAGCGUCCUAAAAGAAGACCGGUAUUUCACCACCAUGGUUAUACCCGAAGCCAAAUCCAAGACCGCGGGCGCAAACGACACCGUGAAAAAUGAGCCAUGGGUACUGGCUUCCCAAGUGGACCAAUGCUUCUUCAUUACCGACCCGUCAAAGCCCAGUCGUGUUGUCGUGAGGAGAGGCAAAAGGAAGAUCAUCGAAAUGGAUGGAGUCGCCAAUGAGCAAGACUUCGACAAGUACGGCGACCCGAAGAUGGAACAUGACGACGAUGAUGAAGUACCAGCAUACACCACAAGAAGAAGCAGGACCACCCUACCUAAAGGACGUCCGUUCAAGAGAAGAACUCCAUUUACGAAAAAUAAGGGCAAGAAGAUUGUGAACAGAUAGCUAGCUAAGAUCGAUUGUAUUUAAAUUGUAGCCUUCAUUUCUCGAUUGUAUUUCAUGGGCACUUUUUGAACUCAUGAAUAUUUUUAAAUUUCAUGGGCACUUUUUGAAUUCAUGAAUAUUUUUUCAAAUUUCACCGCCGCCGCCGCCGACCCCCCGCACCCUCCCCCGCUCCACCGCCACCGACGACCCACCGCACCCUCCCCCGCUCCACCGCCNNNNNNNNNNNNNNNNNNNNNNNNNNNNNNNNNNNNNNNNNNNNNNNNNNNNNNNNNNNNNNNNNNNNNNNNNNNNNNNNNNNNNNNNNNNNNNNNNNNNNNNNNNNNNNNNNNNNNNNNNNNNNNNNNNNNNNNNNNNNNNNNNNNNNNNNNNNNNNNNNNNNNNNNNNNNNNNNNNNNNNNNNNNNNNNNNNNNNNNNNNNNNNNNNNNNNNNNNNNNNNNNNNNNNNNNNNNNNNNNNNNNNNNNNNNNNNNNNNNNNNNNNNNNNNNNNNNNNNNNNNNNNNNNNNNNNNNNNNNNNNNNNNNNNNNNNNNNNNNNNNNNNNNNNNNNNNNNNNNNNNNNNNNNNNNNNNNNNNNNNNNNNNNNNNNNNNNNNNNNNNNNNNNNNNUCCACCGCCACCGACGACCCCCCGCACCCUCCCCUCUGCCCUCUAUCACAGCGGGGACAACAGGAAGCCGCCGUCGCGCCCCUCUGCACCGGCUGCCCACGGCGCCUCCGUCCCGAAGCCGCAGCCCAAGUGCCCACCACUCUCUGUCCACGGUGAGCCAUCCUCUCUGUCCCAACUCUCUGUUCUUCUUUUUUAGCUAUCCUUUGUUGAAACAGUAGUUGCUGUGUAGCAAAUCUUUGGGAUUAGUGUUCAGUACUUUGUUGGGUGAGCGGCCAUCUGAGACAUCCUGCUUACAUAGUCUCCUUUUUAAAACUCGUCAAAUUGGUUUUAGAUAGAAAUGAUCAACACUCAAUUGGCCAACUGCAUGUGGAAUGAUUUCGAAGGGCGCCAUAACUUAUUGUAGAUGCUGACUACAAUAACAAUACUAAACUCAGUGUAGUCUGUUGUAAAGACACUUGUGCUUCUUUCAUCUGGAAAGGGGUCGUCUGGCCUCCAAAACUGUCAGAUUAGGUUGUGCUGUAACUCCUCACAUGGCCAUGUUUUUGGAAGAUUGGUCGUUUGUCACCGGCCCUUUGGUCACCCAGCAAUGGGACUUGUAUCAUAUUGCCAAUGAGGUUAAUAAAACAGUAGUGCAUCAGUACUUUGUUGGAACAGAAAGUCAGAAAAUCAGAAAAUCCACGGUACUUUGUUUAGAUCUUCACUGUUGACAAACGCAGUCAACUAAAAAUCCAGUUCAGUGCAUAAUUAGUGUUGACAAAUACACUGAUCUUUAUCUGCAGUAAUUCAGUUUAAACUGAAAAUUCAGUGUUGUAGUACAGAAAAUUUAAACUGAAAAUUCAUAGUCUCCUGGUGCAUAUUGAUCUCAGUGUAUGAAUUCAUAGUGUUUCAAAUUACUGAUGCUAUGGUCCAGGAGUAGAAAAAUUUGUACUCCAAGAUCAAUAUGGUUCAAUUUCUACUGUACUGUAAUCAAAGUGGAUAUAAAUUGCAGAGUGUUUAUGUUGGCAUUCGACAACAUCUAAAUUUACCAAAUGAUUGUGAACUCAGUUUAUGUUUGCAACCAAAUGCUUAGUUCAUUGUUUACUCCAAAUGAUUGUGAACUUAUUCAAAGUUUCCAAUAUUGUUCAGACACUACUUGUACUGGAACUGGAACUACUACUACUGAUGCAGCACCCCAUGUAGUUUAAGUUUUCUUUAUCUUAAACUCAGACAGCUCUCUAAUUAUUGGAGUUUAUAUCAUAUAUAUUGCUGGCAUGUAUUUCAUAUGUUCUGUAGCAUUAAGGCUACAUAGCAUUGCUUUUGUCUCUGACCAUCGUGUCGUGAUGAUAUUGUGGGGUGUUGUGGGGUUGCAGAGGCCCUUGAGUUUCAUCGCGAUGAUGCUAAUCGUGAUGACCGCAGCUCUCUUCUAUGUGAUGGUAGUUUAGAUGAUCGAUAUCGACUUGUAAUGUGAAGACAAACUCGCUACUCGCGGUUUCGAGACUUGUAGUGUUCUAACUUUGUUUGGUCUUUUGAAUUCGGAGACUAAUAUGAUGAAUUGUAUUCGGAGACUAAUCUUCUAUUGUAUUCGAUAACUCUGCUGUUUAUAUGUUGUGUGUCUAUAUUCUGUGCAGUAAUAUGUUUUGUAACCUGUGCAAAUAUCAGAAAAGAAAAAAAUCCCUAAUAUUCAUACUAGUGGCGCACCACCCAGAACUUUAGUGGCGCACUGCAAAAUGCAUACUAGUGGUGCAUCAGCAAGCAGUGCGCCAUUAGUAAGCCAGAGACAUGGUUAAAUAUGGCCCCCUGGGAGGCAUUCUAAUGGCGCAUCAUAGGGUGUACUAAUAGCGCACUACAUGGUGCGCCAUUAGUAUCUGAUAUACUAAUGGCACACUUGUGGUGCGCCAUUAGUAAUAAAAUCUAAUGGCAUGGUACUAGUGGCGCACCUGUAGUGCGCCAUUAGUAGGCAAAACAGGUGCGCCACUAGCAGCCCUUUUCCUAGUAGUGUCUAAAACGAUUUUCGAAAAAUUUGUCUUUUCUUCGCCCCUCUUUCGUGCGUCUUCUUCUUUUGCUCUUUGUUCGCUUGUCCGUUUGAUCUUUUAUCUUGCUGUCAUGGCUAGUUUUCCAUCCUUGUUAGCACUCCCAAUAAUAAGGUCCUCAACUUCAAACAAAGGGAAGGAGAAAAUUUAAAAGAUGCUUGGUAUAGAAUUUAUAAUGCUCAAAUUUGAUGAUUACUGCUGGAGAUGACUAACAUCCUAGAUGUUACUCACUAUGUCUAGAUACAUUCGUUUGAGUGUCAACUAAUUCUGAACAUCUUAGGUGUUACUCCCAAGUCUAGAUACAUUUUUUUGAGUGGCAACUAAUUCUGAAUGGAGGAAGUACACAAAGCUAAGCCACAGCCAUGAAAUAUAUAUAGGGCGGGGGGCGCUCGUUCCACAAGGAGCGGCGGGUAGCUUAGCUAUAGCUCGAUCGAUGAAUAUGGCUGUAGAUGGGUUUGGUGAGCUGGGCAUUCGUGUGGUGAGUCGCCGGCUGGUGCUCUGCCUGCCAGCUACUGCUCUGCCUGCCGCUCCACCUCCUUGUCGAUCGCGCCCACCCAAACGGACGUCCAUGACACAUACACCGACAAUGUGCUCCUCCACGGCCACGACUACCCAAGUAGUGGCCACGGCACCUCCUCCACAGGCUCGGGCGUGGGCGGUGCUGGUGGUGGUGGGGGCACGUUGGCCUCCACUCCGGCCGCCAAUUGGGCCAGCGCCUGCGCAAGGCCAGGCCACCUGGCCUUGCUCCUCGCGCUCGGCCUCCACGAUGGCCCUCCAUGUGGCCUCCUCGAGGGACACAACACAGGCCUCCUCGGCAUCCUAAUCCUCCUCCUUCACCACUCCCGGAAGUGGUGGUGGAGUGGCAAGAACGCGUGGUGCACCGGGCGCACACUUGACGCACUACCGGCAAUGUUGGUCGUGCUCGGUGGCAAACCACGCGUCCUAGUUACCGCAUACGUUGGGUCACGGCGGAGGUUGGCUAGGAGUAGAGCAUGGGAUCUCCGUCAGCUGUGCGCGGCCUGAGGCCGGCACCGGAACCCUAGCAAGGUUGAGGUCCCACCCGUGCGGUAGGUUCACACUGGGCUAUGGCGCAGGCACGCCAUACUCCCAAAAGUACUGGUAGCGGUGCAUCGGCAUGUAGUGCCGAAACCAUGGCUGCCGACUCAAGGUCGAUUUAUCUGUUCUUAUAAACUAGCGAAUUAGCAACUAUAUUACCCAAGAGUAACAACCAAGUCAUAUAUACAAUGUACGCUUGCAACCAUUGAAUAAAUUGUACAGAAUACCAAACAAAGAAGAUUGAACGAGGUCGUGGAACAACUCACAUGCACCAUCCACAGGUCAAGUGGAUGAUCCCAAUGAUGAGCGAAUGAUCCUAAUGACGAGCAGUUGGCGAGAUUAUGUUGCUCUUGUGAUGGUUAGUGAUGUCUGCGCUAGAGCUUGCUUACAACCUUGCGAGGUAAGGAGCUACGGCUACAUGCGUAUUAGGUUUUAUAAGCCGUGAAACCUCGAUAAAAGUUGCCGCUAUAAGUUUUUUCUUCAUGUCACUAUAAACCUUAUNNNNNNNNNNNNNNNNNNNNNNNNNNNNNNNNNNNNNNNNNNNNNNNNNNNNNNNNNNNNNNNNNNNNNNNNNNNNNNNNNNNNNNNNNNNNNNNNNNNNNNNNNNNNNNNNNNNNNNNNNNNNNNNNNNNNNNNNNNNNNNNNNNNNNNNNNNNNNNNNNNNNNNNNNNNNNNNNNNNNNNNNNNNNNNNNNNNNNNNNNNNNNNNNNNNNNNNNNNNNNNNNNNNNNNNNNNNNNNNNNNNNNNNNNNNNNNNNNNNNNNNNNNNNNNNNNNNNNNNNNNNNNNNNNNNNNNNNNNNNNNNNNNNNNNNNNNNNNNNNNNNNNNNNNNNNNNNNNNNNNNNNNNNNNNNNNNNNNNNNNNNNNNNNNNNNNNNNNNNNNNNNNNNNNNNNNNNNNNNNNNNNNNNNNNNNNNNNNNNNNNNNNNNNNNNNNNNNNNNNNNNNNNNNNNNNNNNNNNNNNNNNNNNNNNNNNNNNNNNNNNNNNNNNNNNNNNNNNNNNNNNNNNNNNNNNNNNNNNNNNNNNNNNNNNNNNNNNNNNNNNNNNNNNNNNNNNNNNNNNNNNNNNNNNNNNNNUAUAUAUGUAUAUAUAUAUGGGGCAUGAAACUGCAAACUACCACUAUUGUUGCCGGUGGACCUCCCGGCUCCGGUGCACAUCCCAACGUCGCCCUCGUGAAGCAAGCGAAUGGCCCCGCGAGCAUGUGGACGUUGUCCAUGUGGCAUUGGGUUCCCGCUUCUUGAGUGAACCGGAAAAAAAACCCAAAGCUGGUCAAUCUUCGGCUCGAAAGGAAGCCUGGCUUAUGGUUUUGUGUUUUCGCGCCGGCGUAGCCGCUCUCCGUCUGGGUGAGCGAGCGGUGGAGGACUGCCGCAAUGGAGGAGAUGGUGGUCCUUGGGCCCCGAUGCCUUUCGUGGCAUGAGGGCCGUGUCUUGUAUUCGAUGGCCGGGGACGCCAUCCGGAGCAGCUUGAGAAGGCACCGUCGGGGCUUUGCGCUUGCACCCCUAUGCAGCCAUGCCCGGCGCAGCGGGCUGUCCGCUGUGUGUCUUGCGGAGUCUGAGUGCAUCCAUCGGCUGAUUUUUAUUUUAUUCUUUCGAUGAGGAUUAGUAGUCGGAGAGUAGAUAGGUUCUUCCUCGAUCCCAUGAUAUAAAAGCUUGGGUGUUCGUUGACGCUAGCAAUGUCAAAAACGCUCUUAUAAAAUGGGAGGGAGUCCCUCGCAAAGAAAAAAAGAGAGUAGAUAGCUACUUUAUCUUUUAUUUUGAAGGUGGGAGUAGAUUGAUAACUACUUAGUGCACGUACGAAAAGAAAGACACGAUCGCCUAAAAAAAAGAAAUACUAUAUUGAGAUAUAUAUAGGGCGUGCGGGCGCUAGCAGUUCCACAACGAGCGGCGGGUAGCUAGGUUCAACAUCCAUAUAGGUUGAAUAUGGCUGUAGAUGGGUUUGGCGAGGUGGGCAUUCGUGUGGUGAGUCGCCGGCUGGUGAAGGCAUCCGACCCCUCCAUCCAACCGCAGGUGGUGCCCCUCUCCAACCUCGACCUGUACGUCGGCAACGUACAAGUCGCCAUACUAUGCCUCUAUCCCAAGCCUCCGGCGGGCAGGGAUUUCGCCGGCGUGGUGGCCACCUUCGAGUCCUUGCUGCCGGCUUUACUCAACGAGUUCUACCCUUUCGCCGGCCGCAUCGGCACCAACCCAAGCUCAGGCCUCCCCGAGCUGCUCUGCCAGAACCAGGGCGCAGAGCUGGUCGUGGGAGAGGUCCGCGUCGCUCUGGGGAGCCUGGACUACGGCCUGGCGGACAAGUCCCUGAAGAAGCUGAUGCUCCCGUACGCGGAGGACGUCACCUUCUCGGUGCAGCUGCUAUCCUUCGCCUGCGGCAGCUUCUCCGUGCUGUGGGCAACCAACCACCUCGUCGGCGACGGCCAUGACAACAUCAGGUUCCUGCGGAUGUGGUCUGAGCUCGCACGAACGGGCAAAAUCGUCGCCGACGGCGGGGACGGAAAGCUAAGCCACGACCGCUCGGUGUUCCGCCCUCGCAACCCGCCGUCAUACAGAGCCUCGCUCGCCACCGACCUAACGACGUUCGACCCGCGCCGGCUGGUAAACGUCCUGACGGCCCACGACAGCUUCGUCGACCGCCUCUACUACAUCGACGCGGCCGACAUCGCCAGGCUGCGCGAGAUGGCGAGCACCAAGCUGCAGCGCUCGUCACGCGUCCAGGCCGUGUCCGCGUACCUGUGGAAGGUCCUCGCCGGCGUGGUUGCCGCUUCCCGCGUGCCCGAGGAGCGCUGCCGCAUGGGGUGGUGGGUGAGCGCGCGCCGUCGUCUCACGUCGCCUGACCUCGCCUCUGCGAUGCGCAACUACUUCGGCAACGUCACGACCUAUGCCUACGGGGACGCGACGCUGGAGGAGAUCCAGCGCAAGUCGCUCGCGGAGGUGGCGGCCAUGGCGCGGGAGCCGGUCGCCUCCGUCAACUACGACGAGUACAUCCAGGAUCUGGUGGACUUCGUGGAGGUGCACAAGGGACAAGGGCUGAUGGAGACGGCCGUCGUCGGGCUGGGCAGCCCGACCCUAAGCCAGUCCGUGUUCGACUCAUUCCCACUCGACACCGACUUCGGCUUCGGCCAAGCUGCUCUCGCCAUGCCCAUCUCCGACUUCGCCAACCUCUGCUCAGCCUACCUGUCCAUCAGCGCGCGGCCGGCAGGCGACGGCUCCUGGCUCGUCAGUGCCUACAUAUGGCCGCGUCUCGCCGCCGCCCUCGAGGCCGAUGAGCAGCACAUCUUCAAGCCUCUCACGGCGGACUACCUUGGCCUCACAGCCUGCUAGACAACACCCACGCUAUUCUGUGUGUUCUUUUAGCCAACAAUAAAAUUCCUUGGUGUUUUGCUCUUCUUCCAACAAUAAAAUCCUUGUGUUGUGUUGUGUGGUGCUAUGUACUUUGGUUUUUUUCUUCAUCCAACAAUAAAGUUAGGAAGCGUUACUUUUUGAAAAAUAGCACACCUUAUAUAUACAUUUACUUUGAAAGUUAGAGAGGAUUUACUUUGAAAGUCACAGGUUUGCCAAGCACCUGAGGAAAAACACUCGGCAAAGCCAGCCCUUGGUUUCCGUCAGCCAAUAAAAGAUAGAUCACACGCGUGGCCGCCUGCUUAGCUAUAACCAAGGGCUCGCCGCCGCCAUACCCCCUUCACCUCCCCGCUGCCCCCAUCGGCCUCCUAAUUCCGACCACAGCCGCCUCUAUCCCCCACUAGCCGUCCAACUUUCUCCUCUUCAUAGAUCUAAAACUAGGAAUGGGUUGGAGGGCUCAAUGAACUAGAUCUACUAUAUAGUCAUCUUUGAGCUCAGCUAUUGGGCAUCAUUGCUAGUUGCAAGCUCCCAAUUGGUCACAUCACUGCUAUUCAUAUACCAGCGGGAUCAAAUUGGCCUCUACACGAGUAAGUUGGUCCCUACGGUGAAGUACAGCAGUGGGCCCAUAUUGGCACCCACCACUGAUAGGUGGCAAAGUAAAAUUGGCAUGUGAAAAGAAUUGCCAUGUACUGAUAAGAAUUUACCAGUGCGGUCCCACUUUGCACACACCACUGGGAAAAAAAUGAGACCAACCCAAGGGAUAACCCUCGUUGGCAUUUUCUUUAUAGGAGAAACUUCGCGAGCACCACACGUCCAAGCCGAAGCUCGAACUCGCGUGGGCUGGCAGCUACCCCAGCUACCGAGCCGACGGGUCGACGCCCCGUCCUCGCACACACCUAUGUGAUUUGGCUAUAUUAUGAGUUGGUGGGCCAUUAGUGUUUUAUGCAUAUUCCAAAAAAUCACAUUGUUUUACCAAUAUUCUGCGGCAGAAGCUUAUCCUCAAAGUGCACAUAUCCCAUAUUUACGAAAAAUACUCGUUUAUUCGUUUUUCUGCAGACCGCUCGGCGUUAAGGUUGGUUUACAGCCGAGCAAGCCGACUGCUCGGCGGGAUGAAGAUGAAAAGGCAGUGGGCUAAGCCGCGUGUGUUUUAUCAACUACAUGGGCUACAUUUAGGUAUUUCAAAACCAAAGGGCAAUAUAUAAGCCGAGUAAGGCGUUAGAGGACACUCGGCCAAUACCAAGACGUCGUCAUGGAGCCGUCAAGCACGUGGCAAUAGAAACACUGCAGUUGCUUGCGUGAGCCACACGUGUAUGCCGUGGUUUUUCUACAUAAUAUAUCGUGUUCUUUCUGUAGGCCAUGCGUCUUUUUACGUUGUAUUCGGUUUACAUGGAGCUAAGUUGAGGGACCUGCAAAUGCCGUGUGUUUUCAAGAUGGUACUCGGCUUAGGGUCUCUUUGAUUCAAAGGAUUUUGAUAGGAUCUUUGAAGGAUUAAAAUCCUGAGGAAGUUUUCCUAUGUUGGUCGUUUGAUUUGUAGGAUUGAAUCAUGUAGGAUUUUUUUCUAAAGAUGUAUUUGUACUACAUUUUACAGGAAUUCUAACAUCCACUCCAACCUUUUGGAAGAAAUCCUUUGUUUUCUCCAUGACACAAUCAAACAAACUCAAAUCCUAUAGGAAUCCAAUGGACAUGUCAUUCCAAUCCUACGUUUUUCCUAUGGAAAACUAUUAAAAUCAUCCGACUUAUUUUUCACGAACGUAAACCGUCUUUGACGGACGCCACGUGUCCCUGCUGGUCGCUCACUCCUUAUCCUUAUCUUUUCUCCAGAAGAAGCGUGAGCCACUCAUUCCUUUUCCUCCUUUUUCUUCUUCCUUCGAGCAAACAUGCUUUCCCAGGGACGGCUCUCUCCAGCAAUCCCAGUCGCCGCUCACUUCGUGUUGAUGUAGGGCUAGGCUGAGAGGAUGCUCCUUCCAUGGCCGGCGGCGGAGCUGCGUUUGGUGAUGCGCGACGAUGUUGCGGCCACGUUGACGGCAAAGCUGCGUUGGAGCAGAAGGUGCUACGAGCUGCUGCCAUGACCGGCGGCGCUACUGCACAGCAACGGCGAAGCUGCGUUUCAGCAGCAAACAGCUAUGAGCUGCUGCCAUGGCGGGCAGCAGAGCUACAUGGCAGCAUGCAGCAGGCGAUGCGUCAAUGAAACUUGGCCGGAGCUCCAUUGAAGCUUCGCCGGUGCGUCAAUGAAACUUCGCCGGAGCUCCAUUGAAGCUUCGCCGGUGCGUCAAUGAAGCUUGGCCGUAGCUCCAUUGGAGCUUCGCCGGGGCGUCAAUGAAACUUCGCCGGAGCUCCAUUGAAGCUUCGCCAGUGCGUCAAUGAAGCUUCGACGGGGUGGCUCGGUGUUGCUAUGGAGCAGCACCCGGUGGCUCUCGGUGUUGUGAUGCAGCGGUCGCCGGUGGCUCCGGGGACGCGAGGUCGCCGAGGCAGGGUGACAGGGGAGGGUCUGCGUUGCUCUGCAUCAGGAGGAGUUGUUGUGCGCUGCUCUGUAUCAGAUGGCUGGGGAUUAGUGGAGAAAGGCCCAGGUUGUGUCGCGGCGAUCGAACGACCAUCUGUGCGGACCGAACGGCUGGCUGGGCGGAUGAUAUCUCUAGGAAAUCAUCCGCCUGAUUUGUAGCAGCCGCCUCCUAUUCCUGUGUUUUUGCAAUUCUAUGAAUCUGUCUAAGACGAGUAUCCGAGAAAAUACACCCGGCUUACCAAAAAGCACUAAGCAACAUGUCUUUUUCUCGUAGUGGCCUUUUAAGGUUUUUAUUUUACUUCAUAUAGGGCUCAAAGAGCCAACCUCGCCACCAACAUCGCCUACCAAACUUUGCCCAAGACGUCAUGUCCAUGAUCACAGACCAGUCAGGUUUAAACAUGUUUUCAUCUCUAUGAAAUUCACACAAAAAUUCCAAAUUGACUAGGUGUUUAAACUUAUGUUUCGACAAAGACUCAGACACCUGGACAUUUGAAAAUAGGACAAACGUCGACGCUCACAUGGACGCACCUAGACUCACAUCUAUGAACUUAUACACUAUCUCACUAAAUAGCAUAAAACUACUACAAUUCGGACUAGAGUUUCAAAAAACUACUAAAUAUAUUUUUCCGCUCAUAACUACUAAAUCAGGGGUCGGCUGUUUCAAAAAACCCAAAUCAUCGAGUCUUUAGUAAUUGAUCACGAUUAUGACAGUUGGGGCCAAGCGUAAGAUAACCGUUUGUUUGACCGUUUAGUUUGAAUGUUAACUUACAUGUGGGUCCCACAUGUUAGUUUUUUUAAAAGCAAUCAGGUCCCUGUAAGUUUUCUAAAAUAGCAACCGGGUACAUGUGAGUUUUCUAUAAGGUCCCUAAAAGUUUUUGCAAAAAGCAAUAUAAUCAGGUCUCCAGAGGAGCCGCGCCCGCGGCAGCCUGCUCGAUCCCGAGCGCUCUGCCCGAACCACGACGCUGCCUCCAUCGGCCGGCCAGCCGCGCCCGCAACGGCCGAAUCCACGCCGUGCCUCGCCUGCCACCAUGGCGUGACUCGCAUGCCGCCAUGUCAUGCCUCGCUGGCGGCCGCUGCCACGCCGUGCCUCACCUGUGGCUGCCGCCAUCCCCUGCCGCGAGCUCCUCAAGCUAGACGUGGACGGCCUGCGCCGCUGCUGGAGUGCGCACCUCCCAUUGCCGCGGACGAGGUCGCUGUCUGCUAUGCCUCCUCGAAGCCACCGUCACCACCAGGAGCUACGGUGAGCACCUACCACGACCAUGGGGAGGGUGGGAAGGAGAGGGAGGGUCGCCGCCAGCCAGGCCCGGCCCGGAUGGAGGGGUAGGGGGCGGCCGCCCCAGGCCCCCGAAAUUGAGGGGACCCCACGUUCGUGUGCUCUCUGUAUCCAGCCCAUGUGCUCUCUGUAUCCAGCUGAUGAGAAAAAAUGAUUCUGGGCUACUUUUGAUGAAACAGACCUGUACAUGUAGUGGAACUUGUGUUUCCCUCGCGUAGGUCCGCGGAUGACGACAUGAGCGAUCAACCUAGCGAUAUAUCCUACAAGCCCGAGGGAAACCCCGCCGCCGACACAGCCUCCUCCCGUGGAGGCCUCCCCCGAUGAUUUCUCGUCCAAUGGCGGAUCGAGUAAUUUCAUGUUCAUCGCCCUGGACAGGAGUAACAACACCACCGGCCCUGGCAGGCAGUUUUAAACUACAGAGGUCAGGUUAGCAUCUUCCUGAUGCAUCAUCCAACGGAGCUAGCUAGAUUGAUAUGUGACUAGUUGGUGGCAGAAUUAUUAGAUCUAGUGUAUUAGCGGAGAGGAGUAGGACGUAGUUGUCCUUCUGACUAAUUUUUUUAAUGCAAUCCUUCCGAUUAAUUAAUCUGGUCGUGUUGGAGAUCGAUGAAAGAUGAGGGGAGAGGAUGUCUAGAAUCCAUGGGAUAAUGAUAAUUGGCAAGCUGAAAUUAAUUGGAGGAUUCAUGGUCGAUUCAAUAUGAUUAGGUGGCAAAAUUAAUUUUUAGUAGCUAAAAAAAUUAACUUUUAGUGUUGCAAACUAUGAAGCUAUUCUACCUGCAUGCCACCAAGAGCAGUUCAAAUUACUUUUUGUUUGCCAAACUAUGAAAUAUACAAUGCAUGAAACUUCCCUAUCAAAAUCUUAGCAAAAGUGAGAAAUAAUAAUUAUAAUAAUGUAUAAUUAGAACCCGGAACUAGGUCGACCAGCUGGUUUUGCACGCCAUGAUAAAAAAAUUAACAACAAUUCAUGUUUAAAAUUUAUCUAGACAUGCACAUAAUGAUUAUAAUUUUGGAUAUAUAAAGGGCCUCCGAUUGUAUUUUUGCCCCGGGCCCCUGAAAUCUCAGGACCGGCCGUGCCGCUAGCUUGGGAUGGGAGGGGACGGUCGUCGGCUUGGGAGCGGAGGGGAGGGUCGCCGGCUUGGGAGGGGAGAUGGCCUGCUCGGGAGACACCAGAAGAGAGACGAGAAGAGACAAAGAGGAAGAAGAAAGAGAAUAGCAAGAGGAAACUUACAUGUAGGCCCCACAUGUAAGUUAACGGCCAAACUAAGGUCAAACUGACAGUUUGUUUAGGUGCGGGCCCAACCUGUCGUGACCGUGAUCAACCGAUAAGGACUCGGGGAUUUGGGUUUUUUGAAACAGCCGACCCCCCGGCUUGGUAGUUAUCAGCAAAAAGAAUUUGGUAGUGUUUUGUAACCCUAACGUGAAUUGUAGUAGUUUUAUGCUAUUUACUCAAACGAUCUCUAUGAGCAUUUUCAAGAUACUGAACCGGCACAUCAUUUUGAGAUUGGUGAACACCACAGACGUCUUCAUAGUUGACAGAAACGUCUCCUCCCAAUGAACGAACAUCGCAAAAGCCUGAAAUAAAUCCCAAAAACUGUCAGCACCAUUACCAAGUUUAAAACUUGAACCCUGAUAGGGUUGGUUCCACCACAAGAAAUCUAACUAUUUGAGCCAUGCACAUCUCAUAGUUUUCCCUGUGGCCAUGGAGGGUGCCACAUAUGUAACCCAUUAAUAUGGGAACCCAUACCUGUAAGCUUGUCAGCAUUUAUAGGCUAUAUAUGCUAAUCAAUUAUAAAAAAAACUGGGAUAACAAGUUUGAACUACACCCAUUAUUCCUCCGCCUAUAUAUUGUCGUGCAUGCAUGCCAGUGCCAUAUACGGAAACAAACCGACCGAGAAGGCCCUUAAUUAACAGCUAGCUAGCUCUCUUGGUCGAAUAUGGUAACUGCUAAUGCUAUUGGCUCCGGCGACCUGAGCAUCCGUGUCCUGAGUCGCCGCCUUGUCAAGGCCUCCGACCCAUCUACCAAGCCGCACGUAGCCGCCUUCUCGAACCUCGACCUCUACCCUGGCAACGAGCAGGCCUCGAUAGUAUGCCUCUACCCCAAGCUCCCAAACGCCGGUGACUUCCCGGCGGUUGUAGCCACCUUCGACUCCAUCCUCCCGUCGUUGCUCAACGACUUCUACCAUUUCGCCGGGCGCAUCCGCACCAACCCAAGCUCCGGCCUCCCCGAGCUGCUCUGCGACAACCAAGGCGCAGAGCUGGUGGUCGGCGAGGCCGGUGUCGCCAUGGCCAGCCUGGACUACGGCCUGGCGGAGCAGUCGUUGAAGAAGAUAAUGCUUCCGUACGCCGAGGACGUCACGCUCUCGGUUCAGCUGCUCUCCUUCGCCUGUGGCGGCUUCUCCGUCGUGUGGGCGACCAACAACCUUGUGUGUGACGGCCAAGCCUUCACCAUGUUCGUCAGGAGGUGGUCCGAGCUCGCCCGAACUGGGCGCAUCGUCGACGGACCGCCCAACCAUGACCGCUCGGUGUUCAGCCCUCGCAGGCCGCCGUCGUACGGAGCCUCGAUCAGGGACAUGUUCGCGACGUACGACCAUGACCGGCUGGUGAACGUGCUGACGGCGCACGACAGCUUCGUCGAGCGCCUCUACUACAUCGAGGCGAGCGACAUCGCUGCCCUGCGGGAGGCGGCAAGCAGCAAGCUCCAGCGCCCGUCGCGCGUCCAGGCGGUGUCCGCGUACCUGUGGAAGGCCCUCGCCCGCGUGGUGGCCGCGUCCCGCGUGCCGGAGGAGCGCUGCUGCAUGGGGUGGAUGGUGGACGCGCGGCGGCGGGUGAAGGCGCCGGAGCUCGUCCGGGCGAUGGGCAACUACUUCGGCAACGUUACGGCCUACGCUCUCGGGGAGGCAGCCGUUGAGGAGAUACAGGAGAAGGAGCUGUCGGAGGUGGCGGCCAUGGUGCGGGAGACCAUCACGUCUAUCGACUACGAUGAGUACACCCAGGAGCUGGUGGACUGGGUGGAGGAGCACAAGACAGAGAGGCUGAUGGAGAAGGGCGUCAUCGGGCUCGGUACGCCCACCUUGAACCAGACGGUGUUCGCGUCGUUCCCGCUCGACACCGACUUCGGCUUCGGCCAUGCCGUGCUGGCAAUGCCCAUGUGCGACUACGGGAGGCUCAGCUCGGGGUACCUGUCGAUCGGAGCUCGGCCGGGAGGCGACGGCUCCUGGCUGGUCAACGCCUACAUAUGGCCUCGCCUCGCGGCGGCGCUUGAGUCGGACCAGCAGCGCAUCUUCAAGCCUCUCACGGCGGAGUAUCUAGGGCUCGUCUAGGCGUACCACUCUGCUGUCUGCCCGGUUUCUUCUUCAAUAAGUCUUUGCUUCGUCUUUUGAGGCAUGAAAGCAGCUCGUGCUUGUUUUACUUCCACCUAUUUUGCAAUACCCCAAAUAAAGCCCUUCUGUGUGGAGGGUAGUUUGUUUGAUCAAUAAAUGUUUGAGUCGUUCAUAAGGUUUCCUUGAUUAGUAUACAAAUCAGUUGAUGACUACGUUUCACAACUCAUGUGCAUGGAGAUGCUAAACCGAUAGUAUGGACUCGGGGAUGGAGACCACGCAGUCGGACAUACCAACUCUGAGACGCAGCGAGAUGUUGUCAUAUGUUAGUGUCAAGCACAAUGUUUAUGCCAUGUCCUAGACCUAAGGUCCUCGCAUGUUCUCGGGAUGAGUAUCGACUCACUUAAGGUCUAUCAAACGCUACUCCAUAACUGGCUAGAUAUAAAUGUAGCUUUUGGGUGGGUGGUGAGAUAUGCCGCGAGACAUGGCCGACCAAGAUGGGAUUUACCCCUCCUAUUUGAAGAGAUAUUUUCUGGACCCUCUCGAGGGAUCGGAUUCGGAAAGCAUGACCAUGCGACUUGGUUAAGUGUUAACCCAGUGCGGGAAUCUAUAUCACGGUGUCAAGAAGAGAGGUCGAGCUACCACAAGGGUGACAAGUACUCACCUUGAGCUUGACAACAUAUAUCGUGAGGCAAAAGGAAUGUUGCAGAUGAUACAUUGUCGAGGUUCUUCGAACGACUUUACACGCACAUGAGAGUUGGCACGUUCAGCGAGGAGCUGCUACCAACUAUCGACUCUGGUCGUGUCCAUGUGUACGUAAACCUAUAGGGUCGCACACUUAAGGGGCUGCAGGCCAUUCGGAUUGGAUUCGAGUGGAAAUGGUUUUACUCCUAGUGGGCCUCAAGUAUUGAGCCUAUCUCGGAGGUCUAUAUAUAGGGGAGUGGCCGCACAACUGAGGUUGAUCUUUUUCCACCAUGGACAGCCUCCAUCGCAACUCCCCACGCCCAUCCCGCGCGACCUAACCUAGAUGCCUACCGCCCGACGCUGCUCCCCGUACGUGUGGAUACCUUGCAGGCAUCGCAUCCGUGGUGCUUGGAUGAACUGUUCGAGGGAACCGCGAGGUGCCGUUCGCGGGAGAUCAACGUUCACAGGUCUUUGUUGUUCGCGGGAGAUCGACGACGCGAGGAGGAGACGCCUCGGGAGAUCGUCUACAUGCAUCUCCAACUCUAUUUUCUGCUGCGGUUACUGCGCGUCUAGUGGUAAACUCGAUCUCAUGAUCUAUUUCCAGCAACUUGAUCUUGGGUGCGUGGUAGAAUUUUUUUUAUUUGGCUCUAGCUUAGCAUACCGCGUGUUUCUACAGUCGUAUCAGAGCCUAUGCUACGUGGUAUUAGAUUCAAGGUAGAAUUUUCAAAUGAUGAUAUGUAGAUUGCUUUAUGUACUGGCCGAUGAGAUCGGUUGUCAAUAUGAUUGACUAUACAUGGUGUCAGGCAUUCGAAAUUGUGAUCUAAUUUUCCGUGAUGAUGUUGUGGAGGUCGUGGCACAAAUUACCUAUACCGGUCGGUUUCGGCCAUCGGGUAAGACAGUGGAACGUAAAGUCGGUCACAACACGCGAAGACCAAUGAGAUUGGUUGAAUCAGAUAGAUGGUCAAAAUAGGAUAAAUAUGAUUUGCCGGUGAAAAUUCCCAUGCAAAAAUGCAUAGAUAUUGCAAGGGCGCUGCCAGUUGACCCCACAGGGGGCAAAGCCCCAUCGACCCCCAUCCUGUUAAUCUCUUAGGGCGGUGGAUAACUUGUUUUUGCAGGUAAUGCUUGUGAUUUGGUACAACCCGGGUAUGUUGCAUGUACGUAAUUAUAUCAUGACCUGCGUGUCGAGAGUACAAUAACUGGUUGGAGCCAUAUGGUUGUCCCAUUAUUGUAUUAAUGACCUUCAUGUCAACAUGAGAAGCAUUGUAUUGUUAUUUACUUUCAAUAGCUAUUAGUUUGUAAUAGCGUAGUAUCUUAUGUAACACUUGGCGGUUGACACCAUGGCGUGGAGAUGAAGAUCUCCACGAGGACAACCAUGCAUGGAGAUGGAGAUCACCAUGGGCAGGCCGUGCAGGUGGAGACGAAGAUCACCAUGCGAUAUCAAAAGGGGCUAAACCAUAUCACACAUAUAAACUGCCUGUGAAAGUUUAUCUCUGUUAUGCACCCUUCUUUUGCAUGGUAGACGUUUCAAGUAGGGUGAUCCCUCAAAGAAUGUCAAGUAAAAAUGCCUCUCCAAAUGUUGCACCAUCACACAUCAAGUAUACUUAGUGGUGGGAUUAUAAAAUUAAGGUGCCAUUUGGUGUCCUUGAAGUGAUGGGUUCGGUUCGGACACUUACAUGCAUAGCAUUGGUUAUCUUGUCGUGGCUAUCAAAACAGUUUUGGGCCUCGAGGCGUAGGAGUUGGUGCGACAUGAGAUGUCCCCAACAACAAGAGUCGUAUGGAGACACGAUUAGCAAGAAAUACUUAUGGAGUGAUCUCGUCUUCUAGCAGUGAUGCAAAUGCUCACUAGUUAACAUGUUGAUCUUGGAUCUUGAAUCACUAAGUAUCAUCUGAGGGAUGUUGAUUUUAUUUGGAGUGAUGAUCUUAUUAAAAUGUUUAAUAUGAAUUACUCUUCAUGAAUACAUGUCUUAGUGUUUUGCAUCUUUCUGUUGGAGAUCAGAGGCACCACCUGCUCAAGUUACUCCUUUUGCGCUGAAAACAAUCCUAGAAAAAGAUAAAUGGAAUGGGACAAACUUUACGACCUGGUAUAGAAAUCUGGGAAUUGUUCUUAGGCAUGAGAAAAAGGACCAAGUUCUAGAAAAUCCGCUUCCAGAUGUACCUGCCAAGAAUGCUAAUGCCACAACCAGGAGUGCCUACCAGAAACCCAUUGAUGAAUAAAAUGAGAUCAUCUAUCUCAUGCCGGCUUCAAUGGAGCCCGAUCUACAGCAGCAGUUCGAAAACAUUAAGGCUUUCGAUAUGAUCGAGAACCUCAAAAGCAUGUUUCUGAUGUAGGCUAGGACCGAAAGGUUCAACGUCUGGCUAUCCUUGAUGGAUUGUAAGUUGAAUGAAAGUGAUCAAGAUGACUAGGUACAUGCAAGCUUUGGAUUGGUUGGGCUUCCCACUUGGGAACGUUCAACUCGAACUACCAUAUGCAUGGGAUGGAAAAGAAGCUCACUGAAUUGCAUGGGAUGCUCAAGGUGGCAGAGCAGGAUAUAAAGAAAGUUACGCAUCGUCAAGUGUUGAUGGUGCAGAACUGGGCUAAGUUCAAGAAGAGAUGUUCCAAGAAAAAGCAUAAGGCAAACGGCCAGGAGGAGAAGGCAACUCCAACUUCUGCCGUUGCGCCUAAGUCAGGGCCAGCCGGGGACCGUUUUCUUUCACUGUAAGGAACACGGCCACUAGAAAAUGAACUGCAACAAGUGGCUUGUCGAGAAGGGCAAGAAGACUGGAAGUGUCACUUCUUCAAGUACACUUAUUGUAUAUGUUAUAGACAUUUAUCUUGCUGAUGUUUCUAGUAGCUCUUAGGUAUAUGUUACCGGAUCGGAUGUUCACAUAUGCAUCUCGAUGCAGAGUCUAAGAAGAACUAGGAAUGUUGGAAGAGAAGUUGACAUACACAUCGUGAAUAAAGCAAGAGUUGAUGCAUUGGCCGUCAGCACUAUGCAACUUAAUUUACCUUCAGGAUUUGGAAUGGAACUUGAUAAUUGUAAUUAUGUUCCUGCUUUGAGUCAAAACAUUAUUUCUGCCUCAUGUUUGAUGAUACAAGUUUAUGAAAUAAGUAUUAAGGACAAUGGUUGUUCUAUGUACUUGAAUAAAAUGUUUCAUGGCUUUCCACCUAUUGUGAACGGGUUAUUAAUCCUAGAUCUUGAAGGUGAGCCAGUCUAUAACAUAAAUGUCAAGAGGCAUAAGCCUAACGAAAUAAACCCGACUUACAUCUGGCAUUGUCGACUAGUACACAUUAGUAAAAGUGCAUGAGGAAGCUCAAUGAUGAUGGAAUUCUAACUUCAUUUGAUUUUGAAUCAUUCGAGACAUGUGAGUGUUGCCUUCUUGGCAAGAUGACUCAGACUCCUUUUGCAAGGAGUUGCGAAAGGACGUCCGAGUUAUCGAAACUCAUCAUAGUGAUGUAUGUGGACCAAUGAGCACGACAGCAGGUGGUUUCCAAUAUUUCGUGACGUUUACAGAAAACUUGAGUAGAUUUGGAUAUGUCUACUUGAUGAGGCACAAGUUAGAAACUUUUGGAAAGUUCAAGGAGUUUGAGAGCGAAGUGGAGAAUCAACUCGGCAAGAGAAUCAAACUUCUACGAUCUGAUCGUGGCGGUGAGUAUAUGAGCCAGGAGUUUGAUGAUUAUCUAAAGAGUCGUGGAAUAGUUCCACAACUGUAUCCUCGGGGUAUGCCACAGAGAAAUGGCGUGUUGGAACGAAGGAAUCGGACUCUGUUAGACAUGGUCCAAUCAAUGACGAGUCGGUCGGAUUUACCUUUGUUAUUUUGGCGAUACGCUCUAGAAACUGCGUAUUUCACACUAAAUAGGGUACCAUCCAAGUUUGUAGAUAAGACGGCAUAUGAGAUAUGGACUGCGAAGAGUCACAGUUUGUCUUCUCUAAAAAUUUGGGGUUGUGAAGCAUACGUCAAGCGACUCCAGUCAGACAAGCGCACACCCAAGUCGGACAAGUGCAUAUUCGUGGGGUAUCCAAGGGAAACCUUGGGAUCUUACUCCUACAUCCGUGAAGACUGCAAAGCGUUUGUCGCUCGACAUGGAGUUUUCCUUGAGAAAGAGUUUCUCAAUCAGAAGGCUAGUGGGAGGAUGAUACGACUCGAGGAAAUUCGAGAACCACAUGGAGUUAGUCAGGGAACCCAUGGUGGAGUCGACGCCAAUUCCACGGAGGUCAGAAAGGUUGCGCAAUAUGCAUGACUGCAAUGUGUUGUUCUUGGAGAACAACGAGCCGGCAACGUAUGCGGAAGCCAUAGAGAGCCCUGAUUCCGAGUUAUUGCUUGAGGCCAUGAGAUCCGGAUUAAAGUCCAUGGAUGGCAAUCAAGCUUGGAACUUGGUUGAUCUGCCAGAUGGCGCUCGAGGCAUUGAGUGCAAACUGGUAGUGAUGCCUAAAUAAAUUAGGACCAUUCUUGCUAUAUCUGCAUAUUUCGACUAUGUUACUAUUAUGUUCUUCAACAGAAGGUCCCAAAUGUUGUUGUGCCUCUGCUGAUGGACGCCGAAAGUGAGAUGACAAUUGUUUGCCCUUUGAAGAUCAGAUUCAAAUAUACAUACUCGACCGAGCGUUAAUCAAAUGGAUGCCUCAAAAUUGAGUGAUGGAGGCAAAUAGUCAAUGAGCUCGGGCCACAAAUUGGAGACCGGGGAUCUCUGUGGUCCAUCAUGGAGAUGUAGUUUUUUUUCUCUGUUUUAUUCUAUUUUACCUAAGACACUGGAGUAGGUCAUAGUACUUGUCAUGUGCUUGAAAGUUACUUACCUAGGAUGAUGACAAUUAGUUAGUAGUGGUUAACUUAUGAUGAUGAUGAUGGUGAUGAUGGUGAUGAUGAUGAUGAUGAGACAUUUUUAUAUAAUUAUGAUCAUGAUGAGCUGUUAUAUCACUACGAUGAUGAUGAGUUAUAUCAUUUUGAUAAUGAUGAGUUGUUACAUGAUGAUGAUGAUGAUGAUGAUGAUGAUGAUGAUGAUGAUGAUGAUGAGUUGUUAUAUAGUUGCUUGUGUAUAAAAAUCUGUAUAAUUAUUGUAUAAAUAUAGUAUAAUAUGUAGAAAGGAAAUACAUAGAGUUAGUAGUGGCGGGGGGCCUCGCGCUAUAGCUAGUUAUUAGUAGCACGGGCCAAACACCGCGCUGCUCCUAAUGUAAGUAGUAUUAGAGCCGAGCCUGGCCCGUCUUACUAGGAACCAGUUAGCUACACGCUGAUGAGUUGUUAUAUGAUGAUGAUGAUGAUGAUGAGUUUUUAUAUAGUUGCUAAUGUAAGUAGCGAGGCAACCCGCACUACUCCUAUGCCUUUAAACCGCGCCACUACUAGCCUUAUCCCUUGUAGUGACGGGCAGAUGGAGCGAUGAAAUGCGCAUGUCCUCAAUGGGCUCCAAACGAGAACAUUCGCCUAACUCAAGAAGUGUGGCCGGUGAUGGAUCGAUGAGCUUCCCUAUGUUCUAUUUAGUGUAGAUAUCACUCUUAAUUAACUUGUUUUUCUGCGGAUAGUAACUAACGCUUUGAGCCUUUGUGGUUUAUCUCACAAUUUUUGUCUUCACAACUGGAGUAGGCCACAAUGUUGAGAUGCAAAAAAAGGUCCAUAAACUAAUUAAAUGGAAUAUCAUUUAGAUACGACACUUAUAAGAUACACUAAAUAUUAAGAGACGUGUUGAGUAUAUAAUGAAUAGGGGUCAUUGUCUCUAAAUAGUUUUCACUAAAUAGGAUGAUGUGUUAAGAGACACUGCGUUGUGAGUUCCCUUUCGCUAAAUUAAUUUGCCCUGGUUCGAUUGCAGAGAUGUGUGCGGAGUUUCUUGGGGGAGUUUGGCAGCCAAUCGAUGAUAACUAGUUCUAGGACGCUACUAGGUCAGAUUCAAAACUGAACAUAUGGCUUGGUCCAAGAGUUUCGGCUCUCACAACCUGAAAAUCUGCAGCUUUCACACUAAAUAUUAAGAGAUUCGAAACUGAACAUAUCUGUCAUUGGUUUGAUGCUGUGGGUCCGUUUCAUUAUCUUUUUUUUUAUCAGGUAGUUGGACGGCCACACCAUGCCCUGAAAAUCUGUCUAGAUCUUGAUCGGGAGGCAUAAGAUUUCUUAUUCUGACAACCCUGAAACUGUUUGCCAUGCAUGCAUUAUCCUUCGCAAAGCGAAUUAAGUUGCCCCUAGACAAGGGCGGAUGGAGUAUAGUUCACUGUAGCUUCAUGAUUCUUUUGUCAGCUUAUUUUUUAGAGCUGCGGCUAUCAUAUUUACACCUGCUGUUAUAUCUGUUUCCAGAACCAUGUGUCAGCAGCUUCUGUUAUCAUAGCCAAUAAAACUAUCACGAAGCUACAGUGUGAGCAAUGAAGACGUUAUAUAAACAGGGAUAAAAUAUAUUGUGCUAAACUGCUCUAUCCAAAACCAUGUGUCUGCUCCUCUUGUUUGUUUCUUUACUAUUUUUCAUAUUGUGGAUGAUCAUGACGAUACAUACUAAAGAGUUUUGCAUAGCAUAUGUAAUUUCAUGCAUACAGACAAUGUUUUUUUAUUGGUGUAUUAUUUCACUCUGUUAAGACAAAAUUAUAUUUUGGAAUAUUGAAAUAAUAAUAUUAGGUAAAUCAUACAUGUGCACUAUGAAGCUAACUUUGUGCAAGAGAAAUGAGUAAAAUUAAGGACAAGAUUUAUACCUAUGCAAUACAAAAAAAAACUAUCUGCAGCAGUAAAUUCAUGUAGCUGGCAACAUUACUGGUACAAAUUAGAUCUAAUUAUAGUGCAUACAUGUACCUUUUUUAGAAAACAAAUCUUGAAACUUCGAUAGAAAAUUUUACGAUUUAUGAAAUUUGAAUGGGAAAACUAAACCAAAACCAAAAGGCCGGGAGUUAAAUGUGAGUGAAAAUAAAUGUCAGGAGGUAUUUGUCAGUGAAAAUAAAUAUGAGUGACACUUCUCCAUGCAAAAAUGUUAGUGAAAAAACUUGAAUUUUCACUGUAAAAACAACCCCAAAAUAAAGGAGGAAGCAGAACCAUCGAAAUGUUUAUGAAACGAACAACCACCAACAUAAGAGAGAAGUCACCAUACUCAUUAAGACGCCCAUGUUCAUCUGAGUAGUUAAGCCACUGCAUAGCAAUUAAUAGAAAGAAAACUGCAUAGAAAUUAAUUUUGAUGGGCUCGUGGAUCACGGCAGAAGCAUGCAUGAAUGCAUAUGUCUAUCGUUGCAGGUCAUUCAUGAGAGCAAUGCAUUCAUAUCUAUCUUUGCACGGAUGGAAAAAUUAGUCUGGCGCCAUAUAUCUUCUAUUUGUUAUACUACAGAAAGACAUAUUAAAAUAAAGUUGCCCCUAAACAAGGUGGAUGGACGACCACUCAUUUUGGCAGACUGUACUCGCACAAUUCGUUUUCCCAAUAAUAAUGUGAAUGGAGAGAGUAUAAUUCACACUGUCGCUUCAUGAUUCUUUUGUCAGCUUAUUUUUUAGAGCUGCCUUUUUUUUUGCGGGAAUAUUUUUUAGAGCUGUCAGCUAUUAUAUUUACCCCUACUGCCAUAACUAUUUCCAGAGCCAUGUGUCGGCAGCUUUUGUUAUCAUAGCCGACAAAACUAUAACGAAGCUACAGUGUGAGCCAGGAAGACGUUAUAUUUUCAGGGAUAACAUAUAUAUUGUGCCAAACUCCUCUAUCCAAAACUAUUUGCCGGCACCUCUUGUUUUGUUUAUUUACAAUUUUAAUAUUGUGGAUGAUCAUGACGAUACGAAGUAAAGAGUUUUGCAUAGCAUAUGUAAUUUCAUGCAGGCAGACAACACUUUUUUAUCAGUGUAUAAUUUUGCUCUGUAAAGACAAGAUUUUAUCUUGUGAUAUUGAAAACAUAGUGUUAGAUAAAUCAUAGAUGUGAUCUUUGUGGAUAAAUUUGUGCAAGAGAAUUGAAUAAAAUUAAGAACAAGUUGUAUACCUGUGCAAUAAAGAAAACUAUCUGCAGUAGUAAAUACAUGUAGGUGGCAACACUCACAUUUUGGUUAUUCCUGUAUAAACAUUGCUAGUGCAAAUUGGAUCCUAUAUAUUGUGCACACGGUGUUCCCGUCCUCGGAUGGUUUCCCCUUGUUCGGUCUUGCUCAUUCUCGUUGCUCACAAGCUCAUGCAAUUGAGAACCUGAGAUCUUCAAUCUGGCCAUCUGGGAUUUCCGGACUUCUCCUUCGAAGGAAAACAAGGACUGGCACAUAUGGCGCUCUUUGGACACCUUGACUAGAUAGGGGCCUGUCGUGUGCACCCGCAACAUCAGCAUAACCAGCUUUACCGGGGUAUCGUGCAGCUCUGUUUUUGUUGGCACCUUGGGACAUGUCUGCACCAAGAUUCCCAUGGGAUCAACACAUGUGGAGAAUGUCAUGGCGUGAUUGAAGGACUUGCAAGUGGCAAAGGCGGGGUCUUGGAUGCGAUGAAGACUUUGCUUCAUAGGCAGUUGUUUAGACAUGGCUUACGGGAUAUGUUCCCAUCCAGACGGGACGUGAAUUCCUGUGAGCCUAAUGGUGCGUGACUUGCAGUAGUAGCCUCCGCAAGUGGGGGUGGCGGCAUUGGAGGACUUCUUUGUUAUUCGGUGCUCCUCUGAGUACCCAAUCAGGAUUUCCAAGGUGAAAACCCAAGGUCUGGCCUUUAUUGGUUGUGCCUGGCAGUAGUCUUGUUGAAGGCAUUAUUGUUGGGAACCUCAUCUUUCUCCAGGGUGAAAACGUAAUAUCUUUGAUCAGGCAACGACAACGCUUGUGCUUUGUUUCCUUCCUGGAGGCAUUGCUUUUGGAGAACCUAUUUUGUAGUCCGGGUGCCAUCUUUGGUGGUGGUUAGAGUGCGGCUACUUCGGGUAUUGAUCACCGUGGUGGGAUAUUUUUUCUUCUCUUUUUAUUUUGAUUUUUAGUUGUGUGCAUCCUGGAUGUUUUUAGGCAUCUUGUUGUUGCAGAGUCUGGGAGUAAUUGGUAUCUGCUUGAUAUUAAUACAUUCUCCUUUACAAAAAAAAAUUACAUAUGCCUUUUCUAGAAUUUUUUUCCUAAAACUUCCAGGGAUGAUUCUAUCAUUUGUUUAAUUUUAAUGGAAAAAUUAAACCAAAACCAAAACGUCAGGAGGUAAAUGUGAGUGAAUAUUAAGGUCAAGAGGUAAAUGUGUUUGAAAUAAAUAUGAGUGACACUUCUCCAUGUGAAAUUGUUAGGGAGAAAACUAGACUUCUCUCUGUAAAAAUAACCCCAAAAUUAUGGAGGAAACAAAACCAUCCAAAUAAACAAUAUAUUGAGAAGUCUAUGAAACGAACAACCACCAAGAUAAAAGAGAAUUCGCCAUACUCAUCAAGACGCCCACAUGUCAAUAGCUCAGUCAGUCAACAUUAUAGCAAUUAAUUUUGAUAGGCUCAAGGAUCAUAGUAGAAGCAUGCAUGAAUCGUUGCAGGUCAUUGAUGAGAGCAAUGCAGAUCACUAUCUUUGCAUGGUCAGAAAAAUUAUUCUGGCGCCACCUAUCUUCUAUUUGUUAAACCAUAUGAAGGCGCAUAUCUCAUCACGAACGAUUAAUCAACAAUAUAUACUACACAAUGACACAUUAAAAUUAUUGCACAUGGGCGAGAUUGAUGGCUUUAUCCUUCAUAUGAUCCAAAUAAUCGUAUUUAUUGUUCACACUGUAACAACAUAAUGGUUUUGUUGGCUAUCUACCCCUGCUACCAUUCCUAUCUCUUGAGCAACAUGCUAGUAUCUUUUGUUUAGUUUAGCUAAAAAGAUUGGAAUGAGAGAUUUCCUUUUUUUGUGCAAUAACAUGAUAGUACAAACUACUGAACUUUACAUAUUUAGGUACUCAAUAAAAUACUGUUAAAGAUAGCUAUAGACAUUAGUCAUAUUAAUUCAACCAUAAGAGAUUAUCAUGUACCAUAUUAGCAUGAUUACUGGUCCUGUUCAAGAAUUCGUCCGAUUAACCAGUUAACUUGGAAAUUAAUCCCUACUUGUAAGGUCAUCGUGUAGCCAAUAAACUGAUAAAUCCUCCGUUUAAUUUCUUAACAGGACAAUUAACUUGCCGAUUACCCUAUUAAUCCCCUACUCCCUAGCCAACCAAGCAGCUACCAGUUAACAAUUUCCUCAACAAAUUUACUGGUAUGUUCCUGUUUAGAUGGUUCACCAAUACACUUCCAAAGUUAUUUUUGAGAAUGAUGCACCCUUUUUACAUUUUUUUGGUAUUAUUCCAUCAAUGCUGCACUACAUCAUAGCAUCUUCUUCUUUUUGGAAUGGCUAUGAAAGGACACGAUAGGUAUGUCUGGUGAACUUUUUGUGGAGAUACUUGGGCUCAUGUGUCUGAGAAUAAGAGGAUGUCCUCCCAUAGGAUUUACAUAUACCAACAACUAUUAACCAUGUCUCAAUGUGAGAUUGGAGACUAAAGAGUCUAGAUUUUAUAAGAUUAACCGGAAGUGUUGACUUCAACCGUGUAUUACUAAUCCACUGCAGUUGAAUUUUUGCAGUUGAAUUUUGCAUAUGGCUAAUUUAUUAAUCAACACCUAGGAGGAAUAGUUUGUAGGAGUUACCUAUAGCGUUGCCCUGGCAAAAGGAAAUGUGAUUGUUUAUCAAAAUUGUUUCUACUUAUAUUGUUUUAUCCCGUUACUACUGCAGCACUAAUUUUUAGUUAACUAAUGAAAGAAAGGCAUCAUAUUGUUUUAUCCCAUUGAUACCAGAGCACCAAUUUUUAGUUCAUUAAUUAUGUUGCUAUCUUCAAGUAUUUUUAAUCUGGAGGAAGUUCCACAAAACAAAAAUGUGAGAGUCAAAAAGGUGAGGGGAAAACGAGCUGAAUACCACCUUCUUUGUCCUGUCUUGCUUAAUCCACUUGAAGCCAGAUUACCACUUCGGCAGGGUAUGCUGAUGGAACUCGAACUAGGAACCUCAGUGACAUUUGUAGCCAUACAUUCAAAACACCUCCAGGCACAUGAUUUCAAAAGAUAUUUUUGAAGCAACAGGUCACCAAGCGUCUAAUUGAGUGUUGUAGACAUGACAAUGUCUAAAAUGGCGACUUUGAGGAAGCGUAAUGGAACAAACAUUGUGUCAUGCAUGUGCUCUCUACCACACCCUCGACAAAAAUCAAGAUCCCAGUCCAGUGGAAUGAGGAGGACUAGGAUAUGGACGACGAAGGGCCCAGCAACUAGAUAGAGACAACUUAGGAGUGAGCCAUAGGAAGAUCAUCUAGUGCACUGGGUGUGUGGAUUUGAGGGCCCACUUGUAAGAGAGUGCGUAUGCGUUUAAAAGGGGCAAGUGAAUCAGACAUGUGCCGUAACUUAUCGAUGAAAUAAUAAUUGUUUGAACUCUCACCUACUCUGUUCUGCAUCUCACCCUCUUCAUCUGUUCUUCAACUUCUUCUCAUCCCCUACUCCAUAUUAUCCUCUCCAAUAUGUGAUUCUUCCACCAACACUAGUUGGACAUCACAGUUUGACAAUGGAAAUCUUGGUAAAUUUUUCUCUUUGACAGCACUCGGAAACAAUUGAUGCAGGCGCAAAUCCAUGAUAUAAGGGAUAUUUUCUGUAGCAUUGUUUGAAAAUACAUCAGUUACGCAAGGGCCCUUUUGCUUCUUUACUUCUUGUUCUGUGUGCACUCUGAUGUUCGAAGGUGCAGUGAUGGUAGACAGAUAUUUAGUUGGAAGAAAAAUAGAUAAACUCAGAUUUCGUGUAACCCGGGCUCACUCUUUUCAGUGAAUAAAUUAUUGUCACAAAAAACCAGCCUUUUGCUUCUCUUGAUGACAUUAUUCUUAGAAGUAAGAAUGUGCAUUUCUGCAGCCCAUGCUCAUGUGCUAUUUUUUCUUUUUAACUAGUGUAACAAAUGGGGUAGAUGUUUUUUUUUCUGUGCCAAUAAUGGUGUUAAGACUGCUAAAAUCUUGUAAGGGAAGAAAACAUUGAAGAGCAGAAAGAAGAAGAAAAUCAUUUAUUUAUAUAGAACUGACAUGCAUUUGAACAUCAACAGUCAUUUAUUAUUAAUAAUUCCGCAUUUUGUGAAUUCCUUUCUCCAAUGUUUUCUUCCAGGUUUAUUUACUAUGAUAGGCUCACCAGGAAAGGAACCUGAAAAUUUAAAUCGUGUCAAUUUCCUUUUCACACAAUUCUCUCAUGAUGCAAUGGUUUCAGAGAACGCUGUUGUUAUUUGCCAGACAUGUGAUGUUUAGUAUGACUUGAACUAACAUAACAUGCAUAAUACGUUUAUUGAGUACAUGAAGGUUGGUUUCUUUGAAUCAUUUUGGAUUAGCCUGUUUGCAAAGGCUAUUAUCAUUCCACCACUCAGUGAUUUAUGAAUAUCUCCCAUUCAUUUGAUGUGAGUUCCCUGCAACCACACACGAUAUUUCCCUUACUCCGUUUUCGGUAAGAUAUGGGAAACUAAACAUUCAAGGAUAUUGUUCCCACAAGUGGAGAGACUGAAAAAGUCGCGCGCGUUGCUCUCCNNNNNNNNNNNNNNNNNNNNNNNNNNNNNNNNNNNNNNNNNNNNNNNNNNNNNNNNNNNNNNNNNNNNNNNNNNNNNNNNNNNNNNNNNNNNNNNNNNNNNNNNNNNNNNNNNNNNNNNNNNNNNNNNNNNNNNNNNNNNNNNNNNNNNNNNNNNNNNNNNNNNNNNNNNNNNNNNNNNNNNNNNNNNNNNNNNNNNNNNNNNNNNNNNNNNNNNNNNNNNNNNNNNNNNNNNNNNNNNNNNNNNNNNNNNNNNNNNNNNNNGAGGCCGAACAGGUGAAGCCCGCCUCGGUGGGCGGCGGCAUCAGGGCAGUCUAUUCCCGCGGCAACUCAUCGCCCUGGACGGCGGAGCCCGCUCGCGGCACGGUGGCGAAAGUCGGCGCGUUGGAUCCCACGGUGGACCCCUCGUCAGCGUGGAGAGAUGCUUGUGUGUGGCUGACCGGGGUCGAGCACGAGGGAUUCGGGCCUUGUUCGCCGUAUCAAUCUCGCGACGACACCUAUGUCUUCAGCUGGUGCGGUCAGGGUGGUGACCCGGGCUGGCGGCGGCGACCGGUUCCUCCAUGGCUGGUGGGUUAAGUCCUUGACCUGGACGACCAUGUGACGAUGGGUGGUGGCAGAGGCCGCAGAACUAGCGUGCCAUCCAGAUCCAUCUCGGCGUGGCCUUGGCCGGCAGGCGAUGCGUGCAGGGACCGAUCUGGGGCGGCUGGAGGCCCUAUGCCGACGUUCCAGCGAUAGCUUACGUCUCCAUGGCGACGCAACUUCUAGUGAAAAUGUGCUGACUGCGGUCAUGGAAGAUGGUGGCAUCUCUAAUGUCGUUUCCUUCUUCGAGGCAUCGUCGUUUGUAAGCUGUGUCACUACGCUCGGGAUGUUCCGGGGGGAACUCUAUUUCUGGGUAUCCCGGAUCAGACGAUGACGGUGCCUUCAGCGCCAUUCUCCCUCCUAGGGGCAUUGUUCUGGAGCAGGUGCCGACUGGAAGAGACAAGUGGAGGAGCGGUGUUACAUCUACCGCAAGGAUGACGCAGGGUCUCGGUGGCGUGGCAAGGCAGAGUGUCGGCGACGAGCGCCCACGCUAGAUGGUUGAGCUAUCUGGUGUCGAGAUGGCCUGGCGAGAUGAAUACGUUGAUCGCUCCUGAAGGUGGGACAGCAGAACAUGGCGGUGGCUUAAUCUAAAGUGUGUGCAUGCUGUGCGCGCAAAGGGUCUAGCUAGACCAGUUGGUGCUCUCGAAUUGCCGGCAGACAUCUUGGUGAGGUGACCGGAAUAUAUGAUGUGUGUUGAUAAGUGGUCAGGGCACGGCAUUAAAGCUUGUAGGUGUAACGACAAUAGUUUCUAGGGAGGUGGCUUUGCCUUGAUCCAUAUAUUUGUUUUGUUUGGUUCCGUUGAAUAAUAUAAUAAAAUGGUUGUGUGCAUGGCCCGAUGCAUAGACUAGGGGUAAUCGUCUUUUUCGAAAAAAAGUAGAAUGGUACAGUCACACCAUUUUGCCAGUGACAUGCUAAAAAUGGCAUGAUAAACAAUUCCUGAAUGAUAAAUCACAUGGUGACAGUAUAUCUAUUUUAUAGGAAGAGCUGGAUAGAUUAGAGUAUACUGCCCCAGGAUUUUAAAGUGAGUGCGAGAGUUCAGAUUUAUUUACAUGUUUAGCUUCAGAGCUUCAGAACGUCUUUUUUUCACGAAUACACAAAGCUUGAAUAUCUUUUAUUGAUAGAAGAAAGAGAAUGAGUACAACAGAGGAUACAACACAUGGCAUGAACCCAAAGAGGCAUGAUCAUGGAACCCGGAGUAGAGAGACAAGGGGUGCUCAGCCCGAAUAGGGAAAUGACACAACUACACCCACAAAUCCUAAACAGAGAGGCAGGCCGAACAAGCACGGCGUCGAACAUCUCAAAAUCCAACACCAGGGACACCACGAGCGAACAAGAUAGCGCCUUCAGGAAGGGGUGCGACGUCGUGACACCGCCGCCAUCCGAUCCGAGGAACCGGAUCUAGGGUUUCCCCCAGCGCUCAAAGAGGGGCACGGAUAAAAGCCAUGGCAAAUAACUCACGAGUGUCGCCUCUGCCAACAUCGGCAAGAAGAGCAUGGAUUUCGCCUGGCCCAAGUCCGAGCAAUCCCAUAGCUGCCAAAUCAGGAUCCGAAGAUGAGGAAGACAAUCCGCUAGUCAACCACCGUCCCAGUACGGAGGUGGUGGGGCUGCACCUGCUGCCAAAAGAACACGAGCUUUGGAAAUGACAUGCCGUGGGUGUCGACGGGGUCGGGGAGGCAGCGUGGUAGACAGCUUGCAUGGAGGGUGGGAUGGUGACCGGCGCCGCUGACGAGAUGGAGCCGGAAGGGAGCACAAGUCCGAGCUGCCGGAGGUGAAGCCGCCAGAACACCGGCAAACCGAAGAUGCCGGAAGGGGACGCAGCGACCGGGGUGUUGGGGCUGAAAUUGAAGGAAAUAUGCCCUAGAGGCAAUAAUAAAGUUAUUAUUUAUUUCCUUAUAUCAUGAUAAAUGUUUAUUAUUCAUGCUAGAAUUGUAUUAGCCGGAAACAUAAUACAUGUGUGAAUACAUAGACAAACAGAGUGUCACUAGUAUGCCUCUACUUGACUAGCUCGUUAAUUAAAGAUGGUUAUGUUUCCUAACCAUAGACAUGAGUUGUCAUUUGAUUAACGGGAUCACAUCAUUAGGAGAAUGAUGUGAUUGACUUGACCCAUUCCGUUAGCUUAGCGCACGAUUGUUUAGUAUUCUGCUAUUGCUUUCUUCAUGACUUAUACAUGUUCCUAUGACUAUGAGAUUAUGCAACUCCCGUUUACCGGAGGAACACUUUGUGUGCUAUCAAACGUCACAACGUAACUGGGUGAUUAUAAAGGUGCUCUACAGGUGUCUCCACAGGUACUUGUUGGGUUGGCGUAUUUCGAGAUUAGGAUUUGUCACUCCGAUUGUCGGAUAGGUAUCUCUGGGCCCACUCGGUAAUGCACAUCACUUAAGCCUUGCAAGCAUUGCAACUAAUGAGUUAGUUGCGAGAUGAUGUAUUACGGAACGAGUAAAGAGACUUGCCGGUAACGAGAUUGAACUAGGUAUUGAGACACCGACGAUCGAUUCUCGGGCAAGUAACAUACCGAUGACAAAGGGAACAACGUAUGUUGUUAUGCGGUUUGACCGAUAAAGAUCUUCAUAGAAUAUGUGGGAGCCAAUAUGAGCAUCCAGGUUCCGCUAUUGGUUAUUGACCGAAGACGUGUCUCGGUCAUGUCUACAUAGUUCUCGAACCCGUAGGGUCCGCACGCUUAAAGUUUCGAUGACAGUUAUAUUUUGAGUUUAUAUGUUUUGAUGUACCGAAGGUAGUUCGGAGUCCCAGAUGAGAUCACGGACAUCACGAGGAGUCCCGAAAUGGUCGAGACAUGAAGAUUGAUAUAUUGGACGACUAUAUUCGGACACCGGAAUGGUUCCGGUGGUUAUCGGAUAUAUACCGGAGUACCGGGAGGUUACCGGAACCCCCUGGGGGUUUAAUGGGCCUACAUGGGCCUUAGUGGAGAAGAGGAGAGGCGGCUAGGGCAGGCCGCGCGCCCCCUCCCCCUCUAGUCCGAAUUGGACAAGGAGGGGGGCGGCGCCCCCCCUUUCCUUCCUCUCUCUCUCCUCUUUCCCCCUUCUCCUAAUCCAACAAGGAAGGGAAGGGAGUCCUACUCCCGGUGGGAGUAGGACUCCUCCUGGCGCGCCCCUCUCCUGGCCGGCCGCCUCUCCCCCUUGCUCCUUUAUAUAAGGGGGCAGGGGGGCACCCCAAAGACACAACAAUUGAUCAUUGAUCUUUUAGCCGUGUGCGGUGCCCCCCUCCACCAUAGUCCACCUCGAUAAUAUCGUAGCGGUGCUUAGGCGAAUCCCUGCGUCGGUAGAACAUCAUCAUCGUCACGACGCCGUCGUGCUGACAAAACUCUCCCUCAACACUCGGCUGGAUCGGAGUUCGAGGGACGUCAUCGGGUUGAACGUGUGCUGAACUCGGAGGUGCCGUGCGUUCGGUACUUGAUCGGUCGGAUCGUGAAGAAGUACGACUACGUCAACCGCGUUGUGCUAACGCUUCCGCGUUCGGUCUACGAGGGUACGUGGACACACUCUCCCCUCUCGUUGCUAUGCAUCACCAUGAUCUUGCGUGUGCGUAGGAAUUUUUUUGAAAUUACUACGUUCCCCAACAGUGGCAUCCGAGCCAGGUUUUAUGCCUAGAUGUUAUAUGCAUGAGUAGAACACAAGUGAGUUGUGGGCGAUACAAGUCAUACUGCUUACCAGCAUGUCAUUCUUUGGUUCGGCGGUAUUGUUGGAUGAAGCGGCCCGGACCGACAUUACGCGUACGCUUACGCGAGACUGGUUCUACCGACGUGCUUUGCACACAGGUGGUUGGCAGGUGUCAGUUUCUCCAACUUUAGUUGAACCGAGUGUGGCUACGCGCGGUCCUUGAGAAGGUUAAAACAGCACUAACUUGACGACUAUCGUUCUGGUUUUGAUGCGUAGGUAAGAAUGGUUCUUGCUCAGCCCGUAGCAGCCAUGUAAAACUUGCGACAACAAAGUAGAGGACGUCUAACUUGUUUUUGCAGGGCAUGUUGUGAUGUGAUAUGGUCAAGACAUGAUGCUAUAUUUUAUUGUAUGAGAUGAUCAUGUUUUGUAACAGAGUUAUCAACAACUGGCAGGAGCCAUAUGGUUGUCGCUUUAUUGUAUGCAAUGCAAUCGCCCUGUAAUGCUUUACUUUAUCACUAAGCGGUAGCGAUAGUCGUAGAAGCAUAAGUUGGCGAGACGACAACGAUGCUAUGAUGGAGAUCAAGGUGUCGCGCCGGUGACGAUGGUGAUCAUGACGGUGCUUCGGAAAUGGAGACCACAAGCACAAGAUGAUGAUGGCCAUAUCAUAUCACUUAUAUUGAUUGCAUGUGAUGUUUAUCUUUUAUGCAUCUUAUCUUGCUUUGAUUGACAGUAGUAUUAUAGGAUGAUCUCUCACUAAAUUAUCAAGGUAUAAGUGUUCUCCCUGAGUAUGCACCGUUGCGAAAGUUCUUCGUGCUGAGACACCACGUGAUGAUCGGGUGUGAUAGGCUCUACGUUCAAACACAACGGGUGCAAAACAGUUGCACACGCGAAAUACUCAGGUUAAACUUGACGAGCCUAGCAUAUAACAGAUAUGGCCUCGGAACACUGAGACCGAAAGGUCGAGCGUGAAUCAUAUAGUAGAUAUGAUCAACAUAAAUGAUGUUCACCAUUGAAACUACUCCAUCUCACGUGAUGAUCGGACAUGGUUUAGUUGAUAUGGAUCACGUGCUCACUUAGAGGAUUAGAGGGAUGUCUAUCUAAGUGGGAGUUCUUAAGUAAUAUGAUUAAUUGAACUUUAAUUUAUCAUGAACUUAGUCCUGGUAGUAUUAGCAUAUCUAUGUUGUAGAUCAAUAGCUCGCGAUAUUGCUCCCCGUUUAAUUUUUAUAUGUUCCUAGAGAAAACUAAGUUGAAAGAUGUUAGUAGCAAUGAUGUGGAUUGGAUCCGUGAUCUGAGGUUUAUCCUCAUUGCUGCACAGAACAAUUAUGUCCUUGAUGCAGCGCUAGGUGACAGACGUAUUGCAGGAGGACAUGCAGACGUUAUGAACGUUUGGCUAGCUCAAUAUGAUGACUACUUGAUAGUUUAGUGCACCAUGCUUAACGGCUUAGAAUCAGGACUUCAAAGAUGUUUUGAACAUCAUGGACCAUAUGAGAUGUUCCAGGAGUUGAAGUUAAUAUUUCAAGCAAAUACCCUAGUUGAGAGAUAUGAAGUCUCCAACAAGUUCUAUAGCUAAAAGAUGGAGGAGAAUAGCUCAAGAAGUGAGCAUGUGCUCAGAUUGUCUGGGUACUACAAUCACUUGAAUCAAGUGGGAGUUAAUCUUCCAGAUAAAGAUAGUGAUUGACAGAAUUCUCUAGUCACCAUCACAAAGUUAGUAUAACUUCGUGAUGAACUAUAGUAUGCAAGGGAUAACGUAAACGAUUCCCGAGCUUUUCAUGCUGGUGAAAUCAGAAAUCAAGAAAGAGCAUCAAGUGUUGAUGAUUAACAAGACCACUAGUUUCAAGAAAAUGGCAAAGGGAAAGAAAGGGAACUUCAUGUAGAACGGCAAGCAAGUUGCUGCUCAAGUGAAGAAGCCCAAGUUUGGACCUAAGCCUGAGACUGAGUGCUUCUACUGCAAAAGGACUGGUCACUGGAAGCAGAACUACCCGAAAUAAUUGGCGUAUAAGAAGGAUGGCAAAGUGAACAAAAGUAUAUUUGAUAUACAUGUUAUUGAUGUGUACUUUACUAGUGUUUAUAGCAACCCCUCAGUAUUUUAUACUGGUUGGCAACCUCUGCUUGCCUCUGCGAAGGGCCUAUCUUUUACUUUUAUGCAAGAGUCAUGGUGAUCUUCACCUUUCCUUUUUUUCAUUUUAUCCUUUGGCAAGUACCUCGUGUUGGAAAGAUUCUGAUAUAUCCAAUUGGAUGUAAGGCAUCAUGAACUAUUAUUGUUAACAUUACCCUUGAGGUAAAAGGUUGGGAGGCGAAUCUAUAAGCCCCUAUCUUUCUCUGUGUCUGAUUAAAACUUUGAACCCAUAAAUAUCGCGUGAGUGUUAGCAAUUGUGAAAGACUAAAUGAUAGUUGAGUAUGUGGAGUUUGCUAAAUCAAAGCUCUGACAUAGACUCUUCCUGAAAAUAAGAUGAAUUGUAAUUGUUUGAUGACUAAUAACACGGCUUGUUAGUUUUCAAGAAAGUUUAUGAUCUAUACUUUAACAUGUGAAUAGCUUGUUACUUGAUCAUGAAAAGUUCUAUGAGUUGAGCUACUGUUAUGACAUAUGAUGAUGCUAGAAAAAGUGAUUGAAAUUAUCAUUGAUCAAACUUGUGCACCUGCUAGCAUUCACACUUCAUAAAUUCUUUCUUUUAUCAUUUACCUACUCGAGGAUGAGCAGGAAUUAAGCUUGGGGAUGCUGAUACGUCUCCAACGUAUCUAUAAUUUAUGAAGUAUUCAUGCUAUUAUAUUAUCUGUUUUGGAUGUUUAUGGGCUUUAUUGAACACUUUUAUAUUAUUUUUGGGACUAACCUAUUAACCUAGAGCCCAUUGCCAGUUUCUGUUUUUUGCUUGUUUUUGAGUUCUACAGAAAAGGAAUACCAAACGGAGUCCAAUGGACGUCCCAAUUUUUGACGAUUUUUUAUGGACCAAAAGGAGACCCCGGAGCAAAAGGGUUGGGACAGGAGAGUCCCGGGCUGCCCACGAGGGUGGGGGGCGUGCCCUCCCCCCCUGGGCGUGGGCCCCUGCCUCGUGGACAACCCGGAGACCCCCCUGACAUGAGACCUACGCCAAAAAAUCCUAUAAAUACUGAAACCUCCAGAAAGCAGAAUAGAUCGGGAGUUCCGCCGCCGCAAGCCUCUGUAGCCACCAAAAACCAACCGGGACCCUGUUCCGGCACCCUGCCCGAGGGGGUAUGUCGGUGUCAAAACCGGCGGAUCUCGGGUAGGGGGUCCCGAACUGUGCGUCUAAGGCGGAUGGUAACAGGAGGCGGGGGACACGAUGUUUACCCAGGUUCGGGCCCUCUCGAUGGAGGUAAUACCCUACUUCCUGCUUGAUUGAUCUUGAUGAUAUGAGUAUUACAAGAGUUGAUCUACCACGAGAUCGUAGAGGCUAAACCCUAGAAGCUAGCCUAUGGUAUGAUUGUUUUUGUCCUACGGACUAAACCCUCCGGUUUAUAUAGACACCGGAGGGGGCUAGGGUUACACAGAGUCGGUUACAAGGGAGGAGAUCUGCAUAUCCGUAUUGCCAAGCUUGCCUUCCAUGCCAAGGAGAGUCCCAUCCGGACACGGGACGAAGUCUUCAAUCUUUUGUCUUCAUAGUCCAACAGUUCGGCUAAAGUAUAUAGUCCGGCUGUCCGAGGACCCCCUAAUCCAGGACUCCCUCAGUAGCCCCUGAACGAGGCUUCAACGACGAUGGGUCCGACGCGCAGAUUGUCUUCGGCAUUGCAAGGCGGGUUCCUCCUCCGAAUAUUCCAUAGAAGAUUUUGAACACAAGGAUAGUGUCCGGCUCUGCAAAACAAAUUCCACAUACCACCAUAGAGAGAAUAAUAUUUCCACAAAUCUAAUCUACUGACACAUUCUGCAGCAUGACAUCACACCAUGGCCCGGUCAUUAUUCGGACCGUUUUUCUUAACCAGCCACUGCACAUAUCGCGAGGCGGUUUUCUUGGCACGUCUUGUCGAAGCAGAGAUCGUGUCCCCCUAUCACGGGAUUGUCAUCAAUACGGGUGUGGGUAACCUAACCGCGCCAUCAAUUACAGCUCUUGGGGAAUAAGCGAGUUUACCAGGCAGGUGGGGAGGCGCAUAGUUCCUUCCGCCCUUAUAAAGAGACAAGGAUUCAUCUUUUUCACCCACGCCCUCUUCCUCCUUGCUCAUCCGUUCUUGCGCACUUGAGCUCCAACACCCAAGUUCGCAUUCUCUCCUCAAACCACUCCAAGCAUGUCCGGAGCAGGAGGCAAGUGGAUGGUCUCCUCCGUUACGAAGGAGGACAUCACAAGGCUAUGGGGAGCCGGAUACCUGGCCGCGGAUAUCGCGCACCGGCUACAAGAUGCGGGGCAGAUCGUCCCUACUCCAGAACCCCAUGAGAGGGUGAUAUUUCUUACCCACUUUGUCCGCGGACUGGGAUUUCCCCUCCACCUGUUUGUCCGCGGGCUCAUGUUCUACUACGGGCUGGACUAUCACGAUCUGGCCCCCAAUUUCAUCCUCAACAUCUCGGCGUUUAUCGUCGUGUGCGAGGCCUUCCUCCGCAUCAAGCCCCACUUCGGCCUGUGGCUGAAGACCUUCAACGUUAAACCGAAGGUGGUGGCCGGCCAGCAAGCGGAGUGCGGAGGCGCCAUGGUGGGCAAAAUGCCCAACGUCACCUGGCUAGAAGGCUCCAAUGUGGAGACCGUAAAGGGGUGGCAAUCGGGGUGGUUCUACAUCACCGAGCCGCGCGACACCAACUGGGUAGCGGCCCCCGAAUUUUUAUCCGGAAUCCCCAUGCGGCUCACCUCCUAGAAAGAGAAGGGCCUAUCCUGGGGUUCCUCGGUAGAGCUGACCGGACCCCAGACCUGCGUCAAAAACAUGAUGAGCAAGAAAAUCAAGCUUGUCAACAUGGUCCAAGUCAUGCUCUUCCGCCCGAUCCUCCCGUGUCAAAGACGGGCAUUCAAUUUGUGGGAGUUCGACCCGGCCGAGCACCAGACGCUGCGAGAGCUCUUCGACACGGCGCACAAGGACGUCUGGAAGGUGAUGUUCAAGGGCGCUGAGGUACCUCCUCCCCUUACCAAGGACCGCGGACUCAGCGCAAAGCGCCCUGCCAAUCCGGUAUGUCUUUUAUAUUUCAUAAGAUGUUCUUUUCCCCAGUAUAACCACACGCGGGAUCUAAGCCCCCACGCCAUUUAACAGGACUGGGUAGCGACAGCGGAGCAGAUCGAUUGUCCAGCCCCCCUGCCUGAAGAUCCAGCGGAUGCUCUCCUAACGGAGAUCCUGGUUUCGGCGCCUUAUGAGGUGCCGGAGAAGAAGGCCACGGGGACCAGGAAGGGUCUCCGGCGCAAGGUUAUAUCGGACUCAUCGUCCGAAAACACCGAGGCGCACUCCUCCCACGAAAACGGGGAGGAAGAGGAAAGUUCUCCCCCCCAGCCAGGGGGGACAGGACAAGGAAGGCUGCCCCAUCAGGGGAGGCCGAAGGGUCCAAGAAGGGAAGGACCCUCCUCCCGGACUGCUCCACAAAGGCCGCUUUUAGCGACGAGGAGUGGUUACCCAGGGACAAGCCCCUGGCAAAGUCGUGAGUAUCCGGAUACCAUAAUAAUUCUUGGUACGUCUUAUUGUACUGUUUCUUAUCACGCCGCGCAUGAUUAUGCAGUCCGUCCCGAGCCCAUAUCGACGUAUCUUCGUCGGAUGAUUCUUUGGGCCCGUCAGAUAUGAAUAGCGAUUCACUCCCGACUGCCUCCUCCCCCCGCCCUACGGACGACGCCGAGGUGUUGUCUCAAAGGGAACUAAACCAAGGGGAGACAGUUCCGGAGGCGCCCCAAGGCGACAUUCCAGGCGCUAGGUGCACGAGGGGCAAGACUCCCCUAGGCCCUAACACCGGGGGCAGUAAGUCUAGCCCCAAGCCGAAUACGGCGCCGGAACCUCCAGUGGUUCCGGAUUCUGUCAGGCAACCCCUCGCUAAGGGGGGUAAGCCGUCUGUGCCGAUGGCCUCUGUCCAUCCAGAGGCAUCGGACAACUUGCUAGAAGUGCUUCGCGGCGCUUCCAUUGACGAAGAGCACCGCACUAUUAUGAGUGCGGUAGUUAAGAAGGUUCAGUCCGCUAAGAGCGGACUGACUGAAGCCUGUGCCAACCUCCUAACCGGCUUUGAGGUAAGUAAUCAAAUUGUAAGAAAAUGUUACAGCAUAGACAGUAGCCCCUGAUGCUCUGUUUGGCGUUCGCGGAGAAAGGCCGAAUAGAGGAUCAAAUAAUAAUCGCAGGAGUCUAAUCAGAAUGUGUCUAUGUGAAUAAGCGGGCUUCACUGCUGGCCGCCGCCGCUCGUACUGCGGAGGUCACCGCACUGAAGCGGGACCUUGAGCGGUCCAAGGAAGAGCUCGGCCUUACCAAGAGGCAGCUCGAAGAGAACAAAGGUAAGUGACACCCCGUCUGAAUAUUGGUAAAGAAAAAUUUGGUUUUGGAAUAAUAGGAUCCUCAUGAAUUUUGCUAGGGGCCACGACCGAAGUGGCGGCCCUGCAGAAGGCGCUAUCUGAGGCCGAAGACAAAGCGGCCAAGGAGCACAUCGAGCGAGAGAAGCAAGAGGCCCGAGUAGGCGAGGUGCGGCAAGAGCUCCAGGCUCUCGUCAAGAAACACGAGUCCUUGGAGCUUGACUCUAUGACGCAAGGGUCCGAGCUUGCGAAGGCCCUCGAAAGCGCACAACAUGCCAAGGCCAAAGCCCAAAAGGCCCUCCAGGAAAUUUAGGCGGUUAAGAAGAUAGCGGCGGGUAAGGCAUUCAUUAUGCAAAGCAAGCAUGUGAAGGAAACUUUCUUUUUACUUACCCGAGUUCGGAGUUCUCCAGAAGCGUUCGCAGAUCUACCCCGCAGUGUGUCGGAUGCCACGGAGUUCUACCGGGCCGAGGAGGGGAGCUCGGCGGAGAAGUUGUUCUGGUCUCAGUAUACUGGGACCGAACAUCCAAUGCCCUUGAGCGACCAGUUGAAGCAACUGGUCGAGCUUCACAAGGCGGCCGAACAGGCCAUGAAGGGUCUUAUGGUCUGGAUGUGGCAUGGCGACCCCUGCCUGGUAGCUACUUCGGUCUGGUGAGGCGGCUUGUGAAUGCCUGCACACGGUUUGAAGUCAUAAAGCGGUCCGUCUGCAUUGAGGGUGCGCGCAGGACUUUUGCCCGGGCGAAGGUGCACAGGGCGAAGCUGGACGCCGAAAAGCUGGUGAAGGAGGGGCCGCCGGAGGGCAAGGAGCAUCGCCACCCCGAAAAGUAUUAUGAUAGUGUCCUGAAGGGUGCUCGCCUUGUGGCGGAGGAAUGUGCUAAGGAUGUAAUAUUUGAAUGAAUGUACUCAUGUGAUCCUGUAAUAUGAAACGAGUUCAUUUGCGUACGCAAUGCUUGUUAAUUUAAAAUAUUACCUUCUAUGCGGCCGUUUAUAAAAUCUGAGAGUUGGCCAGUCGUCGGCUUCUGCCCCCAUGUAACUAGUACUAAGGUGUUCGGGGUAAACCUGAGCACUCUUUAUCCCAAUUUUGGGUCCUUCGAAGGAGGUGUUUAGCACAAUGAACCAGGCAAUCGGACUAUAAAGCUUUAUCACUCUCACUUAGCCAUAGAAGUCUACAAUUUUAAAUUUUGGCGAAGCCCCUAGUAUUUCGAAGGCCGAAUUUGGGGCACUAUAUACGCCUAAGUCGGGCAAGACGACUCCUUGCCCGAAGCGGAAAGAGACUUUAAGGACUUGAGACCUCUCGAACAGCGACCAGCUCUCGCCUCAUUAUGACAGUCAGUUUUCGGCUUUCUCUACUGAGGUGCUCGUCCGGAAGAACCGGGACACAAUCGCAGUAGUUCUCCCAAGGCUACCUUAGCCGAUAUUGCGGAACGUAAGGUACCAAAACAUGGGAGCCGGGCAAACCCAACUAUUGACCCAAGACAUGAUUCGGAGCUGGUGCAUAUAAUUCUAUAAGUUCGGGGUGCCGCACUGUCGAAAGUGUUCGGACUUCUCACACUGUAUUAUGGGGUAUACUAAAGCCCCUGGCGCACUGGUCAUACCAGGAUGUACGGGUGCAAUUUGUCGUAAAUAAGCAGACAAGGAAAAAAAAGAAAGGGGAAUGCAAUAAUAGACUAACGAUAUGCAUUGUUAUUAAAUAAUACGUCAAAGCGACGGAUACAAGUAGUGCAAUAAGCAAAAAAUAAGACUAUUUGACAUGUCCUAUCCAAGGGCAAGCUGCGUAUGGGUAUGUAAAACAGGUAUUUCGAUCGUUAUCAGAGACCACCUAGGGAUUCCCUUGUACGUCAGAGCGUCUUGCUUCCUUGGUAUUUCCUUACCGCGAUGGGUCCAACAAUUAGAUUGCCGAAAAGGGCUUCCAGAGAGUAAGGUCCUGAAAGAGAGAAAAUGAUAAAGGUAUAUGGCCCCUGGGGCGGUUGAGCCACCUUGUGGGACGUGCCGUAGCUGUGCCUCCGCCUAUGCCCAUGGUAUCUUGAGUGCGUAGUUAUGUACGCGCGGCGCAAAUUUCGCCACUUGACUGGGACUAGGACGGAGGCCGAAUUGCUAGGCGAGCUCAAAACGUGCAUGGCGAUCCUCCUGCGGGGUACCCCGGACUCGCUUGAAGGUGUCCGGGGUCUUUUUCGCCGAAUUGGCGGUUUGCCUAUUAAGGCUGCUUUGCGCUUCUGCUGCGAGGGCUGCAGUGUGCUCCUCCGUGCGGAGCGAGCGCUCUGUGUUUCCAUUAACUGUUAUAACCCCGCGUGGUCCUGGCAUUUUGAGUUUGAGGUAUGCAUAAUGCGGUACCGCAUUGAAUCUGGGAAAUGCGGUUCGUCCGAGCAGUGCGUGAUAGCCGCUGCGAAAGGGGACGAUGCCGAAGAUUAACUCCUCGCGUCGAAAAUUGUCCGGAGAUCCGAAGACCACUUCCAGUGUGAUUGAGUCCGUGCAACAGGCCUCUACACCUGGGAUUACACCUUCAAAGGAGGUUUUGGUGGGUUUGAUCCUCGAGGGGUCUAUGCCCAUUUUGCACACUGUAUCCUGAUAGAGCAGGUUCAGGCUGCUGCCACCGUCCAUAAGGACGCGAGUGAGGUGAAAUCCGUCAAUGAUGGGGUCAAGGACCAAUGCGGCAGAUCCGCCAUGACGGAUACUAGUGGGGUGGUCCCUGCGAUCGAAGGUGAUCGGACAAGAGGACCAUGGGUUCAACUUUGGGGCGACUGGCUCCAUAGCAUAGACGUCCCUUAGUGCACGCUUCCGUUCCCUCUUGGGAAUAUGGGUUGCGUAUAUCAUGUUCACCGUUUUCACUUGUGGAGGGAACCUCUUCUGUCCUCCAAUGUUCGGCGGCCGAGGCUCCUCCUCGUCGUCGCUAUGGAGCCCCUUGUCCUUGUUUUUGGCAUUUAACUUGUCGGCCUGCUUGAAUACCCAGCAUUCUCUGUUGGUGUGAUUGGCUGGCUUAUCGGGGGUGCCAUGAAUUUUAACGAGCAAUCGAGUAUACGGUCCAAACUGGACGGGCCCGGAUUGCUUGUUUUGAACGGCUUCUUCCGCUGACCGGAUUUAGAGCCACUGAAUCCGGCAUUGACUGUCGUGUCUUCGGCGUUGUCGCCGUUGUUGUGGCGCUUGUGUCUGUUGCGACGUGGUCUGCCAAUAGUAUCUUUGGCGUCUGAAUUGCCGGGAUUUCUUGAUGUGCUGUUGCUGCGAGCUAGCCAGCUGUCCUCGCCCGCGCAAAAGCGGGUCAUGAGUGUCGUGAGGGCUGCCAUGGACUUCAGCUUCUCUUGGCCGCGGUGUCAGGCGAGCCACUCGUCCCGGAUGUUAUGUUUAAAUGCCGCUAAGGCCUCGGCAUCCGGACAGUCGACAAUUUGGUUCUUUUUAGUUAGGAACCGAGUACAGAAUUUCCUGGCCGAUUCCCCUGGCUGUUGGGUUAUGUGGCUCAAGUCAUCAGCAUCUGGUGGUCGCACAUAAGUGCCCUAGAAGUUGUCAAGGAAUGCGUCUUCCAAAUUCUCCCAACUGCCAAUGGAGUUUGCUGGCAGGCUAUUCAGCCAAUGUCGAGCUGGUCCUUUGAGUUUUAGUGGGAGGUACUUGAUGGCAUGUAGAUCGUCAUCGCGGGCCAUGUGGAUGUGGACGAGGAAAUCCUCGAUCCAUACCGCGGGGUCUGUUGUACCAUCAUAUGACUCAAUGUUCACGGGUUUGAAUCCUUCUAGGAAUUCAUGAUCCAUUACUUCAUCGGUGAAGCAUAGUGGGUGUGCAGCGCCUCUGUGCCGGGCUAUGUCACGACGCAGUUCAUACGAGUCUUGUCUGCUGUAUUCGGCCCCGCCGGAUUUGCUUUUAGUGUAUCCGGCAUGACGAUCAUCAUCACACAUUGGGGCGCGACCCCGUGAUCCGUAGAUCGAUCUUGUUUGUCCUGCUCUGUUUUCCUAUACGUCUCGCAGGUCCCGCGUGUUGCCCCAGGCCUUGGUAUUUAUGUUUGAAUGGCGGCGGGGUGCGGGCUGGACUUCGGGCUGAUAUGCCCCUCUGUCUCGGCCACGAGGUGGCCGAUCAGCCGCAUCAUACGCUGGUGAUGUAGGUUUUAAUGCUUCCUCCUCGAUUUGGGGUAGCAACCUGCGCUUUGGGUAACUCUUGGUUGGGCGCUCGAGUUCGUAUUCCUCUACCUCCAGGACUUCAGUCCAUCUAUCCGCUAGCAGAUAUUGAUCAGCUCGAAGCUGUUGUUGCUUUUUCUUCAGGCUGUUUGUUGUAGCUAUAAGCCGACGCUUGAAGCGCUCCUGCUUGACGGGAUCCUCAGGCACGAUAAAUUCUUCGUCGCCGAGGCUCACCUCGUCUUCGGAGAGAGGCAUGUAAUUGUCAUCCUCUGAUUCUCCGUCUGCUGCCUAUUCCGGAGGGCUAGCUUGUUCAUCCUCUCGCUCGAGGUCUGGCUGGAGGGGAUUGUCGUCGUCUUUGGCACUAUCCGGAGCGUUAUUGUCUCUUGUGCCGGUAUCGCUGCUUUUGCUAUGGCGGGACUUAGAGCGGCGCCGCUGACGUCGGUGCUUGGGUUGCUUCUUGGAGGGAUUAUCCUCGGUUGUCUUAUCGCCGUCGCCUUCUUUGGGGGUGUCCACCAUGUAUAUAUCAUAUGAUGAGGUGGCAGUCCAGCGCCCUGUGGGCGGUGGUUCCUGUUCGUCUCCUGUAUCGUCGUCCAUACCGUCGAUGUUUUCGGAGCCGAAAUCGAGCAUGUCGGUUAAAUCGUCGACAGUGGCUACUAAGUGGCUGGUGGGUGGGGAGCGAAUUUCUUCGUCGUCCGCAUCCCAUUCUAGCCAGACAUAGUUCGGCCAAGGGUCUCCUGACAAGGAGAGAGACCUCAAUGAGUUCAGCACGUCGCCCAGUGGUGAGUGCUGAAAGAUAUCCGCGGAGGAAAACUCCAUAAUCGGUGCCCAAUCAGAUUCGAUAGGCACAUACGCAGGCGGCUCAGAGCCCGUGGCCGGGGAUGAAUCCAGGUGUCCGGCGACACAGGUCUCAUAGGAGGUGAAGUCAGUAUUCGGCUCUAUCGCCACUCAGUGUGUGGCCUCCGAGGCGGGGUCCAUCCACCCGUCCUCGGACGGCGCAAUCGACUCCGGAUCUAGGGCCGGAGUAGCCAUGGGUGUGAUCUCCCGAACACCGUCCGGCGGCAGAGCUAAGUCGUGCUCGUCGUGACUGUGCGGCGCACCUGACAUGGGCUCGAAUCCGUCAAAGAUAAAGUCUCCGCGGAUGUUGGCACUGUAGUUUAAAUUUCCAAACCUGACCUGACAGCCAGGGGCGUAGCUCUCGAUCUGCUCCAGAUGGCCAAGCGAGUUGGCCCACAGUACGAAGCCGCCGAAUACAAAGAUCUGUCCGGGGAGGAAAACCUCACCCUGGAUCGCAUCGUUGGCGAUGAUUGAAGGAGCCAUCAAGCCUUUAUCGCGACGGCAGAGUGGAACUCUCAAUGAAAGCACCAAUGUCGGUGUCAAAACCGGCGGAUCUCGGGUAGGGGGUCCUGAACUGUGCGUCUAAGGCGGCUGGUAACAGGAGGCGGGGGACAUGAUGUUUACCCAGGUUCGGGCCCUCUCGAUGGAGGUAAUACCCUACUUCCUGCUUGAUUGAUCUUGAUGAUAUGAGUAUUACAAGAGUUGAUCUACCACGAGAUCGUAGAGGGUAAACCUUAGAAGCUAGCCUAUGGUAUGAUUGUUGUUGUCCUAGGGACUAAACCCUCCGGUUUAUAUAGACACAGGAGGGGGCUAGGGUUACACAGAGUCGGUUACAAGGGAGGAGAUCUACAUAUCCGUAUUGCCAAGCUUGCCUUCCACGCCAAGGAGAGUCCCAUCCGGACACGGGACGGAGUCUUCAAUCUUGUGUCUUCAUAGUCUAACAGUCCGCCUAAAGUAUAUAGUCUGGCUGUCCGAGGACCCCCUAAUCCAGGACUCCCUCAGGGUAUCCCUCACCGGUGGCCAUCUUCAUCAUCCCGGCGCUCUCCAUGACGAAGAGGGAGUAGUUCACCCUCGGGGCUGAGGGUAUGUACCAGUAGCUAUGUGUUUGAUCUCUCUCUCUCUCUCGUGUUCUUGAUUCAGCACGAUCUUGAUGUAUCAUGAGAUUUGCUAUUAUAGUUGGAUCUUAUGAUGCUUCUCCCCCUCUACUCUCUUGUAAUGGAUUGAGUUCUCCCUUUGAAGUUAUCUUAUCGGAUUGAGUCUUUAAGGAUUUGAGAACACUUGAUGUAUGUCUUGUCGUGCUUAUCUAUGGUGACAAUGGGAUAUCACGUGAUCCACUUGAUGUAUGUUUUGGUGAUCAACUUGCGGGUUCCGCCCAUGAACCUAUGCAUAGGGGUUGGCACACGUUUUCGUCUUGACUCUCUGGUAGAAACUUUGGGGCACUCUUUGAAAUACUUUGUGUUGGUUGAAUAGAUGAAUCUGAGAUUGUGUGAUGCAUAUCGUAUAAUCAUGCCCACGGAUACUUGAGGUGACAAUGGAGUAUCUAGGUGACAUUAGGGUUUUGGUUGAUUUGUGUCUUAAGGUGUUAUUCUAGUACGAACUCUAUGAUAGAUUGAACGGAAAGAAUAGCUUCAUGUUAUUUUACUACGGACUCUUGAAUAGAUCGAUCAGAAAGGAUAACUUUGAGGUGGUCUCGUACCCUACCAUAAUCUCUUCGUUUGUUCUCCGCUAUUAGUUACUUUGGAGUGACUCUUUGUUGCAUGUCGAGGGAUAGUUAUAUGAUCCAAUUAUGUUAUUAUUGUUGAGAGAACUUGCACUAGUGAAAGUAUGAACUCUAGGCCCUGUUUCCUAGCAUUGCAAUACCAUUUACGCUCACUUUUAUUAUUAGUUACCUUGCUGUUUUUAUAUUUUCAGAUUACAAAAACCUAUAUAUACCAUCCAUAUUGCACUUGUAUCACCAUCUCUUCGCCGAAUUAGUGCACCUAUACAAUUUACCAUUGUAUUGGGUGUGUUGGGGACACAAGAGACUCUUUGUUAUUUGGUUGCAGGGUUGUUUGAGAGAGACUAUCUUCAUCCUACGCCUCCCACGGAUUGAUAAACCUUAGGUCAUCCACUUGAAAGAAAUUUGCUACUGUCCUACAAAGCUCUGCACUUGGAGGCCCAACAACGUCUACAAGAAGAAGGUUUUGUAGUAGAUAUCAGGGGGAGGGGGGUGAAACCGCCCCGCCGCCGCCGUCCCCGAGCGCGGCGCGGCUUCGCUGGCCGGCCCUCCGGCGGCAGCGAUGCGGGGGGAGGGGGGCACUGGCGGAGGAAGGCUACCGGUGGCGAUGAAGGUUUCCCCCGUAUCGCCUGUUGCGGGCGACGCGGGGGCAGGGUUGACCAGCUCGAGGAUUUCGGCUGAGCUGUAGAACGUAUGAAAUAUUGAAGGAAAACAAAAACAUGAGAAUCAACAGAUAUUGGAGAAGUUGGUACAGAGUGGUACAUGGAAAGGAAAUUUUACUUUUACUGGAGGUUGAAUGAAGUUAUGUUUACACCUUCCAUUUCACUUUGUGGGCACUCCGAAGUUGCAAAGAAAAAAUAUAUAAAAUAUCAUCAUUCGUACGCAUUUAUAUGCAGGUAAUGAAAAUGGCUCCACCUAAUUAUAAGAUUAUUAAGCACUUUUAGUACCCGGGAGUCCCUGGUACUGUGAAGAUGAUAUUAAGACUAAUUAAUGGACAUGGAUUUGUUCUGAUCACACAAAGAUAGCUCAAACACCCAUCCGCUUACUUGCUUGCAUUUCAAAAGAUUGAUAACCACAUUUCAUCAUUUUUCCCCACUUCUCCACCUUGCUGGUGAUAUAUAUCCAGCUUCCGCAUAUAUGAUAUUUUUCACUCUAGCACUUUCAGCUUCUUUUUGAAAUGAAGAGUACUUUUCUUGCUGAUGCAGCAACAAUAGUAAGUCAGAGCUUUCUUAGGCCUUGUACAAUGCAAGGUGCUUUGAGAAAUAAACUAGGCUUUCCUUAAGCACCGAUACUUAUUUGUACAGGAUACUUUAUUAAUUUUUCUCACAAGAUCUUACAAAGUCAUACAACAGUAAGACUAAAGCCGCCGUCUAAGCAACAAACUGUCGCUACACCUAUCCAGUUGAUGAAGGGACGCAGAUAGCCUGGGCCUAAUACCAAACAGACAUCGCAUCCAAGCCUAACAUCUAAGACCUGAGACCCCAACCUAGCCACUUGCCGGGUCUGGGGCACACACUGGUCCGGCGUGCUCUCAGAGGCCGCCGCCGCCAACUGCCACCGCUCCAUCUUCAGAAUUGUACUGAUGCAUCAACCUUACUCGGUCUAGCUAUCGUCGACGCCACCACUGCGCCCAGCGGCACCUCCUCCCUGCCCGCAAACAACUGAGCACAUCGCGGUCGCCACUGAUACACCUCAGCACCAUGCUGCCAAGUACCACCAGCUGACACAGCUUGAAGUCCUUGGAAGAUCUUUCAUGCGUAGCACCUGCCGACCAAGUAUGACAAAGUGUAGCACCUGUCGGUCAGGCAUGACUUGACAUCUCCACCGAAGCUCCGUGCAAGACGAAGCCGCUCCACCUCCUGCCUCUGACUUCCAGCGCUGCUCCACAAACGAUGCUCCCAAGAGAGAAACGAGACAGCGGUGCCACAAUCGUCCGAUCUGGAACACCAGAUCCUAGAGUUUCCCGUGGAGCAGCACGAGUGGGUCGACAGUAGUUACACGAUGAUGCCUCCAUCAAGGUAACGACGAGAACGCCGCCAUCGCCUACCGUCGGCUCGAUUUUCACCGGCAACCAUGUCUCCCCUACUCGCAGUCGGGACUAGAUGAUGGAUCUCGAGAUCCGAUCACCAAGCCUCUGGCCGGCCAUCUCUGGAAGAAGAUGACCACCACGUCCACCAGCGUCACCACACCGGGCACGCGUUGCCGCCGGCACCCCCAUGGUGCCUAGAGGCCGACAAGCCCCGACGAACACCACGCCUCGCCAGCCGCCAUAGCCCAGGCCCAAGCACCACCAGAUCCAGAUCAGAUCGGGGUCAAGGGCCCCAAGCCGCAGCCGUCGCGGAGGCAGCACCACUAGACGGUGCCCUGCCCUCCACCCCGCUGUAGGAUCGAGUCAUCGCCGGAGCUCCGCCACGCCACGCCGCCAAGACGCCGCCGGAAGAACUCGCGCCGCCGCUAGGGGAGAGAGAGACGCGCUAGGGAGAGGCCCCGCCGCUGGCACUGCCUUGGCUUUGCCCGGCUGUGUCCCUCGGCGGCGGCGAGGGGGGAGGGAGGGUGGAGGAGGGCCGGCGGCGGAGGGGGCUAGGGUUCCCCCGAGUCGCCUCAGAGAGGGACGCAGGCGACGGGGUGAGAAAACUGAGAGAGUGGAUAUGGCCUUUACUCGAGCUCAUGGGGUGGCCCGACUGCUGGUGAGUGUUCUCGAUAUUGAGUUCGUGCCUGAUGUGGUUAAGUGGACAUAUAGGGGACAGAUUUUCAACCUCGAGAUUGAGUUUGAGGAUGCCGCUCUCUUCGCUGAGGCUAUCAAUGGGACUGAUGUAGAUAUGCACGAGGGUGAUGACAGCUCGGGUGCUAAGGAGGCACCGGUUGAUGAUGUUGGACGAGAGUUGUCCAACUAAUCGGGGCCCGUUCCUCAGACGCCCAGGGACGGGACGGCACCAUCCUCUUCGGUGCCUAUGAGUUCUCUGAGAUUUGGGUCGUUUGAGCCAGCUUCUGCUCCUCCCAGACUCUGGAGUGACCGGGUGGAGUCCGAUGACGUGUUUGAGCGCACGCUACCUACCCUGGAUUUUGUUGCUGCUGAUAGUCCCGUGCUUGGAGGUUUGGAGGGGAUUAUCUCUGUGCAGACCUCGGUAAGGGGAGGGGAGGCGGAGCUUGGGCAGGUGGCCCCUCUUUCCCCCGCUCUCCCUGCGGUGUCACCUCGGGAGACGGAGUCGACUAUGGAGGCUGUCCCUAGGGAGGGAGUCCAUGGCAGGUGGCCUCGGCUCCUUCUUCUCUUCUCGCGGUGCCGGAGCUGCAGAUGGCGGUUGUGCUUAGGGGAGGCGGUCCAGGGCAGGUGGCCUCGGCCCCCUCUUCACCUCUGGCGGCUAGGGAGGCCACACCCCCUAUGGCGCCGGAGACCUCUUCUAGCCAGAGGGCUGGGGCGGGAGGAGCGUACGGGCAGGCGGCCCACGCGCUUCCCUCUCCCGGCGCGCCAACGUCCCAGGGCCUCGGUUCGAGGUGGACGUCAGUGGGGCCGGGGAGGUCCCCGCCGCUGCCCCCGGCAGCUCCCGCCGACUCUUCGACGUGUGCAGCUUCGCGGUGUGCUGGGGGUGAGGCCGGUGGCUUUACUCCGAGCGGGGUCACUCGGGAGGAGGUCAUCGCCUUUGGAGGGAUUCUAGAUCCUGUCUCUGCGGGGCGACGGAUGAGCUGUCGUCUCUAGGAUCAUCCGGAGGUUGAUGACAUGCAGCAGCGGUGCGCCAUGAGGGCGGCCAAGCUUCGUGACAUUGAGGUCACUACUGGUAUGUCGGUCAACACUUCUAAUUCCAUUCUGCAUUUUUCUAAUAAUGAGAUUAUUAAUAAUUCAAAUCAAUUGGGAGUUUCACUAGGUAGUAAUGAUAGUGAAAUUUCUAACUUUGUAAAUGAUAUCCUGGAUUUGGAAGCGGAACGCGCUUUAGAAAUGAUUCAAAACUUAGCAGCGGUUAAACCCAUGAAUGAUGCAGAUAUCGAUGCGUUGGGGGUCAGGGUGCUCGAUAAUUUUUGUGCAGAUCUUGCACCAUCCAUUCCUGAGUCAGAGGAAGAGGAUAACACUUUUGAGGCUGCCGUAGAUCGAUCCAUGGAGCCCGGUUGUGAGGACUGGGUGGAGGAUCAAAACAAACCUAAACGCAAGUGGAAGCGGAAGAUCUACCCUGCUUCGGCGGUGCGUAGGAGUGCUAGGAUCCGUACUAUUAAAACAUUUCAUGAUGAAAUAUGAAAGGAAUCUUUUGGAAUAGCAGAGGUCUGAAAGACUUGGCUAAAAGAAGGUUUCUUGCAGAUGCGUCUAUCGAGCAUAGGUUGGAUUUUAUCACUCUCUCGGAAACUGGUAGAGAUAAUUUUUCGCCCCAGUUUCUCAGUACUUUAUCGGGAGGUGUUGAUUUCAAUUGGCACUGCCUGCCUCCGAGAGGAAGAUCGGGUGGGAUCUUACUUGGAGUGAGAUGCGAUUCGCUAGAAGUCUGAAGUGUAGUGAUGGGAGAUUUCACAAUUAAGUUCCGGGUUAGGUCGAAAGCCAACGGGUUUAAUUGGGCUCUGAUGGCGGUUAUGCUCCCGCGCAGCCCGAUCUCAAACCAGAGUUCUUGGCGGAUCUUGUUCAAAUUUGCGGCUCUGAGCAGCUCCCAAUCCUGGAUGGGGGUGAUUUCAACAUCAUUAGGAGGAGAGAGGAAAAGAAUAAUGAUAAUUUCGACGGCAGGUGGUCGUUUAUGUUUAAUACCAUUAUUGAAAGCUUGGAUCCUAGAGAGAUAGAGCUUUCGGGUAGAAAAUUCACCUGGGCUAAUACUUUGCCAAAUCCGACGUUUGAGAAGCUGGAUCGAGUCCUAGUGAGCGUCGAAUGGGAACAGAUAUUUCCUUUGGUAACGGUCCAGGCUCUUUCGCGUGGUAUUUCUGACCACACGCCUUUAUUUGUGGACUCUGGUGAGCCAACCCACAUGGGGAACAAAAACUCCUUUUCUUUCGAGCUGGCAUGGUUUGAACGAGAAGGCUUCUUGGAUAUGAUAGCCAGGGAAUGGGCUAAGGAUGCAGGAGGUAGGACUUCGAUUGAGCGCUGACAGAAUAAGAUAAGGCACUUGAGAAGUUUCUUGCGUGCGUGGGCUAAGCAUCUUAGUGGGGUUUAUAAGGUCGAAAAGGAAAGGCUCCUUACACUUAUUCAGUCUCUAGAUUUAAAAGCCGAGUCCACAAUUUUGCAAGCCACAGAGCUUCAUGAUAAACUGGAGGCGGAGAUGAGAUUGAAAGAGCUUCUCCGUGAAGAGGAAUUAAAGUGGGCGCUGCGGGCUAAGGUUCGCAAAGUUGUCCAGGGGGACGCGAAUACUCAAUUCUUUCACAUGAUCGCUAAUGGCAAGCACAGAAAGAAUAGAAUCUUUCAGCUUGAACCAAGAUGAAGGAACGAUUUUAGGACAGGAAAACCUAAAAUUAUACAUAACCGAAUACUACAAGCAGUUGUUUGGGCCUCUGGAGGAUAAUUGUGUAUCCCUGGAUGAGUCUAGGAUUGAGGAUGUGCCUCAACUUACUGCUGAUGAGAAUGAUAUUUUGAUUGCCCCUUUUUCGGGGAAAGAGGUGUUUGAAGCCAUUACACAGAUGAAAAACAAUAAGGCUCCAGGGCCGGAUGGAUUUCCGGCGGAAUUCUAUAAAAAGUGUUGGCAUAUUAUUAAGGGGGAUUUGCAACCAAUGUUCCAUGAUUUAUUCUCUGGACAGCUUCAGUUAUUUCACUUGAACUUUGGAAUGAUAACAUUGCUUCCUAAGAAAACAAAGGCUGUGAGAAUUGAGCAGUUCAGGCCGAUCUGUCUUCUCAAGGUUAGUUUCAAAAAUUUCACAAAGGUUGGGACUAAUAGGCUCACGCAGACUGCGCAUUCUGUGGUGCAGCAUUCCCAAACUGCUUUCAUGCCGGACAGAAACAUCCUAGAAGGGGUUGUGGUCCUUCAUGAAACGCUCCACGAAAUUCACACGAAAAAACUAGAUGGAGUUGUUUUCAAGGUGGAUUUCGAGAAAGCGUACGAUAAAGUCAAAUGGCCUUUCCUUCAACAGGCCUUACAUAUGAAAGGUUUUGAUGAAGCCUGGCGACGCCAGGUAGAAUCUUUCACGCAAAAAGGGAGUGUUGGAAUUAAAGUGAAUGACGACAUAGGUCAUUAUUUCCACACACAUAAGGGCCUGAGACAAGGGGUUCCGAUGUCUCCUAUUUUGUUCAACAUUGUAGUUGAUAUGUUGGCAAUUCUAAUAGGAAGGGCUAAGGAGGUUGGUCAGGUGGGUGGCUUGGUGUCUCAUCUAGUUGAUGGAGGUGUGUCUAUCCUACAGUACAGCGAGAAAUAUGAAGCUGGUGUUAUGCUUAUUUGAACAAUUGACCGGGUUAAAGAUUAACUUUCACAAAAGCAAAUUGUUCUGCUUUGGAAGAGCCAAUGAGGAACAAGAGGCUUAUAGGCAAUUGUUUGGGUGCGAAUUGGGGACCUUACCAUUUACGUAUUUAGGUAUACCAAUUCACCAUCGUAAGCUGACAAACACAGAAUGGAAGUGUAUCGAGGAUCUCUUUGAGAAGAAACUGAGUUGCUGGAAGGGCAAGCUCAUGUCAUACGGAGGCCGAUUAAUUCUGAUUAAUUUGGUUCUCACGAGUAUGCCUAUGUUUCUCUUGUCUUUGUUCGAAGUCCCAGUUGGAGUUAGGAAAAGGCUGGACUUCUAUCGAUCCCGAUUCUUCUGGCAGAGCGAUGAACUAAAAAGAAAAUACAGACUCACCAAAGGGAUAUUAUCUGUCGACCGAAAGACCAAGGGGGUCUUGGCAUUGAAAAUCUUGAGGUCAAGAACAGAUGUCUUCGCAGCAUGUGGCUGUCUAAGUUAUCUGUAGAGAUCGAUGCCACAUGGGCGCAGAUUCUUAGUAGUAAGUAUCUUCAUUCCAAAACUUUGUCCCAGGUGACAGCGAGGCCGACAGACUCACCUUUUUGGAAAGGGCUUAUGAUAGUCAAAUUAGCCUUUUUUAAUAGGACAAAGUUUAUUAUCGUCAAUGGCGCUAGCACGCGAUUCUGGGAGGAUACUUGGCUCGGAGAGACCCCCUUGCACUUCAAUACCCGUCUCUGUAUCGUAUUGUUCAACGACGUGAUGCUUUCGUUGCAACGAUACUUCAAUCCAUCCCCCUUAAUAUUUAGGUCAGGAGGACGCUAGCCGGUAAUCGUUGGGAAGAGUGGCUCCAUCUAGUGAGUAGACUGAUGGAGGUUCAGCUGUCUCAACAGCCCGAUCAAUUACGCUGGAAACUUACUAGGUCUGGAGAGUGUACAGUUAAAUCAAUGUAUCUCGAUGUGAUCAAUUCUAGCUCUAUUCCUAGUUCCAAAUAUGUUUCGACAGUCAAAGUUCCAUUGAAAAUUAAAGUGUUUACGUGGUUUGUACAUAAACAAGUCAUCUUAACCAAGGACAAUUUGGCAAAGCGUAACUGGACAGGACCUACUAAGUGUAGUUUUUGUGAUCGGGAUGAAACUAUCAAACACCUUUUUCUUGAUUGCUCGAUGGCCAAAGUUCUAUGUCGGACAGUCCACAUAGCCUUUGACAUUUCCGAGUUCUGUUAGCACGUUAUUUGGAACGUGGCUUAAUGGGAUAGAGUCCGAAACAGCGAGACACAUUCGCGUAGGAGUAUGUGCUUUAUUGUGGGCAGUCUGGAACUGCAGAAAUGAUUUGGUUUUUAACAGAACAACAAAUAUUCAUUUUUUGCAGGUUAUCUUCCAAGCCACUGCGUUGAUCCGUACGUGGUCACUACUCACUCCGACGGAGGCCAGGGAGCGUUUGGUUACUGGAUCUAUCCGGUGGGAGAUGGUAGCACGGGAUAUCUUCAACCGGUUUGAAUGGCGGUCAUGUAAUAGGAUAGGCAAUUAGUUUACCUAUCUUUCUUAUGCCGGCCGAUUGUGGCUUUUUGGCUAGUUUGUUAUUGGCCCUUUGGCUCUUUAUGAGCUUUCCUUUACUUUCGUUUGAGACUUUAAGACCUUGUUAAACCUAUUUGCUUUUUUAUAAAGUUGGCCGUAUGCAUCGUUCUGAUGCAGAGGCCGGGGAGCCCCCACUUUUCGAAAAAAAACCUCUUGUUAUCUUGUAUUCUUGUGUGACAAUGCUCGAAGAAUAUAAAAGGGCUAGGUGGAAAGACCCCCAUAUCGAAAACUUGCCUACCUACGAGUUUUAUAGACACAGAGCCUCAUUGGAUUGUACUAGAUGGAGCCUCCAGUGAGAGCUGAAGACGAGGCGAUGAGCACGGAGGAGCUGCUCCAAGCCCAGACGGAUCUCUACCACCACUCCCUAGCCUACAUCAAAUCUAUGGCGCUCGGUGCCGCCACAGAACUCAGCGUCGCCGACGCCAUCCACGGCCGUGGCGGUGCCAUCACCUUGUCUGACCUUGCGGCCGCGACCGGCGUCCACCCGACGAAAGUCCAACACUUCGGGCGGCUGAUGCGCGCGCUUACCGUCACUGGUGUCUUCACCUCGGAAGAAAAAGAAGGCGGUGGUGGUGCCCUGUACAAGCUCACUCGGAUUUCACGCCUCCUUCUCGGAGUCGGCAAGCGUCGGCUCUCCCCGAUGGUGCGUAUGCUUGUCAGCGAGGUCAGUUUCACUACUCCCAUGAGCAUCUGCGAGUGGAUCACCACUGAGACGCCGGCCAGGGCCAUGUUCGAGGCCCAUUUUGGCUCUACGCAAAAUGGGUUGUGGGAGAAGGACGACGCGUAUGGUGCCCCCUUCUACUCAGCAAUGGCUGCGGACAGCCGUCUCGUCAUGGAGGUUCUGCUGAGAGAGUGCAGCAGCGUCUUUGAGGCCGUUGCCGGCUCACUUGUCGAUGUCGGCGGCGGCAGCGGAGGAGUCGUGGCUGCCGCCAUUGCCACAGCGUUCCCUCACAUCAAGUGCUCCGUGCUGGACCUCCCCAACGUGGUAGCCGCGGCUGACGACACCACCAACGUGCAGUUUGUCUCCGGCGAUAUGUUUGACUACAUUCCACCAGCGGAUGCCGUUCUACUCAAGGUACGUACUUACAUAGUACUCCCUCCGUAAGGAUAUAUAAGAGCAUUUAGAUCAUUAUUAUUUUAGUGAUUGAUCCAAACGCACUUAUAUUUCUUUACAGAGGGAGUAGCACAUACAAAUGCAGCAAGCUAUCCAUUUCUUAUAUAUAUAAUGAACCAAAUUAAUCAACCAAUCCUUCCUAUAAAUUUUGUAGUGGAUUUUGCAUGACUGGGAAGACCAAGACUGCGUCAAGAUACUGCGCAAGUGCAGAGAGGCCAUCCGCACAAGAGGUGCUGGGGGGAAGGUGAUUAUAAUCGAUUUCGUCGUCGGUGCUGGUUCUUGCAAGGAGACGGAGACACAGGUUCUGUUUGAUCUUUACAUGAUGAUGGAGAAUGGGGCUGAGCGGGACGAGCAAGAGUGGAGCAAGAUUUUCUUUGAAGCUGGAUUUAGUGACUACAAGAUCAUGCCAGUCUUAGGCGCUCGUUCACUCAUUCAAGUAUUCCCAUGAAUUCUGGCGGUUUGAUGUCCAAAUGUACUUCCUGUUUCCAAAUGUUUGUUUGCUUUCACAUCAGAAUAAUGCCUAGGACUAUACUAUAUAGUCUCGACUUUGAAUCUGAAUAAUGAAACUGUUUGUUAUCCUACGUGUUGUUUUCGUUCAUAAUUCAUAUGCUCACAAUGAAAUACAGUCUGCUAUUUUUGUUUACAUUAAAUUAUACUUUACCUAGCAAUAUGGUAAACAGGCUCACUUAGCAGAGGCUGGCUUGUUCGCUUAUUCGCCGCCCUAGGAAUGCGAGCUCCUUGCCGAAAUGAAAUUCUAGUAGCACUGGUUACUAUCGGGUCCUGCAUGUUCGUCAUUUGUGCAAGUAAACACAAUGCAUACGAGUACUCUACUGAAUUGAACUUUUUUGUAUUGUUUUCAUUGGACCAUCCACUGUAUAGUAACAGAGUAUUUAUUGCACACAGACUAUUUUAUUCUUUCAACCCAUAGUUCAUCCACCCACACUUUUAGUCUGAUUCUAAAAUUUGUAACACUUUUAAAUUUUGAACUUGUUCUGAACAAGUAAAAUUCCAAAUUUGACACCAUAAUGAAACUUAUGUCAAAUGUGAGAUCAUAUGAAAUGAAACUGAAGUGAACCAAUAAUAAAAAAUGCAAAAAUAAUUUAAUAAACCAUAAUAAAACUUAUAUCAAAUUUGAGAUGAAACAUAGACGAAUUGUGGAUUGAAACAAUAACGAAAACAAGCUAAGGGGAAUCUAUGAAUAAAUAAUGAGAACAUGUAAAAUUACGAUGACACGGAAAUGAUAUCGUAUGGAAAAUAUGCUAAGAGAACACUUUCAUUGGCCAGCCCAACCAUGAAAGGUAAUUUAACAAAAUGAUAUGAAACUUAUUUGAAAGCUCGAAAAAUAGAAAUAAAACCAGAAUGAAAAUAAUAAUGAAACAUGUAAAAAUACGAUGAAACACAUAUGUAAAAAUAAGGCCGCGAGAUCGUCGUCCUCUGAGUUGGAAGUUUAUGGUGAAGGUGACGUGGGAUCCAUUGCAGGCGCGCCCGGGGUCUGGUGUGGUUGUGGAACACAUAUGUGGAGAUCAUAGUAGCGGUGAAUGACGAACGUGAGCGCUCCGAAGAAUAUGGUGCAGGAAGGAGAAGUCGGUCUGUUAGUGUAGAACCGGCCUUCUGCGAUGAAGGUGAGGAAGCCGAUGGUUAAGCCGUGAGAUUGCCAGCCGUUAUUGAGGAUCUGAUCUAGAGUCGGUCCCCAGCUGACAUAGCCCCUUCCUGUGCUAACUGAUGGUAUGGGAAUUUGCGAGUAUCCUUUGUAGGGUGGCGAACAUGUCCGGAAGUACAAGAAGGGAGUUCGCCAAGGGGGUUUUCCAGAUUUGCGCCCUCAUGGCGAGGAAAUACCUUACGUCCUGCUAUUUGUUUUCUAUUGAUGAUGGAGAACGUUGAGCGAGGGGUUACAAGGGACAUAAAUAUGGCCAUAGGAGUAUAGUCUACGGGAGUAGAUUGGAAUCGCUACCCCUAUCCUCACCUUAUAUAGGUGACGGGGCUAGGUUUUACAUGGCGCCUACAUGAUCUCACACUGCCAUCAUCUUGGCUUCCACCCAAGAUGGUCUUCUGGCUUCCAGGACCCCCGGGCUGUCUCUUGAUGCCAGACCUCCUUCAAGACUUUUGGGCCCGAAGGCCGGCCCACUAUUGGGUUCAUAUCUAGUGUGCCAUCCACGUUGUAAUGCACCAUCACCAACCCCGAUUUCUGGGGCCUUAAGAGUGAAGCGAUUCCUAAUUCUUCUUGGUAACAUGCCAAAGUGUUGUGUCCCAAAGGCUCGACUGGGUAUUUUCGUCAUUGCGGUUGAUAUGGAGAAGGGGUGGGUCGCAUGGAGGCAGAAAUGGGUAAAUGAAGACAGAAACGAGGGGCUGGCCUGACAGUGGUUCAUGUAGACGACGAGCAAGAGCAUGUGGCCAAUUUUUCCGCAAGCGUUAGAAGCAUAGCCAUAAUUCCAGAAAUUUUAGUGGCGGCAACUGAAUUUGCCCUAUUAUAAGAAGGUAUUGCCCCACAACGGUGCGCACACGGGUGACCUUCCUCUUGGUCCAAUGACAGGUGGGCCAUGGACUCGCCGGGGGCCAUAUUAAUGGGACAUUGUCUAUCGUGCUCUUGUGAUUUCUCUCUCGGGUGAUGGGCGGGCUAGACCCACCUGUCGGUUUUUUCGGACACCGUUGGGCUGGCUCAGGUGUGCCAGGGGGCCAGGUCAGACUGUGGUGGGCCUAGACCCCGGCGGGUGUGCGUCGUUCAGGAUGGCCGGCCACGCGGGUGUGCCAUGCUGUUUGAUCGCGAGAGCUGGCAAAGCACGGGCACCAGGUUGUUCGGCUUGUGUGAGCGAAACAGGCGACGGUGAGUCUAUCGUCCAAGAGACGGGCCGAAUAUACCGACAGGCGGAUCAGGCUUCCUGCUCUUGUGCAAUACGAUGAGAAAGGGUUCUCGCGGGAGCACCGAGGCCGCUCCAUGAGAGUGGCCCUGCACGCACCCGCGGUCCACCCGUCAUGGACCCCCGAGUGCACGUCCACUAGUUGAAAACGGAGUUUUAUCACCGGUUCGUAAGGGCCUUUAGUGCCGGUUCUGCAACCGGCACUAAAGAGUGGGGACUAAAGGUCCCCCUUUAGUACCGGUUUGGCACGAACCGGCGUAAACGUGCCACCACGUGGCACGAGCCAGGCCUGGGUGCGUGUAGGACAUUAGUACCGGUUGGUAACACAACCGGUACUAAAUGUUUGGGUGUGUUUUGGUUUUAAUUUUUAUUUUUCCUUUAGUUUUGUGUUUUCAAUUUAAUUUAGUGAUUGUUUUACAUUAUAAUGAGUUGUUAAAUCAUUAGGUGAAAGUACCGCAGAUUAGUUUCGACUGGAUGCAUGUGGAUCCUAGCUAAGUGAUAAAGUAUAUGCCAUAUCCAUAUUACUUAGAUCUAAGUAAUAUGGAUAUGGCAUAUAGUUGAUCACUUAGCUAGGAUCCAUCCAGUUGAAACUAAUAUGCGGUUUCUUUCAUAAAUGAUAUAAUAACUCAUCAUCAUCAUCAUCAUAUUAAUAUAAAAACUCUUGCAUCAUAUCAUCACCAACAACAGUAUAUACUAGCUAGCAAAGAUAUCAUCGAGUUCAACAUGGUCAUGAUAUUAUAAGCAUUCAUAACACCACAAAAGCAAAUCACUCUUUGAGAUUAAGUUCAUGACGAAGAACACGGACACGCAUGAGAGGACAAGAAGUACUAAGAGCAUGAUAACUAGCUAAAUCACUCCUGCUGCUCUCUCUCAGGUAAAAUAGCAUAGAACAUGUAUAGCUCUCCUGAUUCAUCAUAUUGGAUCAUGCAGAUGAACCUGUCUCCUAAUCGUGGGCUGCGCUUCUGAUUGCUGCCCCCUAGUACUUCUUUGCGAUCGUUAACAAUUUUGCUCCAAUCUUUCACUAUUAAGCAUUCAUCGCUUUCAGAAAUUCUGAAUGCACUCAUGUGCACUGUAGGAUAUCUUGGCCGUAAGCUAACAAUUGACAUGCGACCUUUAGUCUUGAUCCACUGAGGCACAACUAUUAAGCAUUCAUCGCUUUCAGAAAUUCUGAAUGCACUCAUGUGCACUGUAGGAUAUCUUGGCCGUAAGCUAACAAUUGACAUGCGACCUUUAGUCUUGAUCCACUGAGGCACAACUGUCAUCGGGAGUCCCUGUUGAAGAACAUCGUAUAGUAAUUAAUAUACUUAGCAAUGAAAGUUUAGCUUGAAAAAUAAUGUAUGCAAAAGAUGCACUGAGGACUAAUAGUAAAAAUCUUACCAUCUUUCCUAAAUACAUGUGACCGUAGUUCAAUACGAUCACUAUUGGUCGCACGUUUUGAGUACUAAGAUUUUCAAAUUCAGGAAAAUGAUUUCUCUUAACAGCAUCAAGAUCCUCAAGCCAUGAAACAUAAUGACUUAUCUCCUCGCAGUUUAGUUCAGCCCCGGGACAGUGGAUGGUCCUGUCUACCAAGCGCCGAACAUGUUUGCUUGAAUCAAAAUAAGCUGUCAAUAGAAAUUACUUGUCAACUAUUUUUGAAUAAACAAUAUCGAAGACAUAAAUAUGGUUGAGAAACUCACAUAAUGGUAGAACUGGAGGCAUCUGCACAUCGACCCAGAUAUCUCUAUUACCUUCAAUAUCAUCUUCCGGACGAAUAUCAAAGGUGAUAACCAUAUCAGGCUCAAAUGCAUAAGUCUUGCAUAGUGCUUGCCAAGUUUUGCAUUCAAAAUAGGUGUAUGUGUCUGCAUUGUAUAAUUUGACGUUGAAAGUAUAACCAUGCUCGGUCUUCAGGUAAACUCUCUUUGCCUCCAUAGUUUCCAUAGCACUGAAACCUAUCUUAUCCAAGACAAAAAUUCUUGCAUGGCAGGGGAUGCGCUACUACAAUAGUGAAAAUUAAAAAUUAUAAGUUGAAGCAAAUGAAGCAUAAGUCAUGCUUAAUUAUGAAAAAAGACUUGUCGUUGUGACUUACUGUAUCCACUUCGAAGGUCUCAUCCAGCUUGAUGCUGAAGCGCCUAUCAUCAACAAGGAAAUUUCUGUCGCACAGGCCGCGCUGGUCUUCACAGUAUUCGCACUUAAUGAAAUCUUUUUCGUCGUCAGACGACAUUUCCUAUGUUCAUAUAGGUGAAACAUUAAACACUUACUAGUUCUAUUAAUUCAACUAGUUCAACUACUUCUAUUAAUUCAACUAGUUCUAUCAAUUCAACUAGUUCUAUUAAUUCAACUAAUUCAACUAAGCAUUUACUAAAAAUAAACUAGUUCUAUAUAUAUAUAUAUAUUAAUAUUUUAAUUAGAUCAUCAAAUCUCAAAUACCUAAAUUUUCUUACUAAAAAUAAACCAGUUCUAUUAAUUCAACAAAUUCAACUAAGAAUUUACUAAAAAUGAACUAGUUAUAUUAAUUUUCUUACUAAAAUAUAUAAAGUAGCUAUGUAUAGUAAUAUUUUAAUUAGAUCAUCAAAUCUCUUAUACCUAAAUUUUCUUACUAAAAAUAAACNNNNNNNNNNNNNNNNNNNNNNNNNNNNNNNNNNNNNNNNNNNNNNNNNNNNNNNNNNNNNNNNNNNNNNNNNNNNNNNNNNNNNNNNNNNNNNNNNNNNNNNNNNNNNNNNNNNNNNNNNNNNNNNNNNNNNNNNNNNNNNNNNNNNNNNNNNNNNNNNNNNNNNNNNNNNNNNNNNNNNNNNNNNNNNNNNNNNNNNNNNNNNNNNNNNNNNNNNNNNNNNNNNNNNNNNNNNNNNNNNNNNNNNNNNNNNNNNNNNNNNNNNNNNNNNNNNNNNNNNNNNNNNNNNNNNNNNNNNNNNNNNNNNNNNNNNNNNNNNNNNNNNNNNNNNNNNNNNNNNNNNNNNNNNNNNNNNNNNNNNNNNNNNNNNNNNNNNNNNNNNNNNNNNNNNNNNNNNNNNNNNNNNNNNNNNNNNNNNNNNNNNNNNNNNNNNNNNNNNNNNNNNNNNNNNNNNNNNNNNNNNNNNNNNNNNNNNNNNNNNNNNNNNNNNNNNNNNNNNNNNNNNNNNNNNNNCUGGGGCGGCGAUGGGGGCGGCGACGACGGCGGCGACGACGACGGCGACAGGAUGGGCUGGGGCGCGAUAGGGGCGGCGACGGGGGCGAAGAACAAACUGAAACGAACUGAAAAUAUUCGUAAGUGGUGCUUAUAUAGCGGUGGCCAUUAGUACCGGUUUGAUACUAAAGGCCUAUUUUGGCCAGGCCAAGAGGCGGGAAGAGCAGGCCUUUAGUACCGGUUGGUGGCUCCAACCGGUACUAAAGACCCACCUUUAGUACCGGGUUGGGCUACCAACCGGUACUAAAGGGGGUGCGCUGCCACCCGCGGUGUAGAAAGUUUAGUCCCACCUCGCCGGGCGAAGGGCAGCCGCACUGGUUUAUAAACCCAGCCGCGGCUGCUACUUUGAACUCCCUUGUAAAGCAGGCUUCUGGGCCUAACUAUGGCACGCUGCCCUGUGAGCCUGCUGGCCCUUGUGGGCCUGAAUUUCCACGCCCGUGGUCUUGUAGGCCCAUUGGGAAGCGCCCCAAUAAUUUUUUAUAUAGUUUGUUUCUUUUCUUCUUUAUUUAUUUUCUUCUAUUUAUUUCUGAGUAGUUUUUUAUAUAGUUUUUUCUUUUCUGCUUUUUUUUAUUUUCUUCUAUUUAUUUCGGAUUAGUUUUUUAUAUAUUUUUUUCUUUUCCCCAAAUCGGUAAAUGACUGAAAAAUAGCAAAUGUUGUCAGAAAGUGUUGAAAAUUGAUGACGUCGCUUUGAAUGGUGUGUAUGGAACGCAAAAAAGUCUGGAGUUGUAAUAAGUUUAAAAAAAUGAAGUGCCCAUGUAACAGAUGAGUUCUCGUCAGAAACCCUGAUACUACAAAAAAGAUAGUCCAGUUUGUACACGAAGUGCGUCCAGUUUUUGCCAUAACCCUCUCUACUCUUUUGCACAUGCUAUGUGGGUGAAAUGAUGAUACCAUGCCAAGUUUUGACAUUUUCAGAGUUUAUUUUGUAGUGAUUUUCAAUUUCACGGUCAUUUAACUCUCUAAACAAAUCGGUAAAUGACUGAAAAAUAGCAAAUGAUGUCAGAAAGUGUUGAAAAUUGAUGACGUCGCUUUGAAUGGUGCGUACGGAACGCAAAAAAGUCUGGAGUUGUAAUAAGUUUAAAAAAAUGAAGUGCCAGUGUAACAGAUGAGUUCUCGUCCGAAACCCUGAUACUCCGAAAGAGAUUGUCCAGUUUGUACACGAAGUGCGUCCAGUUUUUGCCGUAAUCCUCUCUACUCUUUUGCACAUGCUGUGUGGGUGAAAUGAUGAUACCAUGCCAAGUUUCGACAUUUUCAGAGUUCAUUUUGUAGUGAUUUUCAAUUUCACGGUCAUUUAGCUCUCUAAACAAAUCGGUAAAUGACUACAAAAGUGCAAAUAAUGUCAGAAAGUUUUGAAAAAUGAUGACGUCGCUUUGAAUGGUGUGUACGGAACGCAAAAAAGUCUGGAGUUGUAAUAAGUCUGAAAAAUCGAAGUGCCAAUGUAACAGAUGAGUUCUCGUCAGAAACCCUUAUACUUCGAAAGAGAUUGUCCAGUUUGUACACGAAGUGCGUCCAGUUUUUGCCGUAACCCUCUCUACUCUUUUGCACAAGCUAUGUGGGUGAAAUAAUGAUACCACACCAAGUUUCGACAUUUUCAGAGUUGAUUUUGUAGUGAUUUUCAAUUUCACGGUCAUUUAGCUCUCUAAACAAAUCGAUAAAUGACUGAAAAAUAGUAAAUGAUGUUAGAAAGUGUUGAAAAUUGAUGACGUCGCUUUGAAUGGUGCGUACGGAACGCAAAAAAAGUCUGUUGUUGUAAUAAGUUUAAAAAAAUGAAGUGCCAGUGUAACAGAUGAGUUCUCGUUCGAAACCCUGAUACUCCGAAAGAGAUUGUCCAGUUUGUACACGAAGUGCGUCCAGUUUUUGCCGUAACCCUCUCUAAUCUUUUGCACAUGCUAUGUGGGUGAAAUGAUGAUACUAUGCCAAGUUUCGACAUUUUCAGAGUUCAUUUUGUAGUGAUUUUCAAUUUCACGGUCAUUUAGCUCUCUAAACAAAUCGGUAGAUGACUAAAAAAUAGCAAAUGAUGUCAGAAAGUUUUGAAAAUUGAUGACGUCGCUUUGUAUGGCGUGUACGGAACGCAAAAAAUUCUGGAGUUGUAAUAAGUUUAAAAAAAUGAAGUACCCAUGUAACAGAUGAGUUCUCGUCAGAAACCCUGAUACUCCAAAAGAGAUUGUCCAGUUUGUACACGAAGUGCGUCCAGUUUUUGCCGUAACCCUCUCUACUCUUUUGCACAUGCUGUGUGGGUGAAAUGAUGAUACCAUGCCAAGUUUCGACAUUUUCAGAGUUCAUUUUGUAGUGAUUUUCAAUUUCACGGUCAUUUAGCUCUCUAAACAAAUCGGUAAAUGACUAAAAAAUAGCAAAUGAUGUCAGAAAGUGUUGAAAAUUGAUGACGUCGCUUUGAAUGGUGCGUACGGAACGCAAAAAAAGUCUNNNNNNNNNNNNNNNNNNNNNNNNNNNNNNNNNNNNNNNNNNNNNNNNNNNNNNNNNNNNNNNNNNNNNNNNNNNNNNNNNNNNNNNNNNNNNNNNNNNNNNNNNNNNNNNNNNNNNNNNNNNNNNNNNNNNNNNNNNNNNNNNNNNNNNNNNNNNNNNNNNNNNNNNNNNNNNNNNNNNNNNNNNNNNNNNNNNNNNNNNNNNNNNNNNNNNNNNNNNNNNNNNNNNNNNNNNNNNNNNNNNNNNNNNNNNNNNNNNNNNNNNNNNNNNNNNNNNNNNNNNNNNNNNNNNNNNNNNNNNNNNNNNNNNNNNNNNNGACUAAAAAUAGCAAAUGAUGUCAGGAAGUGUUGAAAAUUGAUGACGUCACUUUGAAUGGUGCGUACGGAACGCAAAAAAAGUCUGGAGUUGUAAUAAGUUUAGAAAAAUGAAGUGCCAAUGUAACAGAUGAGUUCUCGUCAGAAACGGUGAUACUCCGAAAGAGAUUGUCCAGUUUGUACACGAAGUGCGUCCAGUUUUUGCCGUAAUCAUCUCUAUUCUUGUGCACAUGCUGUGUGGGUGAAAUGAUGAUACCAUGCCAAGUUUUGACAUUUUCAGAGUUCAUUUUGUAGUGAUUUUCAAUUUCACGGUCAUUUAGCUCUCUAAACAAAUCGGUAAAUGACUACAAAAGUGCAAAUAAUGUCAGAAAGUUUUGAAAAAUGAUGACGUCGCUUUGAAUGGUGUGUACGGAACGCAAAAAAGUCUGGAGUUGUAAUAAGUCUGAAAAAAUGAAGUGCCAAUGUAACAGAUGAGUUCUCGUCAGAAACCCUUAUACUUCGAAAGAGAUUGUCCAGUUUGUACACGAAGUGCGUCCAGUUUUUGCCGUAACCCUCUCUACUCUUUUGCACAUGCUAUGUGGGUGAAAUGAUGAUAUCACGCCAAGUUUCGACAUUUUCAAAGUUGAUUUUGUAGUGAUUUUCAAUUUCACGGUCAUUUAGCUCUCUAAACAAAUCGAUAAAUGACUGAAAAAUAGUAAAUGAUGUCAGAAAGUGUUGAAAAUUGAUGACGUCGCUUUGAAUGGUGCGUACGGAACGCAAAAAAAGUCUGUUGUUGUAAUAAGUUUAAAAAAAUGAGUUGCCAGUGUGACAGAUGAGUUCUCGUUCGAAACCCUGAUACUCCGAAAGAGAUUGUCCAGUUUGUACACGAAGUGCGUUCAGUUUUUGCCGUUACUCUCUCUACUCUUUUGCACAUGCUAUGUGGGUGAAAUGAUGAUACUAUGCCAAGUUUCGACAUUUUCAGAGUUCAUUUUGUUGUGAUUUUCAAUUGCACGGUCAUUUAGCUCUCUAAACAAAUCGGUAGAUGACUAAAAAAUAGCAAAUGAUGUCAAAAAGUUUUCAAAAUUGAUGACGUCGCUUUGUAUGGUGUGUACGGAACUCAAAAAAUCUGGAGUUGUAAUAAGUUUAAAAAAAUGAAGUGCCCAUGUAACAGAUGAGUUCUUGUCAGAAACCCUGAUACUUCGAAAGAGAUUGUCCAGUUUGUACACGAAGUGCGUCCAGUUUUUGCCGUAACCCUCUCUACUCUUUUGCACAUGCUGUGUGGGUGAAAUGAUGAUACUAUGCCAAGUUUCGACAUUUUCAGAGUUCAGUUUGUAGUGAUUUUCAAUUUCACGGUCAUUUAGCUCUCUAAACAAAUCGGUAAAUGACUGAAAGAUAGCAAAUGAUGUCAGAAAGUGUUGAAAAUUGAUGGCGUCGAUUUGAAGGGUGCGUACGGAACGCAAAAAAAGUCUGGAGUUGUAAUAAGUUUAAAAAAAUGAAAUGCCAGUGUAACAGAUGAGUUCUCGUCCGAAACCCUGAUACUCCGAAAGAGAUUGUCCAGUUUGUACACGAAGUGCGUCCAGUUUUUGCCGUAACCCUCUCUACUCUUUUGCACAUGCUAUGUGGGUGAAAUGAGGAUACCAUGCCAAGUUUCGACAUUUUUAGAGUUCAUUUUGUAGUGAUUUUCAAUUUCACGGUCAUUUAGCUCUCUAAACAAAUCGGUAAAUGACUAAAAAAUAGCAAAUGAUGUCAGAAAGUUUUGAAAAUUGAUGACGUCGCUUUGAAUGGUGUGUACGGAACUCAAAAAAGUCUGGAGUUAUAAUAAGUUUUAAAAAAUAAAGUGCCCAUGUAACAGAUGAGUUCUCGUCAGAAACCCUGAUACUUCGAAAGAGAUUGUCCAGUUUGUACAGGAAGUGAGUCCAGUUUUUGCCGUAACACAAGAAGUCCGGAGUUGUUAUAAGUUAUUAAAGAUAAAAAAGAGGCACAAUGCUCGUUAAUUAGCUUCAAGCCUUUCGGAAUAGUGCAAACUGCACUGCACAUAGCUCCGUGCAGUCUACACUAUUCCUCAAGGCUUAAAGCUAAGCAACGUGUAGAUGAGCAUUUCACGGUCAUUUAGCUCUCUAAGCUAAUCUAGUAGCCAUGUUAAGUCGAUAAUGACGUGGAAUUGUUAUAUGACAUGCAAAUACCUUCUGAGUUAAUGGCACUAGUCAUCAACCCGUGCAACUGCAUGGGCUAGUUUUUUAAACGGUUCAUAGUUACAAUACUUUUCAUGACCACUUGUUUCUUUGCAUCCAGCAAGAAUAUAAAUUUGUUGUGUGUGAACCAUUAAAUGAACAAUUAAUAUGAAAAUAGAAAACUUAUAUCCUGAAAGUUUACAAUCUUCAUAAAAUAUUUAUAUUUUAUUUUAAGACAAACGGGAAAUUAAAAAUCCUACUUAUAGAGAUCCUGAAACAUAAUUCAAAUGUCGCAUAAAUUACGUAAUUUUGAAUGAUAAGUACUAAAAAUGUAAUAAUUUGUUUAGUUAAUAUUAAUCCUUUUUUUAUUUGGGAGUCUACUUAAUCAUGGGGUAUUUUGCAUAAUGCUUAGGCUUGUCAAAUGAAAUAAGCAUUUCAUAACAACAGUGUACCUCCCUACAGUUUAAUAACAAACUUACUCUACAAACACCGAAAACCGAACCAAAGACUGAAGAAGCAAUCAUAAGUGUCAUACUUCUUAAAUUCUCCUUUUUUUUCCCGGCACCACCCAUGGAGUAGUCUUUCCACCGUGUUUGACUCUCGUUGUGGUAGCAAAUGAUGGGUCCAAGUUUUCGCAUAGUAUUGUCCGUUUGUUUUAUCAUGAUAGAGUACUCCAUUAGUUGGCACCGCUCUUAUAUUUGUGUGUGAUCUUUUAGCAGUUCAACAUUAUAGUUCUUCCACCCAUAUGUUCGCAAUGUUAAAUCUAUGGAGAAAAAGAUUCAAAUCUUCACUAUUGUACCACAAAAGCAAGUCACAUGAAUAGCUCGCAAUUAUUUAACUACUGGUGGUUGGUGCCAGGUAUAUUAGCGUUAGGAAAGUAAAUGUACAUACUGAACAUUUGACUGUGGAAGAAAAUGAAUUUUCUUAUUUACUCUUAUUGAAUUCUAAAUAUAUUUUGGAUAUUUGUUUUCAGUAAUACACCUAAUUUUGGAAAAUCUAUUUCAUAGCCUUGUAUUUUUGAAAUAUUUUACAAAACAUGACACAAAUUGUUGUGUUUUUUCACAUACAUAUUUAUAACAUUAAUACACUCUUUAUAUGUAAUGUGAUAUUUAUUAUAUAAUUUUUUAAUCAUACAUAACUAAAUUCUUAUUAUUUUCAAAUCACAAAUUUUAAAUGAUAUGAUAACUUACAUUUUAAAAGCUCUAUUUCGGGACAUUAUAACUAAAAACUAUCUGAGCGAAUCGGGCACCAUAAUGUAUUUGGUGUCUACACUUUGUCGCAUACAUAGCCUUUUUUAUUUUUAAUGUAAUUGCUAAAAUAUGUAAUUAUGUAGAACUUAAUAUUACAUUCUAUUACACAGAUUGGACUUAUAUAGGUUGGAAAAGAAUUAAAUCUAUGCUGUCAAACCUACCGAAUAGCAUUCCUCCGGCACAUUGUAUAUCUGGCAUUUAUUAGUAAUGUGUCUAAAUCAGUUCGGGAUAAAUUCACUCUACAUCGUCAUAAUGGCUUGUUGUUAAAAUUUGGCAUCCUGACGCAUUACUUGGAAUUUUUAUAAACUCAGUGUAAACAGUUAUGUUAUCUUUUUAAACAUAAGUUAUUUAGUUCAAUUCGGAGUACUAUAUAGUAAUUUUCAACAGUAAAUCUAGCCUAUUUCAACUCGGUCAUUAUAAACAAUAAAUCUAGCCUGUUUCAACUCGGCCAUUAUAUUUAACUUAUUUAAGACAUAAGGUAAUCUAACUUUUGAACAAUCUUUAGAAAUCUACAUAUGUAGAGGUCAAGUAGGACAUACAUAUGUGAAAUUCCUUAAAAUAAUUUGAUAAUUGUUAUAUUAAAGAAAAUAAUAUUAUAAUUUAUUAUCUGUACUUACUAUAAUUGCAAUACUUUUUGAUAGCAUGUUCCCGUUGCAUAGUGUCGCUUACUGCACAAUAUCUUAAUUUGUUAUGUGUCUCGGAUAGAAAAAUAUUGUAUUUCCGCGUAUGUAUAUGCAUGUCUAUAUAUGUUUCACACACAUGAAAUUUUUUUAUAUAUUAAAAAAUGAUUUCGCCUGAGUUACAUCCAUGCAUGCUAAUUUCCUGUCUAUCAUUGGAGUUUAGAUCUAUGCAUGUAUGUGCUUGACUAAGCUCUGCACAUAUAUACGUGCCGGUCAAAUCAUAUACAUGAACGUACAUCACUCUAUUCUACUAUUAAGGGAUUCGUUGAGCACCUCGUCAAAGAAACAAACCUUUCAGAUCAACUUGUAAAUUUUCUUUUUACAUAUUUGCAUUUUUUUAGCAUAUUUGCAUUUCUUUCCUAAAAUAUUGCAAUAUUUGCAAAUAUCUGAAUCAUAUUCUUUUGAUUGACAAUAACACAAUGGCUUACCAGCAGAUCAAAACAGAUAUCUAGCUAGUGCGAAGGUUGUGCCACCUCUUGAUUGUUUCCUCCAUGAGCAAGCAAGCUUCUGGUAACGGUAACAGUCAUGGCGACGGAACAUGAUGUGCCGGCGAGCCGCAGACAUUAGAAAGAUCUGAAAAGAAGCAGAUAGGCAUGAUGCAUAAAUCUGGAAAGGAAGAAGAAUAUGCAUAACUCAAAAGCAUUGAAGCCGUCGGUUUUUGCAUUGCUCUACGAUCAGUUAAUGUACGCAUGCAUCGUAUAUGUACGCAUCCAGCCGCCGGAAUUUACUUCUCCUGCCUUCGUUUGUCAAGGGCAAAAAUACUGGCCAGCAGCACAAAUUGAAGACCAGCUUUCGGCACCUCCAUAACGCUCGUAGAAAAGUUCUCAAUGACUUGCAUCGGGAAUAUCUCUCCAGACCAGGGCAUGCGCCAAUUAAUGCUUCUUGCCGUGUCAUGUAUGCCGGGUCAUGUAUCUCUACGGGGACAACAAAAUUCAACUUGUUUAUUUUUGGAUAAUCAUUGGGAGAUAGAGACCCAGCACAGGACGUCUCCCAUGCGUGGGACAACCGAGGUUUUUUUUUUCAAUCUUAGGCUUCAUCAACGGCUAAAAUAUAUUAUAUUUUAAUCUGACGGAUGUAAAUCUUUAACUUAUAAAAUUGACGUGAAUCCUCGUAUGGCUCUUCCAAUUAGUAAAUAUAUAAGAUAGUAGUAGACGUGAAGAAUAAAGGGGCAGUAAUGGGAUAUUAAAUGUGGCAGCUAACUUGCUAGGCCUUCGAGUUAUAUUUUGUUCAGCAUUAAGUGGAAAACAUAUUUUGGCAUCCUUUUCCUCCUCUCGACUCUGACAAAAUGUUAGUGAUAUUCAAAUGGAAAAGCUUAGGCAAGAAAUAUUCCGAGGAAAAAUAAUGCAUCUACUCUAAAAUAUAUUUUCAUCAAUAGUAGUCCACUACUACCAUGAGCCAAUGGCCAUGGUUCUAUUCAAAAUUUUAAUUUAUCAAGAUCAGGCGUAGACUUGAUGUUGACAUCAAUGGCUAUCUAGGCUUAGAGAGAUGAGAGGAGUGAAGAACAAAAAAGGAGCGCCAAUAAUGGUUAUAACCCAUAGGGGAUAAAAUAAGGACGCCGCUAGUUGGCAUGAAUUGAUACAGGUAGACAUCACUUACUCUGCGUCCCUGAAUAGAGGCCAUAAUUUGUGUUGCUCUAGGGACCCAUAAUUUAUGAAUUCUGCUCACAAGAGAUCCGACUGUUGUGGGGAUCAAACUUUAGCACGCUGCCCUUAGAGCAACUCCAACGCGUCAACCCAAAUGGACGGCGAUUUUGUUAUAUUUUCGUCUGUUUGUGUCGACCGUCCACUCGGUGUCCGCCUAAUUUUCUUUUUGGGUCAGCAGUGCGCCCAAUGCCAGCGACUCAUUUCAUGUCCGUGCACAAAUUUUAAAAAGGCCCGCGGCUGUAGAUCAUGGCAGCGGCCAAGCCGUCACCCAAAGUUCAUGCCGGCACCAUGCCAGCAGCCGACAUACAAUGCCAGCUCCAAAAAAGCACCACACAGUUUGUGUUGGCGCACUUGCCAGCGACUGGCAUAGAUGCCAGCAAACAAAAAAGGGGCGGGAGUUCGACCACGCCAUCGCGACCGUAGUCAUGCCAACACACUUUUCGGCAUGCAAAAAAGGAUGGCGCUUUCCGCCAUAAAUCACUCGUCGUCGAACUUGAGCAUGUCGGCUUGCAUCUUGUCGAACCACGACCUCUUCCUCGGCGACAUGGUGUUGAGGUCCACCUUCAUGAUCUCCACACCCGUCAUCAUGCUAGCGAGAACCACUUCUUUCGCCUUGGUCUUGACAUUUGCGGCAUCGAUAUCUAGCAUCUUGGCUUGCACUGGUGCAGAACCGGGCUUUAGCACCAGUUCGUAAGGCCCUUUAGUGGCGGUUCUUGAACCGGUACUAAGGGGGGGGGGGCUUUAGGGAUUUUGGUUUUAUUAUUUAUUUUUCCUUUAAUUUUGUAUUUCCAUUUAUUUUAUUUUUCAUUUGCUGGUAUUUUACGAACUACAUAUUGUACACGUUAUGCAUAUAUAUAAAUAUAAUUUCUCGUAGAACCGAUCAUAUANNNNNNNNNNNNNNNNNNNNNNNNNNNNNNNNNNNNNNNNNNNNNNNNNNNNNNNNNNNNNNNNNNNNNNNNNNNNNNNNNNNNNNNNNNNNNNNNNNNNNNNNNNNNNNNNNNNNNNNNNNNNNNNNNNNNNNNNNNNNNNNNNNNNNNNNNNNNNNNNNNNNNAGCUAAUCAUUGAUAUAUACUACAUACUAAACGUACAUACUCUCUAUUUUGACGGAUACUACAUACAACAUACAAAAUGCAAGUGGUGGUAAUUACCACCGCUUGGAGGAAGCAUUUGAGGCACCACCAUUUGAAGCACCGCCAUUCACACAUAGAGCAGAAAAGAGUACCGGUUGGAGCGACCAACCGGUUUAAAGGGGUGUGCUGGCCCAGGUGCGAUGCACAAAGUUUAGUCCCACCUUGCUGAGCGAAGGGCGGCCGCACUGGUAUAUAAACCCAGCCGCGGCUGCUCCUUUGAGCUCCUCCCUAACGCAGGCCUUCUGGGCCUACUUGUGUUGCGCUGCCCUGUUGGGCCUACUAGCCUUGCGGGCCUACCUCCUGGCCCGACUACAGGUUGGGUUUCUAGUCGCAUGCAGGCCGCUGUGGCCCAGUAGGCGGGCUUUUAAAAAAAUAUUGUUUGCUUUAUUUAUUUUCUUUUAUUUAUUUCUGAGUUGUUUUUCCUGUAUUUCGAAUUUCUUUGUGAAUAUUUUUGCUUUAGGUACAAAAAAUUACAAAAUUUCUGUUAGUGCCAGUAGUUUUCAAAUUUGAAUAGUUUAAAUUUGUCUCCUUUAUUUAUUUUUAAGUUGUUUUUUGCUGUAUUUAGAAUUUCUUUGUGAAUAUUUUGCUUUAGGUAAAAAAAAUUACAAACUUUAUGUUAGUGCCAAUAGUUUUCAAUUUUGAAUAGUUUAAAUUUGUCUGCUUUAUUUAUUUUCUUUUAUUUAUUUGUGAGUUGUUUUUUGCUGUAUUUAGAAUUUUUUGUGAAUAUUUUUCUUUAGGUACAAAAAAUUACAAAAUUUCUGUNNNNNNNNNNNNNNNNNNNNNNNNNNNNNNNNNNNNNNNNNNNNNNNNNNNNNNNNNNNNNNNNNNNNNNNNNNNNNNNNNNNNNNNNNNNNNNNNNNNNNNNNNNNNNNNNNNNNNNNNNNNNNNNNNNNNNNNNNNNNNNNNNNNNNNNNNNNNNNNNNNNNNNNNNNNNNNNNNNNNNNNNNNNNNNNNNNNNNNNNNNNNNNNNNNNNNNNNNNNNNNNNNNNNNNNNNNNNNNNNNNNNNNNNNNNNNNNNNNNNNNNNNNNNNNNNNNNNNNNNNNNNNUAAGUUGUUUUUUGCUGUAUUUAGAAUUUCUUUGUGAAUAUUUUUGCUUUAGGUACUAAAAAUUACAAACUUUCUGUUAGUGCUAGUAGUUUUCAAAUUUGAAUAGUUUAAAUUUUUCUGCUUUAUUUAUUUUCUUUUAUUUAUUCCUGAGUUGUUUUUUGCUGUAUUUAGAAUUUCUUUGUAACUAUUUUUGCUUUAGGUACAAAAAAUUACAAACUUUAUGUUACUGCCAGUAGUUUUAAAAUUUGAAUAGUUUAAAUUUGUCUGUUUUAUUUAUUUCUGAGUUGUUUUUUGCUGUGUUUAGAAUUUAUUUUUGAAUAUUUUUGCUUUAGGUACAAAAAAUUACAAACUUUCUAUUAGUGCCAGUAGUUGUCAAAUUUGAAUAGUUUAAAUUUGAAUUAUUUGAAAUUUUUGUGAAUAACUAGUUUCGGAAUAACUUUACUUUAAAAAUAGAUUUUUCAGUGAUUCGUUUUUCUUAUGUCUAACAUUAGUGUGUUUUAUCAUUAUAUUCAAUUUGGUAAUACUUAGGUUAUUUAAAAAAUGAAAUGCCAUUGUAACAGAUGAGUUUUCGUCUAAAAACUCUGAUACUUCGAAAGAGAUUGUCCAUUUUGUACACUAAGUGCUUCCAGUUUUUGCCAUAACCCUCUAUACUUUUUUGCACAUGCUAUGUGGGUGAAAUGAUGAUACCAUGCCAACUUUCAACCUUUUCAGAGUUCAUUUGUAGUGCUUUUUAAUUUCAGGGUCAUUUAGCUAAAAAAAUCAUUAAAUGCAUGAAAAAUAGCAAAUGAUGUCCGAAAGUGUUGAAAGUUGAUGACGUGGCUUUGAAUGGUGCAUACUGGACGCACAAAAAGUAUGGAGUUGUAAUGAGUUUCAAAAAUGAAAUUCCUUUGUAACAGAUGAGUUUUCGUCCGAAACCCUGAUACUCCGAAAGAGAUUGUCCAUUUUGUACACGAAGUGCAUCCAGUUUUUUCCAUAACCCUCACUACUUUUUUGCACAUGCUAUGUGGGUGAAAUGAUGAUGCCAUGCCAACUUCCAACCUUUAAGAGUUCAUUUGUAGUGUUUUUCAAUUUCAGGGUCAUUUAGCUAAAAAAUCAAUAAAUGCAUGAGAAAUAGCAAAUGAUGUCAGAAAGGUAUGAAAGUUGAUGACGUGGCUUUGAAUGGUGCAUACUGAAUGCACAAAAAGUUUAGAGUUGUAAUAAAUUUAAAAAAUGAAAUGCCUUUGUAACAGAUGAGUUUUCGUCCGAAGCCCUCAUACUUCAAAAGAGAUUAUCCAUUUUGUGCACGAAGUGCAUCCAGUUUUUGCCGUAACCCUCUCUACUUUUUUGCACAUUAUAUGUGGGUGAAAUGAUGAUACGAUGCCAACUUCCAACCUUUCAGAGUUCAUUUGUAGUGCUUUUCAAUUUCAGGGUCAUUUAGCUAAAAAAAAUCAGGAAAUGCACGAAAAAUAGCAAAUGAUGUCAGAAAAGUUUGAAAGUUGAUGACAUGGCUUUGAAUUGUGCAUACUGAACGCACAAAAAGUCUAGAGUUGUAAUAAGUUUAAAAAAUGAAAUGCCUUUGUAACAGAUGAGUUUUCGUCCGAAACCCUCAUACUUCGAAAGAAAUUGUACAUUUUGUACACGAAGUGCAUCCAGUUUUUGCCGUAACCCUCUCUACUUUUUUGCACAUGCUAUGUGGGUGAAAUGAUGAUGCCAUGCCAACUUUCAACCUUUGUAGAGUUCAUUUGUAGUGCUUUUCAAUUGCAGGGUCAUUUAGCUAAAAAAUCAGUAAAUGCAUGAAAAAUAGCAAAUGAUGUCAGAAAGUGUUGAAAGUUGAUGACGUGGCUUUGAAUGGUGCAUACUGAAUGCACAAAAAGUCUGGAAUUGUAAUAAGUUUAAAAAAAUGAAAUGCCUUUGUAACAGAUGAGUUUUCGUCCGAAACCCUGAUACUCCGAAAGAGAUUGUCCAUUUUGUACACGAAGUGCAUCCAGUUUUUGCCGUAACCCUCCCCUACUUUUUUCCACAUGCUAUGUGGGUGAAAUGAUGAUACGAUGCCAACUUCCAACCUUUUCAGAGUUCAUUUGUAGUGCUUUUCAAUUUCAAGGUCAUUUAGCUAAAAAAUUAGUAAAUGCAUGAAAAAUAGCAAAUGAUAUCAGAAAGGUUUGAAAGUUGAUGACGUGUCUUUGAAUGGUGCAUACCGAAAGUACAAAAAGUCAGGAGUUGUAAUAAGUUUAAAAAAAUGAAAUGCCUUUGUAACAGAUGAGUUUUCGUCUAAAACCCUCAUACUUCGAAAGAGAUUGUCCAUUUUUUUCUACACGAAGUGCAUCCAGUUUUUGCCGUAACCCUCUCAACUUUUUUGCACAUGCGAUGUGGGUGAAAUGCUGAUACCGCCAACUUUUAACCUUUUGAGAGUUCAAUUUUAGUGCUUUUUAAUUUCAGGGUCAUUUAGCUAAAACAAUCAGUAAAUGAGCUAAAAGUAGCAAAUGAAGUCAGAAAAGGGUUGAAAAUUGCUGAUGUGCCUUGGAAUGGUGCAUAUUGAACACACAAAAAGUCUGGAGUUGAAAUAAGUUAUUAAAAAUAAAAUCCUUUUGUAAUAGAUGAGUUUCGUCCGAAACCCUGAUACUUCGAAAGAGAUUGUCCAGUUUGUAGAAGAAGUGCAUCCAAUUUUUGCCGUAACCCUCUCAACUUUUUAGCACAUGCUAUGUGGAUGAAAUGAUGAUAUCAUGCUAAGUUUCAACCAUUUCAGAGUUGAUUUGUAGUGCUUUUCAUUUUCAGGGUCAUUUAGCUAAAAAAAUUCAUUAAAUGCAUAAAAAUAGCAAAUGAAGGCAGAAAAGAGUUGAACAUUGAUGAUGUGACUUUGAAUGGUGCACAAUGAACACACAAAAAGUCCGGAGUUAAAAUAAGUUAUAAAAAUGAAGGAGAGGCGCAAUCCUCACUGGCACAUUGCUUAGCUUCAGGCCUUGACAAACUACACAUAGCUCUGUGCAAUCUACACCAUUUCCUCCAGGCAUGAAGCUAAGCAACGUGCAGGUGAGCAUUGCGCCUCUCCUUCAUCGUUCCUCGUCUCUGCACUCAGGGCUUAUAAACCGCUGAUACGUCUCCAACGUAUCUAUAAUUUUUGAUUGUUCCAUGCUAUUAUAUUAUCAAUCUUGGAUGUUCUAUAAUCAUUUUAUAGUCAUUUUUUGGUACUAACCUAUUGACAUAGUGUCAAGUGCUAGUUGUUGUUUUCUGCAUGUUUUUUACAUUGCAGGAAAUCAAUACCAAACGGCGUCCAAAUUCAAUGAAACUUUACGGGGAUUUUUUAUGCACCAGAAGACACCUAAUGGGCCAAGGCUGCGCCUAGGGGGUGCUCCGAGGAGAGCACAACCCACCAUGGCGCGCCAGGAGGCCCGGGCACGCCCUGGAGGGUUGUGCCCACCUCGGGUGCCCCUCGGGCCGCCUCUUUGCUCUAUAAAUAUCCCAAUAUUCCAGAAACCCUAGGGGAGUCGACGAAAAUCAAUUCAAGCCUCCGCAGAGUCCAGAACCACCAGAUCCAAUCUAGACACCAUCACGGAGGGGUUCACCACUUCCAUUGGUGCCUCUCCGAUGAUGCGUGAUUAGUUCUUUGUAGACCUUCGGGUCCGUAGUUAGUAGCUAGAUGGCUUCCUCUCUCUCGCCAAACUCUCAAUACAAUGGUGUCUUGGAGAUCCAUAUGAUGUGACUCUGUUUGCGGUGUGUUUGUUGGGAUCAGAUGAACUUUCAGUUUAUGAUCAGAUCUAUCUUUUUAUAUCCAUGAAAGUUAUUUGAGUUUCUUUGAACUAUUAUAUGCAUGAUUUCUUAUAGCCUCGUAUUUCUUCUCCGAUAUUUGGGUUUUGUUUGGACAAAUUGAUCUAUUUAUCUUGCAAUGGAAAGAGGUGCUUUGUAGUGGGUUCGAUCUUACGGUGCUUGAUCCCAGUGACAGAAGGGGAACCGACACGUAUGUAUCGUUGCUACUAAGGAUAAAACGAUGGGGUCUAUCUCUACAUAGAUAGAUCUUGUCUACAUCAUGUCAUCAUUCUUAUUGCAUUACUCCAUUUCCCCAUGAACUUAAUACACUAGAUGCAUGCUGUAUAGCGGUCGAUGUGUCGAGUAAUAGUAGUAGAUGCAGGUAGGAGUCGGUCUACUAAUCUUGGACGUGAUGGCUAUAUAUUGAUCAUUGCCUGGAUAUCGUCAUGAUUAUUUGGAACUCUAUCAAUUGCCCAACAGUAAUUUGUUUACCCACCGUUUGCUAUUUUGCUCGAGAGAAGCCACUAGUGAAACCUACGGCCCCCGGGUCUCUUUCUCACAUUAUUUGCCUUCGCGAUCUAUUUUAUUUGCCUUUUGUUUGCAGAUCUAUUAAACCAAAAAUACAAAAAUACCUUGCUGCGUUUUACUCUUAUUUAUUUUAUUUGGUGUUCGAUCUAUCAAUCUACUACAAUUAUCUCACGUCUGUUUGCCAAUUUCUGGCGCCGCUACCCGAAAGGGAUUGACAACCCCUUUAACACGCCAGGUUGCGAGGAUUUGUUAUCUGUGUGCAGGGGCUAUUUACAUUCUAUUGCUAGGUUCUCCUACUAGUUCGAUAACCUUGGUUUCAUAUCUGAGGGAAAUACCUACCGCUGCUAUGCUGCAUCAUCCCUUUCUCUUUGGGGAAAUACCGACGUAGCUUCAAGCCGCAUCAAAAGGAAUUUCUGGCGCCGUUGCCGGGGAGGAUCUUCAACAUAUACGAGGUUCCGAAUCACAAAUCUCAUCUCCUUGCAAUUUACAUUAUUUGCCAUUUGCCUCUCAUUUUCCUCUCCCCCACUUCACAAAAAUUUGCCAUUUUAUUCGUCCUCUUUUUCGUUCGCCUUUUUCUCGUUUGAUCUUUUGUUUGCUUGUGUUGCCAUGUGCCUUCUAUAUGCUUGCGUCUUCGCUUGCUAAAAAUAUAUUGAUAUGGAUCCUCAUCCACUUGCUAAUCUUUUUAAAAGAUCCAAUCAUGUUGAACCAGUUGCUAGUGAGUUGAGUGCACUAGAUUAUCUUUAUGAAGUUUUUCUUGAGAUUCGUGAAUCUAAAAAUUGCGAUGAAGAAAUUUAUGAAGUGAUUCAUGAUAGCUCCUUGAAUGAAAAGCAUGAUUGCAAUGAUUUUACUAUAAAUCCUAUUAAUGUCAAUUGUGCUAAUAAUAUGCAAAACCCCAAACUUUGGGAUGCUAAUUUUGCUAUGUCCACUACUUGUUGCAAUGAUCAUGAUUGGGGUGAUUCUUCUUAUGAGCUUGAAAUUUUAUUUAAACCUCAUGAUGAAUAUGAUAUUGAUAAUAAUGUUUGCAAUAAUAUUGAAAGUGGGUAUGGAAGAGCGUCAACUUUAGGUAAAAAUAAUCCCACAUAUUUGGAGAGUGUUCAAUCUUAUGAUUUUUUUUAUGAAAGUGGGUUCGGAGGGGUCAUGACUUUAGUUGAUGUUAAUCCCACUAUCUUGGAAGAUUAUAAGACUUGUAUGCAUGUGGAUCAUGAAAAGAAAGUUUUAUAUGAUUGCUAUAUUGUUGAAUUUGAGUAUUAUCCUACAUGUAAUUAUUAUGAGAAAGGAAAAUAUGGUUGUAGAAAUUUUUAUGUUACUAAAUUACCUCUCGUUAUGUUGAGAUCGUCAAUGUUUUAUUCCUCUUCUUUGCAUAUGUUAGAUGUUUCUUGUCUUGAUAUUUUGUUUUCUUAUAAAAUUCCUAUGCAUAGGAAGUAUGUUAGACUUAAAUGUGGUUGUCAUAUGUUUCAUGAUGCUCUCUUUGUGUUUCAAUUAUUAUCUCUCAUGUGAGCAUCAUUGAAAUUUUAUGCCUAGCUAGGGGCAUGAAACUAUAGCGCUUGUUGGGAGGCAACCCAAUGAAUAAAAUUUGUUUUUACCUUUUGCUUUCUGUUCUUGAAUGUUUGCACAAUUAUGCUAAUGUUAUGAUUGUGUGUUUUGUGUUUUAAUUAGUGUUUGUACCAAGUAGAACCUAUAGGAUCUUCUUGGGUGAUAGUUGUUUGAUCUUGCUGAAAAAACAGAAACUUUUGCGCUCAUGAAAACAAUUCUUAUUUUUUACCAGAGCGUGAUAAAAUGCCAAUUAUUUUUGCAGAAGAUUAAUAUACAAAUUUCUUAGGUCUUCCUAUUGUUUUAGAAUUUUUGGAGUUUCAGAAGUAUUCGAACAAUUCAGAUUGCAACACAUUGUUCUGUUUUUGACAGAUUUUGUUUUCUUUGCGUUGUGUGCUUGUUUUGAUGGCUCCAUGGUUUUCUUUGUUGAGUUUUUGCCAUAGAAAAGUUGGAAUAUAUUAGAUAUAAUGCAAGAAUAAAAUAUGAAUAGGUUGCAACAGUACUUAUAGUAGUGAUUUAUUUUCUUAUACUAAUGGAUCUCACGAAGGUUUUGUUGAGUUUUGUGUGAUUGAAGUCUUCAAGUUUUGGGUUAUCUUACGAUGGAUGAAGGAAUAAGGAGUAAGCAAAGCCUAAGCUUGGAGAUGCCCCGGCAACCCAAGCUAUUAUCCAAAAGAUAGCAAGCAAGUAAGCUUGGGGAUGCCCCGAGUGGCAUCCCCUCUUUCUUCUAACGACCAUCGAUAUUUUACUCGAAGCUAUAUUUUUAUUCGUCACAUACUAUGUGUUUUGCUUGGAGCGUCUUGUAUGAUAUGAGUCUUUGCUUGUUUUAUUUUGUGUUUUAAGUCUUGAUUCCUUGCGGGACACACCUAUUUGAGAGAGCCAAAAUUAUGCAUGACUUAUUAGAAUUGCUCUCUAUGCUUCACUUAAAUUUUUUAUGAGCCAUGGACUUGCUCUAGUGCUUCACUUAUAUCUUUUUGAGCACGGUGUGCUUAGUUAUUUUUUAAGAAAUGCUCUCUUGCUUCACUUAGAUUUGUUUUAGAGGUAGUAAAUUUUUCAGGAAAUUCUCUCUUUCUUCACUUAAAUUAAUUUGAAAGAAAGAAAUAUUAUGCUCAUGAUCUUCACUUAUAUUUGUUUGAGCUUAUCAAAAGCAACAUAUGAAAAUUAGUUCCAAAGUGAUAGAUAUCCAAGAAGGAUAUAAUAAAAACUUUCAUGAAGAUCAUUGGACAAAAUAAACUUGAUUCUUAGUAAUAGUUUUAAGAUAUGAUGAUGUGAUAUGUGAGUCAUGUUGAUGAGUAAUUAUGCUUUACUAAGAAUAUUGGUGUUAAGGUUUGUGACUCCCUAUGCAAGCACGAAAGUCAAUAAUUAUGCAAUGAAAUUAUAUCCUACUUGUGGUGCAUUAUUCGGUGUUAAUUAUGCUUAAUGCUCGCUUAUGAGAUUAUUCGUUUCUUGGUUGGUUGCUUCUCAAUCUUUUGCUAGCCUUCAUUUUGCACUAAGUAUGAUCUCUACUUGUGCAUCCAAAAACCUUUAAACCAGUUUUGCCACAUGACUCCACUAUAUCUACCUAUAUGCGGUAUUCUUUUGCCGUUCUAAGCAAAUUUGUAUGUGCCAUCUCUAAUUUUGAAAAUAAACUUCUCUUUUGUGUGUUCGUACCGCUCGCAGAGCUGUGAGGGGUGGCUAAUAUUUUCCAUGCUAGAUGUGUUAUUCUCACGAUGAGUGUUUAUUCACUUGUCAUUGCACGAGAGUAAGGCAAAGGUAUUAGGGAUGCCCAGUCCCGAAAUGAAAAAUGAAUUUACUUUAUGUUGUCAAAUAAUAAAUUCCUUGGAAAGUGUUGGUACGGAGGGAAACCGUGGAUACGGCUAGCCAAGGAAAGUGAAAGUAUGGUUGAAAAAAGAAUAAACUUUAUUUUCUGUUUGGGAACCGCCUAUGAUAUAUCUAGCAUGGAAAGUGUUGGGAACUCUAAGUCGUUUUCGUUGGUGGGAAGGACACACCUCCUGAAAUGUUCUUAUCUCUAAGUUUUUUCGCUUUGAGCUUUGGCACGUCUACAAAUCCCUACUUCCCUCUGUGAAGGGCCUUUGUUUUACUUUAUGCAAUUUUUAUUAUUGAAUUUGAAUCUCCUUAUAAAAGCACCAACUCGGAGGCACUAUGAUCUUACUUGAGCAUUGGGUGUAGCUAAUAUGCAAGUGUGUUUCAUGAAUGGAUCAAUGAUUGAGCAUGAUGGGCUAGGGAUAACUUAUUUUAGCGUUGAUAUUUUGAAAGACAUGGUUGCUUGUUGGUAUGCUUGAGUAUUUAAGUUAUCAUAUCAAAACUAGACUAUUGCUUUGAACAAUAUAAAAGUCCAAAUGUCCAUGCUAUAAAGAAAACAAUAUGAUAUGACAUGUUACGCAGUAUUCCACAUCAAAAAUUCCGUUUUUAUCACUUACCUACUCGAGGACGAGUAGGAGUUAAGCUUGGGGAUGCUGAUACGUCUCCAACGUAUCUAUAAUUUUUUAUUGUUCCAUGCUGUUAUAUUAUCAAUCUUUGAUGUUUUAUAGUCAUUUUAAAUAAUUUUUUGGUACUAACCUAUUGACAUAGUGCCAAGUGCCAGUUGUUGUUUUCUGUAUUUUUUUACAUCGUAGGAAAUCAAUAUCAGACGGAGUCCAAAUGCAAUGAAACUUUACGGAGAUUUUUUUAUUGACCAGAAGACACCUAAUGGGCCAAGGUUGCGCCUGGGGGCGCUCCGAGGAGAGCACAACCCACCAGGGCGCGCCAGGAGGCCCAGGCGCGCCCUAGUGGCUUGUGCCCACCUCGGGUGCCACCCGGACCACCUCUUUGCUCUAUAAAUACCCCAAUAUUCCAGAAACCCUAGGGGAGUCGACGAAAAUCAAUUCCAGCCGCCGCAGAGUCCAGAACCACCAGAUCCAAUCUAGACACUAUCACGGAGGGGUUCACCACUUUCAUUGGUGCCUCUCCGAUAAUGCGUGAGUAGUCCUUUGUAGACCUUCGGGUCCGUAGUUAGUAGCUAGAUGGCUUCCUCCCUCUCGCUAAAUUCUCAAUACAAUGGUCUCUUGGAGAUCCAUAUGAUGUAACUCUUUUUGCGGUGUGUUUGUUGGGAUCAGAUGAACUUUAGUUUAUGAUCAGAUCUAUCUUUUUAUAUCCAUGAAAGUUACUUGAGUUUUUUUGAUCUCUUGUAUGCAUGAUUUGUUAUAGCCUCGUAUUUCUUCUCCGAUAUUUGGGUUUUGUUUGGCCAACUUGAUCUAUUUAUCUUGCAUUGGGAAGAGGUGCUUUGUAGUGGGUUCGAUCUUAUGGUGCUUGAUCCCAGUGAUAGAAGGGGAACCGACACGUAUGUAUCGUUGCUACUAAGGAUAAAAUGAUGGGGUCUAUCUCUACAUAGAUAGAUCUUGUCUACAUCAUGUCAUCGUUCUUAUUGCAUUACUCCCUUUCCCCAUGAACUUAAUACACUAGAUGCAUGCUGGAUAGCGGUCGAUGUGUGGAGUAAUAGUAGUACAUGCAGGCAGGAGUCGGUCUACUAAUCUUGGAUGUGAUGCCUAUAUAUUGAUCAUUGCCUGGAUAUCGUCAUGUUUAUUUGUAGUUCUAUCAAUUGCCCAACAGUAAUUUGCUUACCCAUCAUUUGCUAUUUUUCUCGAGAAAAGCCACUAGUGAAACCUAUGACCCCCGGGUCUCUUUCUCAUUUUAUUUGCCUUCGCAAUCUAUUUUAUUUGCCUUUCAUUUUCAGAUCUAUUAAACCAAAAAUACAAAAAUACCUUCUUGCGCUUUAUUCUUUUUUUUUUAUUUGGCGUUCGAUCUAUCAAUGUACUACAAUUAUCUCACGUAUGUUUGCCAAUUUCUGGCGCCGUUACCCGAAAGGGAUUGACAACCCCUUUAACAUGUCGGGUUGCGAGGAUUUGUUAUCUGUGUGCAGGGGUUGUUUACGUUGUGUUGCUAGGUUCUCCUACUAGUUCUAUAACCUUGGUUUCAUAUCUGAGGGAAAUACCUACCUCUGCUCUGCCGCAUCAUCCCUUCCUCUUUGGGGAAAUACUGACGUAGCUUCAAGCCGCAUCAACCGCUGCGAGUCCCUCUUGCUAGGCGAGGUGGGACUAAAUUUUAGCCAUUGCCAGGACAAGGCCUUUAGUCUCGGUUGAUGGCUCAAUUAAAAUAUUUUGUUAUGAUCCACUUAUAGAAAGUUAUAAUAUUCUUCAAUAGCAAAAAGAAUCAACUAAAAAUCUCUAGUACCGGUUCGUGGCAUGAACCGGUACUAAAGGUGCUGGUGGGGGGCCCAGCCUGACAACAGCCUGCCACCACCUCUUUAGUACCGGUUCGUGGAACGAACUGGUACUAAAGGUUCGCCACGAACUAGUACUAAUGAGCACCGCCCGCCUAGCUGUUGGAACCGACACUAAUGGUCACAUUAGUGCUGGUUCAGUUACAAACCGGGACUAAUGUGCUUCACAUUAGGCCCUUUUUCUACUAGUGUUGCUUCUCCGCCUCCAUCUCAAGCAUCCUCAUUUGCUUCUCUGCCUCCAUCUCAAGCCUCCUCCUUUAGAUCUUCAUGAAGGCGUUCAUUUGUUCUUCCUUGUCUUGUCGGCGCUUCUCCUCCCUUGAGUCCUUCUUAGUCAUCAUGCCCUCCAUGGUAGCGAUCAAGGCAUUGGACGCCGCAUCCCUCUUGUCCUACUUCUUGGAGUUGGUCUUCCCCCACGGCCGUGGCUUCUCGCCCUCCCCAACCUCCUCCACGACUUUCUCUCCCCCACGCAACAUGAGGGCGGCAUAUUGCACCUUGAACUUCUCCUCGUCUUUGAUGACCCUCCAACAAUGAGAGAGGUUGAAGGACUUACCAUCAUGUUGGACCUUGAAUGCCUCCAAAGCUUGGAAUGCCUACAAAUGAAAUGCAUGCAAGCAUAUUGGCAAAUGGAUAUGAAUAUGGACUUGCAAGAAUAAACGGAAGAGGGGCGCAUGCAUGCAUACCAUAUCUUGCAUGCCGAUGCCGCUCACCGGGCGUGACUUGAUGCUCUCAAAGGUGGCACAAAACUUGUCAUGCUCUUGUUGGAUCACCUUCCAUCGGUUCGAAAUGGACACCCACCCGCGCAUGCUUUAUAUCUGGUACGGCAGAAACUUCUUGCGUUCGUGGAACUCACGAUGGACACGAGUCCAAAAGGUUGAUUCCUUUUGUUCGGCACCGACCAUGGGGUCUUGCCCAAUGUCCCUCCAAAACUCACAAAGGAGCUUGUCCUCGACCGUGGUGUAUGCCUUCGUCCGCCUGCUCUUGUGCUUUGGCUUCAGCCCGGCGGCUUGGCUGGCGAGCCCGUCCUCUUCCUCAAGGCCGUAGUCCUCCGGAAACUCGUGGUCGAACAGGAAGUCGUCUAGGUCCAGGCCGAAGUGAUCUUGCAUGAAGGCGUCCUGCAUGCUAUCUUGAUCAUAGGUCGACGGCGUGAACGGCCCUCAGCCGUCCUGGCUUUGUGUCUCCUCUGAAUCGUAGGCAGCCGCGGCGGCACCACAGGCGGCCGACGUACCACCCUCGAAGAUGAUGCUCACCAUGAAACGGUCGGCCGUCUUGUCUUCGCCGGAUGACGAGGCACCGACUACCGGUGUGGCGUUGAGAUCGAUGGGCGCGGGCGCGGGCAUGGAAUGCGCCACCACGCUCACCUCCAGCGAGCAUUCCCUGAAGAAUUGGGAGGCUUGCAAGUAGACGUGGAAGCCGGGAAUCGAGUAAGACGCCGACGCGCGAGGCGACUCUGGGAGCACCAUCCGAGGAAACGCGGACGAGUCGGAGCUGGCCACGGCCACAGCGGCGUUGACGAGCCCGUGCUGGCCAGGGUUUAGCCCUAGGUAGAUUAGCGCCUCCCUCAUUGCCGCGGCGACGUGGGCGGCGGUGUCCUCCUGCUGCGCGGCGGCGGCCAUGGCGAUGGCAGCGGACGCUGCUUCGUCCCACGCGUCCGCCGCGUGCCUUCGGCCCUUUCGCUUCGGUGACUCCGCGGCCCGCUCCUCGGACGUCAGCUGCUUCUUCUUCUUGGGCACGGUGGCAGUCUUGCGGGAGGCGCGCGGCUUGCCUUUGCCGAAGGGGGCGGCUGUGAUGCUGGACGAGGCAAGGGCGACGAGGCCGCCGACAGUAUCGAGGUCCUCAUCCAUGGCGUGCGGCCGGGAGCGAGCACGGGCGGAAGGUUUUUGAGAAAGUGGACGAAAAUGUUGGAGGCUUUGCCACCAAUUGGCAGGUCAGGGGUAGUUGGCACGCAACGCGCUUCUCCGUCUCGUGUCGCGCGCCAACGCAAAUGAGGCUCAAAAUUGGGCUGAGAAUGGGUCGGCAGGCGAACGAAAAGCGGACACGCGUCCAUUUGGGUCGGCACAUUGUGCCGACUUUUCUGUCCGCACCGACCCAAAUGAACGCGCGCGAACGAAAUGGGUCGUCACGUUGGAGUUGCUCUUACGUGGCACUGUAACAAGAAAUGAGGACCAGUGGAAACCAGCAUAUGCACCUAGAAGAAUCGUAUGGAUCUGCAUAUGUAAUUGAUCUAUAUCAUACGGACCCAUAAAUGAUAGGAAGGUCCUAGCUACCAGGUACCAGCUAUCCUGGUUACUCCAUUUGCUGCCCCUCCAACCUGGGUUCCGGUCAUGUCCUCGGGGUCUGUCGGUGGUUCCGUGUUCUUGUUCUGGACGGACGCUUGUAAGAUCAGGUUUUCGAUCGGGAGCCUUCUGUUGACAUUAUAAAAGUGCGUGUAUUCAAAGGAGAUGUAUGCAUUUCUCCGUGACAAAGCAAAUUAAGUUCUGCUGCUAGCUAUUUUCAAAAAAGAGUCUUGCCCCACCACUUGCGUCGUUUGCAAAGCCCUUAAAUAUACUGAUAUGUUAUACACACACACAUAUACACAUGAGAUUUAAUUUUAAAGAGCACACGGACAUGUUCGUUCUCGUGUUAAUGAAAUCCUAGAAAAUCUCAUUAAUUAACCAUGGGAUCUAUAAUUCCGAGAUCUUUAGCUGUUGGAUGUAUGUAAUGCCUUAAGAUGCAUUAAAACAAAUAUACGUGAGAUUUAAUUUUAAAGGCCUUAAGGUGCAUAAAAAAUACGCAUGAGAUUUAAUUUUAAAUAGCACAAGGACAUGUUCAUUGUCGUGUUAAUGAAAUCCUAGAAAAUCUCAUUAAUUAACCUUCGGAUCUGUAACUCCGAGAUCUUUAGCCAUUGGAUUUACAUAAUGCCUCAACCUGCAUCAAAAAAAAUAUACGCAUGAGAUUUAAUUUUAAAGGCCUUAACCUGCAUAAAAAAAUAUACGCAUGAGAUUUAAUUUUAAAGAGCAGACAGACAUCUUCAUUGUCGUCCGCUGGCUGUAUGAAUUAGAAUAACAUAUAUUUACUUAGUUGGAUUAGAGAGAAGAGAAAAGAGAAGAGAAGUGGGCUCUGGAUUAAAGCAAGUACAAUAAAAUGACGUAGGCGGGCUAUAAAAGAUGUCAUCUUAAAUUUGUGCUUUUUUAGUUAACCUUAAAUUUGUGCUUAGUUGAAGGAGAGAGAAGCGGGCUACAAGUGUGACAAAAGCCUUUUUCAGUAGGCAGGCUACAAACUUACAAUCGACUGUAGCACGAGCUCAAACAACCUUUGUAAGAAGAUAUGGGCCAUAUAUUAAUUCACAGUGUGACUUAAUGUUGACAUGAAUUGAUACAGGUGGACAUAGUUAGAGCAACUCUAGCAGACCCCGCAUCCCGCCCCGACUGUUAAAAUAACCGCCAAAAUGCGGGUCGGGCAGGAAAACCAGCCCGAUCAGACCCCGCAUCCCGCCCCCGCCCGCAAAAAAAUUUAGGGGGCGCGGCAAAAUCCCAACCCCAACCCGGGAAAACGCGGGUUUCCCUCUCGCGGCUGCGGUGCCCUGCAUAUAGGAGGAAGCGGCUGGUGAGGGGACAUUUCAUGCCGCGCUUUCUCCCACCAACCACCUCUCCUCUCCCCCCUCGCGCCGCUGCCGGCCGCCGCCCAAGAUUCUGGCGAAAGCAGCCGGCAGGAGCACGCCGGAAGGCCGCCACGCACACGAGGCCUCCCCUUCCUCCCCCUGCGUCGGCGGGCCACCGGAUUUGCAGAUUUGCAGCACUUCAUCGCGGGUCGCCGGAUUUGGCUUUUUCCGGCCGCCGGUUGCUGUCCCAAGCUAUGGAGUGGUCGGGGAGCCUCUCCCACAGCCCAGGCAAGGGCGCAUUGCCGCAUGCAGGUACGGGUUCGUCCGCCCGCCGCCGCCGAAGGUUUGCGGGCUUGGACUCAUCCGGCCGUCCACCGGGCUCGGCGCUCACGCAGCGUCUUUGUGGCAUGCCGAUGCCGCUCAUAGAGUGUGACGACUGCACGCGGAAAGUGCUGCGGCUCACUUCGGGCACGCCGAAGCACCCUGGGUGGGUGUUCUUCAAAUGCGAAAAUGACGGGGUACGUGCACUUGCGGUAGCUCGUUUCAUAGUUCAUUCUUUAGUUCAACUGCGGUAGCUCACUUCGAGCUUGCUCACUCUUUUGUGUAGGACGAUGGAUGCUCAUUUUGGUUUUGGGAAGGCCAAUACAUUUAUUUGUUGAUAGAAAGAAACUUAAUAGAUGUUAGUGCACUCCUUAGUACAAUCGAAGGCAAUGAUGCGGCUGCAUGUGCAAAUAGAGGGGAAGCAACGUCUACUUCUUUCGAACCAAAGAUGAAGAAAGAAGAAUGCAAAAUCAAGAAUCCACAGAUCAACAACGAAUGCAUGGAGAAGAUAUUAGUCCAACUAGUGGGGGCAGUUAUGGAAGUUGGAAAUCUUCUAAAAUGCAUACUUGUGGUUCUUAUUUUCUUUGGUCUUGCUAUUCUAGCAAAGAUUUGGUGAUGUCUUUUGUAUCCAAUGUUGUUGAUAAAGCAAAGCAAUGCAAUAUGCUAGAUCAAAUUAAGGUGCAAAUUUAAGUUUUGCGGGCCGGGAGAAGUUGCACCAGAUCAGACGCGGCAACCCAACCCGUAAAAAAGCAUAUUCCAGGAAUAUCGUUUUUACGGAUCCAUUAUGCGGGGUCUGCAACUGCGGCCGUCCGCGCCGGCCCGCAAAGCCGUUUUCCCGCGAACUGCAAAAACGUUUAGCGGGUCGGGAGGAUGUGGGGUCUGCUAGAGUUGCUCUUACUCUGCGUCUGUAAAUAAAGGUCAUCAUUUUUAUUGCUCUAGGGACCCAUAAAUGAUAGGGACUGUCCGCUACCAGCUACCAGCUAGUAGCUACCCUGGUGACUACAUUUGCUGCCCCUCAAACAUGGGUUCCCGACAUGUUCUCAGGGUCUGUCGGUGGUUCCAUGUUCUGGCCUUUGGGGUUGGUUUAACUAGUGGUAUGGGGGUUCUUGCAUCGCCCUGUACUCUCGAUCGGGACCCUUUAAUUCUAGGUGACAUACAGUGCGUGUAUUUAAAGCCGAGGCAUGGAUCCUCCGUGCCAAAGAAAAUUAAUUCAGCGGCUACUCGGGGAGAGUUGUGGCAGCAUAUCCGGGAUGCCAGCUUUUUAUUUUGGGUUUUGAUUGUCAAAGUUUUAGAUCUUAAAAAAAACUAAAAUUAAGUGCUGUUUUCAUAUUCGUGUUUCUCGUGACCAGCGCCUUGAAAUAAUAUCCAUUUUGAAUAUAUUUUGACGACUUUGAAAAAUGUUAAGUUUCAAAUGUUGAAACUUAGUAUGAGCAACCAAUAAAAAUCAAUUAUUUUGUACCUACGCCUGACAGAAAAAUGCUUACAGUUAUAUCCCUGAAACUUGCUGAAACUUUGCAUUUUUCAUCAUUGAAACUUAAAACUGUUUAAGGGAUUUUCUUUUUUACUGUGCCCUCAUGUGGGAUUCAACUACUCUUUUCUCUCCGUGAGAUCCACAUAAAAAAAGCACAAAUUUAAGAUGAGUGCCCUGCACUUACAUGCCCCUGCGAAUUUCCGCAGCUACUAGCUAUUUUUGGAAGAAAAAAAUCUUGCCCCGCCACUCCCAUCAUUAGCAGAGCCCUUAAAUAUACUCACAUGUACCAAAUUACGAGUCAGAAUCAAACAUGCGUUGGCAUCAUUACCUACGAACUCUACUAAACAAUGUUCCAACUAUCCUGCGAGUCAAAUCUAAUAACUCUUGUCUUGCACGUUGCAUUGUCCAUUGGCAGAUCUUUUUAAGAAUUUUACGUCAGAUCUAAUUUUAUUUGAACGAAUGAAAGAUAAGCAAGUAGUAGUAAAAUCGACCCAAUUUGCACAGCCGAAAUGUGGACCAGACAAUUUACUCUUUGUUACGGGACUAAGAAAUUCGGACCGGCUAAUNNNNNNNNNNNNNNNNNNNNNNNNNNNNNNNNNNNNNNNNNNNNNNNNNNNNNNNNNNNNNNNNNNNNNNNNNNNNNNNNNNNNNNNNNNNNNNNNNNNNNNNNNNNNNNNNNNNNNNNNNNNNNNNNNNNNNNNNNNNNNNNNNNNNNNNNNNNNNNNNNNNNNNNNNNNNNNNNNNNNNNNNNNNNNNNNNNNNNNNNNNNNNNNNNNNNNNNNNNNNNNNNNNNNNNNNNNNNNNNNNNNNNNNNNNNNNNNNNNNNNNNNNNNNNNNNNNNNNNNNNNNNNNNNNNNNAUGUCUCCCAUUUCUCAAUCCCAUCCCGACGGUGUGUCUACCAUGUUUAGAGGGCGCAUGGGGGAGUUACUCCAUUGGUUCUCGCGGGAUUUGAUCGAUGAUGGUUUUCCGUGGAUUUCCUUGAAUCCAGUUUUUGUUCAUCCUCAUCCGUGCGUUUAAAUAUCCCAACAAGGCGAAGAUUUGGUUGUGCACAGGCAACUGAGGAGGUGACCUACUUCUUUACUGUCUCCUAUGUCCCUUGUUACCCACUGAUCCUAGAUCCACAGCUCGAGACCCCCUACCCUGAGGUCUACCAGUUUUACCACUGACAACCGGCCACAAGGGAGAAAUCCCUUUGAAUUUAGAGAUAAGAUCUUAUCUCUAGAUUUAACCCUUUAAAUUUAGAGAUAUGACCUUAUCUCUAGAUUUUAAAGACAUGGAACUUAGGGACGAUGCGGCCAGCCCAUGUGGGUUGUUGCCCCACCCCUCGGUCUAUGUGGGGACUUUUCGGGUCGUUGGGCCCCAUGGUGGAACCCCGGAACAUUUCCGGUACUCUACCAAAUAUUCCCAAACUUUUCUGGAACCCAUAAAACCACUUUCCUUACAUAACUCUUUACCUCCAGAGCUCCUCGUGAUGUCCCGGAUUCUAUCCAGGACUCUGAACUACCUUCAGACUUACCACUAUGAAUGUCCCAAAACUAUCCAAUAGUGGUAAGUCUGAACGUUAAGUGUGUGACCCUGCGGGUUCGAGAACAUGCAUAAAUGACCGAGACACCUCUCCAAUCAAUAAUCAAUGAACAUCUUUAUCGGUUUGAACCACGAUGUCAAUGAUUCAGUUAAUCCCGUAUACAAUUCCCUUUGUCCAAUGAUUUGUUAUUUGCCCGAGAUUCGAUCGUCAGUAUCGCCAUACCUAGUUCAAUCUCAUUACCGGCAAGCCCCUUUACUCAGUCCUUAAUACAAGAUCCACGUGACUAAACACAUUGGUCACAUGCUUCCAAUCUAUUCACGAUGUUGUAUUACCGAGAGGACCUAGAGAUAUCUCUCUGUCAUAUGGAGUGACAAAUCCUACACUCGAUCUAUGUAACCCAACAAACACUUUCUGAGAUACCUAUAGAGCACCUUUCUGAUCACCCAGUUACGAAGUGACGUUUGUUUACCCAUAAUGUAUUCUUCCAGUAUUAGGGAGUGGCACGAUCUCAUGGUCUAAGGAACAGAUUCUUGACAUGAAGAAAGUUGUAGAAAAUAAACUAAGUGAUACGAUCUGAUGCUAAGCUUAUGGUUGGGUCUGUCCAUCACAUCAUAAUCCUAAUGAUGUGAUCCCAUUAUUAAAUGAUAACUCGUGUCUAUGGUUAGGAAACCUUAACCAUCUUUAAUUAAUGAGCUAGCCUAGUAGAGGCUCACUAGGGACACGUUGUCUAUUUAUGUAUCCACACAUGUAUUUAAGUCUCUGGUCAAUACAAUUCUAGCAUGCAUAAUAAAUAUUUAUCAUGAACACGGAAAUACGACAAUAACAUCUUUCUUAUUGCCUCUAGGACAUAUUUCCUACAGAUUAGUAGGAUAAAAGAUCAAGGUGGCCUUGGCAUUCAUGGCAUGAAGGUCAAGAAGGAUGCCUUACAUAGGAAAUGGUUAUUCAAAAUACUUACUAGGGGUGGCGUUUGGCAAACCUGUUGCGAAAGAAGUAUCUAAUACUAUGCCAAAAACUUAUCUCUCACACAUAUUGGAAAGCUGGUGACUCACACUUUUCGGGUGGUGUCGUGGAAUUCUCACGGCAGAUGUCCUAGUGUGAGGACUUAGUCGUGAGGCCAACGCAUCUAUGUGGUAGCUUGAGAGGGGUUGAUUGGGACGAGAGACGCAACACACAAGACAAGAAUUUAGACAGCUUCGGGCCCCAGGAAACAUCAUCCAAUAAUAGCCCUACAUGCUGUUUGUGGCUAGGUCUCAUUAUGAUCAUGAGAGAGUCAUCGGUAAGCCGGCUCUUUGUGUCUAGCCCUAGAGAUUGUUUCUUGUUUCUUGUCCCUCUUGGGGUGCCCUGCCCCUCCUUAUAUAAGUUAGAGGGGCGGGUUACAUAUGGAGUCCUAGUAGGAUUAGGACUAGUCUAUCUUUCUUUACAAGUUGAAUACAAGUCCGGGUCUUGCUUCCUUGUGAAGGAAAUAAUCCUCACGCCUUUCAUCUUAAACCGGCCCACCAAAGUAUAAGCCAGCCUGCUGGGCCUUGGGCCUUGUCGUCCGUCUGAUCAGCCCGCCGGGUCUCCAGUGAAUUACAAUGUCCAGGCGGGUUACCCUGUGAACCGCCAUGUUCGGGCGGAUCGCCAGUGAGUCGCCAAGCUCCAGCCAGGUCUCUGGUGAGUCGCCAAGUCCGGCCGGGUCAUACCGCGGGGUAUAUCCCCGACAUUAGCCCCCAGUUUAAUUUGGAUUUAUCCAUGUUAAACUGAUCCUGCAACAUAAACACAAGAACAAAUUUGACAGGUUGUGCUCCGGGUUAAAUAUUCUUGUAAGCCGGCACCUGAUCAUCCUUAAGUCCUUGACAUUUUCUCCUGAAAUAUCCGGGUCAAUAUUGGUCUUGAAAUAUCCAGCUUCAUAAUCCAUUUGCUGACAUUGGCUCUUGUAAAGAAAUAUUAUAAGAAAUAAUCCAUUUGAUUCGGCCUUCAAUGCUCUGAUUUGACAAAAAUAUUGCUCUUGAAAUAUCCAACUGAUAUUCAGCCGGCUUAAAGAUGUAGAUUCUUGCCGACGAUUGCCACAAUUGUCGGGUUAGAAAUAAAUGAUGCCGGGUCAUGAUUGUUGCAGACACCGGGUUAAUCUGGUCUACUCCAAACUGAGAAUUUGAAGAUUUUUUUCUCCCUUAUAUGCAUAUUACCUGUAGCCCCUAAGUCUUAAGGGGAGAACAUAGUGAUAACUUAAGACUUGCUUCAAUAUAAGUGUUGCAACCUUGAAGAAAUCCGGUUUAUUCAUCUCAAUCAUUAGUCAUAAGCUGAAUAUUCCACAUUCCACAUAUGUAGCCCCCAAGUGCCGAGUUGUCAUGCUUGCAGCAACCUGGGACUUGUAAUUGCCUUAUGCUCAUAAAAACUUCAACUAGUGUAGCCCCCAAGGGCCGGGUCAUUAUGCAAUAAUGAGCAGGGACUUUGUAAAUAUGAUCAUGUAAACUUGACCAGCAACGUGUAGCCCCCAAGGGCCGGGUCAGUAAGAUAUUACCGAGCUGGGACUUUGUAUAUGAUUCAUCGAUAAUAACAGCAUAUGAUGUGAUCUCCACCAUGGGGUUUGAACCCACGUCCAUAAGGUUAAGAGCUUUGUACUCUACCAACUGAGUAGUGGAUCUUUCAAUAUAAUGGAUUAAGGCUUGUGUACCUUGAAUUUUCGACAAGAGCAAUUGGUAGCCCCCAAGGGCCGGCUCAUUUAGAAUGUGAUGAGUCGGGUCUUCAAUAAGUUGAACAAAAAAUGACUUUGCAUUAGCCCCCAAGUGCAAUGGUACAUGCUGGCAGUAACAUGGGACUUGCAUAUUCGAUGUAAUAUCAAUUUGAAUAAUGUAGUCCCCAAGUGCCAGGUCGUAAGCCUGCAGCGACUCGGGACUAUUCCUUACAUUAUAGAAUAAAUCAUAUCCAUCGAUAAAAUAAUAGCCAUUGCGCCAAAGCGACUUUGAAUACCUCAUCUGUUGAUAAGUAAAUCCGGAGUUUAAAUACCCGGCGGCUCUUGGCCGAUGGCGAUUUAAUACGCCUCCAUUGUAAGCCGGAAUUUUUAUAAUCCGGCGGCUUAUAGCCUUUCAGAACAUCAAGAAUUGAUAACCCUUCUGAGACUCCAAUUUCAAUCUAUGAUGAUGGGCUUGAACUUAAUCAUUUAUGUAAGUCAUAGCUCUGCAAAUCCUGCAUAGAGUUUAAACAACAUAUGCCCUGGCGACUUAACGUCAAGCCAGGGCGGGUAACCACCCAAAUGUAGUAUCCUGCACACAAGUAGAUCACAAGAUCCCUUGGCGGUUUACCGCAGGGCGGGUCAUAAUAUCUCACUGUUGGAAAUAUGCCCUAGAGGCAAUAAUAAAAUGGUUAUUAUUGUAUUUCCUUGUUCAUGAUAAUUGUCUGGUGUUCAUGCUAUAAUUGUAUUAACUGGAAACCGUAAUACAUGUGUGAAUACAUAGACCACAACAUGUCCCUAGUAAGCCUCUAGUUGACUAGCUCGUUGAUCAAUAGAUGGUUAUGGUUUCCUGACCAUGGACAUUGGAUGUCAUUGAUAACGGGAUCACAUCAUUAGGAGAAUGAUGUGAUGGACAAGACCCAAUCCUAAGCAUAGCACAAGAUCGUGUAGUUCGUUUGCUAGAGCUUUUCUAAUGUCAAGUAUCAUUUCCUUAGACCAUGAGAUUGUGCAACUCCCGGAUACCGUAGGAAUGCUUUGGGUGUACCAAACGUCACAACGUAACUCGGUGGCUGUAAAGGUGCACUACAGGUAUCUCCGAAAGUGUCUGUUGGGUUGGCACGAAUCGAGACUGGGAUUUGUCACUCCGUAUGACGGAGAGGUAUCUCUGGGCCCACUCGGUAAUGCAUCAUCAUAAUGAGCUCAAUGUGACUAAGGAGUUAGCCACGGGAUCAUGCGUUACAGUACGAGUAAAGUGACUUGCCGAUAACGAGAUUGAACAAGGUAUUGGGAUACCGACGAUCGAAUCUCGGGCAAGUAACGUACCGAUUGACAAAGGGAAUUGUAUAUGGGAUUGAUUGAAUCCUCGACAUCGUGGUUCAUCCGAUGAGAUCAUCGUGGAACAUGUGGGAGCCAACAUGGGUAUCCAGAUCCCGCUGUUGGUUAUUGACCGGAGAGUCGUCUCGGUCAUGUCUGCAUGUCUCCCGAACCCGUAGGGUCUACACACUUAAGGUUCGGUGACGCUAGGGUUGUAGAGAUAUUAGUAUGCGGAAAUCCGAAAGUCGUUCGGAGUCCCGGAUGAGAUCCCGGACGUCACGAGGAGUUCCGGAAUGGUCCGGAGGUAAAGAUUUAUAUAUGGGAAGUCCUAUUUUGGCCACCGGAAAAUGUUCGGGAAUUUUCGGUAUUGUACCGGGAAGGUUCUAGAAGGUUCCGAAGUGGGGCCCACCUGCAUGGGGGACCCACAUGAACGUGGGUAGUGGGGGCAAGGCCCCACACCCCUGGUCAAGGCGCACCAAGAUCCCACCUUAGAAGGAAUAAGAUCAUAUCCCGAAGGGAUAAGAUCAAGAUCCCUAAAAAAGGGGAUAACAAUCGGUGGGGAAGGGAAAUGAUGGGAUUUCUUUCCCCCACCUUUGCCAACGCCCCAAUGGACUUGGAGGGCAAGAAACCAGCCCCCUCCACCCCUAUAUAUAGUGGGGAGGCGCAUGGGAGCAGCAACCCAAGCCCUGGCGCCUCCCUCCCUCCCGUGACACCUCUUCCUCCCCGCUUGCGCUUGGCGAAGCCCUGCCGGGAUCCCGCUACUUCCACCACCACGCCGUCGUGCUGCUGGAUCUCCAUCAACUUCUCCUCCCCCCUUGCUGGAUCAAGAAGGAGGAGACGUCCCCGCUCCGUACAUGUGUUGAACGCGGAGGUGCCGUCCGUUCGGCGCUAGGUUCAUCGGUGAUUUGGAUCACGACGAGUAUGACUCCAUCAACCCCGUUCUCUUGAACGCUUCCGCUCGCGAUCUACAAGGGUAUGUAGAUGCACUCCUCCCCUCUCAUUGUUAGCAUCUCCUAGAUUGAUCUUGGUGACACAUAGGAAAAUUUUGAAUUUCUGCUACGUUCGCCAACAGUGGCAUCAUGAGCCAGGUUUAUGCGUAGAUUCUAUGCAUGAGUAGAACACAAAGUAGUUGUGGGCGACGAUUUGUUCAAUUUUCUUACCGUUACUAGUCUUAUCUUGAUUCGGCGGCAUUGUGGGAUGAAGCGGCCCGGACCGACCUUACACGUACUCUUACGUGAGACAGGUUCCACCGACUGACAUGCACUUGAUGCAUAAGGUGGCUAGCGGGUGUCUGUCUCUCCCACUUUAGUCGGAUCGGAUUCGAUGAAAAGGGUCCUUAUGAAGGGUAAAUAGCAAUUGGCAUAUCACCGUUGUGGCUUUUGCGUAGGUAAGAAACGUUCUUGCUAGAAACCCAUAGCAGCCACGUAAAACAUGCAACAACAAUUAGAGAACGUCUAACUUGUUUUUGCAGGGUAUGCUAUGUGAUGUGAUAUGGCCAAAAGGAUGUGAUGAAUUAUAUAUGUGAUGUAUGAGAUUGAUCAUGUUCUUGUAAUAGGAAUCACGACUUGCAUGUCGAUGAGUAUGACAACCGGCAGGAGCCAUAGGAGUUGUCUUAAUUUGUUGUAUGACCUGUGUGUCAAUGAAAAACGCCAUGUAAUUACUUUACUUUAUUGCUAACCGUUAGCCAUAGUAGUAGAAGUAAUAGUUGGUGAGACAACUUCAUGAAGACACGAUGAUGGAGAUCAUGGUGUCAUGCCGGUGACGAAGGUGAUCAUGCCGCGCCUCGAAGAUGGAGAUCAAAAGGCGCAAGAUGAUAUUGGCCAUAUCAUGUCACUUUAUGAUUUGCAUGUGAUGUUUGUCAUGUUUACAUCUUAUUUUCUUAGAACGACGGUAGCAUAAAUAAGAUGAUCCCUCACUAAAAUUUCAAGAGAUGUGUUCCCCCUAACUGUGCACCGUUGCGAAGGUUCGUUGUUUCGAAGCACCACGUGAUGAUCGGGUGUGAUAGAUUCUAACGUUCGCAUACACCGGGUGUUGACGAGCCUAGCAUGUACAGACAUGGCCUCGGAACACAAGCAAAACACUUAGGUUGACUUGACGAGCCUAGCAUGUACAGACAUGGCCUCGGAACACAAGAGACCGAAAGGUCGAACAUGAGUCGUAUAGUAGAUACGAUCAACAUGGAGAUGUUCACCGAUGAUGACUAGUCCGUCUCACGUGAUGAUCGGACACGGCCUAGUCGAUUCGGAUCAUGUAUCACUUAGAUGACUAGAGGGAUGUCUAUCUAAGUGGGAGUUCAUUAAAUAAUCAAAUGAACUUAAUUAUCAUGAACAUAGUCAAAAGGUCUUUGCAAAUAAUGUCGUAGCUUACGCUUUAGUUCUACUAAGAUAUUUUCCUAGAGAAAAUUUAGUUGAAAGUUGAUAGUAGCAAUUAUGCGGACUAGGUCCGUAAACUGAGGAUUGUCCUCAUUGCUGCACAGAAGGCUUAUGUCGUUAAUGCACCGCUCGGUGUGCUGAACCUCGAGCGUCGUCUGUAGAUGUUACGAAACAUCUGACAUACAUGUUUUGAUGACUACGUGAUAGUUCAGUGUGUGAUGCUAACGGUUUAAAAUUGUGGCACCAAAGACGGUUUUGAAAUGUCGCAGAACAUAUGAGAUGUUCCAAAGACUGAAAUUGGGAUUUCAGACUAAUGCCCACGUCAAGAGGUAUGAGACCUCUGACAAGUUUCUUAAGCCUGCAAACUAAGGGAGAAAAGCUCAAUCGUUGAGCAUGUGCUCAGAUUGUCUGAGUACUACAAUCACUUGAAUCGAGUGGGAGUUAAUCUUCCAGAUGAGAUAGUGAUGGUUCUCCAUAGUCACUGCCACCAAGCUAUUAGAGCUUCGUGAUGAACUAUAACAUAUCAGGGAUAGACAUGAUGAUCCUUGAGCAACUCGCGAUGUUUGACACCGCGAAAGUAGAAAUCAAGAAGGAGCAUCAAUUGUUGAUGGUUAGUAAAACCACUAGUUUCUAGAAGGGCAAGGGCAAGAAGGGAUACUUCAUGAAACGGCAAAUCAGUUGCUGCUCUAGUGAAGAAACCCAAGGUUGAACCCAAACCCGAGACUAAGUGCUUCUGAAAUGAGGGGAACGGUCACUGAAGCAGAACUACCCUAGAUACUUCGUAGAUGAGAAGGCUGGCAAGGUCGACCGAAGUAUAUUGGAUAUACAUUAUAUUAAUGUGUACUUUACUAGUACUCCUAGUAGCACCAGGGUAUUAGAUACCGGUUCGGUUGCUAAGUGUUAGUAACUCGAAAUAAAAUAUGCGGAAUAAACGAAGACUAGCUAAAGGUGAGAUGACGAUAUGUGUUGGAAGUGUUUCCAAGGUUGAUGUGAUCAAGCAUCGCAUGCUCCCUCUACCAUCGAGAUUGGGGUUAAACCUGAAUAAUUAUUAUUUGGUGUUUGCAUUGAGCAUAGACAUGAUUGGAUUAUGUUAUCGCAAUACGGUUAUUCAUUAAAGGAGAAUAAUGGUUACUCUGUCUAUUUGAAUAAUACCUUCAAUGGUCUUGCACCUAAAAUGAAUGGUUUAUUGAAUCUCGAUCGUAGUGAUACACAUGUUCAUGCCAAAAGAUAUAAGAUAGUAAUGAUAGUACCACAUACUUGUGGCACUGCCAUUUGAGUCAUAUUGGUAUAAAACGCAUGAACAAGCUCCAUGUUGAUGGAUCUUUGGACUCACUCGUUUUUGAAAAGAUUGAGACAUGCGAACCAUGUCUAUUAGUAUAUAUGCAUGAAGAAAGUCCAUACAGAUGGAUCAUUUGGACUCACUUGAUUUUGAAUCACUUGAGACAUGCAAAUCAUACCACAUGGGCAAGAUGACUGAAAGGCCUCGUUUUCAGUAAGAUGGAACAAGAGAGCAACUUGUUGGAAGUAAUACAUUUGAUGUGUGCAGUCCAAUGAGUGCUGAGGCACGCAGUGGAUAUCGUUAUGUUCUUACUUCACAGAUGAUUUGAGUAGAUGCUGAGAAUAUUUACUUGAUGAAACACAAGUUUGAAUUAUUGAAAGGUUCAAGUAAUUUCAGAGUGAAGUUGAAGAUCGUCGUGACAAGAGGAUAAAAUGUCUGUGAUAUGAUCAUAGAGGUGAAUAUCUGAGUUACGAGUUUGGCACACAAUUAAUAAAUUGUGGAAAUUGUUUCACGACUAAUACCGCCUGGAACACCAUAUUGUGAUGGUGUGUCCGAACAUCAUAACUGCACCCUAUUGGAUAUGGUGCAUACCAUGAUGUCUCUUAUCGAAUUACAACUAUCGUUUAUGGGUUAGGCAUUAGAGACAACCGCAUUCACUUUAAAUAGGGAACCACGCAAUUCCGUUGAGACGACACCGUAUGAACUAUGGUUUAGAGAAACCUAAGCUGUCGUUUCUUAAAAGUUUGGGGCUGCGACGCUUAUGUGAAAAAGUUUCAGGCUGAUAAGCUCGAACCCAAAGCGGAUAAAUGCAUCUUCAUAGAAUACCCAAAACAGUUGGGUAUACCUCCUAUUUCAGAUCUGGAAGCAAAAGUGAUUGUUUCUAGAAAUGGGUCCUUUCUCGAGGAAAAGUUUCUCUCGAAAGAAUUGAGUGGGAGGAUGGUGGAGACUUGAUGAGGUCAUUGAACCGUCACUUCAACUAAUGUGUAGCAGGGCACAGGAAGUUGUUCCUGUGGCACCUACACCAAUUGAAGUGGAAGCUUAUGAUAGUGAUCAUGAAACUUCAGAUCAACUCACUACCAAACCUCAUAGGACGACAAGGAUGCGUACUACUUCAGAGUGGUACGUAAUCCUGUCUUGGAAGUCAUGUUGCUAGACAACAAUGAACCUACGAGCUAUGGAGAAGCGAUGGUGGGCCCGGAUUCCGACGAAUGGCUCGAGGCCAUAAAAUCCGAGAGGAUCCAUGUAUGAAAACAAAGUAUAGACUUUGGAAGAACUACUUGAUGGUCGUAAGGCUGUUGGGUACAGAUGGAUUUUAAAGGGAAGACAAACAAUGAUGGUAAGUGUCACCAUUAAGAAAGCUCGACUUGUCGUUAAGAUGUUUUCCGGCAAGUUCAAGGAGUUGACUGCGAUGAGACUUUCUCACUCGUAGCGAUGCUAAGAGUCUGUUAGAAUUAUAUUAGCAGUUACUGCAUUAUUUAUGAAAUCUUGCAGAUAGGAUGUCAAAACAUUGUUUCCUCGACGAUUUUCUUGAGGAAAGGUUGUAUGUGAUACAACCAGAAGGUUUUGUCAAUCCUGAAAGAUGCUAACAAGUAUGCAAAGCUCCAGCAAUCCUUCUAAGGAUUGGAGUAAGCAUCUCGGAGUUGGAAUGAACGCUUUGAUGAGAUGAUCAAAGAUUUUGGGUUUAUACAAAGUUCAUGAGAAACUUGUAUUUCCAAAGAAGUCAGUGGGAGCACUAUAGAAUUUUUGAUGAGUAUAUGUUGUUAACAUAUUGUUGAUCAGAAAUGAUGUAGAAUUUCUGGAAAGCAUCCAGGGUUGUUUGAAAAGUGUUUUUAAUGGAAAACCUAGAUUAACCUACUUGAACAUUGAGCAUCAAGAUCUAUAAGGAUAGAUCAAAAAUGCUUAAUAGUACUUUCAAAUGAAUACAUACCGUGACAAGAUUUUGAAGGAGUUCAAAAUAGAUCAGCAAAGAAGGAGUUCUUGGCUGUGUUACAAGGUGUGAGUAUUGAGUAAGACUCAAGACCUGACCACGGCAGAAGAAAGAGAAAGGACGAAGGUCGUCCCCUAUGCUUUAGACGUAGGCUUUGCAAUAUGCUAUGCUGUGUACCGCACCUGAAGUGUGCCUUGCCAUGAGUUAGUCAAGGGGUACAAUAGUGAUCCAGCAACGAAUCACAUGACAGCGGUCGAACUUAUCCUUAGUAUCUAGUGGACUAAGGAAUUUUCUUGAUUAUGGAGGUGGAAAGGGGGUUCGUCGUAAAGGGUUAUGUCGAUACAAACUUUGACACUAAUCCGGAUGACUCUGAGUAGUGAACCAGAUUCGUAUAGUAGAGCAGUUAUUUGGAAUAGCUCCAAGUAGCGCGUGGUAGCUGCAUCUACAAGAUGACAUAGAGAUUUGUAAAGCACACACGGAUCUGAAUGUGGCAGACCCGUUGACUAAAACCUCUCUCGUAAGCAUAACAUGAUCAAACCCUAGAACUCAUUGACUGUUAAUCACAUGGUGAUGUGAACUAGAUUAUUGACUCUAGUAAACUCUUGGGUAUUAGUCACAUGGCGAUGUGAACUUUGAGUGUUAAUCACAUGGUGAUGUGAACUAGAUUAUUGACUCUAGUGCAAGUGGAAGACUGUUGGAAAUAUGCCCUAGAGGCAAUAAUAAAAUGGUUAUUAUUGUAUUCCCUUGUUCAUGCUAUAAUUGUAUUAACUGGAAACCGUAAUACAUGUGUGAAUACAUAGACCAGAACAUGUCCCUAGUAAGCCUCUAGUUGACUAGCUCGUUGAUCAAUAGAUGGUUAUGGUUUCCUGACCAUGGACAUUGGAUGUCAUUGAUAACGGGAUCACAUCAUUAGGAGAAUGAUGUGAUGGACAAGACCCAAUCCUAAGCAUAGCACAAGAUCGUGUAGUUCGUUUGCUAGAGCUUUUCUAAUGUCAAGUAUCAUUUCCUUAGACCAUGAGAUUGUGCAACUCCCGGAUACCGUAGGAAUGCUUUGGGUGUACCAAACGUCACAACGUAACUCGGUGGCUGUAAAGGUGCACUACAGGUAUCUCCGAAAGUGUCUGUUGGGUUGGCACGAAUCGAGACUGGGAUUUGUCACUCCGUAUGACGGAGAGGUAUCUCUGGGCCCACUCGAUAAUGCAUCAUCAUAAUGAGCUCAAUGUGACUAAGGAGUUAGCCACGGGAUCAUGCGUUACGGUACGAGUAAAGUGACUUGCCGGUAACGAGAUUGAACAAGGUAUUGGGAUACCGACGAUUGAAUCUCGGGCAAGUAACGUACCGAUUGACAAAGGGAAUUGUAUACGGGAUUGAUUGAAUCCUCGACAUCGUGGUUCAUCUGAUGAUAUCAUCGUGGAACAUGUGGGAGCCAACAUGGGUAUCCAGAUCCCGCUGUUGGUUAUUGACCGGAGAGUCGUCUCGGUCAUGUCUGCAUGUCUCCCGAACCCGUAGGGUCUACACACUUAAGGUUCGGUGACGCUAGGGUUGUAGAGAUAUUAGUAUGCCGAAAUCCGAAAGUCGUUCGAAGUCCCGGAUGAGAUCCCGGACGUCACGAGGAGUUCCGGAAUGGUCCGGAGGUAAAGAUUUAUAUAUGGGAAGUCCUAUUUUGGCCACCGGAAAAUGUUCGGGAAUUUUCGGUAUUGUACCGGGAAGGUUCUAGAAGGUUCCGAAGUGGGGCCCACCUGCAUGGGGGGACCCACAUGAACGUGGGUAGUGGGGGCAAGGCCCCACACCCCUGGUCAAGGCGCACCAAGAUCCCACCUUAGAAGGAAUAAGAUCAUAUCCCGAAGGGAUAAGAUCAAGAUCCCUUAAAAAGGGGGAUAACAAUCGGUGGGGAAGGGAAAUGAUGGGAUUUCUUUCCGCCACCUUUUCCAACGCCCCAAUGGACUUGGAGGGCAAGAAACCAGCCCCCUCCACCCCUAUAUAUAGUGGGGAGGCGCAUGGGAGCAGCACCCCAAGCCCUGGCGCCUCCCUCCCUCCCGUGACACCUCUUCCUCCCCGCUUGCGCUUGGCGAAGCCCUGCCGGGAUCCCGCUACUUCCACCACCACGCCGUCGUGCUGCUGGAUCUCCAUCAACUUCUCCUCCCCCCUUGCUGGAUCAAGAAGGAGGAGACGUCCCGCUCCGUACGUGUGUUGAACGCGGAGGUGCCGUCCGUUCGGCGCUAGGUUCAUCGGUGAUUUGGAUCACGACGAGUACGACUCCAUCAACCCCGUUCUCUUGAACGCUUCCGCUCGCGAUCUACAAGGGUAUGUAGAUGCACUCCUCCCCUCUCGUUGCUAGCAUCUCCUACAUUGAUCUUGGUGACACGUAGGAAGAUUUUGAAUUUCUGCUACGUUCCCCAACACUCACAUAUAACCACUAUGAUAUUGAAUUUGUACUGCCGGUUUACAUGACCUGUGCAAUAAGGGUGAUAACCCAAUCUUUAGAAAUCAAGACUUCCAAAUGUUUAUGAUUGUCAUAUGAUGGCGACUUAUCAACCAAAGUCAAGCCGGGUUAAUCGAAGCCACAUAUAUACUUCAGAUAUGAUCAAAAGAACUUCAAAUAAAAUACAAAAUUUUGUUUGCAAAAAGAGACUUCAAAAAUUUUGAGGCUUCUGAUUCGAAUACUAUCAGAAAACCGUCCCAAAGGGGUUAAGCUAAGAUUCGAAUACGAUCAUAUAGCCCCCAGUGGCUUUGGCGUUGCCGAUCAAGAGGGUACCGACAGCUAUGUUCUCUUUGGUUCGAAUACGACCUAUGUUUGAACAGGAAGCCCCCAAAUGACCUGGAGAGUUGUUUAACGACGCUGAUUCGAAUACGAUCCAUGUCGGUUCCCAAAAGGGGUUGAGCUAUGAUUCGAAUACGAUCAAGAAGCCCCCUAGUGAGCUCAGCAGUGUGCCGAUCAAGAGGGUACCGACAGCUAUGUUCUCUUUGGUUCGGAUACGACCUAUGUUUGAACAGGAAGCCCCCAAGUGAUCUUGAGAAUAUUUAACGACUCUCAUUCCAAUACGAUCAGGGUCACACCAAAAGGGUUAAGCUAAAUUUGAAUACGAUCAGCUCCCAACGGUCAUUAAAGCAGGUAGUUAUGUUUGAGUUGUGCUUUGUAACAGACUCUCCUUGGUCCCUUUAAUUUUUCUUGAAAACUUGAACUUUGCGAGAGAUAAAAUCUUUUUAAAACCGGAAGUUCUUAAACCGGAUAUUAAGAGUUUCAAAGCAUGGUGAUAGACAAAUUUACCUUGAACCGGGUUUUGAACCGGAUUUGAGAUCUUCAAAGCAUUGUGGCAGAUAAAUUUCAUUUGAACCGGAUUUUAAACCGGACAUUAAGAGCUUCAAUGCUUUGUGGGAGAUGUCAAGUCUCUUGAUAAGGAUCUAAACCGGAAUCCUUCUUUUUAAGCCAGAUAUUUUUCUGACGGUCUUUAAAUUUUUACCAAUAUGGCGGUAGCCUCCGGGACCGGGUUAUUUUUUUCCUCCAAUGACCCAGAGUUCUUGAAUGCAUUGAAACCGACCAAUGUUGCCGAGUCAUAUCAUUGUAACCCCUGAGUCUCAAAACGACUCAAGGAGUUGGCUUUGAGAUUCUCCAUAUUGACCAUAGCAUAAGGUGUAUAUCAUUGGUGUUGAUAGUGCGAUGUGAAUCCACAGAAGGUUGAGGUGACUGCGGCGGAUUAUAAAUGAUCAUGUAUGAGCCGUGUCAGCAACUCGGCCAAUGGUCCCUUCCAACUGGCUGUUUGAAGUUAACCAAACUAUAGUGGCGGCGACUUGUGCGCCUGCCCAUUUAAACCAUCCAGUGUAGACGGCGGCUGAUAAUACAUGAUAAUUUGCCUCCAAUUUUGUUGGAAGAAAAACCAGGCUUCCCAAGCAGUGACUUGCUCAUACUCGAUGAUCAGCUCACGCAGACAGGUGCGGCCCGGUAUGUUGAUAUAGACCAGGCCGCAAGAGACAGAUGGUAAAAACAACCGUGGCAUCAAAGGUGGUACAGACAGAUGAGUUGGUCACGACGUUGUAAACCGGUGUGGUCGGGCGAGUCAAUCGCCGGCGCGGUAAGCCGCGCGGAUGGGCGAGUCAACCACGUCGUGUUGAUGUAGUGAACAAUUGUCCUACAUCAAAAACAUCGCAAGCAAGAGUAAUUGCUCUUUUUUAAAGAAAACAAUAUAUAAUAUAUAAAAAUUUACUGGAUUGAUUUCACCUGAUAUGUUAGGCCAGAAAAUAUCCACCGCGGAGUUGAUCAUCACGACGGUGAAGCUGAAAUCAAUCACGGCCGAGUCGGCCGCGGGAACAGACAGACGGGUCGGCCGCGGCGUUGUAAGCCGGUGCGGUCGGGCGAGUCAAUCGCAUGAGCGAUAAGCCACGCGGACGCUGAGUCGGCCGCGGGGGCGGACAGGUAAGUUGUCCGUCACAUUGUAAGGCGGCGCGUUGAUGUAGACCGGACCACAGGGGCGGUGGCUUGCGCCCACCUGUUGACCAGUAAGCGGUCGCAGAUGCCGUUGCAUGAUGAUGCUACCGCACACUCCAUGGAUACGGCAUUACACCAUCUUUAUGAUGAAUCCUUGUCCUGCACAUAAAAGUGUACAUAGCAAAGCGAUUGUUUUUUGACAAAAAACAAUAUGCGCUUAAUAAAAUAAUCUUAGAUGGAUAUCACCUGAUUUGUUCGGAUGACCGAUGAUCCAUUCAAUGCAACAAAAAACGGCUCUGGUAGACCGGUAACCCAUGGCGAGUCAACACAGCAGAAGCGACUCAACGCAGCCCCGGCAGCUCGAGGCACGGCGGGUCUCAGCUCACGGCGGGUUGAGGUGUGGCGGUUCAAGGUCACAGCGGGGGGACUCGCAGGCUCAGGCGAGGCCGUUUUGAAGAUGGUUGGCAGCGGCGCGGUGACUCGCCACGGUGCGCCGAAAUAGCAGCAGCGUAGUGGGAGAAACAGCCGGUCUGUUGAUUUUGACCGUGAUGUGAAGCUCGCGGGGCAGCCACGAAGGCGCUGGGACGGAGUGGCUCCGAUGUGCGAGACGUGCCACCACAAGGACGCACGUAGGAGAAGACCAGAGGGGCAUCGAAGUCGGGUCCGCGGCGGCUCUGGAGAUGACAAGUGUGCGGGAGGCAAGGCCGUGCUGGCCAGCAGAAAACGGCGAGGUGCCGGCGACUUAGCGUAAAACCGCGGGUCAGAGGCGGCUCGGAGUUGAGUCCAUGUCCUGCUCUGGUCGUUGUUGGUUUGACAAUUCCCUUUAAGUGCUCCUUUAAAAUUUCCUUCAUCACACGUGGUGUCGUGCCAGGCAACAGCAUGGCCGGACUAAAAAUCCACUAGACCUUGAUUUUUAAUGCUCCUGUAGAUCUUGGGGACUGCGUGUGAGCUGACUAUUAAAACCUUCAAAUUCAUGCACGUACAGUGGCUGUACUAGUUGAUGCUACGUGCAGAAGGUAAGGUAAUCUAUCAGGCUUUGUUUUUCGCGUUGAUCAGCACUUGGACCCUUGAUCAACAGUUGGCUUGAUCCGGAGACUUCACAGGGCUGAAGCAAACUGUCUUGAUCGCCGCUGUACCAACAGAUGGCGCUCGUGACGCGUGUUUGGCUGUCUUUGAUCACCUCGGACUUGGACAGCUAUAUAUGGACCAGCAGAAGCGACCUGGCGAAUCGGACACGGCGGCUAGAUUUGACAGCGGCACAGUAGAAAUUCGAGUCGGCCUCGGUGUACUGCUGCAGCAGAAACUAACCCGGACUCGACGGAUCAUCUAAUUGUGGCGGCGCUCACCAUGCAACUCUAAUCUUUCUUGAAUUCAGACCUCGUACGAGUAUUAGAUCUGACUGCUCGCUUUGGAGACAAUGUAAAUCCUUCCGCGACGAUUCUUCUUUCAUCCGAAGAAAUUGUCAACUUCUCGACCCUUGAAAGAGAUCCCUCCAAGAACUCAUCACCACCGUGCGCAGCCCCACGGUGGGCGCCAACUGUCGUGGAAUUGUCACGGCAGAUGUCCUAGUGUGAGGACUUAGUCGUGAGGCCAACGCAUCUAUGCGGUAGCUUGAGAGGGGUUGAUUGGGAUGAGAGACGCAACACACAAGACAAGAAUUUAGACAGCUUCGGGCCCCGGGAAACAUCAUCCGGUAAUAGCCCUACAUGCUGUUUGUGGCUAGGUCUCAUUAUGAUCAUGAGAGAGUCGCCGGUAAGCCGGCUCUUUGUGUCUAGCCCUAGAGAUUGUUUCUUGUUUCUUGUCCCUCUUGGGGUGCCCUGCCCCUCCUUAUAUAAGUUAGAGGGGCGGGUUACAUACGGAGUCCUAGUAGGAUUAGGACUAGUCUAUCUUUCUUUACAAGUUGAAUACAAGUCCAGGUCUUGCUUCCUUAUGAAGGAAAUAAUCCUCACGCCUUUCAUCUUAAACCGGCCCACCAGAGUAUAAGCCAGCCUGCUGGGCCUUGGGCCUUGUCAUCCGUCUGAUCCGCCCGCCGGGUCUCCAGUGAAUUACAAUGUCUAGGCGGGUUACCCUGUGAACCGCCAUGUUCGGGCGGAUCGCCAGUGAGUCGCCAAGCUUGUCCGGCCGGGUCAUACCGCGGGGUAUAUCCCCGACAGGUGGUCUAAUACGGGUAAAGAAACGCAUUUUUCGCUUUGGAUCCUUUACAAUAAAAGAUGGGUCAAAAAUUCGAUUCUGGGAAGACAAGUGGCUAGAAAAUGCUUGGAUCCAAUAAAAAUAUCUAUCUUUGUACUGCAUCAUUCAUCACAAUAAUGAUACUCUUGUGCUAGUGCUUAUUUCUUUCAUGCCAGAUAUUUCUUUCAGGCGAGAUUUGAUUGGCCUAUGUCUUAUGUGAUGGUAAAAUCAUUAUCCUGAUUGGAUUUAAUUAACCUGACACAAGGGCGGGGAUGUGUUUCAUUGGAAUCUCUCUACAUAUGGGUCCUUCAAGUCAACUUUAUGUACCAUGCACUAACGCAUUCAGAGGUCCUAGUGGAUAAUAAAAUAAUAGAAGAAGAUAUGGGCCAUACUCCCUCCGUCCAGUGAAGAGUGAAAUCUAGAGAUUUUAGGACAAAUUAUGGAGUAAAAUAGAAAAUGCAUUGGAAAGGUGCAAGCCACCAUCUUUCUUCUCUUUAAUUAUCCAAUCCCUAAUGUGUUUAGUGCAUGUAAAAAUUAAGAAGACCAUGUGUAGAUUGUUAUUGGUCUUGGUUACCAUGUGAUGAGAGAGAAAUAUAUUUUUUUCUACUUUAAAGUGCAUUGAGAAGAUAGAAGUACACUCUUUUGUGGACAAAUUUUAAAGCCAAACGUACACUCUUCACCGGACGGAGGGAGUAUAUUAAUUCCUAGUGUGACUUAAUGUUGACAUGAAUUGAUACAGGUGGAUAUAGUUACUCUGCGUCCGUAAAUAAAGGUCAUCAUUUUUGUUGCUCUAGGGACCCAUAAAUGAUAGGGACUGUCCGCUACCAGCUACCCUGAUGACUCCAUUCGCUGCCCCUCAAACAUGGGUUCCCGACAUGUUCUCAGGGUCUGCCCGUGGUUCCAUGUUCUGGCCUUCGGGGUUGGUUUAACUAGUGGUAUGGGGGUUCUUGCAUCGCCCUGUACUCUCGAUCGGGACCCUUUAAUGCUAGCACUUCUGGUGACAUACAGUGCGUGUAUUUAAAGGCCAGGCAUGCAUCCUCCGUGCCAAAGAAAAUUCAUUCGGCGGCUACACGGGGAGAGUUGUGGCAGCAAAUCCGGGAUGCCAGCUUUUUGUUUUGGGUUUCGAUUGUCAAAGUUUUAGAUCUUAAAAAAACUAAAAUUAAGUGUUGUUUUCAUAUUCGUGUUUCUCGUGACCACUGUUUUGAAAUAAUAUCCGUUUUGAAUAUAUAUUUUGACGACUUUAAAAAAUAUUAAGUUUCAUAUGUUGAAACUUAGUACGGGCAACCAGUAAAAAUCAAUUAUUUUGUACCUACGCCUGACAGAAAAAUGCUUACAUUUAUAUCUCUGAAACUUGCUGAAACUUUGCAUUUUUCAUCAUUGAAACUUAAAACUUUUUGAGGGAUUUUCUUUUUUACUGUGCCCUCAUGUGGGAUUCAACUACUCUUUUCUCUUCCGCGAGAUCCACAUGAAAAAAAGCACAAAUUUAAGAUGAGUGCAGGGCUUGGCAGAUGAGUGCCCUGCACUUACAUGCCCCUGCGAAUUUCCGCAGCUACUAGAUAUUUUUGGCAAAUUUAUUGUUUGCUCUUUUACAGGUGUGCCACUUAAGUAUUUAAACCUAUAAGGAUUUCUGCACUGGUGCUAAACUCACUUAUGAGAGCAUACCGGAUUUUCUCAUAUGAGCUAACAAAGAAUCAAACAUAGUUAUAUCUUGUAUUAUUUUCUCAUUAAUUACUUACCCACUGGGCUGAAGCAGUUAUUGUAGCAUAUCAUGCAACACUCAUGGUUUUCCAACAUGUUUCCUUAAGGGGUCUUAAUCAAGAUGAUUUACAUUCAAAAACAAUCAUUGAGUAUGGAUCAUUAAGAAUAAUUUGAUCCUACUUAAUCCAUGCUUAGGAAAUAAGAAAAUGGUUACUCAAUGAGCAAACGCUGCCUGUUGCUGCCUCCUCACCAACAAACUUUGGUUCUUCACAUCCCUUACCGAAGAGGCACCUUUACAUUGCAUCCCUUGUAUACUACUAUAUAUAUGUGAUCUUCAUAAAGAGUUCAGCGAUUUCUCCAUUGUUGAGUUCCUUACACUCAAUAUUCAAUAAUAGUUAUUUCCAAAUUCACAUAAUCAGUUGGCAGGAUGGUCACCAAAGUACAUUCAUCCAUCGAAAGAAACACACAAAAGAAAACAGUAACAGCACCAAAAAAACUACACGUUGUCCAAUUAUGAAUAAUGUUUCGUCCGUGUAACAAGAGCUUCGACGGUCAUUUUCUUAAGCAUAAUUAAAUAAAAAACUAAUCAUAGACUCUGAUUGUAAAGCAUUCCAAAAGAAAUUCAUAUGUCAGUUCUUCAACGCUUAUUGUGUUGGAAGCCUGUCCUCAAAUAUUCUCUCCUUCGCCUUGUCGGCCUGCAAAUAAAUAUCAGUUAUUUUUUCUUACUAUCCUUGGUACCAGUGCUUAGGGUUUUGAUAGACAGGUCGCUAGUUAUUGAAAUGAAACAUUUAAGACAAGGAGAAGCAUGCAUUAGGGCAACUCCAACUAUGUGCAUCAAAUCGGACACAUCUAACAUUCAUGGGCACGUCCGGACGUGUCCACAAAGAGCAUAUAGGGGGCGGCCAUCCAAGCCUAUGCACCAAAUGUCCGCACCUUUUCAAAGAAAAUAAAAUAAAGCUAGACCAAAUGUUGGCUCACUUUAAAUCAUCGAUCGAUAGCAAUUCAAAAGUGUUGGAUGAAAGUACUUCUCGAAAGCAGCCUUCAUUACAUACUUUCUCUCCUCGAGUUUGCACUUCUUCAUUACAAAUGUUGUUCAUCCAGAUGUUGUGCCCUUUGAGCUUCAUCCAACAGUGCAUAAAUGCGAAGAACUUGCCCUCCGUCCUUUGGUAUAGCAUGGGCUGCGCGUCUGGGCUAUACAAUGACGUGAUCAUCAAGUGUAACAUUGAGCAAUUUGCCAUUUGUGCUUGCUUCAUGUUAAACAAGGAGAAAGUCAAAGAAAUUCUCAAUGGUAUUUGGCCGAACACUUGCCGGGGUUGGCCUCCAUUAUGGAGGGCAUCGGCAAGGGGGCGGCCAAUGCAUGGGCUGCCGCCGGAUACUGGGUGCAACCGCGGCGAAGUACAAUGCGCCUGGUGGAGCAAUGGAGGUCUAGCAAGGCCUAGGCGCGGGACGGAGUGGUAUAGCAGCGGCGGUCUUGGUGGGUGCGGAUACAGAUUAAGAGUGGGACNNNNNNNNNNNNNNNNNNNNNNNNNNNNNNNNNNNNNNNNNNNNNNNNNNNNNNNNNNNNNNNNNNNNNNNNNNNNNNNNNNNNNNNNNNNNNNNNNNNNNNNNNNNNNNNNNNNNNNNNNNNNNNNNNNNNNNNNNNNNNNNNNNNNNNNNNNNNNNNNNNNNNNNNNNNNNNNNNNNNNNNNNNNNNNNNNNNNNNNNNNNNNNNNNNNNNNNNNNNNNNNNNNNNNNNNNNNNNNNNNNNNNNNNNNNNNNNNNNNNNNNNNNNNNNNNNNNNNNNNNNNNNNNNNNNNNNNNNAUAGUCCGACCAGGCGGGCGUCCGGACUCCCAAACCUCCAAUGAGUUUGCUUCCGGUUUGGCUGAUGUUGGACGUCCGGAUUAGGCCGCGGGCAUUUGAUGCAUGGCAGUGGAUGGCAAAAAAUGUACAGGCAGCGCAGUCCGGACCUUGCGGGCAAUUUGAUGCAUGGCAUUGGAGUUGCCCUUAGCAAUACCUAAGGCAUGUUCUGAUCACGAAUCAUCAGGCAUAAAAACUGAGAAAGGACUUACCAUCUUGUUCCAGUUUGUGGUAGCCGUAAUAACAGACAGGAGAGUGACCUGUGUGGCUCCACCAGCCAGUAUGCCAAUCCAAAACCCCUUUGCUCUUAGUUGCAUUGCAAAACCAAAGUAGAGUGCAACGGGGAUACCAACAAGAUAGAAGGCACCCAGGUUAACAUAAGCCCCUAGAUGCUGCCAUCCACAGCCCCGAGACACACCUGAGUGGUGCAAUGGAAGCAUUCAGUCUAUUAGUUUAAUUUAGUUUAUGAUGCUAUAUGCCAAAAGAAAGACAUGUGGAUACCUUGAAGGACUGCCAUGAGGCUGUCUGUAAUUGCUGAAAUGGAAAGUAGGGGUACCAUUCUUGUGACAUAACGCCUGACCUCUUCCUCAUUGCUGAACGCAAUUCCAAUAAAGUGGCGCAGUAAUAGAAGAGUUGUGCUCACUAAGAAUGCUGAGCAGACCACAAUAGACAAGGCAACACACACCACCAAGCGGGGACCUUGUGUGUUGCCGGCGCCUAAUUCAUUUGAGACGCGCACACUGGCACACGGACAACAUAUAUACGUAGCAUGUUAAAUUCUGUAGAAACAGGUGAUACUGACGAUAUAUAGCAACAAAUGCACUAGCUAGUAGCUACCCACCUGGUAGCUAUUCCAAUGCCGUAAGGAAGGUUGGCCAACAGUAUCAUUGUAGAUACGCUGUUCCAAAAGGACAUCAGUAUGGUAAACUUCAUAGAAUAUGAUGGAUUCAAGUAUAAUCUUAUUUAGGGUUCUACUAAUGCAUACCAUAUAGAAAGCACAGAGGUUUCCAGUGCAGGAUUUGGUAACAUCCCGGAAAGCAGAACAAGCAGCUCGUAAGACCACCACUCCAGACUGUGGUCAAGGAAAGCUAGGUUAAUAUUCAGAGGUUUCCGGGAUGUUUUGAUGCUAGAGAAUACAUAAUUAGAAGCUAAACUUAAAGUAAUAUAUGUGCAGAAAUUAUCCAGUUCAUUUCAAGAGGAGAGGGAAGAAUAUAUCCAGUGGUAUUGCGAGCGGGUGGCAAAAAAACAAAAGGUAUCUGAUCAGGAUCUGCUCACAACAAAGGCGAAGACGAAGACGGACUUUCUUUUGUUGAAAGAUGUCUUCACAACAAAGACGAAGAGGAAAACAAACUUGAUUUGGACAAUCAAUCCGAGACGAGCCGACAUUUCAAAUUUUCAAAUGGUUUGUAAAAGACCAUCAUCCUUUUCUGACAGUAUUCUAACAGACCAAUCAAGUGUGCAAGGGUGCUGUGGCAAGAACAACAGAAAAAUAGUAUUUCCUCCAUCCGAAAAUAAGUGUCGCUCAAAUAGAUGUAUCUGGACGUAUUUUAGUGCUAGAUACAUCCGUUUGAGCGGUACUUAUUUCCAGACGGAGGGAGUAGGUAUGAACGAACAUAAGUAGAAAGAGAUAUAAAAAAUAGCAACAAUGCUUGGAUCUUAUGGGCUGCAAGUGCACCACUAUUAAAAAGGUUUUGCCACGUACUUGUUAUUAUUAAUAUAUUUUUUGAGAGGAACGUACUUGUUAUUUUCCAUGCUGACACCUUUAGAAACGUUGGCUACUGAUACACAAACUAUAUAGAUUUGUCACAUGAAGAUACCAUUAGUGUUAUGAAUGAUCACAUCAUUAUAAUUAUAAUCUUAAUUAUUUGCCAAAAGGUGCACGUUGGAAACUAUAUUAAUGUCCACAAGAACAAGUAAAAGUGAAUGAAGAGUGCAUAAGAGUUUGCUGUAUUGGACAAUAUUUUGCUUGCCAAAAUAUGAAAUACUAGAUAAAAUAGCAUAUGUUAUUUUUUGUGCUAGAGGUUAAAACAACAUCAUUAUAGAAACAUGGCAAAUAACAUUUACUUACCAAAUCAUAAGAGCCGAUGGUACAGCCAAACGCAUGAAACUGCCAAUCCCUCUAAAAGCUUCCCACGAUGGUGGAGCGCGUGUUUUCUCACAAGAGGGUGAGAACUUAAUGUAAAGGCCAAGAAAAGUCACUUCAACCCAAUCACAAAUGCUAACGGAUAAAGCAGCUCCAGCAUUACCCAUCCCAACUUUGUAAACCAUGAACCAGCAAAGAGGAAGAAAUACCGCAAUUGUAAUCAAGGAGCUAAGAACCAUUGGAAAUAUUAGGCUUUGACAUUGCAGAAACUUUGAAAAGCAUUGAGUAACACCGAAGGCAAAUAAACCAGGGAUAAGCCAUAAUGCAUAUUUGCCAGCCUCAUUUGCAAUUUGUGGUUCCUGGCCCAUGAGAGGAAGUACUUCCGGGAUGAAACACCAAACAAUGGAGAUGGGCACACUCACAACAAGAAGUGCAAUGAUGGACCUGUAGGUACAUAAAGAUAAUGUAUGAUAUUGUUCUGCUCCAUAGGCCUGCCCACAAAGAGUUUCCAAUCCGCCUGCCAGUCCAAUCUAAAAGGGAAACUGCAUCAGUAACAAAUUAUACAUAUUGUUGCUGAAUAAAUGGAAGUUAAACUAGGAUAAAGUGCAUCGACAUUACUGAAAGAAGAGUUUUGCUACACCUACACAUUAAUCUUAUGGAAUUAAAUUUACAGGAUGAGGUGGCAACAUCUGAUUGGAAGGGAGGAGACUCAUAGUAAAUUCGGGGAAGACGGGUUACUUGGAGGUUAGGGGGGAGGGGUGGCAGUCCAUACGGGUCGCUCAUAAGUUUGGAUUUUCGCUGAAAGAAUAUCAAGAAUAACAAACGUGGCUUGUGCAAGGUGGGCAACAGUUGCUAUGAAGAUUUUGUUUCAAUCAUCACUGCAAAGAAUGCGAACAUCACCCUGGCCGAAUUUUCUCAACACCCAACUCAGUCGGAUCAAGUGACUGAUUAUAUUUUUCGCGGGAAUAUAAUAGAUCGAUAUUGCCCACCGAAACUAGCUAUAUGUACAGCGGGGUGGGGUGAAUCAAGCACCACAGGUCCAUUGUAAAAAAGAUUAAUCGAACGACCUAGCUAGCCGCGUGCGGUCGGCGCUAAUCAGAAAGGUUGAGAAAUGGAACCAUCUGAUUUGAUUCAUUCCCAGUAGUCAUGAGAUGAUCAUUUUUUUUUAGAAAAGAGGGGAGAUCCUGAAUGAUCCACACAACCUUUUGUUUAUCAUAUCAAAGUACAUCAUCUGACCAUAACAAAGUUCAUCUUGCCAACGGAUGCUUCUAUUACACUCGUGGUCUCUAAAAGAUGAGAACCCACUAUGUAGCAUCCACAUCAAUAAUUCAAGCAUUUAUGUCCUUAGUACGAUUCUUUGUAGGAACUAUCCGUAAUAACAAAGAACAUCAGAAGUAGCAGAGAUCUCCGCACGAUGCAACUGGAUAAAUGGCGGUCGCAUGGAGGGAGAAGACACUGAGACAUCUGGACCGGUCGCCGAUCUUGUACACAUCCGGAUGGGAUUCAGGGGCUGCUCUAACGGAAUUGAAAGUACCAAUAGCUAAACAUAAACGAAAUAAAUUAAUGUGCGCUGCAUGCUUGCUCACAAGGACGCUGAAGCCGGAGACGUUGGUGAGGGAGUUGGCGAUGGCCGCACCGGCGAGCGCGACGUCGCCGAGGUGCCCCACCAUGACGGUGGAGAUGAACUGCAUCGUGACCUGCAGCAGCAUCACCACCACCAUCGGCGCCGCAAGCCCCGCCAGCUGCGCGGCUUCCCUACACCAGCGCCGGCUGGUACUGCCGGGCUCUUCCCACCUCGCGGCCAGCAGCGGCGCAUCGGAAGAAGAGUCCAUGGAUCCCCCCGACCAAAGCUCUGCCCAAGCAACGUGGGUGUGGUUAAUGAAAAUGGUAAAUGCGGGAGCUACCAUCCGUCUAGCUGUCUCCCUUUGCACAAUGCAUGGAGCUCGAACUAUAUAUAGAGUAUUACUCCAGUCGUAGUAGCUACGGAAACUAUUUCCUCUGUCCAGAUUUAUUAGUUUUGUCAGAGCAUCGGUAAUUGAGGAGCUAAUUUGAUUUCAUAUACAUCCACUGACCCGUCUUGGCGCUGUUCAGGCAUAUUCACUUAAGCCCACAUUUAUCUGUGCACGCAGUGGUAACCCCACUUUUCUCCCUAUUAUAUGCCCGAUUACAUGCAUAUGAAUGGUAGGGACAGAACCUCAAAAAAAAAAGAAUGGUAAGGACAAAAAAAGAAAAUAAAAGAAAAUAGUGAAGGUGAAAAAGUGGUCCGGACUCUGGAGUGUGCCAAAUUCGACGUGGCAGACUGCUCAGACAUACCACAACAUCUCAUACCCUUUCCACGUAUGGGCUCGGUAUAAGGGGUGCCAGAAAGCCCGCGCCCAUGUAUAUAGUUUUGAGUUAAUGAUACUCCCUUUCAUCCAUAUUACUUGUCACACGGACGUAUUUAGACGUUUUUCAGUGCUAGAUAAAUUCGUUUGAGCGACAAGUACACUAGUAGAAAAAGGACCUUACGUGAGACACAUUAGUCCCGGUUCAAUUUUGGCUCGGUACUAAUGGUAUUAGUCCCGGUUCAAACGGCUAUGCAUUAGUCCCGGUUCAUGUUGAACCUUUAGUACCGGUUCGUGCCACUAACCGCUACUAAAGGGGUGGUGGCAGGCUGGCGUCAGGCCGGGGCCCCACGAGCCCCUUUGACUAAAGGGGUUUAACCUUUAGUCCCGGUUGGAGACACAAACCGGGACUAAAGGGCAAUUAUCAAACUCUACCCCCCUCCCCUCUCCCUGUCUAUCGCCAUUUCAGUUUUGAAAAAAACAAAACAAAAUGAUAAAAACUUCAAAAAUUAAGAUCCUUCGAGAUGUAGUUAUGUUACUACAUCUACUAGUUAGGAAAAUUUAAAAACUUAAAUUUGGACAUGUUUUGCAAAAAAAUAUGAUGAAAAGGUAAAACAACUAUAUCUUUUGCAUCCGAUAUCGGAAAACAACGUAUAAUAUAUCAAAAUGUUCAGCACGAAAAUACGCAUCCGAUUUUGACGGCUGUAGGCCGUUUUGCAAAUUUUUAGAAUCCUCAAACUCUAAAAGGAAAAAAGUUAUGCUCACAUUUCAGUUUUUUUUUUGAAUUUUGGUCAAACUGUGGUCAAACUACUUAUUCAAGAAAUAUUAGUGUUACUAAAUAAUUAUUUCAGUUUUUUGAAUUUUGGUCAAAUCUGGUCAAACUAUGGUCAAACUACUUACUCAAGAAAUAUUAAUGUUACUAAAUAAUUAGUGUUUUUUAGAAUAAUAGUUUCAAACUCAAACGAUGAACGUGUGACUUCAUGCUCAAGCUAAACUCCUGAGGGUUAAUAGGAUUGACAGCUUAAUAUUGUUAGGAAACAACAAGUGCGGACUUGGAAACUAGGGGGAAUAGAACUCAGAAGUUAAGCGUGCUCAGGCUGGAGUAGUAAGACGAUGGGUGACCGGCCGGAAACUUAGGUGAUUUGGGAUGAGUGAUCCACACUUGAGCAGUUAUGAGUGGUGAUUAGAGACUAAAUCGUCAAAUAAUUAAGAAAAUUGAAAAUCGGGAAAAAAAUCAAAGUUUUUUCCAAAAAAUUCAAAAAAAAAACCUUUAGUCCAGGUUGGUGUUACCAGCCGGGACUAAAGGUCCCGCAUACCACGGCGCGGGCUCGUGCCACGUGGUGGGCCUUUACUGGCGGUUCGUGUUGAACCGGGACUAAAGGGGGGGCCUUUGGUCUCCAACCUUUAGUGCGGGUUCCGAACCGGCACUAAAGGCCCUUAAGAACCGGCAUGAAAGCUCCGUUUUCUACUAGUGGUAAUACAUAUCAGAUGGAGUAGUGGAUUUAACUAGACGGGGAAGCAACGGAUGGGCGGCGGCUUUCAGAUAUGACGAUGGUGGUCCUACCGGGGUGGCUUGUUCGGCGGAGCGGGUUGGGAUGGCACGGGCCAGAGGCUGCUUCGCUGCCUCCCAAAGGUGGUGGUGGGCUGCGGGUGUAUGCGACAACUCAGAUCCGUCGUGGAUCAUCUGGUUGAUGCGGGAUCGACUCUGGCCUACCUUGGCUUCUCUGACGCGGCUCUGGUGGGCGGAGGGCUAGGUCAUGGCAGGGAGCUCCCCCUGCCUUGGUCUUGUUCGGCCGUCAUGGCAGCGAGCUCCCCCUGCCUUGGUCUUGUUCGGCCGUCAUGGCAGGGAGCUCACCCUACGCGUUUUGGCUCACGGGCUCAGAUGAGUCCGGGAAUGAACAAAAAAUCAUUAAAAAUUACUAAAUAAAUUCAAAAAAAAUCUGAAUUUUUUUUGUGCAGAAAUAUAACUGAGUGUCUGAUGUUCGUACCGAAUUUCAGAACACUUGAAUGUUUGAGUAGCUCUCAGCAAAAAAGGACGAAUUUAAUGUAUGUGAAAAAGGUUACUAUUUGUGCAUUGUCUGGACCCUUUUUUUACUGAGAGCUAAUCCGAUGUCCAAAUGUUUUGAAAUUUGGCACGCACUUCACACACUAAAAUAUCUUCCAUUCAAAAAAAUAGAUUUUAAAAAAAAAAUCUAUUUUUGCUGAAUUUACUGUUCACCAGGUGGAGCAGCGUCGAAGACCACAGACAUGGUGUCGGGCGAGCGCGCUCGGAGACAGAUGUCUGUAGUUGUGUCUCCCCCGGUCCACCGGGACUGGCUGGAGAUGCAGGCGUGGGUGCCUCCUACCAUGGAGGCAUCGAUCCAGACUAUGUGGCUGAUGUAUGGCUAUGAUUGUAAGGGGACGCCAUUUGCUUCUCCUACCGUGGUGGGUGCACCGUGAUGUGGGCGGUUGGUGGUGUCUCUGAUAUGGAUGUCGAGGUGGCAACCCUGGAUGGCGGUCUGAUGGUUCGCUCUCUAGCGGGCCCCAUGGCAGCAGUGAUAGGUGGAGCGACGGGUGGCUCGGGUGUGCUCUUUGUCUCCGGCAGUGGUGACACCUAGAUCCAGAUCUGGAGGUCUGAACUCGUCGUGCUUACCCUGGAGACCUCGUGGUGUCAUGGGGGAGCUGUCGAGUAAAGCCCCAUGCUUUGCCGUCAACGAGGGUGAUGCUCGCGGGUGCCGCUUUGCUCUUAAAGAUAUCACCGUGGUGCUCUUCUUCUUGUCUGGGCUCGGAGUAAAAACCUUUGUUCGGUGUGGACUCAACAACGCUGACACUUAGGGCUAUUCGCUCUCCUAAGAGUGUUGUCGUUGAGCUUAGAUGUUAUAGGGCAUAGUGUGACGUUGCUAUCGGUUCUUCCUAUGCUCACUUUGGUAGUAUAGCUGCAUGCGUUCUGUGUGAUCCGGUUAUCCUGGGAUCUAUUAGAAUAAUCCGAGGCAUACCGUUGAUCAUCCGAGGACCAAGGAACCACACGAGCACGACACCGAGAUUUGUUAACGAGGUUCACCUUGGCUACAUCCCCGGGGCUUGACUAUGGGCGCUCCUCCCCAUGACAUCGCUACAAUACCGCACCCCGUCGCCCUGCACGCCGGCACAUGCCGCCGGCUUCCCUUGCGUUCCUAUGCUAUUAUGUUGGCAUGGGUUACAUCGUGUGUCUACCCCCAUUAUAUAUGAGAGGCCUAGGAUACAAGUGUCCUAUUAGGACACGACUCUAUAUCCUAUCUAAACACAAUACUACUCAAAGUCCAACUCUAACCUAUCUUAUACGCAAUAUUCGACACAACUCUAACAGGAUCUGCAUUGUAUGAGGACUACCUCAUCACCUUGUAUUGGUCAGCCAUGCACUUUGUUCGGUUGUUGCAUUAUACUCUCUCUGUUCAGAAUUAUUGGUCGCAGAAAUGGAUGUAUCUAGUUAUAUUUAUAUAGUUCUAUAUACAUCAAUUUCUAUUCAUUUUUGAGACAGGUAGUCCCGGACGGAAGGAAUAUAUAAAGCGGGGCGCCUGGUUCAAACUUUAAAGAGAGACAUAACCACAAAGGAGACGUAAGAAGGCAAAUAACUACAGCGCAAUUGAUGUCAUGUCAGCAAGAAAUGUUCUUAAGGGCCACUCCACAGCUUCCCACUACGAACCUAAAUCUUCAUGAAACUUGAGAAAAUCAUACUCGACGAAAAUCAUACGCUUGUUUUAGAUGCCUGUCGUCGUUGGUUGCUACAGAAGAUGGAUUUAAAUAAUUGAAAUUAAGUUUUUUUUUAGCACUCUCUCUGAGCCAAAUUAAUUAACAUAGCUCUAGUACAACUUUUUCUUUUUGAGUUUGGACUUGGUUUGGCUGUGUGCAUCUUUUUUUUUGAAAUGUUGGCUGUGUGCAUUUUAGUUAUGCAGAAGCCAGAUAAUACUUAAAAACUUUGUAAGCAAUAAAGCGCCCCUUAUCGAACAAUAGAAUUAUGCAGAGGACUAACACUUAACUCUCGAGUAGUAACUGGUUGAAACUUACCAGCUCUACGUGGUUGAUGUUGACAUCCAAUUUCGAAUACAGAACAUAUUUCCCAAACCAUUCAAAAACAUCACAUUGCCAUCUUGGUUAUUACCCUUUAACCUCCUCACAGCAGAUUCCAUCUGCAUACACUCAGUGUAAGAACGCAGCAGAUCCAUUAAAACAUGUAGUACGAAUUAUCACGUUAUACUAAAAUUUUAGAAUCAACAAGACAUUAGCUACAUAUUGACUUCUUUAAUUAUUUAUGAAGACUGCCUCUAGAGAAUUGUUGGCAUGUCUAUGACGGUAAAUUUGCAGCUCAGUUAAAGUGUGCUUGGUUGGUUAAACAAGGUAUACUAGAUGAUUUUCCCGCGCGUUGCUGCGGGAUUUUAAAGAUUAAUUUUGGAUAUAUUAUAUAAGAAUGAAAUGAUCUAAAUCAAAAGCUAUUAUUUUCAAAAGUAAUUAUAUGUGAACAAAGAGUAUGCAUGUACGUUGGACCAUUGGAGAUGGAACAAUUAAAUUGGAGUAUGCAUGUGCUACAAAAUAAUUCUAGUGGGUGAUGAUAUGUGGAGGGCUGCAUGUUGAGAUAAUUAGACUUAAUGGGAUCAACUAUAUAUUUAUUAUAGAUGGGAUAGGUUGUUUGCUUGGUUGGGUGGAUGGGAGUAUCAAAAAAGAUUAAUUAGCUAAAUGAUACCUCCUAACUUCUACAUUAACACCAUCAAGACCUAGUGAACCUACUUAAGUCAAACCAGAAAAACAUGUACCUGUUUCAGAUAAUCAUCCAUGAACAUGAUUGCAUGGUCAUCAUGCCCAGUACUGAGUUUGAAAACAUGAAGUACAUUGUCUUUCUUCAAUGACUGCAAAAAUGAUUUCUAUAUAUGUUCAGAUUUUCAUCAAAGCAAGGAAAAUUUUCUCUGGUGCAGUUGAAGAUUACUACACAUUGGUAAACAAUAAUCACCAACAGUUUAACACAAGAAUAGCUAGAAAAGAAUCCAAAGGUAAAACACAAACUCAUCAUUGCAUUACAACAGUUGUGUAUACAUAAAGAAUUAUUGCAUAAGUUCAAAACAAUACCUUGAAAUCUCUGGCAGCUUGUGUCCUGUCCUUCACGCUAUUAUAGUUUGGGACUGCAAAAUGAAUGGUUGUGUCACAGCCUACAAGUGAACACAAGAAAAAGGUGAAUUUCGGAUCUGAAUCACCAUUAAAAAAGGAAACAGUUAGAGAAGAAGCACACACUGAGUUUAUAUAACCAUCUUUAUUAUAUAACAACAUGUUACAUGGGAGUAUUGUUACAUCCCUCCAUUAAGAGGAGGAGCAAACAUAAGUACAAGAGUUUAAUAGUGGCCGUGUCCCCCAACCCACAAAUAACUUUGGCACAUGCACGCACAGACCAGAAUUUUGCAACAGAAAACAUCACUAACCUAUGCACACGGUGGCUCUCGCAGCCAGUGAUGGUAGGCCUGAAUCGUCGCUCCACCUCUGCCUUGAUGUUGUUGGCCAUUGUCUGAAGGUCCUGGUUCUCUCCCUCGAACACCAGGUAGCUAUGUUCUCUCCAAAAUCCCUACGGGCCAAAUUUGUACAAUCACUAUCGAGUCCAGGUCUUUUUGCCGAUCUUUUGGCAGUGCUUUUCACCUAGACAGCCACCAAAUUCACCUGAAGUGGCGAGCUGUUCAUUUUAAAAUGACUUGCCACAGUUAUGUCAACCAGGAUCAUUGCUCUCUUUCUCGGCCUCCCGCAGAACUUCACAAGUUAUGAGUUUGCUGUAUGAGUAUAUAACUGAAUGAAGUAGUCUUUGAACCUGCAAACAGAGCACUUAAUCUACUUCUCAACGCACUGGAAUUUUUUGCAAUGUCUCUCUGUACUAAUUGUCCACUGCUACCCUACCACGAAGAAGUAGCGAUUUCUCCACCAAUCCAGCUCGCAAUCGGAUUAAACACUAGGCAAAGAAAUUCCUCUCUGCAACUAUAUAUCCAUACAAAAGUACCAUUUACUCCUGGAUCGAGCACUAAGCCACUAACUGACGGACGGAGAAUGGAUGACUAACCUUCUAGUUGCAACCGCAUGACCUCUGACCUGCCCUGCCGGCGGCUCACAGCGAUGGAUAGCGGACUAGCCUGCCAUCUAGGGUAAUUGCAGACGGCCAGAGUUGCAACGGAGGCCUCAUCGUGAUACACGACGACCUCCGUAGCUGGGAUCAGAUGUAUUUUCUAAUUUGAAUUGAAUAUGUAGUGUCACCAUUCCAGAUUUUUGGUACAUAUGAACAAAAAUAAAUUUAUUCAUGGGCCAUUCAACACUUUUCAACUCAUCGGAUACUGGCUCAGAUCGAGUUCACAUAUCAUUAACAUAUUUCGAACCAAAUCCAUAAUCAUAAAAUCCUCUGGUUUUAUUCAAACAAGCGGUGGAGAUGCCCCAUCCCUCCUAGCAUUGUUUUUCCUUAUCAUUUAGGAUCUCUUCAUUCAGCCUUUAAUAGAUUAAUAACAAAAAAACAUAAGUAUGGCCUAGAUAUAUAAGAUGCUUCAGAAUAGCUGGGCACAAACAAGUUGGCAUGAAACGGUCUAGAACUUCUUUUGCGGGAAAAAAUCUAGACCUUCUCAAAAUCCAACAAAUAAAAUAUGCUCGUUGUCCAUGAUCUAGGAGGGUAUCUACGAAUAGGUACUUAAGGUUUGUUCAUGAAAAGUAUUAAAAUAUUUGGCAAUUUUCCUUUUGGGUAGACAAAGUACCUAGAAAUAUGUAAAUUCAUGCUUAUACACCUGAACAUGCACCAUAGUAGACCAAAUUAUGUUGCCAAAGUAUAACGAACAUAUUAUAUUUUUGAAUAGGUUAUCUGUGUAAAUGGUCUACACAAUUCAAAUAAGUAUCAACUUCAUGCCCAAAAGAUUUAGUAAAAGGUACCGGGUGGUCCCAAUGAAAUAUUUACAUAACAUUACAAACUUAGUCCACCAAAAGAAUGAUUUGAUCCAGAAAAAUCCUUCUUCACACAUAGAUCGAACUGAUGAUGACGUAUCUAGAGUUAGGACCGGAUAUAUGCUAGUAACUUGUAAGCAAUUACCAUCCUUUACAUGUAAGGGAAUUCUAUGAGUCAUGUCAUGAUCUAUACCUCUCAGUUCAUCUUAUCAUCUUAGAGAACAAUACAAAGUUAGUUUUAUAAAAAAGCAACCGAGUCUAGACGAACCCUCCACAUACAAGGCUUUAAUAAUCGAGCAUAUCUUAACAGUCCACACACGAUUGCAACUUAGUCCUACACAGGUUUUGCCUUUCUUGUUUAUGGUUGACAGCCUAUACAAGGUUCCAAACUCGGUUGCAAAAGUGAUACUAUCCUGAUAAAUGUGUGACAUGUAAAGUGAAUAAGGCGAGUCAUAUAUACCACACAUCAGGGUUUCUAUAAUUUGUGUGUGAUCAUAUGCACAACUAAAAAGCAACUUUGAUGAUCAAUCCAAAAGUACGCUUGUAGCUAGUGCAACCUAACACAAUGUACCAAAAAAUCAUUUCUGAUGCAUCCAAAUAGAAUUAUUUAAGUUGAUGCAAAGAAGGAAAGAGGUGGUGCCCGGACUACUAUAAAUAGGCAUGAAGUAUAAUGAUCAUCACAAGCACAAGCAUCAAAACCAAGCAAAAGUAGUUAGCACCAAUCCAUCAUGAAGACCUUCCUCGUCUUUGCCCUCAUCGCCGUUGUGGCGACAAGUGCCAUUGCACAGAUGGAGACUAGCUGCAUCUCUGGUUUGGAGAGACCAUGGCAGCAGCAACCAUUACCACCACAACAGUCAUUUUCACAACAACCACCAUUUUCACAACAACAACAACAACCAUUACCUCAACAACCAUCAUUUUCGCAGCAACAACCACCAUUUUCGCAGCAACAACCAAUUCUAUCGCAGCAACCACCAUUUUCACAGCAACAACAACCAGUUCUACCGCAACAAUCACCAUUUUCGCAGCAACAACAACUAGUUUUACCUCCACAACAACAACAACAACAACUUGUGCAACAGCAAAUCCCUAUUGUUCAGCCAUCCGUUUUGCAGCAGCUAAACCCAUGCAAAGUAUUCCUCCAGCAGCAGUGCAGCCCUGUAGCAAUGCCACAACGUCUUGCUAGGUCACAGAUGUGGCAGCAGAGCAGUUGCCAUGUGAUGCAACAACAAUGUUGCCAGCAAUUGCAGCAAAUCCCCGAACAAUCCCGCUAUGAAGCAAUCCGUGCCAUCAUCUACUCCAUCAUCCUGCAAGAACAACAACAGGGCUUUGUCCAACCUCAGCAGCAACAACCCCAACAGUCAGGUCAAGGUGUCUCCCAAUCCCAACAGCAGUCGCAGCAGCAGCUCGGACAAUGUUCUUUCCAACAACCUCAACAGCAACUGGGUCAACAGCCUCAACAACAACAACAACAGGUACUACAGGGUACCUUUUUGCAGCCACACCAGAUAGCUCACCUUGAGGCGGUGACUUCCAUUGCACUCCGUACCUUGCCAACGAUGUGCAGUGUCAAUGUGCCGUUGUACAGCGCCACCACCAGUGUGCCAUUCGGCGUUGGCACCGGAGUUGGUGCCUACUGAUAAGAAAAGUUGU